CAUACAUUCCCGACUUCAAGUUGGCCUUUAAGCAUUUUUGCAUCCACGUUGGAGGCCGACCUGUUCUUGAUGAGAUGGAGAAGAGCCUCGAGCUCACCAAGUGGCACAUGGAGCCAUCACGAAUGACUCUAUACCGAUUCGGGAACACCUCGAGUAGCUCAGUGUGGUAUGAAUUGGCCUAUUUGGAGGCCAAAGGAAGGAUUAGGAAAGGCGAUAGGACAUGGCAAAUUGCAUUCGGGGCCGGAUUCAUGUGCAACAGUGCAGUUUGGCAGGCGUUGAGGACCGUCGACCCGGCGAAGGAGAACAACCCAUGGAUGGACGAUAUUCACGAGUUCCCCAUCUAGGUUCCAUAAGUGUUGUCCAUUGAUCUAAUGCAAAAUAAGCACUUCGGAUGGGAUUUUGCCAAUAUAGGCAAAGUUGAUUCCGAAGGAUACGCAAAUCCUUAAUUAUUAUGUUGCCUUGUGCUCAUAAGCAAGCAUCAUUCCAAAUCUUAUGGUUACGUGGGUAUUUAAAUAUGUCGAGAAUUUUCUGAUGCUCGUGGUUAUCUAAAUAUUUGAAUAUGUCAAGUAUUUGCGAUUAUCCAAGUGCUUCCUCUCCAAGUCCCGUUGCUUGUAUAAGUGCAUGUUUAUACAAAUUUUCAAAUACUUAUGGUUAUGUAGGUAUUUUAAUGUUUUAUGUAUUUGUGAUAAUCUAGACGUUGAUAUUUGAAUUUUAGUCGACAAGUUAAGCAUUGCUUUAAAGAAAAAAAAAAGGAAAAAAGGGUUAAUUAGUUUUUUACCCUAUCGGUGACCAACUUGGUGUGAUACCUGACUUGAUUGACUCGCAGUACCUUCUCCACCCAUGGUUAAGUCAAGAUCCUUCUUCACUCAAGACUUUGUUGCUAUCCCUAGCAAUUUCGAUGGGCAUGGCAAUUAUGCAUCGUUCAACAUGUUACGUCCAAUCAUCGAGACCGGUACUGAUGUGGUUGGAGCGCCUGCUGUCCCUCUCGCGCUCCAUAUUAAAUUGGCAACGAUGUGGCUAUACCUUAUAAAAUCUGCUGUUUCCCCAGUUGAGUAAACGAUUCAACGCCUACCGACCCAAAUCCUUCUUCACUCAAGACUUUGUUGCUAUCCCUAGCAAUUUCGAUGGGGCAUGGCGAUUAUGCAUCGUUCAACAUGUUACGUCCAAUCGUCGAGACCGGUACUGAUGCGGUUGGAGCGCCUGCUGUUUUUCUCGCGCUCCAUAUUAAAUUGGCGACGAUGUGGCUAUACCUUAUCAAAUCCGCUGUUUCCCCAGUUGAGUAAACGAUUCAACGCCUACUGACCCAAAAAAGGGCAUCCAUUCAAUGCACACGCUCAUCUAAGGAAUUAAUUGUCCUGUGAAUUAGAUGCUGCUCGCUCUCUCUCAAUUAUACUCUGCUUUUGCACGACAUUUUACUAUGAAAUUGGAAAAAUGUUAAUAAGGUUCCCCAAAGCAAUUGCUAACGAUCUUUAAUUGUACUUUUGAAUUGUACAUUUUUUAUACUUGAAGUAGGUGAUUUCUGGAAAUGUUCACCAUUUCAAAUUUUAAAAAUGCUUGGAUACGCCUUUUUAUCGUUUGCAGUACUCUUAACUAGUGCACCUAAAGAACUUGUUGACAAAACCUAUUAUGAUUUUUUAUGGGACUAUUAAAAUAUAACUUAAUAUGCAGUGGAUACGGUCAUAAUUAGAAUUAAUUUUGUACCAUACUUUUUUGACUAAAAUUUUUUACCAUACUUUACUAAAUACUAAGUUUCUAGUUGGUACAUCUGACAUAGAGGUUUCAAAUUUAAAUUCUUGGGUAUCCUUUUUACCCACCUAUGAGCUUCAUUCUUUAUAUACACCUUAACACACCUUCAUCAUUGAAUCGAUUUCCUCAUAAUAAGAAGCAUUUUUAGAUAUCAAUAUAUUUUGAUGUGGAUGCGAUUGCUGAGAAAUUUUCUGGAACAUUCAAAUAAGUUUAACAUAGUCAAUGAGUUCGAGACAAGCGAUUCAAUGAAGAUUUAUGUGAUUUUUCAACAAGAUAUCGAGAUGUGAUGGAUAUUUUAUAGUAUAAAUUCAUAUAUAGUUUUAUAUCUUCUUUGUCUUGAUUAUUUAGUUUAGGUUUUUUUUUUCCUUAAAGGGAUAUUGAUUUGCUACUAUUUUGAAUUAGGGAUUCGAUAUUUUGUCCUUUUUAGGGGUUACGCUUUUUUCUACUAUAAAAAAGUGCUAUGUAUCGAGAAUAGAUAGCUUCUUCAUCGUUAAUCUGUAUACAUUAUAGAGAGAACAUUUUUUCUUGUGUUUGGAGAUUCAGUUUUCUCUAAAUUAGUAUUAACCACAUUUUCACUGCACCGUAUACUUCUCGUCGUAUUGUGAUAGCAAGCACGCAAGUACACAGCAAUUUCAGGACGUGUACUUUCCACUUAAUCUAUGUGAGGCCACACCUUCUUACACCCAUUUCGUUCUUUCAUGUAGAUUGUUUCUCAAUAACACUUUAUCUGUGGAGCUCACUUUGCAUAUAUUCAAAUCUACGUCAUCAAAUCGAUUCCCUCUCGAGAGGAAACAUGAAGGUCAUCAUAUGAUAACUCAAACUUUAGGAGUAGGUUAUUAUUCUUAUAAUCCCAAAACGUGUACUUUCCACUUAAUCUAUGUGAGGCCCUCAUCAUCCAAUGAUUGCCACAAACUAGUUCGACACGUGUAACUCUCAAUAGGUGUUUGAACUAAAUUAAUCUUAGAGAAAAUUCUAAAUAAAAGCUUAAACAAAACUGUUUUUUCAAAAGAUGGUAUAUAGUGGACCUCGAGGGCCAACCUAGUUUCAAAUAAGGAUUUAAGCUCAUCGGCCGAUCAAAUCUUAUAUAAUGCCAGGGGUAUUUCUGUUGAUGGUUAUAUUUUAAAAUUUUCUUUCAUUUUUUCUUCUUCUCGCUUUUUCUUUUUAAAUUCUUUUCUUUUCUUUCUUUUUUUUCUUUCAUCUUCCUCACACCUCCUUCUUGGUCCUACAUCACGUCCAUCUUAAUUUACAACUGCUUAAUGGUUGAUACAUAAGUGGAGAUCCAACGAUUGAAAAUUUAUAAAACCUUCUAAUCACCAAAGACACUGAAAUUACAAACGCUCAAAACCUGAGUAAAAAAAUUCUCAAUCUCUCUCUCAUCUCCACAAACCAGCUGCUAUCACCUUCAGUCACUCUUCAAUUUAUAGUUUCUUAGGAAUGCUUUGAUGGUUUGGGUUAUCUGAUUCAUGACAUUCAUAGAUGCAGUUUGCAUUAAGGUGGAAUAUGUGGUUUCUUGAGAGGGUCCCAAUUGUGUUGUGCAUGCUUAUUAUCUACUCAUAGAACGAAUCAACACUCAUCAAACUUGUAAUGUGAUCAAAAUCAUCAGAAACCCCAUAAAUUUAGAAUUAUAAACAUAAGUAAAUAAUGCAAUUGUUGAUAUUUAGAGGUGAUUUAUCAAAUUUUGAAAAGAAUCAAGAUGGAGAAAUGGCGGAAAUAACAAUUCUGGCGGCAGAGGAGUGGGAGAGGAGGAUGAAGCUGAAGGUUGAAGAAGGAGGUGUAAAUGAUUGAAGGAAAUGAAGAUGAAAAUCCGGCCACAAAAAUCUCAAAUAAAUCCAAGUCUCGUUGACGAGAUUGACGAGAGCUUGCUUGUGGAUGAAUCUGAGUUUGAAGGGAUCGAAGAGAAAAAUCCGACCACAAAAACCUCUAAUAAAUCUAAUCUCAUUGUUGAGACCAGGGAGAGCUUGCUCGAGGACGAAUAUAAGUUUAAUCAUUGAGGACGACGAGCUAAUGGCUUACACCUUUGAGCUUCAUCUUUCACCUUUGCCAUGCUUGACCAUGAGCAUGAGAUCAAGGUCUCAAAUCAAGCACGAGCGUUAGAUCUCAGAUUACUCAUGCUUGAUCUAGGGUUAUGAUCAGUUUGAAGGGAUCGAAGUGUUGGAAUAUAAUAUAUUGGAGGAAAUAUAUGUAACACUAUCUGUAAUAACCAGGAAAAUAAAAACUUUGAGAAAGCAGUAACAACUUUAAUCAUGACCAAUUGAAUGAGGACACAAAUGCAAGUGAAGAGUACAUCAAUGCAAACCCGAUAGAGACUAGCAAAAUUACUAUAAAAUUAUAAUAAAAUUGAAUAGGAGGUGAGAUAUGGCCAACAAAAUUUCUUUAAGGUGAUUAGUUUCUAUCAACGGUCCUAAGCAUCUCUAUGAACUAUGCCUCGUAAGAUAAAACACAUUGAACCCGUUUGAAUUAGUAUUGUACAACUAGAACUCUAUCGAACACUUUUAAAAAAUCAGCACACUUAGAGAAAAUUGAAGUAAAGAGAUGAGAGUUUUUGUUGUUGUAUGAAUAAAGAAUAGUGCAAAUUAAUUUAUAGAUUUUGAGAAGUACUAAAAAGAUACAUAAACUCAAGAGAUGUGAAUUCAGCACACUUACAGAAAAUUGAAGUGAAGAUAUGAGAGUUUUUGUUUUUGAAUGAAUAAAGAAUAAUUCAAAUCAAUUUAUAGAGUUUGAGAAAUCAUGUAUUGAAAAGAUACAUAAAUUCAAGAGAGAUAUGGACUCAAAAGAUAUAUGAAUAAAAGAGAUAUAUGAAUUCAAGAGAUGUAUGAAUUGAAGAGAUGUAUCUUGUUUUGAUCACUUUCAUUGAUCUAUUAACCCACCAUAAUUACAGCACGAAGAGAACAAUCCAGCUACAAGAACCUCUAAUAAAGCCAGUGUCAUUGUCAAGACCAACAAGAGCUUGUUCAAGGACAAAUUAGAGUUUGAGCAUUGAGGACAAUAGAGGGGAGGGAGACGAGCUAAUGGCUUACACCUUUAAGCUUUGUCUUCCAUCGUCACCAUGCUCGACCAUGAGCAUCAUGUGAUCAAGGUCUCAAAUCGAGCAUGAGUAUCAAAUCCCGAAUUGCUUGUGCUCGAUUUAGGGCCCAAAUUGGCUCCAUCUGAUGAAGAAGGUGCUAGAGUUGUUGUCAAGGGCAAUGGUGGAUGAGGUUGAGGGCAUCAUGGGAUAGUAAGGGACUUCGGAGGAGGAGAGAGUAAAGAUGGAGACGUGAGGAAGACGAUGAAGAAAAAGGAGAAAGAAAGACAAAAUAACAAAAAGAAAAAGAGAAAAAGAAAGAAUUUUAUUUUUUUUUAAAAACAUUCGGCCGAAAAAUAUCCUUGACUAUAUUUAAGAUUUGACUUUUAAUAUACCUUUACCUGAGAUUAAGUUGAUCAUUUCAUAUACUCAUAUGAGACAAAAUCCAUUGUAUGAUCUCUUUUAUAAAAAAAUUACCUUUAGGCUUAAAAUUUUCCCUUAAUCUCAGUAAUAAGUGUAUAAUAACUCCUCAACGCUAUCCAUGGCUCUUAUUUAAAUCCACCCCUAGACACUCCCCAAUCUUCCUCAUGCAUUGCUAAGACCCUAUCUCUCUGCCUUUUCCCUCCAUUUGCUUUUGGAACUCCAAGUUCUCGUCCUUUGUUAUUCUUCAGGAAACCCCCCUAACUUGAAGAAGACACACAGGAAACCUCCGAAGCUGCAAAAAUCUCGUCUUUUCUGCAAGAAAUGGCCGACCAACAAGAACAAUUAAGUCCACAAAACCCAGAUCAAAUAGUCCCGUCUCAAUCGAACCUCGAAGCCAAGACUUGGACAGAACAUCAAACCACAACCUCCCAAACUUUCCUCUCGUUAGUGAGACUCAAGUACGUGAAGCUCGGCUUCCACUACCUCAUCUCCAGUGCUGCGUAUUUACUUCUCGUGUCACUCCUUGGCAUCUCCUCAGCUCACCUCUCCACCCUCGCAGCCCGAGACCUGGCCCAAAUCUGGGACCAACUUAGGUAUAGCCUUAUCACCAUUGUGCUCUGCUCGACCUUCGUGGUGUUUCUGGUCACGCUCUACUUCACGACCCGACCCAGAAAUGUCUAUCUUGUUGACUUCGCCUGCUACAGCCCCGACUCGGCCCAGAUAUACACCGGCGAGACCUUCAUGGAGCUAUGAGAGCUCACGACCGCCUUCACCGAGGAGAACCUUGCUUUACAGUGGCGGAUCCUUGAGCGGUUUGGGCUCGGUUAGUAGACAUAUCUUCUUGAGGCCCUGCUUCGGUUCCCCCCAUCCCUGUGCAUGGCAGAAACAUGGGCGGAGGCUGAGGCCAUCAUGUUUGGGCCGCUGACCAGCUGCUAGCCAAGACUAGGUCAAGGCUAGGGGUGUGUAAAAGAACUGGAGCCCGCUUGAACCGUCCGGAACCGGCGGUUCUUAGGGAAAUCAGUUCAAUUCUCGAUUCUAAUUUAUGGGGGCCGGUGGGUACCAAUCCAAUUCCCGAUUCCAUGGGCAGAUCUACCGAUGUGCCCACCCAAACCGGACAUAUUAUAUUAUAAUAAUAUAUUAUUUUUUAAUAUAUAUAUAUUUUUAAAUUACCAAAUUUGAAAUUUAGGGCUCCAAUCUCUCAAUUCACUGCUCUCCUGCCAAGCUACUCCAUCUCGUCUCUCUCAGUUUGAACUCUCCCUCCGCUCCCUCUUCCUCUUCGAUUCACCUCUAAAUUUUCUCAUCUCCCUUUAAGACUUAGUCCGAAAGCAGCUGUCUUGGCAAAAUAGUGAUCGAUUCUCUUUUCCUCCCUCGAACUUGAACUCUCUCUCCACGUCGUAGCCAUCCUCGUCGCCACCUCCGCAUUCAUUGUCACCGUCGUCCUCAUCGUUGCUGGGCUCGUCCACUUACUUCUAUGUCGCUCUUAUUGUGGAGCUUCUUUUGUCGAACCGUUCGCUUAUGCUUUUGUGUUUGUUCGAGUUCACGUGAACGCUAUUUUGUGUGGAGCUUGACUUUGGCUCAAAUUUGAUGUUUGAAGAGCUGAUUUCUCUAUCGUUUCAUGGGCGAUCUGUCACUCGAGUUUAAUGAUUUUUCCUUCGUGUGUCUUGUGUGUUUUGGCCGCUACUGUCGAGUGCUAGCUAUGGAGGGUAAAUCAAUGGUGGGUUUUUAUCUUUAGCAACUUUGAGAUGUAGAUAGUAUAGAAGAGAGAGAGAGACUCAUUUUUCUUUUUGAGUUGGUCUCUGUUGUUUCAUACGGAGCUUGACUUUGGCUCAAAUUUGAUGUGUGAAGAAUUGGUUUCUUCGUCGUUUCAUGGGUGAUCUGGCACUUGUCUUUUGUUGAGAUCGAUUCCAAGUAUUCACCCGGUAUGGUUCUCGGGUGGAUCCAUGCAACUAACUGGCGGUUCCCAAUUCUAAUUUUUCAAAACUGAUCCUUAACAAGCGGUUCCCAAUUCUAGGCUAAGAAUCGUCCACCUGGACCAUGCAUACCUCCAGUCAAGGCCAGGACAAAGGGAUCCUCAUUGUGAACUAUAGCUUGUUCAACCCGACUCCAUCCUUAUCUGUAAUGAUCAUGAACCACUACAAGCUUCUAGCGAAUUUGUCAAUUUACAAACUUUCUGGCUUGGGUUGCGAUGCUAGUUUGAUUUCUAUCGACCUUGCUAAGCAGUUAUAACAAGUUUGGUCCUUUUUUUCCUCUCUUUUUCUAUUCUUCAAAGUAUAAGUUUGAUAAUAAGAACUUUUUAUGAACAGCACCCUCAGCGCUAUCUAAGCAAACAUGGAAUGAGAACUUUCAUCGUUGAAGGAAUUGCCAAAUAUAAGUUGGGCAAUGUUGAAACCUAAAUUUUAAUUAGAUUUUUAGGCCUUAAUCUCUCUUUUAAUCCUUAUAAUAAAUAAAAAAAACAACAACACAAAUAAAAACAAACAAAAUAAAACAAAAAACAAAAAGUAGCAGGUCGCUAGGGGCUGGGCCUUUGCACCCAACCCCCUUUUCUUUCCCUUUUCCCCCACCGUGUGGGCCCAGGCCCAGCCCUUUUUUUCCCUAGAUUCGGCCUGGCUUCUUUCUUCCUUCUUUCUUCCUUGCUCUUUCCUUCCCCGCCUUUGUAAGCCACACGCAGUGACGACGACGCACUCAAGGACAGCCUACGACGAAGAGGGGAAGAGUAGUUUGGUAGCAGACGGGAUGCGCAAGUGGGGUGGCCGAGGAGAUGCCGGUUUAGCCGCACCCAGGGCCGAUCGGUGUGUGAGGGCUAGUGGCCGAACCUCUAUCGACCGGCCUCCUCCUCGCCUAUAAAUAAGGGGUCACCACGUCCGUCGACGAACACACAGAAGCGAGCGAGCUCAGAGAGAUCCCCCAAGGGACUUCAGAGGAACUCAAAGAGUGAGCAAGGUAGAGAGGGGUUGUGAGUUUAAACGACCUCCCACCGAGAGACAUUAGGGGAGGCCGGCAGCAAGUGAACCCAGAGAGAGAAGGGAGACCAAAGGAAGGCCUGAGCGAGAUCUGGGUGAGGAGCCAAGAUCCAAAGACCAGAUCUAAAGAUCCGAGAGCGAGGGGCGGUAGAAGGGCUAGAUCUGACCUUACUGGAUCAGACUAGGAGUUGUCGUCGCCUGCUGUUGCAAUUCCACCAACCCCGAUGACCUCUAGCCAGCAUCCUUAAAGACGGUGAGCAUCCCCCGACCUUUUGCUUACUAUCCUGCUGCCGAGUAGGCCAAGCCCACGACUACUUGGCUUUUGCAAGCUUCGCCUGCCGACCACCCUCACAACCCUGAGCCAUCGCAGGAUCCAGCUCCGUCUCAACAUAGCCCAACACCGCUGACAUCAUUACAGUAAGCCCAAUGCUGAUGUUGUUUGACCCCUACGCCGACCCUGGUAACACCGACCUACCAUUGCUCACCUCGAUGCCCCCCCUCGGUCACCAGUGCCGUGCCACCCUUACCCAUUCCUACAGACCCCGACGACGCCCCCUCCAUAGAAACCCUAGCCAUCGCCACCACUUGUUGUGUCGUCGCCGUCAACCCUACCACUUCUCGCCGCGUUGCCGUCGCUAGGUCGUUAAUGAUCCAAUCGUCCCUCCUUAGUGCCAUGAAGAAGCAUUGGAGGAGAGAGUUGCGAAAUUGGGUCGAGCCAGGUUGAACGCGGGUCGUUGUUUGAGUAAGGAUCUAUUUGGGUGUGGAUCGAGUAGGGUUUUGGUUGGUUUAGGCUAACUAAGCCCAAUCGCACAUGGGUUGCUCGCAUGGGCUUAGGAGUGGGUGGCCUUUUUUUUUUAAAAAAAAUUUUGCGGGCCUUGAUUAAAACAUCCAAAAGAAAAGGAAUCUCGGGUUGGGCUUGCAUUUCAAGCUUGCCUGGGUCUGCUGCCGCUGAUCCGGGUCAGACCCAACCUGGGAUCCGACCUUGUUUGUUUUUUAUAUUAUAAUAAAUGAAGAAGACCCCACUGACACGAUCUGGCAAGAGGAUCGGCUACCCUAGUCCUCAAGCAGCACGCGGCCAUAUUCGCCUCCUCCUAAAUCGAUGGCGACUAUUUUCCCCAUCCUCCUAGAGUAAGGAAUGAUCUCUAAGGAUUUGAGACGCCCUGCCCCUAAGUAUUUCCCUGAUUAUUAUCCAUCUAAGUAUUGUGACUACCAUUCGGGGGAGUUGAGGCACUCAUUAAAUGACUGUACUAUUAUGAAAAAUAAGGUUCAGGAUCUUUUGGAUGCUAGGGUAUUCACGUUCCUCUCUCCAUGGCUAUGUUAUGGCAAAGAUGACCUCCUCGUGGUACCGAGCACCCGUACCAUGUUCCUUGAACAUGCUAAGGAGAUGCGUAGAGGAAAGGUAAUCAUGUACACUUUGGGCCAAUUGAGUGGUAAAUUCGACUACUAUGUCAACUAUUUAAUCCCCCAAGGUUUCUAUGACCAUCAUCAGAGCAUCGUUCCUAAUAGAUGGGGCGGCUUGGAUGAUAUGAAAUUCACAAAGCUAGGAGCACAAGGAGGUGUGACUGGUGACUAUUAUGAAGAUUUCUUCGAUAGUGCCAUCAGGGAAGGACCGUUAGGGGAAGUGGGUGUAGGCCCACUCAAGUAGAACCCUUUUUAAUUUCCUUGCAUAUUCCCCUAUGUGGAAACCUGUACAUCUUUCUGGUUUGUUUUGUUUUCAACAUCAGAUCCGCUUGAGGAACUAACUUUGAAAAUCACUCUUCCAAAAUGUAAAUCCACCUAUUACUAAAUAAAGCUGAAAACAUUUUGAGGGCGUGAGGAGACAUACCAAACCAGCCCAUUGAUGAUAUCCAGCCGGGAAAUGAAAGAAGAAAUCUGAGGCUUGAGUUUCCUCAUGCUUCCUUCCCCCAAAGAAAUAUGCUUUUGAAAACAAAAAAUAUUUCACUACCAAAAGUUUUGUCAAAACAGGAUGUUAAAUUUAAUCUUGUUUAUUUACUUCAUGUCUCAGAAUACCAUCCCCUUUGACUUAAUACAACAGAGGGCAUUUGAAAAUGGCAUGUUAUGACACCCUUUCAAGCAAGCAAGGGCAAACAGAAAGGAUUAUCCCCCUUCUCAUUUGGUGAGCCACCCCCGGUAGCUUUGUGCACUCCACCAGAGCAAUAUCUUCUUCGCACAACAUGCCUUAACAACUACAUGCUGUGGUUUUAUUAAUGGGAUUUUCAGCUUCAACAAGCCAAGAAACACAGAGAAGAAAUUUCAUCUCUUCCUUUAAAUUGACUACUGUCAACAGGCAGAAAAUCCAGAUAUCUGAGAAGUGAUUGCCAUCAGAAAAUUGGGGACUUUACCUAAUGCUACUAAUGUUCUGUCGCGGCCUAAUUUUCGCGGGUUCACCACCUAAAACAAGGUUAAUAGAUUACUAAGUCUUUAAGCUUAGCUCGGGCUCUCCCAAGCCCAUACCAAACCACGACUUAGGUUUAAUUUUUUUUAACAUGCAAAAGAUGAUUAUCUAGGAGUCGCCACUAAUCGGUUUAUGGUAGGUCGAUUAGACACCUAAGUAAAAUAAAGGGAGAUUUAUUUUACUCCUACGAACCAGAGACUAAGGGUAUGGGGACUUGGUUACAUUAGAAUUUUCUAAUGCCCUUUCGGUACCAUUUCUUUUUAAUUUUUCAAAAAUGUUUUUGCAAGCAGCUGAUUUAUUUUAACCUAAAUUACUAUCAUGCAAAUGUGGUGACCACACGGGUGCUCAUCCAUUAUUAAAGCAAUCAAAUAAAUAAAUUGCAUCACACAAAGCAAGCAAUCAUUUUUUUUUGGGUUUUCUUAAAAAUUAGAAUGAUUUUAUGAAAAUGCAUUUUUAGACCAAAUGACUUAAUCUUAUUAAUAUGCAAAUUUUAAUUAAAUGGGCCUAUUAUGCAAACUAAUUAUUAUGCACCUUAUGACCUAUCUUCACUGAUAAAUUCUAAGUAAAUGAUCAUAUUAUGCAACUAAUUAACAUGCACCUAGAUUUUUGGAUUUUUUAUUUUUUUUAUUGAAAUUCAAAACUAAUAAAAACCCUAAUUAAUCUAUCUAAAAAUGGAUAAUUUUCUAAUCUAUUCUAGGGAUUAAUUUGACUUAAACCCUAUCCUAUCUUAGAAAGCUAUUUUUUUGGGAAAAUGAGAUAAUUAGAAUAUGCGAACAUUAUCUAAAACCCUAAAAAAUAUUUAGGUUCAACCCUAACUUAUUCCUAAAAAUGCAAUCUUAAAAAUGCAAUCCUAAGAAAAUCCUAAUUUGUUAAACCUACAUGCUUGAUUUACUAAACCUAUAUACUCAUGCAGAAUUUUGAUUUUUUUUUAUCUUAUGAUUUUUUUAGUUUUUUUUUUUAAAGAUAAGUAAUUAUUAAAUCUAAACUAUCAACAAAAUCAAGCAAUGAAUGAUUAAAAUAACCGAAAAAAUAACCUGUUGUCUCACAGGUCAAAUUAACGAUUAUUCUAACCAUAGUUAUCAAGCAGAGAGAUCAAAAUAAUUACAAAUCUGAUCCGAAGUCUUACGGACCAAAUUAAAUAAUCAUUGUGAUUUAACAAUUAAAAUUUCACUCAGAAAGCCCAACAAUUAAAAUAAUUAAAAAAAAAUGAUCCAAUGUCUCUUGGAUCAAAUUAAUAAUUAUAAUAAUUCCAGACAAAAUCCCUGCGGAUAAUGCAUACUAAAUUCACAAAUAUUAACAUCAAAUAUUACAACUUAAAUAGAUAAAGUAAAAAUGAGAUAAAAUAGAACAAAAUAAAUAAAAGAAAAAGCUAAACCACCUAAAGAAAGAGGGGCUUGCUGCAGCGUUGAUGGGUGUCGGACGGACGGUGGCCGGCGUCGGGUACUGCAGGUCAGCGACGGCAAGGUGGCGCGGGAGGUGCAGGCACGGGCGUUGGGUCGAGCAGCGAGAGGGCUCGCGGGCGUUGCAAGUCGCAGGUUGCUGCACAGCGAUGCUCGCGAGUGCUGGUGCGCGGAGCAGGGGGUUCGGAUCUCCUGGCGUCGGUCACGAGCAGGACAGAGAGCAACCUCGGGUCGUCAGGUCACUGGAUCCGUGGCGUCAGGUCACCGAUUGCAGGCGGAGUGCGACGGAGCAGGAGGCUUCGGCUACGGGGAAAAAUGCUGGCAAGGAGCUCCGGCGAAGGGUAUCCGCGGCGACGGUGGUUGCACGAUGAUGGCUCCGGUGAAAGUAAACCUGCAACAAAACGGCUGAUCUUUCGGGCAGUAGCUGAUGGUGCAUCGAGGACAGCAGCAGAUUCGGAUCCAGGGGUAGCAACUCGUCGCUUGAGCGGCAGGUCGUUGUGGAUCGACACGGCAGGGCGGCGCCGGGGUGGCGCGGAGCGGCGAUACUCAAGGCGGGAGCGGCGUCAGCAGGGGGGAGUCGCAGACAACUGGGCUGGUAUCGCGGGUUGCUCGCGAAGGAGGCUCGACGUAGCUGCUCGCGGGCGAGGGGAACCCUGGUGGUGGCGCGGACACACGGCUGUGGAAGCCCUGCGGAUGGAAGUUGCAGAGGAGGGGCAGCGGACUUGAGGAAGAUGAUGAAUAGUAGGGGUCAAAUCACCUUUUGCCUUUUUACCUUUCUCCUCUCUCUUUCUCUCUCUCACGUUCUGACUUUUCCUCUUUUUUUCUUUUCUCGCAGAAGCCAAAACCUCUCUUGACCUACCUUUCUGAAUUUUUUUUCCAAGAAGCCCCCCCGGACGAAGAGAAGGCCACCCCCAUUUAUAGAGUGAAAACUUAGUCUGCUCAACCUAGGAAGAUUUGCAUAACAACUCAAUCGCUGAAGAUCAUCUUUCGAGAUUAUCGUGUAUGCUGACUCACUCGGCCAUUGAAAUCAUCUAUUAAAAUCUUCCAAGUUGACUCGCUCGACCAUUGAAGAUUUUAUAUGCUGACUCAGCGAUUGAAGAUAAACUGGAAUUUUUUGUGAAGAUUUUUCCAAAUAAUUCACUUUAGAUAAAACUCCAUUAUCCAAUUCUAAAAUCUUUCGAGAUAUCCAUCCGCAACAAAAUAUUUUAGAAUAUUCCUUAUCCUCCUUAAUAUUCCAAACUUUAAGAUUACAGUGCAAUUUUUUAAUUUCCAAAAAUCAUCAUAAUAUCGCAUCAAAUCUUAAAUUUUCACAAGAUAAUUAAUUAAACAUAACGACGGGCUUGGGUUAAUUUUCUUCAUGGGCUUAGUCCAGCCUAUUAAUUUAAAACCCAAAAUCACUAAUUCAACCCAUCCACCACCGGUCCAGUAAAUGCAAAUAAAAAAUAAAUGCACCUACAACUAAAUGCUAUGCAAUUAAUUAAUUAUUGAUUAAACCCUAAUUUUGAUGCGAUAAAUGACUAAACGGACCGUCAAAAUCUAGGUGUCAACAGCUGCCCCUCUUUGAAGGUGAGCUCAAAGAGGUUGCCUUAAAAGACAAAUUGAGACCUAUAUUUUGACUAUGCACAUGCAUUGAAUGGUUUUUUUUUUUUUUUAAAUGAAUCCCAUUUUAAAAUGCAAUUUAUAUGAUACAUGGAAAUGCUAAUGCAAAUGAACCUACCUAGAAUAACUUACCUUCAAAGAGGGUAGAGUGAUUCAAGAUAGUUGGUGUUACAUGUCCAGGACCCGUACCAUUUUACGGUCGCCCAGAAUAGUAACAUGGCUUUGUAAAGAGACUGCUUUCCCAGGACUCGUACCAUUCUACGGUCGCCCAGUAUGACAGUGUUUGGUUGUGUCUAGGACUCGUAUCAUUCUACGGUCGCCUAAACGGGGAUUUACCUUCCAGGACCCGUACCAUUCUACGGUCGCCUGAAUAGGGAAAUAGGUUUUGUCUAGGACCCAUACCAUUCUACAGUCACCUAAAUGGGGAAAUUGAUUUUUCAGGACCCGUACCAUUCUACAGUCGCCUGAAUGGGGAAAUUGCUUUUCCAGGACCCAUACCAUUCUACGGUCGCCUGUUAGAGCAAUAAAUGUUGUCUAGGACCCGUACCAUUCUACGGUCGCCUAAACGAGGUUUUGCUUGGCUAGGACCCGAACCAUUCUUCGGUCGCCCAGCCUUGCAACAGAGGUCAACUGACCAGGACCCGAACCGUUCUUCGAUCAUCUUAAUCAGAUUGAAUCUGGAGGAAAAUCUUUGGGGGACAACUCAGUCGAGUGUCGGUGUUUUCGAAAGGGACUCUGGGCUAUGACAGCACGACAGGUCAAUAUAAAGGGACAUUGGGCUACAAAAGCACGCCGAGUCGAUAAAGAGGGACUCUGGGCUACGAAAGCACGCCAGGUCAAUAUAAAGGACACCGGGCUACGAAAGCACGUCGGGUCAAUAAAGAGGGGAACUCUGGGCUACGAAAGCACACCAGGUCAAGAAAGAGACAUCGGGCUACGGAAGCACGCCGAGUCAAUGAAAGAGACAUCGGGCUACGGAAGCACGCCGAGUCAAUGAAAAUGACUCUGGGCUACGAAAGCACGCCAGGUCAAUAUGAAGGACACCGGGCUACAAAAGCACGCUGGGUCUAUUAAAGGGACUCUGGGCUACAAAAGCACACCAGGUCAAGAACUCCGGGCUACAGAAGCACGCCGGGUCUAUUAAAGGCGACAUCGGGCUAUGGAAGCACGCCGAGUCGAUGAAAAUGACUCUGGGCUACGAAAUUACGCCAGGUCGAUAUAAUUGGACAACUUGACCAAGUCAAGUGUCGAUGUACUUGAGAGAGAAUACCUGCACAAUGACAAGUAUUUUAGAGUAUGGUAGAGAUAUACUUACCUGAUGAUAUCUCUGAUUCUUGGGGAUAUGUCUUUUUGGAAUUUGGAUAUCCUGUGGAGGUCUUUCACCUCCUGGUGGAGGUUUCUCAUCUUCUAAUAUCAUGAAACAUUCUGAAAGGAACUUGAAUUACUUGUCAGACAUGAAUUAGAGCAAAAACUGAUAUGCAUUCAUCAAAGAGAUAGACAAUCUAAGCUACUCUAGAAUGCACAUUUCAAAAUUCAGUGAGGUUUUCAUCAAUUCAAUCAGGGUUUAUGCAUAAUGACCUUUGCAUCACCCAAAUUUCCACUGGAGAGAAUUAUCAUUUAAGACAAUCUUCACUCAUGACAUGGAUUUCUUAAGAAUACUAAAUGAGAGACUUUCGGUUAGAAAGGACUUUCACUCACUCUCAUUUAGAAUGGUUAUGAGAAUCGCUCAAUUUUAUCAUAUCAACAUGGGUCCAAGUAUUCUCGCAAGCGGUACGAUCUUACCAAUCUGAGAGGUCUUUAACAAGGACCAUAAUGUGGCUUGGUCAACGGCUUAACAAAAUGACUCUUUGAGUCAAAGCUAUUGAAUGAACUGUCUUGUAAUCAUCUCCGGGUUUACAAGUCAAGAACCUUGCAAAAUGAAAAAGAAAUAAUCUUGCUCGCACUUCUUCAAGCGAUGCUUAUAAACAUAUGAACUCUUACGUUAAUUCAAAUGCCCUAAUCUGAAGAGACUUUGUAAGGGACGUAACGUAGGUUGGGUUCAUGGGUUGAGAAAUGAAAGGAUCAUUAGGCUCAAAAUGUGUGUAAAAGGUGUGAAUUGAUGAUCAUCUUGGCAUUGCCACCAGUUUUCUUUUUCACCAUUGGGGAUCGUCUUCAUGAAAUGCCCCAUUGAUUAUGAAAACUCAACUUUUGAGCUCUUUGAGUAUUGCUCCAUUGAAACUCAAUUCUUGCAAUUGACAGUCACCUAUCUUGACUUUCUUUUUUCAUCUAUGGGCAUUGACUUUGCUUUUACCAGGCACACCACUUUUAUGCCCAUAGCUCUCAUGCAUUUUUUCUUCACUUUUUUUUUCAUGGGCAUUGGCCUUGCUUUUACCAGGCACACUGCUUUUUCAUGCCGCUUAAUUCUAUUUUGAAUUCAAUUCUUGCGCACCAUGCAUGCGUCAAGCAAUUACACUUUGAAUGACACUCGAACUUUUCAAGAGUCUUCAUCUGUCUUUUGCCUUGCCCCAGUAUGGGGGAUGAUCACCAACUGGGUUUAAAGAAAUAAAAUUGCAGGCUCAAAUGGGCUAUGCAAAGGAUAUAAGUGUAUGGGAUAGAGAAAGAAAUGCUCUUCAUCAUCCUAAGGCACUUAAAUUAACACAUGAAUUCAAUGUAAUAGCAUGACUUGAAGAUUGAUGCAAGUGAGAGCAAGAAAAUUUCAAUUGAUUUUCCUCACCUCAUGAUGCCAUUUGAUCUCUUAGUUGCCCCGAUGUGGGGUGAUUCUUGACAGGGGUAAUUUGAAAAGAAUAUCCAUAAGUGUAUGGGCUCAAAAGGGUUAAGCAACGGAUCACCUGUAGUAUUUGGGAUAGAGAUAUGAAUUGCCUCUCAUCAUUUCGGUUGCCGUACCUUUUGCGAGAGAACUCUUUACCUUAUGGAUAUGAACCUUCCUACACUCAUCUCACAAGUGUAUGAAUAUGGGACUGUGUAUAGGAUAGGGUUUGCCUUUCAUCAUACUGACACGUCUCAUUCAGCAUUCUUAAGCAUUGAUGUCACAUCAUUGAGUUGUCUAUCUUGACAAAUCUCCACAUGAAAUUGGUGAGCUAAAUAUGAAAUUUCUCUUUUCAAAAUAGUCCAGCAACUUUAAACAUGAAAAACUUUUGUCACUUCAAAGCAAACAAUUUAUCGCACUUAAAACAUGCUUUUAAGCACUCAUUCAGGGGAAUCGCUCCACAAAAGAAUUGCCUUAGCAAUGGAUGUCCUUGGAUCGUCUCUAUCCAUCAAAAGUGGAGAUCCUCUUUUGCCCCAAAAUCUAUCAUGCCCACAAUUUGUCAACUCUUCCACCAGGGAAUAAUGGUCCUCUUUUACUUGCCCCGAAUCUGUUUUUUUUUUUUCACUACAAGUGCGUUCUAAGCCCGUUGAUCACAAGUCAAGUUUAUGAUCGUUGAAACUUGAUACGCUAUUUUCAGAUGUCCCUUGUCAUAACAAGUUAUAGAAUUAUGUACUGAGACAAGAAGCAAAUGAGUCAGACAAACAAACAGGUUUAAUCUGCUACAAGCUUUGGAAAAAUGUUUUGUUCUUUUUUUUUUUUUAGCAGUGAAAUGCUUUUGUUUUCAAAAAAGUUUUUGGGAGGAAGCAUGAGAAAGUCCAGCCCUCAGGAUUUCUCCGUGGAUGAUAUUUUUCAUGGUUGGAUAUCGUCAUUGGACUGGUUUGGUAUACUCCAUCAUGUCCUCAAAAUUGGAAAUAAAAUUGUAAUUUCAUUGAAUAGAAUCAAAUGAAUUACAUUAUUGGAAUGGAAAAUGCAAACAAACCAAACCCUAAAAGUAAAAGCGAUAAUUGAAAUUUCAAAAAGCAAAGAAUCCUAAGCAAAACUUGAAAUCCUAGGAGAUAAGCACUUCUUCACUCAGUGACAGCGUUUGCGCCUUCAUCAGGGUUGGGCAGAGGAUUUUGCUGAUUACUGCUGAAAGAGAAUGCCUUUGUAUCCAAGAGAUCUUGAACCUUAUGCUUCAAAACAUAGCAAUCAUCAGUAGAGUGACCAAUCUCUCCCAUGUGAUAGUCACACUUCUUGGAGGGAUUAUAUGCAGGAUAACACUCAGGAUUUGGUCGCUUCGGCUCAGUAGAGAGUAAUCCCUUCUUUUGAAGAAUAGGCAAAACUUUGGAUAGGGGUCCAGGAAGAGGUGUAAGCUGCCUCCUAACAUUACGUCGUUGACCCGAGAACUGAUAUCCUCCACCUUGUUGCUUAGUAGAAAUCUUAAUUAUCGGAGCGCGAUUGGAUGUAUCACGAUUCAGUUGAGAGUAUGCCAUAUUAAUCUCAGCUUCAGGGUCCCUCUCCUUCUUGGUAGAAAACCUCUUGUUAAAUGGCUCAGUAAACCACCCUUCUCUUAUCCCCAUCUCGAUUUGUUCUCCUACAGGAAUAAGCUGAUUGAAGCUUUCGACGUAUGUACUGGCCAUUCUGUUGCGAAACUCAGACGGAAGGGUUUUCACGAAUAACUUCAUCAGCUCCUUGUUGGUAGGCUCAGGAGUAAUUUGAGCCGCCAAGUUCCUCAAUCUCACAGCAUAUUCUUUAAAUGAUUCGCUCCUUUUCUUUUCCAUCCGCUCCAGGUCUUCUCGGGAAGGUGCGAUGUCCAUGUUGAACUUGUAUUGUUUGAGGAAUGCGUCAGCUACUUCAUUCCAAGUGUCGAGCAGGUUCACAUUUUUCAUCACGUACCAGUUUAAUGCGGGUCCAGUCAAACUCGCAUGGAAUGAUUGGAUCAUGAGGGGCUCGUUUUUGACGUGUUGGGCCAUGCGCACGUGGUACAUCUGCAGAUGAGAUUUUGGGCAAGAUGUGCCAUCAUACUUCUCAAACUCUGGCAUUUUGAACUUGCUCGGCAUUUUGACCUUCUCAUAGACCGAGAGGUCGAACGGGAGGGACCUUUGUGACUCCUGCAGCUGUCUCAUUUUCUCCUCCAGCUUUGCAACACGCUCAUCCUGAUCUGUCUUGGGAAUAUCAUCAAGCUUGAUCUUUCCAGCAAUGACUGGGUCAUCUUCUAGGCCAGGCAUGUCGUCAUCAAUCUGGUUUGCUUGUUUUGGGAUAACUACUUCAGGAAGAGCGGGUGCAGUUGUUGGAUUUGCUUGGAGGAAUUGGAGUUGAUCCGUCACAAGUUGUAAAGAGGCGAGUACUUGUUGGAGUUGAGUCUCCACAGCGGAGACACGAUCACGCGUUUCGGUUUGUUCGGCCAUUCUAGCUCUUAAUCGCGUGAUGAUGGGCGAACGUGACGGAUCCGUUAUCACCUAAGGUAAAUGGAGAUAUGUAAGAACGAGGUAUACUGAGAAAACAGAUCCAUGACAACAAUCUAUUUUUUAGUUAAGAAAAGUCCAUAAUGAAAAGGAUUUCUUAAAAUUGGACUAGGAAAAUAAAGACAUGGGACGCCCCAGCAGGGACGAAAUUUCCUAAACAUGAACUAGGAAAAACCAAGACAUAAAUUGAAAACAAAUUUUCAAUUUUUAUUUUCCAAAUGGUUCAUUGUAUGGCAAUUCAUUUGAUUUCUAAUUGACAAAGGAAUUAAAUCAAUGAUUGACCUAGAUUGUCAUGGACCGAUCAAGAGUAUGACAAAGUAAGUAAAUUGCAUUAAUAUGGGAAUAGAAGACUUACUUCACUAAGGAAAAUCGAUGGCAAUCACAUAGACAUGCACAUGAGAUGUGAGGCUCGAUUUCUGUCUAGACGGUUUUAACAAGGUGGAGCUAAGAGGAUGGUCUGACCGUUGCAGUCUCGCAUUAACGUGUCAGGUCCUCCUAACCCCGGCUCAGUCGAAUGGAAUACCCAAUAAUCACGCAGUCUCGCGGAUAUGGACAAACACAUUCGACACCAUGAAAGAAAUUUCGGGGAAGAGAAGGUCAACCUCUACAUAGCAAUCUCACUUUAGAGGAAGUAUCCUUCUCAACACCAUCCUAGAAGUUCUAUCGCAGCCCAGGUCCGACCGCAGGUUGUGUGUGCAAAUAGUGUGGUGCUAAAGCAAUAAAGCAUGCACAACAGUUUAAAUGCAAACAACACUUCUAUAGUUUUAAUUCAAACAUUCAUCUCUAACUCCAACUGCAAGACAGGGGUUAGCAAAGACUACUCCCCUUAUACCUCCCAUCUGCAAAAACAUUUAACACCUUAGAAAUGUUAGGGACAUACCUGAGAUCCUCGCUGCCAAACAAAAAUAUUUUUUAAAAAGAAAAAUUGGCCUAAGUCCACUAAGUGUUUUAACACAAGUCCCCAGCGGAGUCGCCAAGCUGUCGCGGCCUAAUUUUCGCGGGUUCACCACCUAAAACUAGGUUAAUAGAUUACUAAGUCUUUAAGCUUAGCUCGGGCUCUCCCAAGCCCAUACCAAAUCACGACUUAGGUUUAAUUUUUUUUAAUAUGCAAAAGAUGAUUAUCUAGGAGUCGCCACUAAUCGGUUUAUGGUAGGUCGAUUAGACACCUAAGUAAAAUAAAGGGAGAUUUAUUUUACUCCUACGAACUAGAGACUAAGGGUAUGGGGACUUGGUUACAUUAGAAUUUUUUAAUGCCCUUUCGGUACCAUUUCUUUUUAAUUUUUCAAAAAUGUUUUUGCAAGCAGCUGAUUUAUUUUAACCUAAAUUACUAUCAUGCAAAUGUGGUGACCACACGGGUGCUCAUCCAUUAUUAAAGCAAUCAAAUAAAUAAAUUGCAUCACACAAAGCAAGCAAUCAUUUUUUUUUGGGUUUUCUUAAAAAUUAGAAUGAUUUUAUGAAAAUGCAUUUUUAGACCAAAUGACUUAAUCUUAUUAAUAUGCAAAUUUUAAUUAAAUGUGCCUAUUAUGCAAACUAAUUAUUAUGCACCUUAUGACCUAUCUUCACUGAUAAAUUCUAAGUAAAUGAUCAUAUUAUCCAACUAAUUAAUCUAUCUAAAAAUGGAUAAUUUUCUAAUCUAUUCUAGGGAUUAAUUUGACUUAAACCCUAUCCUAUCUUAGAAAGCUAUUUUUUUGGGAAAAUGAGAUAAUUAGAAUAUGCGAACAUUAUCUAAAACCCUAAAAAAUAUUUAGGUUCAACCCUAACUUAUUCCUAAAAAUGCAAUCUUAAAAAUGCAAUCCUAAGAAAAUCCUAAUUUGUUAAACCUACAUGCUUGAUUUACUAAACCUAUAUACUCAUGCAGAAUUUUGAUUUUUUUUUUAUCUUAUGAUUUUUUUAGUUUUUUUUUUUAAAGAUAAGUAAUUAUUAAAUCUAAACUAUCAACAAAAUCAAGCAAUGAAUGAUUAAAAUAACCGAAAAAAUAACCUGUUGUCUCACAGGUCAAAUUAACGAUUAUUCUAACCAUAGUUAUCAAGCAGAGAGAUCAAAAUAAUUACAAAUCUGAUCCGAAGUCUUACGGACCAAAUUAAAUAAUCAUUGUGAUUUAACAAUUAAAAUUUCACUCAGAAAGCCCAACAAUUAAAAUAAUUAAAAAAAAAUGAUCCAAUGUCUCUUGGAUCAAAUUAAUAAUUAUAAUAAUUCCAGACAAAAUCCCUGCGGAUAAUGCAUACUAAAUUCACAAAUAUUAACAUCAAAUAUUACAACUUAAAUAGAUAAAGUAAAAAUGAGAUAAAAUAGAACAAAAUAAAUAAAAGAAAAAGCUAAACCACCUAAAGAAAGAGGGGCUUGCUGCAGCGUUGAUGGGUGUCGGACGGACGGUGGCCGGCGUCGGGUACUGCAGGUCAGCGACGGCAAGGUGGCGCGGGAGGUGCAGGCACGGGCGUUGGGUCGAGCAGCGAGAGGGCUCGCGGGCGUUGCAAGUCGCAGGUUGCUGCACAGCGAUGCUCGCGAGUGCUGGUGCGCGGAGCAGGGGGUUCGGAUCUCCUGGCGUCGGUCACGAGCAGGACGGAGAGCAACCUCGGGUCGUCAGGUCACUGGAUCCGUGGCGUCGGGUCACCGAUUGCAGGCGGAGUGCGACGGAGCAAGAGGCUUCGGCUACGGGGAAAAAUGCCGGCAAGGAGCUCCGGCGAAGGGUAUCCGCGGCGACGGUGGUUGCACGAUGAUGGCUCCGGUGAAAGUAAACCUGCAACAAAACGGCUGAUCUUUCGGGCAGUAGCUGAUGGUGCACCGAGGACAGCAGCAGAUUCGGAUCCAGGGGUAGCAGCUCGUCGCUUGAGCGGCAGGUCGUUGCGGAUCGACACGGCAGGGCGGCGCCGGGGUGGCGCGGAGCGGCGAUACUCAAGGCGGGAGCGGCGUCAGCAGGGGGGAGUCGCAGACGACUGGGCUGGUAUCGCGGGUUGCUCGCGAAGGAGGCUCGACGUAGCUGCUCGCGGGCGAGGGGAACCCUGGUGGUGGCGCGGACACACGGCUGUGGAAGCCCUGCGGAUGGAAGUUGCAGAGGAGGGGCAGCGGACUUGAGGAAGAUGAUGAAUAGUAGGGGUCAAAUCACCUUUUGCCUUUUUACCUUUCCCCUCUCUCUUUCUCUCUCUCACGUUCUGACUUUUCCUCUUUUUUUCUUUUCUCGCAGAAGCCAAAACCUCUCUUGACCUACCUUUCUGAAUUUUUUUCCAAGAACCCCCCCCCCCCCCCGGACGAAGAGAAGGCCACCCCCAUUUAUAGAGUGAAAACUUAGUCUGCUCAACCUAGGAAGAUUUGCAUAACAACUCAAUCGCUGAAGAUCAUCUUUCGAGAUUAUCGUGUAUGCUGACUCACUCGGCCAUUGAAAUCAUCUAUUAAAAUCUUCCAAGUUGACUCGCUCGACCAUUGAAGAUUUUAUAUGCUGACUCAGCGAUUGAAGAUAAACUGGAAUUUUUUGUGAAGAUUUUUCCAAAUAAUUCACUUUAGAUAAAACUCCAUUAUCCAAUUCUAAAAUCUUUCGAGAUAUCCAUCCGCAACAAAAUAUUUUAGAAUAUUCCUUAUCCUCCUUAAUAUUCCAAACUUUAAGAUUACAGUGCGAUUUUUUAAUUUCCAAAAAUCAUCAUAAUAUCGCAUCAAAUCUUAAAUUUUCACAAGAUAAUUAAUUAAACAUAACGACGGGCUUGUGUUAAUUUUCUUCAUGGGCUUAGUCCAGCCUAUUAAUUUAAAACCCAAAAUCACUAAUUCAACCCAUCCACCACCGGUCCAGUAAAUGCAAAUAAAAAAUAAAUGCACCUACAACUAAAUGCUAUGCAAUUAAUUAAUUAUUGAUUAAACCCUAAUUUUGAUGCGAUAAAUAACUAAACGGACCGUCAAAAUCUAGGUGUCAACAUGUUCAUAUAAGAUAGAAGAAAAAUUCCAUAGAAGGAAGGCGUUGAAGAUGAAUCAAUGACCAUCAAUCUUGCACACAUGGCCACAAAUGAGGAAAGCCCAUCAAAGGAGACGUUGAACUGUGUUGAGACAAAGAGGCCGUCAUCAACAUUCAAAUAUCCGUAGGAGUCAGCAUAUACAAACUCUAGAGAAGGGUAAUUCCGUAUCGUUUCUAAUACUCCCUCUCUCUAAACUCACUUUUGACAUAUUUUCACUAUCGGCAGGAAGCAUCGGGAUUCAAGAGCCAAACUUGAUGGUUAGAUUUGACAAAUCAAUACUUGCCAAGCUAGUACAUGGAAAUGACCCGUAUCGAAUUCACCCGACUUCGUGUAAAAUGACAUGUCAUUCAGGAGCCAAUUCAGAGAAUAAUUGACCGAACGAAGCAAGGGACAUAUGACUUCGUGUCCCUUUCUCACUCCAGGUCCAUCUAAUCAUCUACAAACUAGUGAAGGGUAAAGUUGUAUCGCUUCCAAUUAUUCGACUCUUGAAAGAUUUCAUGGCUAACACAUUCCCUCUUGUCUAUUGUAGGAUCACUUGAUCGUCAAAGAUGUGGAAAACAAAUCAAUGAGAGGCAUGUAAGACCUUAAUGAGCUCUCCCAGUAAAAUGGCUUCUCAAGUAUCGCCAAAGCAAAUGGCAGAAACCCUUAUGGCCUCAAUUCAUACUUAAUUUUGGCCCCGUCGAUUGAUACAUUUUCAUCUUCUCUCCUGCAGGGGCAAAAGCAGAAGCACUCAUUAGAUCAAUGAUCAAAUUUCCAACCUCUGCUGAUCCUUCUUGUGUCAUUUCCCUACUUAAUAAGGACAACCCAUCGACACCCAUAUGUGAAUAACCCUUUGUGAAUAACUCCUUUGAUGUUCAAAACUUAACAUAUUUGUAAAUACAAUUUUGUCGAUAAAGCAUUUUGAGCAAAUUCAAUCAUUUGUGCAAAAUCUUUCACAUUUAAAACACUUAAUGCAUUUUCCAAAUGGAUUUUGCAUGAUGAUUUUGUUUGCCUAAAUCACCGAUUCCACUAAGGAUUAUUAGAAUAGACAAUUAAGUGAAGAAUAUAAGAUUGAUCGAACAUGCUGAACGAGGCUUGUCAGGACUAUGAAAGGCAAGCCAUAUCCUACACACAGUCCCCCAUCUAUACACUUGUGAGAUAAGUCUAGAAGAUUCCAUGACUACAGGGUAUAGAGUUCUCUCACGAAUCGUACGAUAACCAAAACAGUGAAAGGCAUUUCAUUGCUCAUGUGACACCCCGAACCCUUCGCAGGUCGUCACCAGCACCGGUGUUACAUCUUUUACCAUCUCUAUCUCUUGGCUAAAUUAAGCCUUGCCAGAUUACAGGCAUUUUUUUUUUUUUAAAAGCGGUCCCAUGCGUGACUCAUAGCGGAAGCAAAAUUCACAUCGUCAUCUAUCUCCCUUCUAACCCAUGAUACAAAUACACACCAGCUAAACAUCGGGAUUUUUAUAAACAAACGUCGACACAUUAUUUACAUAUAUUUUCAAGAUGGGACUACUCUCGGGUCGGUACAUAACAAGGAAAAGCUAGGACUCAGCCAUGUCCAGCCUAAAACCUCAAAAAGAAACCUCGACCCCUAACAUCAUGUGAACAAGGAACCCUCCCAUCGAAAGCGUCGACUAACUACAUCAAAAAGAGAUCCAGCUCCUACUCAUCGCGCGCAGGUCUCACACCCAACCCGGUGCAUCAGUGGUGGCGGCGGCAGCAUCCCUCGCAUCUCUCAUCCCGUCAAACGUGCACAGACAGGAACUCUAGUAUGACAGGGCCCCAGCCAGCCGAUAUCAUACAUAAAUAAGCAUCGCACUCGGAUAACGUCAAUCCGAGCACAGAGGGACAAUCUAUCUCCGUACACUCCACCUCAACAUCAGACGGUAGACCGUAAAAUACCCACGCGAAAUAGCAGGUAGCGGCAUAGUGCUAAUCUGAAAUGUUAUCCCCAAAAGGGGUGAGUACAACCACUCAGCAGAUAGGGAAAUCCAAUAACAACUCAGUGCACCAUGCAUACCAUCAUACAAUGCAGGCAUUGCUUACCUUUUUGAUGUCAAGCGUAUUCAUGCAUCAUUAUAGCAUAUAUAUCAUCAUCAUGGCCAUGUAUCAUCAUGCAUAUCACAUCAUCAUUAACCAUGCAUCACCAUGCAUAUCACAUCAUCAUUAGCCAUGCAUCACCGUGCAUAUCACAUCAUCAUUAGCCAUGCAUCACCGUGCAUAUCACAUCAUCAUUAGCCAUGCAUCACCAUGCAUAUCAUAUCAUCAUUAGCCAUGCAUCACCAUGCAUAUCACAUCAUAUCAUUAUUAGCCAUGCAUCACCAUGCAUAUCACAUCAUAUCAUUAUUAGCCAUGCAUCACCAUGCAUAUCACAUCAUCAUUAGCCAUGCAUCACCGUGCAUAUCACAUCAUCAUUAGCCAUGCAUCACCGUGCAUAUCACAUCAUCAUUAGCCAUGCAUCACCAUGCAUAUCAUAUCAUCAUUAGCCAUGCAUCACCAUGCAUAUCACAUCAUAUCAUUAUUAGCCAUGCAUCACCAUGCAUAUCACAUCAUCAUUAGCCAUGCAUCACCAUGCAUAUCACAUCAUAGAUCAAUUUCCACUUUUACUUAUCAAUUGAUCCGCACAUUAUCUUUUCUCAAAUCAUCAAAUUCACCAUCAUCACCAUCCCUUCGGGCAGAAACCUCCGACAGGGAUCCCAGCAUUCCAGCCAUCUCAUGGCCACUGGGCUUUCGGCCCCCCACAUUCCGGGCAUCUCGCAUCUCAACUAGCAUCACGAGACAUUCCCUUCGGGCAGAAACCUCCGACAGGGCUUCCGGCCCUUACCCUUCUAGCCGGGGAUCUCGCACCCCAAUCCUGGCAUCGCGAGUCACUCCCUUCGGGCAGAAACCUCCGACAGGGCUUCCGGCCCCCCACAUUCCAGGCAUCCUGAAACUCCCAGGGAAUCUCUGGAAUUACGCCACCAGGCCACCAGACAACCUCCUCCACCACAACCUCAUUCUCAUCCACAUUUAUCUUUUAUCUCAAUUUAACAUGGAAAUUUGGCAUGGCAUCAAACAUAUCACACUUGCAUUUCAAUUCACAUGUCAUGCACAUGUCAUAGCUUAAUCACAUAAGUAUUUCAACUUAAUGCAUGUACAAAGACCUCAUCACACAAGUGCCACACAAAUGGAAUUGAAUCCAUGGCCAAAUAAAAAUCUAUUUUAUUUUAUUAUUUCAUUAUUUUAUUAUUAUUUUAUUAGAUUUAUUUUUUUUCAUAAAUAAAUAUUAAAUUUAAUAUCUAUGAUUUUCCCAAAAUCAUAAUAUUCAAACAAUCAUAAAAAAACCAAUUAAAAUACCAAUUUCAAACAAAAUUCAUGGCCAAAUUGAAUUUCACCUAAUUUCACAAUUUUCACAAAAUAGCACAUGAUAUUCGGAUAAUGACCAGAAUUGCACAGUUUCCAAAUAAAUUCGAUUAAAAUACUCAUAUGGCCCUCAAAAAUUACGAAAUUUCACAGGGUGAUAGCCAACACAUUUUCGUGCACUUUUCAUGCAGAACUAUAAGCCGAAUUAUUUUUAGAUUAAUUUAUACAACCCCACGAAACUUCUGGAAUCUCUACCGCGACGUCCAGAACACACUCCUCCGUAUUUCCUAGAUUUCACCCAUCAAAUCUCUUUCGUUCCUUCUGAAAUUUAAGUAUGUUAUGUAAAAAUAUGUCCUUUACAAUUUUCAUGAAGGGAUAUAGGUCAAAUAACCAUAUUAUGGUCACCAUUUUAACCCAUGAAGUCUCGGGUGUCUCGGUACACCUCACCAGAAUCAACCAUCUCCAAGAUCUAACAGAUUCACCAAGUUAUACUUGUUAUUUUUGCUUCAAAUUUGAUUAUGUUGUAGCUUAAGGUGUUUCCUACAACUUUCAAGAAGACAACAAGGUGAGAUCUCCAACAGAAAUCAACAUGCAACCAAGAAAUCAACAAAAGGUCAGUGAAGAUUUCGCAGAUCUGAGGUCUCCGUAUAACAAAGCUUUUGACCCCACAUAUCACCAUCGUUUUCCAUGAAAUUCGAGUAUGUCAUACGACAAGAUGUUAGCUUCAACUUUCAUGAAGACACCGAAGCCAAAAUCGCACUCCAAGUACACAUGCAAGCUCGACUAAGAUACUGACUACCACAAACCAAACGAAAACAGUCACAUAGCUUGAACACAUCCAACCCUUACCUCGGUUUUUCGCCCAAAUCACACCUAAAACCGAACAUGCAACCAACAAAACAGACAUGCAAGAGAAGUUAAGGACUCCACUUGCCUCCAAGAUGAACAAACAGCGAUGGACGGCGGCGUACGGCGGUCGGACUAGGCGGACGUACGGCGGACGGGCGGCGGCAACUCUCGGCUCCACCUCCUCUCUCUCGGUCCCUCCUCUCCCUUUCUCUCGAAAUCUCUCUCUCCCUCUCACUUCUCUCGACCGAAUGGAGCUAGACGAACCGGCCACUCCUCUUCUCUCUCUCUUUUUAUAUCCCUUAAUCCCAUCAUUUGCAAUGAUUGAUCCACCUAAUGACCAACCAAUGCAUGCUCUUCCUUUGGCCACUUGUCAUUUUUAUUUUUGAAUUUGAAUGGGCUUGGGCUUAGGCCCAACCGGCCACUCACUUUGGGCUGGUCGACAGCCACCUAUUGGGCCCUAAUGGCCGACUAGCUUGGCCCACCAAGCUUUAGGCUAAUGGGUCCAAGGCCCAUUUCGAAAAUUAAUCCCCUUUUUCUUUUUUCUUUUUUGAAUUCCUUUCUAUAAAUAUUUCUAAAUUCAAAUUUUCAUCUUGGCCAAAGUCUUGGGAUAUUUUAAUUAUUGAAAUUUAAAUCAUAUGGCCAAGCAUUUAAAUUUAAAUUUCCACAAUACAAGCAAAAUUCAUCAAAUUAAAGGACAAAUUGGCUAAAGCAUAAGCCAUAAAAUUCUAUCACCUAAUUAAAGACAUUUAACACACCUUAAGGCUUGGCUUUGAAUUUCCAGGAUGCCACAGCUCACCCCUUUUAAGCCCUUACACUGGUGAAGUUUAUGUCCUACCCCCUGUCAAGAACCACCCCACACUGGGGAAAAUCGUAGGUGAGACAGCAUCGCAAGGUGAGAAGAGGCAUAGAAAUUUUCUUGCUCGCACUUGCAUCAAUCUUUGGGUGUCUUUAUUGCGUAUGAACACUCACGUUAAUUUAAGUGUCCUAGAAUGACAAAGAGCAAUUCCUUCUCUAUGCACUUGUAUUAAUUGUACAGCUCAAAUGAAUCCGUAAUUAUUACCCUCACAUUGAGACAAAGCAAGAGUUAUUUCCAUUCAAGCAGCAUAACCCCAAGCGCCAAAGCGCCAACUGAAGAUGAAGACUCAAGAGUCUAACAACAAUGUUUUGCUUGAACUUGCCUAGGCCAGCUCCUCAAACAACAAAAAACUAGGGGCAUAAAAAAGUAGCGUACCUGGUAAAAGUAAGGUUAGGUUAAUGCCCAAAAAUGAAAAAAAAUUGGAAUAAAAACUAAGGGCAUGAAAAAGCAGUGUGCUUGGUAAAAGCAAGGUCGAUGCCCCCAAACAAAAAAUACAACCAAGAAAAGUUGAUGUAUGGUUCAAUUAAUAGAGCCCCCAUUUGACAGUGAGAAGAAAGACUAGUGAAAAAUGCCAAGGCAUUCAUCAACUCUCACCCCAUUACACGUGAGUCAAGCCUAAAUCGAGUCCCAUUGUAAAAGUCUCUUCAGACUAGGGCACUUCAAUUAACGUCGAAUUUCAUAUGUUUAUAAGCAUCGCUCGAAGAAGUAUGAGCAUGAUUAUUCUAUCUCUUUUCGCAUGAUUCAUGACUUGCAAACCCAUAGAUGAUCGUGUGGCAUCUUUUUCACAAAGCCGUGACCUUGAUGGCCCCCUUGAUAAGCCUUGGAUAAGCCGUUGACCAAGCCUACAUUAUAAUCCUGGCAAAGGCCUCUCACAUUGGUAAAAUCAUACCGCUUGCAAGAAUACUCGGACCCCUGCUGACAUGAUGAUAGUGAGAUAGUGUGGUCUUUAUAAAUCCUGCAUCAAUGGUCAGGAUAGCCUUUUUCAUGAGAAUGAGCGGAAAGUCCUUUCAAACUGAAAAUCCCUCAUCUGGCAUGCUCAAGACAUCUACAUUCUAAAUGAAGGUUAUCUUUCAAAAUCUUACCCAAUGGAAUUCGGAUGAUGCAAGAUUGACAAAAUUGUCAUGCAUGAAUCACAUUUAAAUUCAUGAAUUUAUAGCACAUAUAAUCAUGUGUACAUACUAUGCAAAUAGCAGACAUACUCUCAGAGAUCAAAGAUAUUGCCAAGUAAGCAUAUCCCUAUCCCCAUUUGUCUUUGGGUAUCUAUAACUAUCUAGGUACUCUCUUAUCGACAAUCGACUUGUUCAAGCUCUCUUUGAGUAUCGGCCCCGUUCAGAUACUCCCUCUUCUUGACACUCGACAUGUUCGAGUUAUCCUCAUAGUUAGGAUGCUUGCAACUGACCAAGUAUCCCACUACAUUUGAGCGCCUUCCACUAUCUAGUACCCGCCGCUGUCCAGGUACAUCAUUUUCAUGACACUCAACCUACUCGAGUUGUCCUCAAAAUUGUAUCCUUGAAUACUAGUAGCCAUUCAAGUAUUCCACUGCUUCAUGUGAUUGCAAUUACUAAGGUAUAUUUCUUAUCAUCAUGACACUUAGACCUGCCCGAAUGGUCCCAUAUCGUAUCAUUAAAUACUUGUGUUCAUCCAAGUAUUCUAGUACUUUGUGCACUUGCGGCUACUCAGGUGUUCUAGCCCUUUUGAGUGCCUGCAGCCACCCGAGUAAGUCUCGUGCCACAUUCAAGUUUAUAAUACCAAGAGGUGGGAGAACUUCACGAAUAUGCGAGGCACGUUCUCGAUAUUCCCAUAAUCAGGAGGUGAGAGAUCUUCACGAAUAUGGAGGCACGUCCUUAAUUUUCCCAUUACCAGGAGACGAGAGACCUUCACGAAUAUCCCAGGUACGUCCUCGAUAUUCCCUUUACCAGGAGGUGAGAGACCUUCACAAAUAGCCAAGGCGCGUCCUCGAUAUUCUCAAUUGCCAAGAGAGAGGAGACCUUCACGAAUAUCCCAACUAUGUCCUCAAUAUUCCAUCUACCAGGAGACCUUAAAAAAUGACCAAGUAUUCUCUAGAGUUUGUAUUUGUGAUAAUCCAGGUACCCCUCGAUACCUACAAAUGUUUAGGUAUCCUCCAAGAGUUUGCAUUUGUGAUCAUCCAAGUACCUCUUCGAUGCUUGCAAAUGUCUAGGCACCCUUCAGAUAUAGUACUUGUGAUCAUCCAAGCACCCAUUUGAUACUUGCAACAACCAGGUAUCCUCCAAGUUCGUACUUGUUAAUAUCCCGGUACUCUUUCAAUGCUUGUGAAGGUGUCAACACAUCCCAUGAGAAAGGUCGUAUACCAUUCGGUGUCCAUGACGAAGAUUAGGCACCAACAAAUAGAUGCCCUGAGAAAGGUCGGCGAAUCCCUCGAGAAAGAUCGGGUUUCAACCGGUGUCUUUGAUAGAUGAUCAGGCACCCCACAACUGGUGUCUUUGACAGAGGAUUAGGCACUUCACAACCAGUGUCCUUGACAGAGGAUCAGGCACCCCCCAACUGGUGUCCUUGACAAAGGAUCAGACACCCCCAACUGGUGUCCAUGAUAGAGGAUCAGGCACCCCAUAAACAGAUGCUCUGAGAAAGGUCAGCGCAUCCUCCGAAAAAGGUCGGGUUACUAACUGGUGUCCGUGACAGAGAUCAAACACCCAACAAACAAAUGCCUUAACCCGGAGAAAAGGUCGGGUGACAAACCAGUGUCCCUGCUAGAGAUCAAACACCCAACAAAUAGAUGCCUUGAGAAAGGUCAACGCAUCUCCCGAGAAAAUGUCGGGUAUCAACCGGUGUCCUUGAUGAAGAUCAAACACCCAACGAACAAAUACUCGGAGAAAGGUUGGCGCAUCUCCCGAGAAAGGUCGAGUACCAACUGGUGUCCUUGAUAGAGAUCAAGCACCAACAAACAGAUGCCCUGAGAAAGGUCAGCGCAUCCCCCGAGAAAGGUUGGGUACCAUUCGGUGUCCUUGACAGAUGAUCGGGCAUCCCUCAACUGGUGUCCUUAACAAAGGAUUAGGCACCCCAUAACCGAUGUCCUUGAUAGAGGAUCAGGCACCCCACAACCGGUGUCCUUGAUAGAGGAUCAAGCACCCCACAUCCGGUGUCCUUGAUAGUGGAUUAGACACCCCCAAACUGGUGUCAUUAAUAAAGGAUCAGGCAGCCCACAAACAGAUGCACUAAGAAAUGUAGGUGCAUCCCUUGGGAAAGGUUGGGUAAACACUUAUUGCUCUAAUAGGCGACCAAAUAAUGAUUCGGGUCCUGGAAAGACAAUUUCUUGUCAAGGUGACCGGAGAAAGAUUCAAGUCCUAGACAAACCACUUAUUGCUCUAACAGGUGACCGAAAAAUGGUUUGGGUCUUGAAAAAACAAUUUCCCAUCAAGGCGAACAAAGAAAGGUUCCGAUCUUGGAAAAACAACCUCCUUACAUCACUAGGUAAGAUGAUACCUUGAUACUUGCCAAACUCGGGGUUCACACCCUAUCUCACUCAUUCUUGAUAAGUAACUACAGGCAUAUUCUUAUCUGCUUUAGUAUGUGUAUUGUUAUAUUCCUCGUUUUCUGCAUAGGACACUAGGUCCCAAAUAAGAUAUAACCUAUUGCAUAUGCAUGGACAAAAUUUAGGUAUUAAUUUGUCUUUGAAUGUAACCUUUGUGAGCUCACCUUCAAAGAGGGGCAGCUAUUGACACCUAAAUUUUAAUUAGAUUUUUAGGCCUUAAUCUCUCUUUUAAUCCUUAUAAUAAAUAACAAAAACAACAAAUAAAUAAAUAAAUAAAUAAAUAAAAUAGCAAUAGGCCACUAGGGGUUGGGCCUUUGCGCCUAGCUCCCUUUUCUUUCCCUUUUUCCCCCUUUGCGCAGGCCAAGGCCCAGCCCUUUUUUUUCCCUAGAUCCGGCUUGGCUUCCUUCUUCCUUCUUCUUCAUUCUUCUUCUUCCUCGCUCCUUCCUUCUCUGCCUCUAUAGGCCACACUUAGUGACGAUGACGCGCUCGAGGACAAGCUACGAUGAAGAGGGGAAGAGUAGAUUGGUAGCAGAUAGGACACGCAAGUGGGGUUGUCGAGGAGAAACCGGUUUCGCCGCACCCAGGGCCGAUCAGCAUGUGAGGGCCAGCGGCCGAACCUCUGUCAACCGGCCUCCUCCUUGCCUAUAAAUAGGAGGGCACCACCUCCGUCGACGAACACACAGAAGCCAGUGAGCUUAGAGAGAUCCCCCGAGAGACUUCAGGGGAACUCAAAGAGUGAGCAAGGUAGAGAAGGGUCGUGAACUUAAACGACCUUCCAUUAAGAGAUAUCAGGGGAGGCCAGCAACAAGCGAACCCGAAGAGAGAAGGGAGGCUGAAGGAAGCCUUGAGCGAGAUCUGGGUGAGGAGUUGAGAUUCAAAGAUCAGAUUUGAAGAUCUGAGAGCAAAGGGAAGCAGAAGGGCUAGAUAUGACCUUGCUGGAUCAGAUUUGGGAGUCGCCGUCGCCUGCCGCUGCAAUUUCACCAACCCCGAUGACCUCCAGCCGGCAUCCCUGAAGAUGGUGAGCGUCCCUUGACCUUUUGCUUGCUGUUCCACUGCCAAGUAGGCCAAGCCCUCGAUCGCCUGGCUUAUGCAAGCUCCACUCGCCGACUGCCCUUAUAGCCUUGAACCAUCGCGGGAUCCAACUUCAUCGCAACACAGCCCAACGCUGCCGACAUCGUUACGGUAAGCCCAACGUUGACGUUGUUUGACCCCUACGCCGAGCUCGGUAACAUCGAGCUGCUACUGCUCACCUCAAUGCCCCCCUUGGUCACUAGUACCAUGCCACUUCUACCCAUUCCUGCAGACCCUAACGACGCCCCUUCUUUGGAAACCCUUGCCACCGCCAUCGCCAUCGCCUGCCGUGUCGUUGCCAUCAACCUUGCCACUGCUUGCCGCGUUGCCGUCGCCAGUACACCAACGAUCCAAUCGUCCCUCCUCGGCACUGUGAAGAAGCAUUGGAGGAGAGAGUUGCAAAAUCGGGUCCAGUUGGGUCGAACACGGGUCGUUGCCCGGGUAGGGAUCUGUUCGGGCGUGGACUGGGUAGGGUUUUGGUAGGUCCGAGCCAACCAAGCCCGGUUGCACAUGGGUUGCUCGUAUAGGCUUAGGAGUGGACGGCCCUUUUGUUUUGUUUUUUUGUUUUUAAUUUCGUGAGCCUUGAUUAAAACAUCCAAAAGAAAAGGAAUCUCAGGCUGGGCCUGUGUUUCUGGCCCGCCCGGGCCUGCCACUGCUGAUCCAGGUUAGACCCAACUCGGGAUCCAACCCUGUUCGUUUUUAUAUUAUGAUGAUAAUAAUAAAUAUUCUUUUAAUAAAAAAAUUUUAAAAAUUAUUUUCCAUUAAAUAAAAAAUAUCUCAUAUUUUCCUAAAAAAAAGGCCAAAAAGUUAGAAAUAGCAAAAAAUGACCAAAAAGAAUCCAAAAAUGUUUUUCCUCCACAAAUGCAUGAAAAACCCCUAAAAAAUCUAAAAAACCUUAGGGUUUAAACAAGAAUAGGUACCGAAAGAACAUUAGUGAUUAACUAGUGUAAAAAGUCUCCGAACCUAGUUUCCUUGGUUGCACAGGAGUGAGGAUUUCUCCAAAUAUUUCGCUUGGGUUUCUAAUCGACCCACCUAAAAUUGAUUAGUGGCGACUUCAUUUUAAAAUUAACUUACAGGUUAAAAACUUGAAUUAUUAAGUCGUGAAUUGGUGGAUUUGAGAGAGUUUAGGAUAAGCUUAAUAGAUUUAGCCAAACCAUUAGCCUCUACUGGCGCCGCCCUGAUCAGGAGUCGAAAAAAGAGGCCGCGACAGGCAAGAGGAAUUUUAUUAGGUUCACUAGUCAGUAGUGAAAAGACAGUAACAACACCUAGAGGGGCUGAAUAGGUGUUAUGAUUUUUUUUUGCAAAGUUCAGUAGAAGUAUUUGCUCUUAGAAAAUGAUAGACUUUGAACAAAUUCAGUACUUUAGCUGUUAAAUGAAACUACGAACAAAAUAAAGGAGUUCAGGGAAGAGAAUAAGAAUACAGAGUUUAUAGUGGUUCGGCUUAGAUCAAGCCUACGUUCACUCUUCCACGUUGACAACCUACUGGCUGGAUAUCACUAAGGAUCAAAAGAGAUUUUUACAGCCUUGAUGAUCUCAACUUCACAAUGAAGAGUUUGUUUCUCUUUCUUGAAGUCACACUACAAGUCUUUCUCUCUUUUUAGUACAAAUUUUAGCUUAGUGAAUGAAGUAGCAAGGAACUAGGAAGCUUCAUACUUUGAAAAUUUUCGUUCACACACCCUUUUUGAAUGACUAGAGAUGUCUCCUUUAAAUACUCCUCAUGCCUUCUCGACUGUUGGCACUUUCCAAAAGAAUUCCUCCAAUCAACCUAUUGUACAGAAUCAAUUAAGGAGAUCUCGAGUCGUUUGAUGAUUGUGACGAAAGCCAGUCAAUCUUGUUUGCCCAUACAAUCAGGAUCUUGGUUUCCAUAAGUAGAUUAUUUCCAAGUUUACUUACCUUCCAAAAGAUUGGAAUAUCGAAAUUGAUUCCAUUAAAGAUUCCCAAUCAUGUAGGUGCUAUAUCCAACCAGAAAGCCAUCCAUAAACCAUACGAACUGAACCUUUAAAGAAAUAAAGAUGAUCUUGCAUAUGGAUAAGUUUUCAUUCUUCAGUGGCACUUUUUUGGAAUUUGUUAGCACGGGCAGAAUUUGACACUAAAGUCUAACAGUCAUUAGAAUUUGACACUAAAGUCUGGAAGUCUUCAAACUAGACAUUGGAUAAGUUUUGUCAACUUCAAAACAUUAAAAGAGUUUUCUCCAACAAUCUCCCCUUUUUUUAUGAUGACAAAACUUUUCUGCAGAUUUAGGAACUUUUUACCUGCAAAACAACUCUUAAGCAGUAUAUGAUAUGUUAUAAAAAUAAGUUGAUUAGGAUCUAGAUAACAUCGAUUCUGCAACCACAUAAAACAUGUUAAUCUUGAAAAGAUAAGACAAAUAUCAAGACUUAAAAAACUAUCCAUCCAUAAUCAUUACCAUAAAAGUAAGUUACCUACAAAGGUCAAACAUAAUAACAGAAUAAAAGUUCAAAUAAAAGUUCAACAAAUGUUCAAGUAAAUCAAAUCUACACGUUCUCCCCCUUUUUGUGAGUAACAAAAAGUGGAGAAAGUAAAAAAUAGAUAAAAGACAAAUGAAAUCAAGUUUGUUUUGGAAUUUGAAUGAGCUGAAAUCCCUCGUUGACUGAACUAUCUCCUCCAGCUUUGGCACUGUCUCCUUUAGCUUCUCAACAUCUUCAACCUUGGCAGUCUCUUUAACUUGCUGUUGUAAAGCUUGAACUUGAAGGUUAAGAGUCUAUACCUCCUCAUGGAGAGAAUUUGAAGUAAAUUGCAAAGCAGAGUGAAGCUUCUGGAUAUCAUACUCCAUUCCAUAUUACUGUGCUUUUAACUUCAGAAGGAGCUCAGCAUCCUUUGAAAGUCUAAAGUAGUUUUUGUUUGUGCACUAGCCUCAAUGUGUUGAGUUUGUAGAGUGUUGAUAGAUGAGGGAACUUCAGCUUCAGGAAAAUGAGAGGCAUAGACCUCUUCUAGAUCGGCAGGAAAUCGACUGAUAUCAUCACUCACAAAGUGCUGAGAAGAAGUCCAUGUGUCUACACGAGCUCCCCCUAUUUUAGUGCCUACAGGUGGAGAAGGGAUUUCGCCUUCUUGAGUCUUCUCAAUUUCAGAUCGAGAGUGAUGUUCUUUUCAAUUCGAGCCCCUAUAGGUCCACUCCUUGUCUUUUUAGAAUCCUCAGAUAAGGAUAUUGUAAAUGUUGGUUCUUGGGAGUCAUCUUGACCCUCUUCUUCUUCAGCUUCUCUUCUUGCUUCUUCGGCUUCUUUUCUUGCUUCUUCUCUUUACUCUGUUCCUUCUCUGUCUUCUCUUCCUUCUUUUCUUUGUUCUGUUUCUCCCUUUUCCCUUUCUUCUUUAUCCUGUUGUUGCUCAAAACUGACAAAACUCUGAAGAUUCUUUAAGGCAAAGGCAAAGAUAGUAAGAUCAUCCUCAUCCUCUUCGUCCUACAAGAUAAGAGAUCUUCUCUUCUUGGCAGGUUCAUGCAUAAUUUCCUUGCCUUUCAUUCUUUUUGCAGCAAAGUCUUGUUUGGUUUUGUUGGGUGUCUCUUCCUUCAAGCGCUCUAUGGCCUUGUUCAGUUCUUUCAACCUCAUCUUAGACACCAUCUUCAAUCCUAUAACCAUAGGAGCAAUAGUUCUAGCACAAAGAGAGGCUGGAAACUGAAUUUGAAAAUUUCUGAACAGUUGUGUGACCAACUUUGAGUAAGAGAGCUGUCCCUUAUCCUUCACAACAUUUCUGUACAUAUGCAUUGGGAUUGUAUGAGGGAGAGAGAACUUCAUUCCAUUACUGAUAGCAAACAUCAGUUUGACUUCAAAUCGGGAAACAUUUGUCUUUGAAGUUGCCUUUGGUUGGAUGCAGUUGAUCACGACUUUGUGCAGCAAAAUAUUCGAGAAUGAUAUUCUAGAAUAAGUAAUGCCUCCUUUAGGAAGUUUGUCCCUAACAAGAAAUCUUGUCGCUUGUCCAAUUGAGACACUUAUUGGUUAGAAAUCACUCCUUUCCACCCAAAUAAUGUCAGCCAACGUGUCAACAUCCACCACGUAGCUUUUAUCAUGCAUAGUGAAUUGAAAUCUAUUGGAGUCAAGAAAAGACAGGUUCAAAUAGAAAUAUGUAGUCAACUCAGGAUAUGUGACAGUAGUUUCAUAACAAAAGUUUUCCAGUUGAAGGAGAGCAAAUUUCUCCAUCAGGUUCACCUUGAUCAAGUCUAGAAAAUCAAAACAACCAAUCGAGGGUUCAUCACCCCUAUUUUCAACAAUUGGGUGUAAACCCGUUUGUGAUCCUUAGAGUGGAAGAGACUUGUUCCAUCACUAGACACAUCAGCAGCAAUGCCCAUUUUCGGCUGGAAGUUCGAAAACAUCCUCUCAUCAUCAUCUUUGCUUUCAGGCUGAUUGAAAAAACUAAAGUAAGGAUCAAUAGGAAAGUUAAGAAACGCUCUAUCUACUGCUCCUUCAGGUGCUAUUCCUAAUCUUUCCAUCGCUCGUAAGAACAGAGUCUUGUUCUUAUAUCCUUUUUCUCUUAGAAAUUCAUCAAUAAAAGACAUAGGAGUACCACCCUGCUUCAAAUGAGAGUAAAGCUUAUAAAGAACCUGGGGUUUCAAGGUUCUGAGAGGUUCUACAUCUUCCUCGACUUCCUCUUCCACUGAUUGGCGCGGAGGAUUCUAUGUAGCACAUUGUGGAGAGUGUUGUGGAGACUCUUCUUCUUCGGUCAUAUCAAAAUGUGUCGAGCCCUUAGGUAUAUUAUGUGGUUCCCUACUUGCGAUUUGAGAUGACUCUCUUUGAAAAGACAUCUUUGCAGUUGUGGAGGAUUUCUCGAACAAGUUUGAGUGAAAAAGAUGAAAACUUGCAGAACAAACUUGAGAGUAAAAAUGAGAGAGUAGAGAGUCUGUAUUCUAGGGUUUGGCAUGAAAUGCUCGAAAGAAAUACAAUAGGUAUAUAUAUAAAGAAGAUGAAACGUCACAAAGAAAUAAUCGAACCAUAAAAAGAAAAACUGCUUUUUCGAAAUAAAAAUUGCCAAAAAUUCGAAAAACAUAAUUUCUAAAAAUAAAAUAGGCAAGCAAUGAUUCGGUUAAGCAUAAAUUUUCAUUCCAAAAAUAAAAUACCUGGAUUCGAGACAUUCUCUUACUAAAGUAGCGUCUGGAAAUUUUUAGUCUGGUCAGCUCCAAACUAUAACCUGUAGGAGAUAAAAUAUUCAGUCUGGUGUAAAUAGACUCAAAUAGAUUUUUCUCUAGAGGCUUUGUAAAUAUGUCUACCAAUUGAUUCUUCGAGUCAAUGAACUAAAUCAUAAUCUCUCCAUUUUGGACAUGAUCUCUUAUGAAAUGGUGUUGAAUAUUUAUAUGCUUUGCUCUUGAAUGAAGGAUUGGGUUCUUGGUGAGAUUAGUAACACUGGUGUUGUUGCAUCUGAUUUCAGUGCACGAUUCUUCAAUUCCAAAGUUUCUUGGAUGUUGUCUUAUCCACAAAAUUUGAGAACAAUAGCUCCCCAUAGCAACAUACUUUGCUUCUGCUGUUGAUAGAGCUACAACACUUUGCUUCCUCAAGAACCAAGACACCAGCAUGCUGCCCAAUAGUUAACAAGUACCAGAAGUACCCUUUCUAUCGACUUUGCAACCUACUAAAUCUGUGUCUGAAUAUCCAAGGAGAGUAAAGUCUUAUUCUUUGGGAUACCAUAGACCUAGCUUUGGAGUAGUCACAACAUAUUUGAUGAUGCGUUUUGCAACACUUAAAUGAGAUUCUUUGGGAUUAAACUGAAAUUUGGCACAUAUGCAAACACUAAACAAAAUGUCAGGUUUAGAUGCAGUAAGGUAAAGAAGAGAACUGAUAAAGCUUCUGUAAAGCUUCUGGUCUACUUUCUCUCCUCCUUUAUCUUUAUCCAGCUUCGAAGAACUUGACAUUGGUGUCUCUGUAUUCUUGCAAUUCUCCAAUCCGAAUUUUGUAAUGAGAUCUUUUGCAUAUUUUUCUUGGUGAAUAAAGAUACAUUUCUUCAAUUAUUUAACUUGCAAUCUCAGAAAGAAAGUUAACUCACCCAUCAUACUCAUCUCGAAUUCAUCCUACAUACAUCAAAGAAUUUCUUGCAUAGAUUUUCAUUAAGUGAUCCAAAGAUAAUAUCAACAUAAAUUUGAACCAGCAGAAAGUCUUUACCCUCUCUUUUUUUCAACAAAGUAGUAUUUACCUUCCCUUAACAAAAUCAUUUUGGGUUAGGAAUUUACUUAACUUUUCAUACCAGGUUCAAGGUGCUUGCUUUAGUCUAUACAAGGACUUUUUUAGUCUGUAGACUGAGUCUGGCUUUCUUGGAUCUUCAAAUCCUGGUGGUUGUUCCACAUAGAUUUAUUCUUGGAUGAAUCAAUUGAGGAAGUCACUCUUUACAUUUAUCUGGAAUAAUUUGAAAUUUUUAUAGCAAGCAAAAACAAGUAAUAAUCUAAUUGUUUCUAACCUCGCUACUAGUGCAUAGGUCUCGUCAUAGUCUAUUCCUUCUUCAUGCGUAUAUCCUUUGGCCAUGAGUCUUACUUUGUUCUUGACCACUUUUCCUUUUUCGUCCAUCUUACCCAUUUUGUCUCGAUAAUAGACUUACCUUUAAGUUUAGGAAUUAGCUCAUAAACAUCGUUGAUGCUGAAUUGUCUAAGCUCUUCUUACAUAGGUUCAAUCCAACUUUUAUCAGACAGGGCUUUUUUUUUACACUUUUGAGUUCUAUGUCAGAAACAAGUGCUAGAGCACUAGACUCUUCUCGCAUUUUGGAUCUGGUGCGAAUCCCUUCAUCAAUGUUGCCAGUGAUGAGUUAUGUGGGAUGACUUGACUUAUCCUUCCAGUUGUUGGUGGGUUUGAGAGUCUGCUGGUCCUCUACUUUGGUUAAAUCUCCUAGAUCUGCUUGUUGCUAAUCUUUAGAAGUCUAAACCCCUUCGGGGGAAGUAGACUUUGUAAAGUUUGGAGCGGGUUCAGAUUCUUCAAGUUGAGUCUGAUCUAGCUUAUUCUGUACAGAAUCUUGAAACUUGACGUUCAUAGAUUCUUCCACAGAUUGAGUCUUCUUGUUAAAGACUCUGUAUGCUUUGUUUGACGUUGAGUAGCCAAGGAAAAUUCCUUUGUCUGAUUUCUCUUCAAACUUCCCGGUUCGAUCAUUUGCAUUUUUCAAAACAUAACAUUUACAACCGAAUACAUGGAACUAAGAAACAUUUGGCUUCUUCCCUUUAUACACUUCAAAAGGGGUUUUCUCUAGAAUAGGCCUUAAGAACACUGUUGAUGAUGUAGCAAGCUGUAGAAACUGCUUCAGCCCAAAAUCAAGAGUAAAUUUUGCUCUCAAUUAAGAGGGUUUUGGCCAUUUCCUGUAAGGAUCUGUUCUUCAUUUCCACGACCCCAUUUUGUUUUGGAGUGUAUGGAGAAGAGAAAACAUGCUGGAAACCAGAUUUAUCACAGAACUUCGCAAAGUCUUGAUUUUCAAACUCACCUCCAUGGUCUGUUCGUAUGCUCGAAAUAGCAUAUCCUUUUUUUCAUUUUGAACAUUCUUGGCAAACUUUGAGAAGUGAGAGAAGGCUUUAGACUUAUUUGCUAGAAAGUAAACCCAAGUAAAGUGAGAAUCAUCUACGAUUACUAGGCAUUAUUUAUUUCCAUCAAUACUUUGAGUUCUGGUUGGUCCAAAGAGGUCCAUAUGCAGAAGCUGCAAAGCUCGAUUGGUAGAAACUUAAUUUAUAGGUUUAAAGGAACUCCUAACCUAUUUUCCUAAAACACAUAGAGUGCAUAAUUCAGACUUUUGAUAAGUCAGGUUGGGAAGACCACGAACAAGCUUCUUGGAAUAAAUCUUGGCAAUCUACUUCAUGUUAACAUGACCAAGCUUUCGAUGUCAAAGAUUUGCUUCAUCUUUAAUAGACAUAAGACACUGAGAACUUUAUGGUUUUAUAUCCAUAAGGUAAAUAUUCACAUGCCUUCAUCCAAUGAAAGAUUGAGAGAAGUCUUUACUCGUUCCCGAACAGAUGCCUUCUUGGAAAUUUAAUUUGAAUCCAGUAUCGCAAAGCUGAGUUAUGUCGAGUAGAUUGUAAUUUAGAUCUUCCACCAAGGCGACAUUAUUGAUAGUCAGGCUUCCAAUCUUCACGGUUCCACAUCCAACAAUUCUUCAUUUGCUGUUUCCACCAAAGGAAACUUUUCCACCAUUCAUUUGUACAAGUUUUAUAGAGAAACUUGAAUUUCCUGUCAUGUAUCUCGAAUAGCCACUAUCUAAAUACCAUUUGAUCUUCCUCUUGAUAGUGACCUCAACUUCUUUGUUUGAGUCUGAAUCUGAAUCUGUUUCAAAAUCUGAGUCUGAUUCUGAAUUGGCCAUCAAGCAUAUGUUGGCAUAUUCUUCAUCACUUUCUUCGCACUUAAUAUCACCCCAAGUUUAUGCUUUAAGAGCCUUUUUAUAUUUCUCAGUUCUUCCUUUCGUUUUCUUCAACAGAGGACAGUUAGGUCUGAUAUGUCAUUUUUUCUUGCAUUUGGAGCAUAUCACAUCUUUGUUGGUUCCAUUAUCCUCAGUCGGUUUCUUUUGGAAAUUUUGAGUGCUCUGCUCCUUCUAGUUGAAUCUUCUUCCCUUCAUAUUAAAUUUUAUGAACUUCUUAAUCAUAAGUGCUAGCUCCUCAUCAUCCAUGUCAUCUUUUGAAUAUGUAUCAUCAGAAUCAUUAUUAGAUUUUAAAACAAUUGACUUCUUACCUCUAGGAUGUUCUUCCUCAUUGAUUUGCUCCACUUUAUAUGAUUGAAGUGUGCCUACUAGUUCGUCUACUGAAAGAGGCAUGAUCCUUUGGGUUUCUUUAAUUGAUGUCUUCACAUGAUUCUAGUCUUUGGAGAGUCCACGCAGCAGUUUAUUGACCUUUAUUGGUCUUGAGAUUGGCUUUCCUUGAUAUGUCAAUCCAUUCACGAUUUCAGUGAAACGACUAAACAUAUUGGUGAUGGAUUCUCCAGGCUUCAUUUUGAAGGCUUCAUACUGUCCGAGUAGAAUAUUGAUUUUUGUUUCCUUUACUUGAUCAGUUCCUUUAUAGGUAAUAUGCAAUCUAUCCCAAACUUCUUUCGUUGUUUCGCAAGAAGAAAUUCAGUUAUACUCAGUAAGAAAUAAAGCAUAGUAUAAAGAGUAGAUAGCUUUAGCAUCAAGAACUUGUCUUUUGGUUAAUUCUGCUUGUGUUAUUUUGCUAGCAUCUACAACUUUUUUUCCUCUUUCUGAGGUUGAUGUAGCUUUAGGAAUGAUCCCUUUUUUUCUACCACAUCUAAUUCCAAGGGAUCUUUCGAUCUCAGAAAUGCUUUCAUCUUGUUUUUCCACACAUUCUACUUCUUCCCCAUCAAAGUAAGGAGGCCUGGUAUUACUUUGGCCUUCAACCAAACUUGGAGCCAAAAUACUAGCCAUAAAUUUUUAGCUUUAGAAGUAAAAACACUUCAAUCAAAUAAGCACACAAGCUUUGAUACCAAUUGAAAGGGCUAGUAACAACACCUAGAGGGGGUGAAUAGGUGUUAUGAAAUUUUUUUUGCAAAGUUCAAUAGAAGUAUUUGCUCUUAGAAAAUGACAGACUUUGAACGAAUUUAGUACUUUAGCAGUUAGAUGAAACUACGAACAAAAUAAAUGAGUUUAGGGAAGAGAAUACGAACACAUAAUUUAUAGUGGUUCAACUUAGAUUAAGCUUACGUCCACUCUCCCAUGUUGAUAGCCUACUGGCUGGAUUUCACUAAGGAUCAAAAGAGAUUUUACAGCCUUGAUGAUCCCGACUUCACAAUAAAGAGUCUGUUUCUCUUUCACGAAGACACACUAUAAGUCUUUCUCUCUUUUGAAUACAAAUUUUAGCUCAGUGAAUGAAAUAGCAAGGAACUAGGAAGCUUCAGACUUUGAAAAUUUUCUUACACACACCCUUUUUGAAUGACUAGAGAUGUCUCCUUUAAAUACUCCUUCAUACCUUCUCGACUAUUGGGACUUUCCAAAGGAAUUCCUCCAAUCAACCCGUUGGACAGAUCAAUUAAGGAGAUCUCGAGCCGUUUGAUGAUUGUGAUGAAAGCCCAUUAAUCAUGUUCGCUCAUACAAUCAGAAUCUUGGUUUCCAUAAGUAGAUUCUUUCCAAGUUUACUUACCUUCCAAAAGAUUGGAAUAUUGAAAUUGAUUCCAUUAAAGAUACCCAGUCAUGUAGGUGCUAUAUCUAACCAGAAAGCCAUCCAUAAGUCAUAUGAAUCGAACCUUUGAAGAAAUAAAGAUGAUCCUGCGUCUGGAUAAGUCUUCAUUCUUCAGUGGCAUUUAGUCUAGAAUUUGUCAGCGUGGGCAGACUUUGACAUUAAAGCUUGGCAGUCAUAAGACUUUGACACUAAAGUUUGGAAGUCUUUAGACUAGACUUCGGAUAAGUUUUGUCAACUUCAAAAUAUUAAAGGAGUUUUCUCUAACAAAUAGCAAGCCAUCUUAUGUUGAAAUUGUGUCAUGUAAUUUAAAAACAUUUCAUUAAAAAGAAAAAACAAACUUUAUUUAGGUUAUGCCCUCAAUUUCAGGUAAUUUCUUUCCCUAGCUUAUGCUUAGGUUUGUGUGAAAGCAGAAGUUUAUGAGUGGUUUGGACUCGGAAUCCUCAAAACCUAGAUGACAUCGAACAAGGAUAUAGCUUUGCACAUUCUCAAUUUACUAUCAAUUCUAUCUACUAGGUACAAAAGUUUCUAUGUUUUCUUACUAGAGAAAUUAAAUGUUGGUCUAAUGAAAAUGAAACUUGCGUCUAAUCUUAUUUCUUUCAUGAAUCAAUCACCAGGUACACCGUAACUCUUAUGCCCUAGUAGUGAGCAUUGAGAGCAUCAUCCUCAACUAGUACUUUGGCAAUGACUGGUCGAUGCUCGUGUCAAUGCUCAUCUCAAACUGCCUCUUUUGGAUGGGCGGUGCAGCAAUCCUCCUCUCCAACUAGUCUUCCGACCACUGCUACUCCAAGUACCGACUCAUCCACACUGUAUGCACUCACAAAGGCUCGGACGACAAAAGCUAUAACUGCGUAUUCUAGUGAGAGGACAAGAAGAAGAUCCGCUUGUCACUCUCCAAGGACUUGAUGGCGGUCGCCAGGGAAGCCCUGAAGACCAACAUCACGACCCUCAGCCCAUUAAUGCUCCCGAUCUCGGAGCAGCUCUUGUUCUUCACCACCUCAAUCGCAAGGAAGAUGUUCAAGAUGAAGAUUAGGCUAUACACUCCUGACUUUAAGAUGGCCUUCAAGCAUUUUUGCAUCCAUGUUGGAGGCUAAGCUGUUCUCGAUUAGGUAUAGAAGAACCUUGACCUCACUAAUUAGCACAUGGAGCCAUCAAGAAUGACUCUAUUUUGAUCUAGAAACAUGUCAAGUAGCUCAUUGUGGUACAAAUUGGCCUAUUAUGAGGCUAAAGGAAGGAUUAGGAAAGGCGAUAGGACAUGGCAUAUCACUUUUGGGUCUGGAUUUAAGUGCAAAGGUGUAGUUUGUCAGGCAUUGAGGACUGUCGACUCAGCGAAGGAGAAGAAUCCAUGGAUGGACAAGAUUCAUGAGUUCCACCAUCCAUGUUCCAAAAGCAGCAUCCAUUGGAUCUAUCAAGAAAUAAGUGCAUCGUUCAGGAUUUCGCCAAUAUAGGUGAGGUUGAUUUUGAAGGACACAUAGAACCUUAAUUACUCUUUUGCUUUGGGUUCAUGCACAAGCAUUAUUCCAAAUCUACUCAAUACUAAACUUUUCUUUGCUUGAAAUCGAUUCCUGGAAGAAGUGUACAUUUGGCUUUGCAAUCGUUCAUAUGACCUGUCAAAGUAGGUUUUCUAUAGUUGGAUUACUAGAAUAAACUAUUGUGUUGUUCACCUAUAUUGCAAAGUUACAUCGAGACUUCGAACUUCAUAUUCCUAGAAGGCUUUUAGAUGUUAUUGCCUCUCGAAUCAUUACUGGUUUCGAUGCAAGAGCUAACCUAGAAACCUAAUUUAAGUUGAAAAUCUAGAAGUUUAAAAGUCAAACGUUAAUUUAUUUUGGUUGGUUAGAUGACUUUUUGUCAUUUUAUUACUAGGGACAAAAAUAUCAAUGGUGAACAAAAGGUUUGAACUGCACACAUCGUCUUACUACUGGAACUCAUUUAGACAGUGAAAUAAAUUAGACAAUCGGCUCUAAUGUGAUUAUAUAUUGUGUUUAGGUGAAUAAUUGACAAUUUCUUCUCAUUUACUUUUAAAACCUUUUCUUAGAAGUAAAGUUUCUCAAAUAUUUGUAUUUAGAGUAACCGAAACUUGUGAUUCUUGUGAGAUGUAGCAAUACUAUUACCAAUUGUUCUACGAGCUUAAACUAUUAGAUAAAUGCGUAAUUUAAUAUUUAUCACUCUAACACUCCUCCUCACGCUAAGUUUGAUCUUUUUUUUUGCUUAGUACUAAGCAUGGAAAUUUAAUUGUGGCUUCAGCUCUAAUAUCAUGUGAGAUUUUUUGAAACCAUUGUCAAUUUUUCCAAAAGCAUAAGUUGUUUGAUGAAGGCAUGGUUUAUUAGAGUAAUUAAAUAUUAAAUCAUGCCUUCAUUUAAUAGCUUCGACUUUUAGAACAAUUGAUAAUGAUACUACAAAAAUUACACAAUUUUCAUUAGCUACUCUUAUUUUUGAAGAAGUGGUUGGUAAAAGAUCCGAGCAUAAGGCAACGAUAAACUUGGACUGUAUGCACUUUAUGUUUCAUUGGUACUAUUGAAGUUUGACACUUGAUGGAGACACAAAUAUUGGUUAGUUGACUACCGGUUUAAAAUUGCUAGUAUAACCAUCUAGAGGGGGUGAAUAGGUGUAAAGACAAAUUUAACCAAUAAAAACAAUAAAGUUACUUUCUCAAGCAAGGUCUGAUUAACAUUAGACUUCUAAGUUCAAUUUAGACUCAAAUAAGAUAAUCUAGAAUUUAGCAGGACACAGAAAAAUAUUGCAAUAACCAAAUUAAAGAAGUUAAGGAAAGAGAAAAUUGAAAACAUAAUUAGAUCAAGCCUACGUCCACUCUCCCACGCUGACAACCUUAUGGCUGGAUUCCACUAUGAAAUCAAAAGAGAAUUACAACAAUUUGAGUAUUUUCAUUAAAGAGUUUCUUUCUCUUUCACUAAGUCACUCCUUUGUGUUUUUCUCUCUUUGAGUAUAGUUGUAAGCACAAUUGAAGAAGAAUGAGUGAUUUGGUAACUUCAGACUUUGGAAUUUUAAUCCUCAUGCACACACUCAAAUGAACUACAUGACCUCCUUAAUUACUCCUCUAUGCCUUUCUAUUUGUUGGCAAUUUCCAGAGGAAUUUCUUCCAAUCAAUCCAUUGGACAUAAUCAAUAAAGGAAAUUUUGUAGCUGCUUGAAGAUUAAGGUGAAGAUCCGAUGAUUCUGGUCGCCCAUACAAUUAGAAUCUAGGUUUCCAUAAGUAGAUGCUUCCCAAAAAGGAAUUUUUCUUCGAAAUUGAUUUCAUCAAUAUAUUUAGAAAAGAUAUGUGAGAAUCUUCACCAUAAAGCCAGAUAUGUCUUGAUCGUACUGAAUCCUAGUUGGAAGAUCAAUAAACUUGAGUUUGAUUAUGUCUUCAUUCUAGACUUGGUUCAGUCUAGAUCUUCAUCAGAGUGGGGAAGAGUUCUAAUGUAAAAUAGACUUUGACAGCAUUCCAUGAUAUAACAUAGAAGUCUAAUAUUCCUAAGAAUAAGAAUAAGAACAAGAACAAGAACAAGAAUAAGAAUAAGAAUAAGAAUAAGAAUAAGAAUAAGAAUAAGAGAAGGAAAAUUUUGUCAACUUCAAAACCAAAUAGAAGUUUUCUUAACAAUCUCCCCAUUUUUUAUGAUAACAAAACUUUCAUGCAAAUUUAAUAAGAAAUUAUAACCUUCAAAACAACACUUUAGCAGCACAUGAUAAAGAACAUAUGAAUAAUAUAAUAGUCCGCAUCCACAAAACAUAUCGGUCUCAUCAAAACUACAAAACAAGUGCCAAAACCAAUUAAAAUUCAAACACAAGUUCAAGCACCACAAGUUUAUUUCAAAAAGAUUCCAGUUAAAAACACAACCACAAAAGAUUCAAGUUUUAAAUCCGCAUAAGCUCUCCCCCUUUUUGUCAACAACAAAAAGAUAAAGUCGGUGAGUUGUAAAAAGAGGUCGAGUCAAAAAUGAUCAGAGAUGUCUAGAAACACGAACAAGUCAGAAAUCCGGCAAAGACUGCACGGUCUCCUAAAGCUUAUCUGGGCAUUGAUGAUUAACAGCCUCCACUUUUGCCACAGUCUAGGAAAACUACUUAUUCAAAGUUUGAACGUGAGUGUCAAGAGAUUGUGCCUUGCCUGUAAGGAAUUCUGAGGUAGAUCUGAGAGCAACAUGUAACUUUGAAUUUCAAACUCCAUAGGAUAUUGUUGUGCCUAAAUCUCCAAGAGUAGUUUUACUAUCCGAGGAUAGUUGGCUUCCAGUUCUGUUUGGGCACUAGCCUCAAUGUAUUGUACCUGUGGAGUAUCCAUAAAUGAAGGAACAUCAACUUGAACGUGUGUAGUUUGUUGCUCCCCCUGAAUAGUAGUUCCUUUUGCUAGACCUUCAGGUGAGACUUCAGGAAAAUGAGAUGCCAAUACAUCUUCAGCAUUUAGCAGGGAUCGAUUGAUGCCAUCACUAGCAGUAUGUUCAACAAUGGGAGUUUUCUCACUUACUCCCCCUAUUUUGAUGCCUUCAGGCUAAGAGGUAACUUCUUCCUCUUGAACCUUUCAUGUUCUAGCACGAGUUUCCUUAUCAGUUGCAGUCUCAUCAAUUUCUAGGGCAUCAACCUCCCUAGUAUCUUCUCCUUCCUUCUCAGUCUCGUCUUGUUCUAGGUUCAUACCAGCAUCUCCAUCUGAGUCAUCAUCGUCAGUCUCUUUCACUGCAGUUUCUUAAGCAUCACUCUUCUUCUGGUUCCUUCUCGCUUUCAUCUUCUUCUUCUGACUCAGUAAAACCUUGAAGAUUACGCAAGGCCAUAUCAGAGAUUGUCAAAUCAUCAUCUUCCUACUCUUCAUCCUACAAAAGGAUAGAUCUUUUCCUCUUUGGUGACUUUGAAACAACACUCUUUCCCUUGUGUUUCUUCUUAGCAACAGUUCCUUUCCUAAUUUUGCUAGCAGAUUCUUUCUUUAAACUAUCUAGUGCUCCAAAGAGAUCUUUCAAUUGCAUUUUUGAGAUCAUCUUUAGUCCAAUUUGCAUUGGAACGAGAGUUUUGGAGUGAAGUUGAGAUGGUAGUUGUAUCUAGAAGUGUUUGAAGAGUCUGGUUAUCGAUGCAGAGUACGGCAAUGGUCCUUUUUCUUUCAUGAUUGUUUUGUACAUAUGCAGAAUGAUGGUGUGAGGGAGUGAAAAAGCGACACAAUUGCAGAUCACCCACAUCUUCUUUGAUUCAAAUCUGGAUAUAUCAGUUUUUGAGGCUGCCUUGGGUCUGAUACAUUAGAUAACUAUCUUGUGUAGCAAGAUAUUCGAAGUAAUCAUUCUAGAGUAAGUAAUAUUGCCACUAGAAAUCCUAUCACGUACUAGAGUCCUUGUGGCCUGUGCAUUUGACACAUUAAUAGGCAGGAAUCCACUUAUUUCUACACCCAACAAGUUAGCCAAGAGAUUCACAUCCACAUCAAAAACUCUGUCACACAUGGUAAACUAAAUAUGAGUGGGAUCCAAAAUAGACAGAUUAGAGUAAAAGUAUGCCAUUAAUUCAGGGUAUGCCUCCAACGUCUCUACAUAGAACUUCUCUAGCUGAAGUUUAGCAAACUUUCCCCUCAAGUUAACAUUGAUGGAAUCCAGUAAGUCAAACUCCACAGUUUGAGGGUUGAUAAUUCCUAUGUUCAGCAUUUAGGCAAAAAAUUUCUUAUGCUCUUUUGAAUGAAACAAUUUCGUUCUUUCUCUAGGGAUUUCAGCAGCACCUCCAAUCUUUUGUUGGAAAUUUUUAAAGAUUCUUUCAUCACCAUCUUUGUUUUUUGGUUGAUUUUCUGACCCAAAAUGUGUAUCAUAAGAAAAGUUCGCAAACUCCUUCUUUGCAGUUCUAGGUUCUACUAAUCCUAACCGUUCCAUCGCUUGCAAAAAUACAUUUUCAUUUUCAUAGCCAUUUUCUCUCAGAAAGUUACUUAUGAAGUUCAUAGGGCUUCCUCCCUUCUUCAAAAAGUUAUAGUAUUUAAGAAGUACCUUAGGCUUUCUCACUGAAAUGGGGUUUGCAUCUUAAGUAACUUCUUCAUCUGCAUAACAGCAAGGAGAAGGUGAAUCUUCUCCGGUCAGAUCAAAUUGUGUUGGUCCUUUAGGAAUAUUCCGAGGCUCACGACUAACAAUGUGAGAGGAUUUCAUUUAAAACAACAUUGAAGCAGAUUUGGAAGACUUUGACGACAUGCUCAUGUAGAGGAAAAUAAAAAUUUUGCAGAGAGUUUGUGAGAGAAAUUAAGAACAAUGAGGGUUUGAGAGUUAGGCUUUGAAAAACAACUGCAACUGUAAGAGAGAUUUAAAGAAAUUGAAAUAAGGCAACUGAACCGUCAUAAAGAAAAGUGCAUUUUCAAAAAAUUUAAAAAGAUAACCACCAAUUAUAAAUUUGAAAAAUCAGCAAGGAAAUUGUAAUUUCCAAAAAUAAAAAAGGCAAGCAAUGAGUUAGAGAUAAACAUACUUGUUCAGUACUUACACGCCAAAAAUAAAAUAAACUACUUGAGUCUGGAGGAAUUUUAGAUAUAUGCAAAUACCUCAUGCUAAUCUGUUGAGUCUGCAUGAUCAUAAACUUUAGUCAAAUGAAAGAAUGAUGUUAAGCUUUUCAUGAAUAAACUCAAAUAAGCUCUUCUCCAACGGUUUGGUAAAAAUAUCCAUUAGUUGGUUCUUGGAAUCAAUAAAUUGAACAUUAAUCUCGCCAUUCUGAACAUGGUCUCAAAUGAAGUGAUGACGAAUUUUGAUGUGCUUUGCUCUUGAGUGAAGAAUUGGAUUUCUGGUAAGAUUAAUAGCAUUUGUGUUGUCACAUUUGAUUUCAGUGCAUAAUUCUUCUAUUCCAAAAUCUCUUAGUUGCUGUCCGAUCCAUAGAAUUUGUGAACAACAACUUCCAAGAGCAACAUACUCUGCUUCUGCUAUUUUAAUAGCCACAAUAUUCCGCUUUCUUGAAAACCUGGACACUAACAUAUGUCCCAACAGUUGACAUGUCCCUGAGAUACUUUUCCUAUCAACUCUACAACCAGUCAGAUCAGCAUCAGAGUAACUAAGUAAAUUAAAGUCUCCUCCUUUUGGAUACCACAAACCUAGCUUUGGAUAAGUCGCAAUAUAUUUUAUGAUAUGUUUAACAGCACUAGGGUGUGACUCUUUGGGAUUAUAUUGAAAUCUAGCACAUAUACACACACUGAAUAAAAUAUCUAGUCUAGAAGCAGUUAGAUAAAGAAGAGAACCAAUCAUGCUUAUGUAUAGCUUUUGAUCGACUUUCUUUCCAUCUUCAUAUUUGUCAAGCUUUGAAGAACUUGACAUCGGAGUUUAUGUUUUCUUGUAGUUUUCCAUUCGAAACUUCUUGAUAACAUCUCUGGCAUAUUUCUCUUUAUGAAUGAAUGUUCCUUUCUUCGAUUAUCUUACUUGUAGACCCAGAAAGAAAGUUAACUCUCCCAUCAUACUUAUUUCAAAUUCUUCCUACAUAGAUUUUGAAAACUUCUUGCACAAAUUUUCGUUAGAGGAUCCAAAGAUUAUAUCAUCUACAUUUAUUUGAACAAGUAGGAAAUAUUUUUCUUCUUUUAUGAUAAAUAAGGUUGUGUCAACCUUCCCUUUCUCAAAACCAUUAUUAAUCAAAAACUUACUCAGCCUCUCAUACCAAGCUCGAGGUGCCUGUUUCAAACCAUACAACGCCUUCUUAAGUCUAUAGACCAAAUUUGGUUUUCUGAGAUCUUCAAAUCCAAGUGGUUGUUCCACAUAGACUUCUUUUUGUAUAAAACCAUUAAAGCACUCUUGACGUCCAUCUAGAAUAACUUGAAAUUAUGAAAACACACAUGCAAGUAGUAAUCUAAUUGCUUCUAACCUGGCUAUAGGUGCAUAAGUCUCAUCAUAGUCUAUUCCUUUCUCUUAUGUGUACCAUUUUGCAACAAGCCUUGCUUUGUUUAUGGUUACUUUGCCCUUUUUAUCCAUCUUGUUUCUGAAAACCCACUUCAUUCCAAUCACAGAUUUACCUUUUAAUUUAGGAACCGGCUCCUAGACGUUGUUGAUACUGAAUUGUCUAAAUUCUUCCUGCAUAGCUUCUAUCCAACUUUCAUCAGACAAUGCUUCUUAUACUCCUUUUGGUUCUAUUUCUGAAAUAAGUGCUCUUGCAUUGGAAUUUUAUUUUGCCUUGGAUCUGGUGCGGAUUUCUUCUUCUAUAUUUCUAAUAAUGAGCUCUUUGGAAUGACUUGAUUUGUGCUUCCAGUUGCUAUUCAAUCUGUCAUGUCCUGGUGAACUAUGCUGAUCAUUUGUUUCCUUCUAAUCUUCUGACUCCUAUUCUGCUUGACCUUGAUAUUCAGAAGAUUGACGUUCUCUUGAAGAAUCGGACUUUAUUAGGUUUGAAAUUGAUUCAGACUCUUUAAGUUGAGUCUAAUCUGGUUGAAUUUGAAUAUCUUCCUGAAAUCUGAUUUUCAUAGAUUCUUCAACAGAUUGAGUAUUCUUGUUGAAAACCCUAUAAGCUUUACUUGAUGUAAAGUACCUAAGAAUAUUCCUUCAUAUGAUCUUUCUUCAAAUUUUCCAGCUCGAUCAUUUGCAUUCUUCAAGAUGAAACACUUAUAGCCAUACAUGAAAGUAGGAGAUGUUUGGCUUCUUCCCUUUAUAUACUUCAUAGGGAGUAUUUUCUAAGAAUGGCCUUAAAAAUACCCUGUAAAUUAUAUAACAGGCAGUGGAAACUACUUUUGCCCAAAAAUGAGAAGAGAUUUUAAUUUGUUUCAAUAGAGUUCUGGCCAUCUCCUGUAACAACCUAUUUUUCCUUUCCACAACUUCGUUUUGUUUUGGAGUAUACGGAGAGGAGAAAACAUGUUGAAGACUAGACUUAUCACAGAACUUUGCAAAGUCUUGAUUUUCAAAUUCUCCUCCAUGAUCAAUCUUUAUGCUUGAGAUAAUGGCUCGUUCUGAACUUUCUUGGCAAACUUUGAAAAGUAAGUAAAAGUUUUAGACUUACUUGCUAAGAAUAAGACCCAAGUGAAUCUUGAAUAAUCAUCCACAAUUACUAAACAUUAUUUCUUUCCACCAAUACUCUAAGUUCUUGUUGGUUCAAAAAGAUCCAUAUGAAGAAUCUGCAAAACACGAUCGGUAGAAACUUGAUUUAUUAGUUAAAGAAACUUCUUACCCGUUUUCCCAAAAUACACAGAGUACACAAUUCAGACUUUUGAUAAGCCAUUUUAGGAAGACCUCAAACCAGCUUCUUACAAGAAAGUUUGACAAUCUGUUUUAUAUUCACAUGUCCAAGCUUACGAUGCUAGACAUUUGCUUCAUCUUGAAUAGAAAAGAGGCACUGAGAGCUCUCCAGACUUAUGUCCAGAUGAUAAAUGUUGCCAUGCCUUCUCCCAGUAAAGGAUUGUGAUAGAUCUCGACUAACUCUAGAGCAGCUAUCUUCUUGAAAAUUGAUUCUGAAACUUGUAUCACACAGCUGACUUAUGCUUAAAUGAUUAUAAUUUAAGCCUUUUCCCAGUGAAACAUUAUUGAUGAUUAGACUCUCAAUCUUCACUAUUCCAAAUCCUAUAAUCUUUCAUUUGUUGUUUCCACCAAAAGAGAUAUUUCCUCCUUUUUGUCUUUCAAAUUUUACAAAGCUGCUCGAGUCUCCUGCCAUAUGCUUAGAACAAUGCUUUUUCUUCUAAUAAUGGCCUGCAGUCGAAAGGAGAUCUCAAGCUUUCUUCGGUACCUAAAUUUUCUUAGGUCUAGGGGAGUUAGUGUUAAAAACAACCUUUGCCCAAUUCUUCUUAACAGGUUUCCAAACUUUAGGACAUUCAUUCUCAAAAAUGUUUUGAGCUAUUACACUUAGAACAUCUGAGAGCACUUCGACCAACAGAUUUUACAAAAACUUUUUGAAAAUGAUUUUUAUAAAAGGAUUUUAGAGGUCUUUGUCUGAGUCUUUCUUUCACUUUGGGAAAAUCAAUUAGAGAAGUCAUUUUAUUAUUCAUUCCCAAACCAGAUUUAUUUAAAUAGGGUAUUUGAGCUGAAAGAAUUUUCUCUAAACUUUUCAGAUCCAUUGGAAAACCUUUUUAAAAUAUCUAAAAUUUCCUUUUUCAAAUAGAUGUUUUCCCUUGAGAGAGAGUUAGCAUUUUCUUUCAAACUAUCAAAAUCACUUUUCAGGUUUUCAAACUUUUCUUUCCAAAAAUCAUUAUGUUGCCUGAGCUUAGAAUUUUCCUUUUUCAGUUCGGAAUUCCUUUUAAGAGAAGAUUUGAAAUAAAGGCAAAGUUCAUCUAUAUACUUAUAAACCUUAACAUGAAUUUCUAAGUGACUUAUAUCGAUUUCCUUGUUAGAAUCUGAAUAUGAGUCUGAUUUUGAGUGAGCCAUCAGAUAGAUAUUUGCAAGUUCCUUUUCACUUUCCUCACAUUCAAUAUCACUCCAUGUUUCUGCUUUGAGAGCUUUCUUGUACUUCUCAUACUUCCCUUUAUUCUUUUUCAACAAGGGACAAUUAGGCUUGAUGUGUCACUUUUUCUUGCAUUUGAAGUAUAUUACAUAUUUGCUAGUUUCAACAUCUUCCGUUGGUCUUUUCUGGAAACUUUGCUUGCUUUGCUUCUUCCAAUUAAGCCUUCUUCAUUUUCUAUUCAGUUUUCUAAAUUUCUUUAUCAUUAGGGCCAGUUCCUCGUCAUCCAUAUCAUCGUCUGUAUCUGUGUCAUCAGAAUCAAUACUAGGCUUUAGUGCAAUUGAUUUCUUACCUUUUGGAUCUUCCUCAUCAUUGAUUUGUUCCGCUUCGUAUGAUUAAAGCAUUCCUAUCAUUUCAUCAACAAAAAGAGGCAUGAUUCUUUAAGUCUCUCUAAUUGAAGCUUUCACAUGAUUCCAGUCCUUUGAAAGUCCAGGUAGUAAUUUGUUGACCUUCAUUGGUUCUAAAAUUGGUUGCCAUUGAUAGGCCAAGCCAUUUACAAAUUCUAUGAAGUGGCUGAACAUAUCACCAAUAGACUCUCUAGGUUUCAUUUUAAAGGACACAUAUUGUGACAUCUCGAAUUUUGACCCCGUCUCGAAUAUAUGAAAUGGGCAUUUCACCGGCACACCUAUGGUCCUUUUUCUGUGAGUUAAUCAGUCACGAGUUAACCAAUAUAUUGGGUAAAUCCAUUAAGAGAUAUAACCUAGUAAAAUCCCUAAAAGCUACCCGGUAGGUCGGAUCGGACUAAAAUCGCGUUUGAUUGAUUUUAACCACAAAAUAGAAUUCGGUUUCGGAAAUUCGGAUGGGCAUUAUUAGAGGAAUUUUGGGUCACCAAAUUUAAGUCAAUGGUGAGGAGAUUGUGCAAAUUUGUAGGGGUGAUGGACUACUACAGUUUGGUCCUCAAAUUGACUUCAUUUGGUGUGGAAUUGUGGAGAAAUUGGCCCCUUGAGUGACCCAUUGGAAAGGUUGGCUGAAAAUGGGCAUAGUUACCUACAAAAAAAUGAUUUAAUUUGGGUGAAAUUGGAGCAAAUUCUCCAUUGGUUGGGCUGAAGACUUUUAUGGUUUGUUAAUCAUGAAUGAGAUAUUUUGUUUUGACUUGACCCCCUCUCAUUCGGCUUCUCCAGCAAGUCUCACCGACUUCAUCUCCACAGCAACUCUCUCUCUCAUUCUUAUCCCUUCCAUUUCUACUUUCCUUUAAUUCCUUCUUUUUCUUUGGGAGUAAAACAAAAACAGCUUCAUCGUCCCUUUUCUCUCUCUGCCGCUACAAUCCACUAACCCUUGUCACUCCAUUAUUACAACUGCCUCAUCCAUUAUCACCCUUGCUCCAUCGUUGACCCUACAAAUCCUAGCGGCCAGCCCACGACUACUUCGCUAAAGCUGCUCUCUUCUCCACAUGUCCAAUCCACCAAUCUUCAACUCCUUGGACGCCAGCAAGUCGCCCGCAUUGCCUCUCGCCUUCAGCUGCGUGGAGCCUAGCCCAUUAGCAGCUCCGCAAGCGCACGUCUCCCUACAGCUCAAUCAACCGAAAUAACUCUUGUGCGGUCCAUCUCCACGAUCUCUCCACCCAGCUACCCUAACAUUGUUGGUCUUCUUCAAUCGAAGUCUUUAUUGACUCUUUGUCGCGACACCACCCACAAAUCAGCCACCACUGAAGCUCACGGAUCUAGCUACCGGCGAAGCCGAAACCCAGCUCUGUUUCUACUUCGAUCAUGCCGCGCCAGAUGAAGCCAGCGAAGCUGGAAACAAUUCCGCCCAUUUGUUUCUCCUCCGCAUGUCAUGGCCCAAUGAAACGUUUCUUUAGCCCAGUGUCUUCAAUCUUGGGCUCGUGAUUUCCAGCCCACAGUUGGUUAGGAUCAGCUCAGCCCAUAUGAGUUUCAGACAGGCCCAGCAGCUCCUUCAGGCUUUCUUCAGCUCGUGAAAUGCAUCAGCCCAUCUUCACGUGUUUGGCCCAUUUGAAGCCCAAGAAGUUUUAGUAACUCAGCCCACGAAGCUAGUUGGCCCAAGUUCAGCCCAAGCCCAGCAAUUUGCUAUGGGCUUGCAAGGCCUUUGGGCCCAACCCAAGUGAUAGUUGACGUCACCGAAAAGUUGGAAUUCGGCCGCCAUCGCAUCGCCAUCGCGGUGUUUCAGUCUUCGCUUUGCCAAGUGAGUUUUACUCACUAAUACUUUCUUAGUUUCCUAAUUAUGCUUAAGGGUUGAUUAAAUUUAAUUAAGUGCAAUUAUGUGGUUAGAUUAAAGUAGAUUAGUGAUUAUUAGAUAAUUGUGAUGCAUGUUAGACAAUUGAAUUGUGCAAUUGAAUAACCAUUUCAGGACCCUGAUGAGGAGCCUGAGGAGGAGGAAUCUGAAGAGGAGAACUCUAAUGUGGAACUAGAUGAGGAGGAAAAUUUUGGAGAAGAAGAUGACCAUGAGGAGGAUCAUGAGUACGACUCGGAUGAGAACUGAGAUCCCAUCUUGUUUUGUCAGACCUUGAUUAUAUGUAAAUAAGUGUUAGAUCAAACCCCUGUGAAUAGUAUUGCAUUAUAUACUAUGAGGUGCUUGUAUAAAAGAGUGGUUGUGAAUUUUAGUAUGAAAAUUAUGGCCCUACUUUUCUAUCCCAUUGUUUUAUUGUCUAGGGAUUUAUAUCUGCUUCCGCAUGUGCUAUUGAAAAUGAAAGGGUCGGCGAUACGUUGUCCUGGGAUAUCAUGUUUUAAAAUCGACCAAAUAGAUAAGGAUGGGCACGUGACCGAGGAUCGGGACGUGACAUCCCAUUUUUGUGGUAUUAGAGCCAGGUUCAAGAUUGGAGUGAUAAGGAGCAAUGACUCUUGGGAUAGUAGUAAGAAAAGCCUUUAAAUUAAUGCUGGUGCAUGUCUGUGUUAGCUGAAUGCUAGAAUUGUUUGUUGUGUGUGGAUCGCUCACCUUCUAAUCCAGUGUGGAUUUGGAAAACGGGUUUCAGUGUAAAGACUAAACCAUGAGUGAGAAAGAGCUGAGAACUCCUUGUGGCAUCCUGAAAUUCCUUACCGGUCAUUAGGGGUGCUGAAAUUAAUGUCUUGUAUUAAGGACUAUGGCCAAAUUUAAUGGAUAAAUUUUGGGAAAGGAUGAUCUACCUUUGGCCAUAUGUAUUGUGGGUUAGAAUCUAUGGAUUUGUGAUUUCAAGUGUAUAAUUAUUUAAUUUAUACACUAUAGUACUUUGAUUCAAUAAGGAUUUAAUUAGUAUUUAAAAAUGGGUUGGAAUUUGAUUUAAUUAGGCUUGGGCCUUAGGCCCAAGAGUAUGGACCUUUGAUGGGCCAAAAGGCCGGCCCAUGAAGCCCACGGAUAGGGCUGCCGUCGACCAAGGAGAGGGGGAGUGGCCGGCCCACUUCCAAGCCCAUUAUGCAUGGGUCUUGCCAAGUGGCAAAAAGGAGACUUCAUGCAUUGGCCAUUGUGGGUGGCUCUUAAUCAUUGCAAAUGAUGAUUUUGUGGGGGAAAUAAAAGAGAGAGUGGCCGGUUUAGGGGGUUGUCGCCCAAGCCAAGUGAGAGAGAGAGAGAGAGGGUUGCGAGAGAGUGAGGAACCGAGAGAGAGAGGGAGAAGCCGCGCGAAGGAGGAGGCCCGCUCGUCCGUCGCCGUCCGUGGGCCGUUGUUUGCUCGGUACAAAGGCAAGUUGGGAUCUAUAUUCUGGUCUUGCAUAUUGUGUCUUGCUUGUGUGUUUGAAUGGUGGUGAAUCUCGGAUGUUCAGGGUGUGAGAAACCGAAGCUUGAGUGUGUUGUUCUUGAAAAUGUGUUCUGUUUUUUAGUGUGCCGCCUGACCCAGAAUUUGGUAGAGGCUUGCAUGUGGGUUUAGAGUCGGAUUUUGGCUUCGACUUCUUCACAAAAGUUGUAGAGAACAUCUCAAAGUAUAACAUACUAAAAUUUGGGAUAAAAUGGCUGAGUUUUAAGGGGUGAAACACUUCCUCUAUGAAAACGCCAGAUUUGAAACUGUUUUGUUGACCUCUUGAUGAUUUUGUGUGUUGCAUGUCACUUUUUACCGAGAAUCCCACUUCAACUUCUUAAAGAAAGUUUUAGAAAACAUCCUAAAUAUUAACAUACUCAAAUUUUGAAGUAAAACGAGCAAGUGUAGCCUAGUGAAACGGUUUCUUUUGAAGACGGCAGAUCUGGAAGUACGAUACUGGACUCCCGAGACUUUGUGGACUAUAUGGUUACUAUCCUUUGAGAACAUCACCUAGAUCCCUUAAUGAAAGUUGUAGGGGACCUCUUGAGGCAAAACAUAUCAAAAUUUCAGAGGAAAUGAGGAACGAUGAUUAGGCAAAACCUCAAUUUUUCGGAGAUAGCUAAACUGGACUGUUCGGUACUAGGAACAGGAGCUUUGACCGUCUAUAUUAAAUUAUAUAGAGCGAAUAUGGCCUAGAUGUCUACAUGAAAAAUAUACCUUAGGAUCUUGACUAUAACCUGCUAACAUUUCAGAAUUUUUGGAGGUCAUUCGGGUAUUUUAAUCGAAAUAUUUCAAGAACUGCGCAAUCUGAUUUUAUCCGAAUUUUGCAUGCUGUAUUGUGUGAGCUAUAUCUUCUUGUGUGAAGCUCUUUUGGGCAUGCGUUCUUCAUGAAAUUGUUACCUUUAUGUCUUUUCUAUUACAUGCUCUGAUUGUAUUAUUUUUGAGGAUCUUAUGGAUAUUUAAUUUAUAUAUUUUCCAAAAUUGUGCAAGCUGGAAUUUGGGAAGUUUCAAAAAGACAUGAUAUAUGGAUUAUUCUAAGUUGUAUGGACCCCAUGGGUUGUAUUGUCAUUAGUGGUUGUAUCUUUCUUCAUGUAUGAUGAUGAUUGAAAAUGCAUAUAAGAAUCAAAUGAUGAAAAUGAUCUUGUUUGCCAUCACAUCAUAUGCCAUGUUGAAAUUGAGCUAUAAUUGAAAAUGUGAACUAAGAUAAGUGAGAAGGCCGUCGGAGGUGUGAGCCGACGAUGCCCCGGGAGUGUCGGGAUGCCUGGCCAGGGAGUGUAAAUGCCGGAUGCCCGGUGGCCUUAAAUGGCUAAAUGCCGGAGGGUCCUCGGGAGUUUCAAGAUGCCCAAAGCAUGGGGAGCCGGAAGCCCGGAGGUUUGUGUCGGGGGAUACCUCGUGAUGCCAGUUGGGUUAUGAGAUGCUUGACAGGUAUUGUGCUCGAUGCCCGGAGGUUUGCGCCGGAGGUUCCUCGUGAUGCCAGGUGGGGUGCGAGCGAUAAAUGUGGGAUGCAAAUAUUGGUCCCAGGAAAAAGAGAAAUGUGGCGGUUCAAAAUGAAAAGAUAAAAUUUGGAAAUUGAAAUUGAAUCAUGCAUGGUAUGGCAAUAUGUAUGCAUGGAUGCAUGAUGGUAAGUGCAUGGAUGUAUGUGCACCUAUGGCAUGAUGGCAUAUGUGACAUGAUGAUGAUGAGUGCAUGGAUGUAUGUGCACCUAUGGCAUGAUGGUAUGCGUGACAUGAUGAUGGUAAGUGCAUGGAUGUAUGUGCACCUAUGGCAUGAUGGUACAUGUAUGAUAUGAUGGUGAUGAUUACAUGAGGAUGUGUGUACAUGUGGUAUGAUGACAUAUGCAUGGCUCCAAGGUAAAUUAUGCAUGGAUGCUUGAAUGAUAUGUCAUAUGCUAUGAUUGUUAUGAUUGUAUUAUGUGAUGCAUUGAGUGGUUUAUUGGGUCAUUUACCUGCUGAGUGGCUGUACUCACCCCUUUAGGGACCAACAUUUCAGAUUAGAAAGAUGCCGGUCCCUGCUGUCACGCGGGGCGUCUUUUACGGCCUUCCUUCGGAUGUGGAGGUCGAGUGUGUGGAGAUCGACUGUCCUACCAUCCCUGGUCUGACGUUCAUUUAGGUUCACGCAUUAGUGAUGUAUGACGUGGGCCUGGCUGAGGGCCCUGUCAUUUAGGAGUUCAUAUCUAUUCACGUUCGUCGAGACGGAGUGAUGCGGGGGAUGUUGCCGCCGUCACCGCCUGACGCACCAGCAUGGGUGUGACUGCACGCACGCAAGAAGUAGGAGCUACAACUUUUUGGACAAUAGCCAACACUAGUAGAUGGAGGAUUUUGCAUGAUCGACAUAGAGGGUCGAGUUUUUUCUUUUUGAGGUUGUGGUCGAGUGUAGUCAAAAGUCUUGGCCCUUCUUUUGUUAUACUGAACCGAGAAAAAAAUCCAUCAUGAAAAUAUGUAAAUAAAAGUGGCUCGGCUUUAUCUUUUCCUAUGGCACUUAGUGGUGUGCAUUGUAUCAUGAUAGAUGGAGGGAGAGAUGAUGAUAUUUCAAUUAUGCUUCCGCUAAUGCUAAUAAGUUGCGCUAGGACCGAUAGAUAUAUAUAUAUAUAUAUAUAUAUAUAUGCCUAUGAGCUGCCAUACUUCUGUUAAGAGAUGUGAUUAGCGUUCAUUAGGUAUAGCAACAGGUACUUGUGGCAACCUUAGGUGUUUAGGGGUGCCACACUUCUAGUAAGAGGACAAUGUCCUCUAUGACUUGGGAUAAAGCACCGACUAAGGUCGGUACCCGAGGUGGUUGUGGCAGAGUGUUGGCUUUGGCCAGCUCGAGUGUAAGAGUACCAUCGCAGGUUGGUACUAUUGUAGUAGCACCGAGCGAUCCUAGGUUCGACGGGAUCGUUCAGGUGCUAGUUUCCUUGGAAUUGGUUGAGCCAGCAAGCUCAAGAUUGAGCCACCGUUGUUGUCGCUGUCACUACCGCCGUGUUGCCGCACCUGCUGAGGUUCAGUGUGAAGAUAUGAUAUGGGAGCGAGCCGUUGCAUCCGAGUCAAGGUACAGCUCCAGUUUAAGCAGAGAUGGAAAUCGGUCAAGGAAAAGACCGAUGUGGAGAGAAGAGUAUUCUAUUCCACCCAAUAAGAAGGGUGUGAUAGUUAGGUCAGCACUGAGUCAAAAUGGAACAUGAUGUUCCCGUGCAUGACGACAAAGAUUGGCCUUAUGUUUUCUUAGGACAAGAAUUUGUUUCGAGUAUAUCCAAUAGAGUUACCUGACCGGAGACGGUCCUAGAAGGCCGAUGGGACAGAUUAGAGGAAAUGCGCCAUAGAACGCACAGUGGAGUUUUGGAAUAGGUCUCUGGUACCAUAAAGAGUGCAUGCUUUCACCUGAUAGGAGAUAAAAGACGCACCAGAUAGGUGUCGGAAUUGUAGAAUGAAGUAUGGAUGAAUCCAGUGUCUGAGUAUGACUAGAACAUGUUGUAAUGAUGACCAGCAUGGCUAUCAGGUGAAGGACUGUUAGUGGAAGUCUAAGGUAGCAUAGACAUCGCUACUACGGCCAAAAUGCCACUAGGAUGGCGAAAGAAAUGGGAGUAGAAUUGACCUUGCACCGAUCAGAGAAAGAAUGUGUUGAAGGUGAUUUUAUCAGAGCAGCACAUCAGAGUUUUGUGCUGAGUUGGUAGAACUUAAAUUGUUGAAGUAAAAGUGAAAGAGAGGGGAAUCACUAGCAAUAGUUGUGCUUGACUAGUUGUUGAGGUGUGAGUUCGACACCACGUGAAUAGUGUGGGUUCAUGGAGCAUCUUGUGAUAAUGAAUCAUGGUCUUGGAGUAAUCCAGUUUAGUCCAUUAGCAUGUGAAAGUAUCGAGGUUAUUGGGAGUCGAAAAGAAUCUUCGAUUUCAUUAAUCUCGUUGGCUGAAGGCAACUUGUUUGUUAGACGGAGGUUGCCAAGGUUGCUUGGCGAUUGUCUUGGGUAGGAUAGAUUGGAGAACUAGAGAUGGAGGACAUCUCAGUGGUCUAAGAAUCUCUAGAUGUGUUGUCACAAGAACUGUCAGUUCGUCGUCAGAGAAAGAGAUAGAAACUGCGAUCGAGCUAGCACCAGGAUAGAGCCACUCUCGAAGGCUUCUUACCAGCGAUUGUUCUCUGAAUUGGUAGAACAGAAGAUGCAGAUGCGAAGAUUGAUGAAUGAGGAAUUCAUGCAUAUCAAUGUAUCACUUUAGGGAAACAUCAGUUUUGUUUUUGAGAAAAAGAAAGAUGGUUUGUUGCGAGUAUGCAUCAACCAUUGUCAACUCAAUUAGGUGACGAUCAAGGACAAGCGUCCAUUGUAAAAGAUCGACGAAUUGGGUGACUAGACAUCAAGAGUGUUGAUGUUUUCAAGGAUCAACUUGAGAACAAGAUGUCAUCAGUUACGAACAAAGAAGGAGGUUAUAUUGAAAACAGCUUUUCGUACUUGAUAUGAUCUUUACGAGAGUAUUGUAAGACCGUUUGGCCUGGUAAACACUCCAGCUACUGUCAUGGAUUUGGCAAACCAAGUGUGCAAGGAAUAUCUAGAUCAGUUCUGCUCGUGUCUUUUAAUGACAUUCUGGUGCAUUCGAGGAAUGCUAAGGAGCACAAGAGACAUUUGAGAUGGUGAUAGAAUUUCCGUGGACUCGAUGAAGACUGAAGCAGUUAUUAGUGAAACGAGAUCUAUAGUGAGGUGUUGUGCGGAGGACUAGGUGCGUACUGAUGCGACAUGAUAAGAUCAUUGCAUAUGCGUCCCGCCAGUUGAGACCUAAUGAGUUGAAUAUGAGACGGUGUCAUGAACCAGAACCUUGGCAGGACUAGGAUGGUGUUAUUUGGUAUCACCCUAGGGGAAAGAAAGAAGUCACUGAUGCGGUGAGUCAAGAGUCUCUAAUGGUGCAUAUACUGGUUAAAGUAUGGAACUUACUUGAGAAAGUUCGAAAAUUGGUUUUCAAAUUUGAGGUAGGCUACCUUUUGAAUUCUAUAGUUGCCCUCAAAAUUGAACCGGAUAUUCAAGUUAGAAUCAUACGCUUCAGUUGACAGAUCGGGAUGCUUAGAAAAUCCCGUAAGAGUAUAUCGGUAAGGGAAAAGUUGACUUUCAGAUUUCGAAAGAUGGAACAUCGAAGUAUCGUGGGUGAUGAUAGGUGUCAGACAGUAUGGAACUUGAGGAGAAGACCUUGUUAGGAAAUUCACUGUGGUAUUACAGUAUUUGACAAUAUAAUGUGAGGUAGGUCAGAAUCAAUGUCGGCUCGAUUGGUAGACCGAUAUGAAGAUAGACAUUGCCACAGGUUGUAAGUGUUAGAUGUGCUAGUGAGUAGGAGUUUAGUAAGGCAAACCGGGAAGACUUUUACAAUCACUCGAGAGUCCCGAGUGGGAAUGGAAGUAUAUCACGAUGGAAUGUUGUGAUGGCUUUACUAAGGAUUUAGAGGAAUAAUGACUCAAGUUAGGGUAGUGGUCAAUAAACUGAUGAAGUCGACUCACUUUAUCACGGUAUGGAAGGAUCUUGAUUGGAAUAGACAUGCAUAAGUGUAUGUGUGUCAGACAGUUUGUCUGCAUGGGUACUAGUGACGAACUUAUAUCAGAUCUAAAACCGAGGUUCCUAGUUUCAACAGAACAAUCAAAUAGUUCCUUUUGAGGCAGAACAGAGUAGAGUGUGCAGAACUUCAGUUUGUUGAGAUGAGAUUAGAGAAAGAAAAAUCACAGGCCCAAAGUCAGUUUAGCAGUCAGUGAUUUUCAUGAUCAGAAUCAAAUUAUAGACCGCUCAGAGCCAUCAGAAAAGUUGUAUCGUUGAGUAUUGAAGGUCCUUAGAGUUCCAAAUUGGUGAUUACAUCUUUCUGAAGGUGUCACCAAUGAGAGAUACCUUGCGUUUCAGCAAGGAGGGAAAUCUAGAACCGAGGUAUGUAGUUUCCUUUGAGAUUUUGAAAAGAAUCGGGAUCCUAACGUAUCAUCUUGCAUUGUCAUUGAGGUAGGCACAAGCGCAUGACGUCUUUCACGUGUCAAGGUUGAGGAUGUAUGAACCUUACCCAACUCAUGUGCUAAAUGUUGAAAAAUUAGACAUGGACGAUAGAGUAUCGUACAUGGAAAGGUCAGUUCAGAUUGUGAAUCAGAAGAUCUGAUUUAGUGAACCAAAAUAGUCCCCUUGGUCAAAGUGGUCUGACAUCGCCAAGGACUGAAGAAGCAACCGAGGAAAGUGAGACUAGAUGAGACGACGAUACCCCCACCCUUUUAUUUAAGCAACAUAUGGAAAAACAAGAUGAAGGCAUUCCUAAGAUCAAAAGGUCUUCUGGAAUGGGAUGUGGUAGAAAAAUGAAUUAUUCCUAAAGUUACAUAAGUUUCAGAAAGGGGAAAGAAGUUGCAGACGCUGGCAAGAUGACUCAAGAAGAAAUAACUAAGAGACAAGCUCUUGAUGCAAAAGCAAUUUACUCUUUAUAUUGUGCAUUGUCUCCUACUGAGUAUAAUAAAAUAUCUUCUUGUGAAACAGCCAAAGAAGUCUGGGACAGGCUACACAUUACUUAUGAAGGAAUUGAUCGAGUGAAAGAAACAAUGAUCAAUAUUCUACUCGAAUAGUAUGAAGCCUUCAAGAUGAAGCUACGAGAAUCUAUUACUGACAUGUUUAGUCAUUUUACAGAAAUUGUAAAUGGUCUAGAGUAUUAGGGUCAACCAAUCUCAAGACCCAUGAAGGUUAACAAGUUGCUGCGUGGACUUUCCAAAGAUUGGAAUCACAUAAAGACUUUGAUAAGGGAAACACAAAGGAUCAUGCCACUUUCUAUAGACGAAUUGGUUGGCACACUUCAAUCCUAUGAAGUGGAGCAAAUCAAUGAAGAAGAAGAUCCAAAAGGUAAGAAAUCAAUUACUUUGAGAUCUAACGAUGAUUCUGAUGUUACAGACUCUAAAGAUGACAUAGAUGAUGAAGAGCAGCCCUUAUGAUAAAAAGGUUCAGGAAACUAAACAAAAAUGGAAGAAGAUUCAAUUGGAAUAAACAAAGUACUCAAAAGUCUCAAAACAAAUCAACUAAGGAUGAUAAAUCCAAUAAAGAUGUGAUCUGUUUUGAAUGCAAGAAAAAAGGACACAUCAGACACAACUGUCCCAUGUUGAAGAAAAAGAAAGGAAAAGCUGAGAAAUACAGGAAGGCUCUCAAGGCAGAGACAUAGAGUGAUAUUGAAUGUGAAGAAAGUGACGAAAAUUAUGCCAAUAUUUGUUUAAUGGAAAAUUCAUAAUCAGACUCAGACUUGGAGACAGAUACAAACUCAAACUCACAUAGUGAAAUUGAGGUAAGCAAUUUAAAAAUUUCUACUAAAGUCUUGAAAUAUAUUGAUGAACUUUGUUUUAGUCUCAAAACUUCUCUUAAGAGGAUUUCCGAGCUAAAAAUGGAGAAUUCUACACUGAAGCAAUAGGAAAUCUCUUGGAAAGAAAAGUUUGAUAAUUUAGACAAAUUUUUUGUCAUUUUGAAAGAAAAUGCAUGUGGCACCCCUGACACAGAUCCCGAAUCGUUAGGGUCGCCACUGUUCGCUUACCUUUCACUUGACCUGAUAAUAUAUCAUUCUGAUACCAAAGAGUUAUAAUUCAUAAAUCCUGGGGGUUUAAAUCUUUUUAGAUCGGUCCCUAUGCAAUUUAUAUGGCGGAAGCACAUCCAUCAACUCCCUUCCUUAUAUUCAGAAAACGAUGCACACCAACUAAACAUUUAUAGGUAAAAACCGAACACUUUUAUUUACUUAACCCAGAUAGACAUCAUUCAUCGGUACAUCAAAAUGCCGUAGUCUUCUAUACUCGGCUAUACUUCAAAAGAUGACCGACAUCUUUUCCAAUAGUCGUAUACUUAAGGUCUAUCGACCAGUGUCGACAUCCAAAAGUUCCUUCCUUUGCUAUCCUUCUCCUUGCAGUCAUAUCCAACCACUCGAUCCAUCUAUCGAUGGCAGUGGCAGCAAAGGUAUCUUAUCUAAUCAGAAAUGUUAGUCCCCAAACGGGGUGAGUACAAACACUCAUUAGUAAAGAUCCAUCAAACUAUACAAUGUAAUAAGCAAAACAAUCAAGAUAUCACAAGUAAAGCACAUAUCAUCCAUGCUAUCAAGCAUACAUCACCAUGCGGUCGUGCAUAUAUCGCCAUGUAGUCAUGCAUAUCUCACUAUGCCAUCGUGCAUAUACCACAAUGCAGUCAUCCUUGUAUUUCCAUGAGGUUCAUCCUAUACCAUAUGCAUAUACAUACGCAUGAUUCAUAUCAUUCAUACACUCAUGUAUACAUCCCCAUGAGAUCCAUUCAAGCCUUCAUGAUCGCAUUCUCAAUGUCAAAUAGCAUCAAUUUACUUUCAUAAGCAGAUCAUGCAUCAUGCCAUAUGUACACAUCCAUGCGCAUGAUUUAAUUUCCAUUUUUAUCUUUUAAAAGGAUCUCAUCAUUUUUCUUCCAGGGACCAAUGUUUGCAUCCCUCAUUUAUCGCUCACACCUAACCUGGCAUCGCAAGGAACCUCUGGCACACACUUCCAAGCAUCCGGCACACACCUCCGGGCAUCUCGCAUCCCACCUAGCAUCACGAGGAAUUGCCGAGGCUCGCUAUGAAAAUUGUUACCCUUGCCUUCCGGAAUUACGUACCGACAUACCACUAGGCAUCCCCCCUGGAAUUAUGUAUUGUAUACCACCGGGCAUCUCAAAACUCCCAAGGACCCUCCGGCUCACACCUUCAGGCAUCCGACACAUACACUCCAGGCAUCCCGACACUCCGGGGGCAUCGUCGGCUCACACCUCCGAUGGGAUUAUCAUCAUCACAAUGCAUAUUCCCAUAUAUAUCUCAUUUUCAAUUUAACAUUUGGUGCAACAAUAUCAGAGGUCUAAACCAGCCUUUUUGAUGUCAUAUGAUAUGCCAAAUAUCACCAUAUAAGCAGUACAAAACACCCACAAUAUCACAUUUCAUAAAGCCAUUCAUUGGUUUUUGAAAAUAGAACAAUUUUCGGGUAAAACAGAAUGCACCUCUUUAGUAAAAAUUCUUGGAAAAGUAGUAAAAAAUCUCAAUAAAUUCUGUAAAUUUAUCAUAAUAUAAACAAGACCUAGAGAAAGAUAUUUCAUGGAGAACACUAUGUCAAGAAAGUUUCACAUCAAUCACAUAGGUCCAUACAUCACAGCAAAAGAAUUUCCAACGCCACUUUUGCACAGUUUCAGAAAUAAUUUUGAUUAAUUCCUUAAAUGAACUCCGAAAAUUCUGAGAAUUUAAUAUGUUAUAUCUGAGACCUAGUGGUAAAAGUCCCAUUAAUAAAUCUAAGUCUAAUUCCUUCUGUAAUAAAAUUUAUAAUUUUUAUAACUCUCCCUAACUCUCGGUUCAUUGUCCAGAUUCAUCCUCUUCAAAGAAAAUCGUUUUCCCCAAUCAAUACUUAUCCGUUUAUUCUCAAAUUUUAGUAUGUUACUUAUCAAGAUGUCUCCUACAACUCUUAUCAAAUACACGAGAGAAAAUUCGGACUGGAUACUUGCACGAAAUUCACAAAAUCAUAAUAGAUCAACAUAACAGUUUUCAGAUCUAGUAUCUUUGAAGAAAAAUAGUUUCACCAACAAAUACUUGUUAGUUUACUCUCAAAUUUUGAUAUGUUACUCUCCAAGAAGUCCUCUAUAACUGUCAUUAAGAAGUCGAAGUGAGAUUCCAACAAGAACAUUGCAGGCAGCUCAUGAAAUCACCAAAGGUCGGACUGUUUUUCCAGAAAACAGAAUACUAGACUAAGGAUCUACUCCCAUAACUUCGAAAAUCCUCACCUUGAUCACAUCCGAAAUUCACCAUUCAUCACACACAGUCACAGCAAACAAAGUGUAGAUCAAAGGACUCUACUUGCCUCUAAUCCAAGCAAAAUCACCGCAAGCACAUGGGCGGAGCAAGGCGGGCUCGAUGAUGGGACUAGGCGCAUGUAUGACGGGCCGGUCUUCUUCCUCCUCUUGCCGACCAACCCUCACAAAAAUCUCUCUCUCUCUCUCUCUCUCUCUCUCUCUCUCUCUCUCUCUCUCUCUCUCUCUCUCUCUCGGUGCCUUGCUCAAUCCGCCCCCUCCCUUUUUCCUUUUUGGUUGUUUAAUUACUUACCUUUGGUUAAUUUUGCAGGGAAUGACACUUGUCUCUGUAAGAAGGACACUUGGCUUCUUGGGAAGGACACUUGUAGAGUCCCUCUCGCCACUUGUCGUUCUCCAUGCAAGCUGAUAGGCUUUCUUUGGGUAGGAUUUGGGCCAGCUUUUUGGGUUGGCCGAAUGGUGGGGUUGUGGGCCUCCUUUGGGCUGUCUUGAGCCUUAACUAAAUCAGCCCACAUUUGCUCCUUAUUCCACCUUAAUUCCCCACUUAAUUUCAUAAUCUCAAAUAGUCAUUUGGUUAUAUAAAAUUGCAACAUUCAUCAAAUGACAAUCCAACUUAUAGAGUAUACAGCCAAGAACAGAAAAUUCUUUUGUCAAUUUAUCCUUUAGUUACAAUCCUUGAUCACACUUAGUUAUAGGAUACAUUUCCAAAUCAAAACAAUAGUUCAUUCAAUGUUCGGCCUUGUUUAAUUGAAAUCCAUUAGUCUAACGGCCAUAAUAAAAUCCGAUAGCGCUUCCAUCACCUAUUCAUGGUUCAUGGUAUAUCCAGGGGUUGUCAUGAAAUUUUAGGAUGCCACAAUGCAGACUCUCUUUCAAAAGAAAAUACAUGUUUGAAAAAUGACAUUUCAAAUAUUUCAAAAAGGUUUUCAAUAGGAUCUGAGAAGCUAGAAAAGAUUCUUUUGAUACAAAUUCGAUAGGAUCUGAGAAGCUAGAAAAGAUUCUUUCGAUACAAAGACCUUACUUUAACAAAUCAGGGUUGGGAAUGACUUCUGAAACUAUUCAUCUAAUUGAUUUUCCAAAAGUAAAGAAAAGAAUCAAACAGAGACCUACAAAAGCCUUUUAUAGAAAUCAUUUUCAAAAAGUCUUUGUAAAACCUAUUGGUUGAAGUGCUCUCAAAUGUUCUAAGUGUUACGGCUCAGAACACUUUGAGAAAGAAUGUUCUAUGGUUUGGAGACAUGUUAAGAAGGAUUGGGCAAAGACUGUAUAUUGCACUAACUUCACUGGACCCAAGAAAAUGUGGGUACCAAAGAAAGCUUGAGUUUCUUUUUUAAUUGUAGGUUACUAUCAAGAAGAAAGUUAAAUGGUAUUUGGGUAGUGGUUGUUCGAGACACAUGACUGGAGAUUCAAGAUGUUUCACAAAGCUUGUUCAAAUCAAUGGAGGAAAAGUCUCUUUUGGUAGAAAUAGUAAAGGAAGAAUUAUUAGAUGCAAAACAGUAAAGAUUAUAGGUCUGACAAUCAAUAAUGUCUCCUUGGUGGAAGGAUUAAACUACAACCUACUCAGCAUAAGCCAACUGUGCGACACUGGGUUCAAAAUCAAUUAUCAGGAAGGGACAUGUUCAGGAACUAGUAAAGACCACUCUCAAUCUUUUACCAGGCGUAGACAUGGGAAUAUUUAUCUUCAAGAUAUAAAACCAUAAAGACCUCAAUGUCUUACAUCAAUACAAGACGAAGCGAAUCUCUAGCACCGAAAGCUUGGCCAUAUCAACAUGAAGCAAAUUGCCAAAAUCUCUUCCAAGAAAUUUGUUCGAGGACUACCCAACCUGAAAUACCAAAAAUCAGACCUAUGCACACCAUGUGUGUUGAGAAGACAUGGUAGAAGUUCUUUUAAGCCAAUAAAUCAAGUUUCCACUAACCGUGUACUGCAACUCCUUCAUAUGGAUCUCUUUGGACCAACUAGAACUCAAAGCAUUGGUGGAAAGAGAUUUUGCCUAGUAAUAGUGGAUGAUUAUUCACGAUUUACUUAGGUUUACUUUCUGGCAAGUAAGUCUGAAACCUUAUCUUAUUUUUCAAAAUUUGCUAAGAAAGUGCAGAAUGAGAAAUGUUAUGUGUUGACACCUAAAUUUUGGCAAUUUAGUUUAUUUAUUUAUUGCAUAGGAAAUUAAGGGUUAAUUUUAUUAAUUGCAUAACAUAUAGAUUUAGGUUGUAUUUAUUUUGUUAUUUGAGUUUUUGCAUUUUAAUGGACCGGUGGCGGAUGAGUUCGAAUCAGAUGGAUCAGGCCCACGAAGCGAGCAGGUUGGCCCAAGCCCACGUUUUUUAAUAAUUAAAAAUUAUCUCGUAGGAAUAUAAUAUUUUAAAAAAAUUUCGAGAUAUGAAUCUUUUUUAGAUAGGGCAGAUGGUUAAAAAAAUAUUGCGAUUUGGCCUUGAAAGAUUUGGAUUUAGGAAAAAAUCUCAUUUUAAUCUUGAAUCCUUAUCAGUAUGGGAUGAAUUUUAUGAAAAAAUAUUGCGAUAUUGUAAUUUAUCUUUGCGAGAUUUGGAUUUCGAGAAAAUAUUUAUCAUAAUCUUAAAUUUCUAUCAAUAGUAAUCGGUUGGUGAAAAUAUAUCGCGGAUGUAGAUUUGAAGGGGAAAUCAAAGGCUUAUCUCUUACCCCCUAUAAAAGCAACCGUGUACGAGGGAGUUUGAAGGGGGCUUCUCUGGAGAAAAAAAUUCAGAAAAGAAAAAAAGUAAAAGAGAGAAGGGAUUUUGAAGGGGGAAGCGGCCGAAACAGUAAAGGUUGAUUUGACCUUUACUGUUCAUCAUCUUCCCCCAAAGCACCUCCGCCCCACUCACCGCUCCUGCAACUCUGCACCGAAGCACCUCCGCGCCACAGCGACACCAGCCGCUUCUGUAACCCGAGCGCCCCAGCUCUGCCUCUGCCGUCGCGACACGAAGCCCGCCGGACGCCGAACCUCUUCACCUGCCGCGCCGCAGCCUCUGCAACUUCCAUCCGUGAAGACCCCCGCACCCACUGCCGCUUCGCCAGCAUCCCGAUCGGCGACCGACGUUGCCCGCCGGACGCUGCAGUCUUGCCACAUCGACGCUGGCUGGAAGUCGAGGCCAGCCGCGGCCACCUCGCUCGAAGCCCCGCGUUGUCCGCCCGAGCUCUCCCGUUCGUGCCGUGCUAACCCACGAUUUCGGUGACCCGUUGCCGCCCAACGCCUUUCCGCGCCUGAAUCGCGACGCCUGCUGCUUGGAGCCAAAGACCCGCGAUCCACCUGCUGUUCGGAGACGAAAACCCGAGCCAGAUCUGCCCACCGCCUGCACCGCGUCGGCUCCGAGCCUCCCCCGAAGCUGCUGCCGAUCCGAGCUUGACUGCCCCGAACCCGCCGGAGCUCCUCAUCGCAGCCACCAGAGGUCUCCCGCCGUCCCUGCAGCGCCCCGCCGGCUGAAGCCCGUGAUCCGAGCGCCCCGACGCAGCCCCCGCGACGCAGGCCCGUGCCGCCCCGAUGCCGCCUCCGCUUCGCCUCCAGGCCGAGCAGACCCGCGACGCUCCCUACUGCCUCGCUGCCGACACGCCGCUCCGGAGCUUCGCCGGAACCCUAGCCGGUGAUUCCCCCCUCGCCGGACCGGCCACCAGCUUUAUUUUUCUUUUUCUUUUUUAGAAAAAAAAAAGAAAAGGAAAAAGAGAAAAGCAAAAGAAAAUUUAGGUAUUUUCUUUAUCUUAUUUUUGUUUUAUUAUUUUUGCUAUUUUAUCUCUUUAGUGAAAUUGUUCCCUUUAAAUAUGUGAUUGAGAUCCCAAUAUGAAAGUCCCUCAGGUUAGGGAUUGACAGUUCGAUUUUCACGCCCGAAAUCCGACUUGCAAUCCCUUAUAAAAAUCGACAAUCCAAUCUCAAGCCCGAGAUUUGAUUCGCGAUUUAAAAUUAAAAUUGGUCUACCCGAUCUCAUGCGCGAGAUAUGGUUCGCCAAUUUUUUGGAUAUCAAUCUUAUCUUUUAUUUGAUUUGCUAUCGUUAAGUUGGUUGAGUCAAAUCUUAUUUUCGUAAAAAUAAAAAAUCAAAAAAAUCUUAAUUAGGAUUAGGUUUGUUGUCAUCUUGCAUAUUUAGGAUUGCAAUCUUAUUAUGAAUUUUUAAAUAAAAAAAUCCAAAAAAAGAAAGUGCAUUCAUUUAGGUUGUUAGUUUUUUAUUUGAAUUGCAUGUUAAUUAUGUGUUAGCUUUAAUUUCGAAAUUAAUUAAAAAAAAACCAUAAAAAAAUCAUUGUGCAUAUUAGAUUAGAAUUGCAUGCUUCAUUUUAAAUUUAGAUCAUAUUUUUAAAGAUAAAUGGCAUUUUAGAUUUAGAUAAUGUCUUAGUUUAAAUUAGGAUUUAAUAUGACUUAAUCCCUAGUUUAAAUUAGAUAGAAUCUUAAUCUAGCUAUAGAUCAUUUGAAAUUUAAUAAAAUUUGUCUUAGGAUAAAUUAGAGCAUUCUUUGCACGUCAUUGCAUGCUAAGACUGCAUAUUAUAGGUUUAGAUAAUUUCUCCUAAAUAGGUUGCAUGCUUAUUAGGAAAAUAAAAAUCAUGUGCACGUCAUAUAGAAUUAGUUUCAUACAAUGCACGUCAUUUAGUGAUUUUUGUUAGGUGCAUUUAAUUAGAAAUUGGCCGUCAUUAGAAUUAGGUCAUUAGAUUAAUUUAGAUUGCAUAUUUAAAUGUUGCAUUUCUUAAAUUUCGAAUCUCAUAGAAAAUACAAAAAAAUGUUAUUUAGAAUAAAUCAUCUCAUGCUUAUGAUAGAUUACAUGCUUAGUUAUGUCAUAUUGCUUAGGUCAUAUAGCUAAGUCAUGUUGCCAUGUCAUAUCAUUUCAUGUUAAAUUAGUGGCAUGCAUCGCAUAUUGCAUGAUUUUCAUUAAUUAAGUGAAAACAAGACAAAAAAUUGCGUGUUAAUUAGAAAUCAUAUUUAGGACUGCUGAUGUGAAUUCUAAAUUAACAUUGCAGAUGCUUUCGUUGCUUUGAGGUAAGUUCUGCAUCAUUUAUUCAUUUGCUUUCUUGAGUGUUAAAUUGGUGGUAUGCGCACAUGUAUGAUCACCUCACAUGUUAGGAAGUUUAUUUAAAAUUAAUUCAAUUGCCAAACAUUUUUGAAAAUAAAAAGAAUGGUACCGAAAGGGCAUUAGAGAAAUCUAAUGUAAUCAAGUCCCCGUACCCUUAGUCUCUGGUUCGUAGGAGUAAGGUAAUUCUCCCAUUAUUUUACUUAGGUGUCUAAUCGACCUACCAUAAACUGAUUAGUGGCGACUCCUAAAUAAAAUCAAUUUGCAUGUUAAGAAUUCGAACCUAAGUCGCGAAUUGGUAUGGGCUUGGGAGAGCCCGAGUUAAGUCUAGGCUUAACAAUCCAUUAGCCAAAACUCUAGGUGGUUCACACCCCCCGAAAAAAUAGGUCGCGACAUUAUGUUAUUUCAAGAAUAUGAAUAAACCAUGAAGGUGAGUUUGAAAAUCAAGACUUUGUCAAAUUUUGUGAUGAGUCUGGUUUUCAACGCGUGUUCUCUUCUCCAUACACUCCUGAACAAGAUGAAGUUGUGGAAAGGAAGAAUAGGUCUUUACAAGAGAUGGCAAGAACUCUUUUAAUUGAAAGUAAUAUUUCUUCUCGUUUUUGGGCUAAAACAGUUUCUACAGCAUGUUAUAUUAUUAACACAGUAUUCUUAACGCCUAUUUUGGAGAAAACUCUCUAUGAGUUAUUCAAAGGAAAUAAGCCAAUUGUUUUUUAUUUUCAUGUGUUUAGUUGCAAAUGUUUUAUCUUGAAAAAUGCAAAUGAUCGAAUUGGUAAGUUUGAAGAAAAAUCAGACGAAGGAAUCUUCCUUGGAUAUUCAACUUCUAGCAAAGCCUACAAAAUAUUCAACAAAAAAACUCAGUCUGUGGAAGAAUCAAUCAAUGUUAGAUUUCAAGACUCUCUGCAAACUCAAUUGAUUCAGACGCAAACUGAAGAAUCGGAACCUGCUCCAAACUCUAUAAAGUCUCCCUCCCCUGAAGUAGCUCAAACUCCAGAAGAAAAACAACGAAUGGAUGUUGAAAAUUCAACUGAAGAAGAAGACCAACAAUCUAUCAGAAUGACCAGCAACUUGAAGCAUAAGUCUAGUCAUCCCAAAGAACUCAUUAUUUGUGAUAUUAAUGAAGGGAUUCGUAACAGAUCCAAAAGGCAAGAAGAGUCUAGUGCUGUUGCACUUAUUUUUGAAAUAGAACCCAAAAGCAUAGAAGAAGCUUUAACUAAUGAAAGCUAGAUUGAAGCAAUGCAAGAAGAACUCAUACAGUUAAGCAUUAAUGAUGUUUGGGAAUUAACUCAUAAACCAAAAGGUAAGUCUAUUAUUGGAGCUAAAUGGGUUUUUAGGAACAAGAUGGACAAAAAAAGAAAAGUGAUAAGAAACAAACCAAGACUUGUGGCCAAAUGAUAUAUGCAAGAAAAAUGGAUAGACUAUGAUAAGACCUACGCUCCUGUAGCAAGGUUAAAAGUAAUUAGAUUAUUGCUUGCUUUUGCUUAUUAUAAGAAUUUUAGGUUAUUCCAAAUGGAUGUCAAAAGUGCAUUCCUAGAUGGAUUUAUUCAAGAAGAAAUCUAUGUGGAACAACCUCCCGGAUUUGAAGACCCAAGGAAACCAGACUUUGUAUUCAGAUUGAAAAAGGCUCUAUAUGGAUUAAAGCAAGCACCUCGAGCUUGGUAUGACAGGUUAAGUAAGUUUUUAAUUCAAAAUGGUUUUGUUAAAGGAAAAGUAGACACAACCUUGUUUACUAAAAAUGAAGGUAAAAUUUUUUUACUUGUUCAAAUUUAUGUUGAUGAUAUUAUAUUUGGUUCACCUAACGAAAACCUGUGCAAGAAGUUUUCUAAGUCUAUGCAGGAUGAAUUCGAGAUGAGCAUAAUGAGUGAACUAUUCUUCUUUCUUGAACUACAAGUAAAACAAUUAAAGGAAAGAAUUUUCAUUUACCAAAAAAAAUAUGCUAAAGAACUUGCUAAAAAGUUUGGAUUGGAGAAUUGCAAAAAGACCGAUAUACCAAUGUCAAGUUCUUCGAAGCUGGACAAAGACGAAUGAGGAAAGAAAGUUGACCAGAAGCUGUACAGGAGUAUCAUUAGUUCAUUUCUUUAUCUUACUGCUUCUAGACCUAAUAUUUUGCUUAGUGUUUGCAUAUGUGCUAGAUUUCAAUCUGAUCCAAAAGAGUCUCACCUAAGCGCUGCAAAACGCAUCAUCAAAUACAUUGCAACUACUUCAAACUUAGGUCUGUGGUAUCCCAAAGAAUGAGACUUUACUCUUCUUGGAUAUUUAGACGCAGAUUUAGUAGGUUGCAGAGUUGAUCAAAAGAGCACUUCGGGCACUUGUCAAUUGCUUGGUAACAGAAUAAUAUCUUGGUUUUCAAGGAAGCAAAGUACUGUAGCUCUUUCAACAUCAAAAGCAGAGUAUGUGGCUAUUGGAAGUUGUUGUUCUCAAAUCUUAUGGAUAAAACAACAAUUGAGAGACUUUGGAAUCAAAGACUCAUGCAUCAAGAUCAAAUGUGACAACACCAGUGCGAUGAAUCUCACAAAGAAAUUUGACACCAUUUCAUUAGAGAUCAUGUUCAAAAUGGAGAAGUCUUGAUCCAAUUCAUUGAUUCAAAGAAUCAGCUGGCAGAUUUAUUCACAAAACCGCUAGAGAAAAGCUUAUUUGAGUCUAUUCAUUCCAGACUUAACAUCUUAUCUCUUAAAGUCUGAAAAAACUCAGACUCAGGGUUAAAGUCUGAAGAUGCUCAGACUCAUAAGACCAAGAAUUACAACUGUAAGUUAUUUCGGUUCUAGCAAUUUAACUUUCGGAUAAAAACUCGAAAAGGUACAAUUACUUAUUAAUCGCCAAUUGAUUGAUGUUAUCUUUCCAAGUUUUUGAAGUUGUAACAAUUAUUCUUUUCGAAAAGGAAGUUAUCACUUUUGAAAUAACAGUUAUCUAUUUUCAAAAAGGCAGUUAUUCAUUUUUGAAAAGGCAUUUUUAUUUUUCCUUUUAUGACGAUAUGUAUACUUUGUUUCGAUUGCUUUAUAUACUGUCAUUCUUCUUCAUUUUUCUCACAAACCCUAGAGCACAGAACUUCACUUUCUUACUUUUUCUCUCUAGUUUAAUCCUUAAAGUUUCCAUUUUUCUCGCGAAUCGAGUUUGAAAAUUCUCUCAAAGACUGGGACAAUGUCUUCCUAAAGAAAAUCCUCAAGGAUAGCAAGCAAAGGACCACAGCAUAUGCGUGAGGGUUCUAUGCACUUCGAUUUGACUGAGGAAGAAGAUUUUUCAAGGCAGCAGCAAAGUCAACAAUAACAUUCUCAACUGUGCCAUUCUUCUCGGGCUAGAUCGCAAGGGCCUCAGCAACAAUAGGCAGAGGAAGAAAUUAUUAAGAAUGUCGAACCUAUAAGGACUCUUAAGCCUGCAUUUUCUUUCAAACUCUACACUGCCCUGAAGGAAGGUAGUUCUCCAAUGACCUUUAUUGAUGAAUUUUUUAAAGAACAAGGGUACCAAAAUGAAACCAAUUUUCUAAGAACGAUGGAAUGUUUGGGAAUUGCUCUUGCUAGUUCAAUAGAAAGGGCUUUUGCGAAUUUCCCAAGUGAUCCACGAUUUGGAGGAUUUGAUCAACCUGAGGGUAAAGAUGACGAUGAAAAGAUGUUUACUCAUUUUAAGCCUAGGAUGGGUGUUGCUGCAAAAAUUCUAGGAAGUAGAACGGAUCUGUUUCGUUCUGAGGAACACAAGUGAGUUUAUGCUAUACAGAUGAAGCGAGGGGUGAUGAACCCAAUGAGUGUGGAUUUUGAUUUUCUCGAUUCAUUGAACAUAAAUUUAAGGGAGAAGUUUUCUUUACUUCAACUUGAACAAUUCUGCUCUAAGACAACUGUAGCUUAUUCGGAACUUACAGCAUAUUUCUAUUCCAAUCUAGGCUUUUUUUUAUGUGAAUAGAUUUUCCUUUAGUGUUAGAGAUCAGGAUUAUAUGGUAGAUAUGGAUACUCUACUUGAUGUGAUUGGAGUGGAGAGAGGGAUUUUCCAAACAAUCAACGUGUCUGUUGGUCAUGCCACUAUGGAGCUUGUUCGAGAUAGAAUUGCAGAAGGCCGGAUUUCGUAUUUGAGGAUGAGUUCCUCUAAUGUCUUGCUCCAUAAGAUUGUUAUUAACUGUCUCAGACCCAAAUCCACAGCAAAGAUUGAUGUCUCCAAUUCUGAAGCGAAGCUGAUGUACGCAUCAACAUUGUUUACAAGUUCUCUCUGCCUCAUACCAUAAUGUUUCACAUGUAUCGGUCAAUGGUAAAGGACAAGGGACAACUUCCUUACUAUGCUCUUGUUACUCGUCUAUUCAGACAUCUUAACAUUUAGCCUCCCAGAAUUCUAUGUGUUCAAACCAGUGUUCCAAUGGUGGUAGGACUGAAGAUGGUUUCAAAGAUGUGUCUGAAGGAACUAAACAAGGCUUUAGAGCAAUUUAAGGAGAAGACACUUGUCAAGACUUGACAAGACCUUGUGACUGUAAAAAGAAAAGGGAAUGAGCCCAUGACAGCUCCAUUUAAGAAGGAGCCCAAGAUGAGGAAGAUGAGGAUGACAUCACUAUCUCAGCUCUUGCCUUAAAGAACUUACAACGUCUUGUUCCUGAGAAAGAGAUUCGAGAAAAAGACAAAGAGGAGACAGAACAGAAGAGUGAAGAGAGGGAAACGAUGAGGAAAGAAGAAGAAGAAGGAAGGAUAGAAGAAGAAGAGCGAAGAGAAGAUCAAACAUAAGGAGAAAGUCAUGGUGAUUCUCCAACAGAGGAAGAAUGACAAGAUUAUCGUGAAAUUGAAGAAGAGCUAGAUCAAGAAGAAUACUUCUCUCCACCUAACGGCACCGAAACAGGGGGAGCUAUUGAUAAAAAAGGUACUCCUUCACUUGCUUUUACCAGUGAUGAUGUUAGUCAUUCUCUUGUCGAUCCAGAGGAAGUGUAUGCCUCUCACUUUCCUGAAGAAGGUAAUGAGGCUUCAUCUCCAAGUCUGGAUGUUCGUGCUGAAGUUCCAUCAUCUGGCAACACUCCAGAAACCGAUCAUGCUAAAGCAAGUAUCAAACUGACAACUCAGUAGACUUUAAAAGAUUGCUUGAACUUCUUCUGGAAAUCAAAGAUCAGAUUUAUGCCUUGGGAUGUGAAUUUUAGAGCAUGCAGAAUGCUCAUCAAGCCACUUCAGUUUCUUUGCACUAUCAAGUUCAAGAUACAGCAAAGGGUGAGGAUUUAACGCAACUGAAGGAGGAUCUGAAAACGUUGGAGGAGACUGUAAAGUUUAUGGGAGAUUUCCAGCUCGUUCACAUUCCCAAACAAUCUUAAUUUUAUCCAAUUUUCUUUGUAUUUUCUACUUUUUGCUGUUGACAAAAAGGGGGAGAAGUCAAUGCAGAUUUGACACUCUAAUUUUGAUCUCUGAUUUUGAUUUGGCUUUGAUUACUUUUAUCUUUUGUUUGGACUGUGAUUGGUUUGGACUAGUUUGACCUUCUUAAUGCUUGCAGUAUCUUAAGUUAUGUUGAUGAUUUUGGUAAAGAUAGUUGAUUUUACAAGACUAACUUGUUUUCUGUGGAUGUAGAAUUGCUACUAUCUUUAUCCUAAUUUACUUAUAUUUUAUGAGAUAUCUUUGUUUGCUUAAGUGAUAUCUUGCAGGUCUAAAGUAUCCAAAUCUAUAAGAAAUUUUUGUCAUCAUCAAAAAGGGGGAGAUUGUUGGAGAAAUCUUUCCUAUUUGUUUUGAAAUUGACAAAAUGUUUCCAUCAGUCUUGUCUGAAGACUUGAAGACUCUAUCGUCAAAGUCUGAAGACCUCCAGACUCAAGGUUUAAAGUCUGCCCUCAUUGACAAUUUCCAAACCGACGAAUGAAAGUAUUAUCCAUUGAAUAAGACUUAUCCAGAUGCAGGUAUAUCUUUAAGGAUUUGAUUUGUGCGGUUGAAGAAUAUCUCACAGCUGGAGAUAGCACUUCGAGAUCUAUUAUUCGUAUUGAAAUUAAUUCGAGCAAUUUAGAUUCGUUGAAUUGCGAAGUAUACUUGGAAGGUUCUACUUAUAGAAACCUAGAUCCUGAUUGUAUAAGCGAGCAGGAUUGGUAGGCUAUCAUCACAUUCCUUUGAUAACUUGAGAUCUUCCUAAUUGAUUCUAUCUAACGGGUAAAUUGGAAGAACUCCUUGGAAAGGUGCUAAUGGUUAUGAUGGCAUGGAGGAGUAUAUAAGGAGGAUGCUCAAGUUAUUCGAGUGUGUGCGUGAAAUAAAAAUUCAAAAGUCUGAAACUCUUAUUUCUUUGUUGUUACAAUUUGUCGAGCUUAAACUAUACUCAAAAGAGAGAUCAAUUCUUGUGAGACCUUGAAGAAGUGUAGCAAAGUUUCUACAUUGUUGAAUCAAGGAAGUGAUACUAUAAAAUCUCUUUUGAUUCAUAGUGGAAUUCAGCCAGUGGGCUGUUAGUGUGGGAGAGUGGACGUAGGCUUGGUCUAAGCUGAACCACUAUAAACCUUGUGUUUAAAUUCUCUUUCUCUAAUCUCUUUACUUAAUUCACAGUCUUAUAUAUCAGUUUAUAAUCUUUUAUCUACUGUUUUAUUAUAAAUCAAGUUAAGUUGUUAAGUCAUAUAAAAAUUUCCUUAACACCUAUUCACCUCCUCUAGGUGUUUAUACUAGCAUUAUCAAAAUUUAGUGAGAAUCCUUAAGCACUUCGCCCUUUAAAAAGAAAAGAAAAGAAAAGCUAGAUAAUUUGGGUGAGAAAAUAAUCUUAGGAAAUUUUAUAAGGUUUGAGUGCCUUACUCGGGUCUUCAAACCCUCUUAGUUUAGUGUUUUGUCUCUACUAUAGAAUCGUUCACUAAAUUGGUGAUGAUAUUAAAUAAUGCCUUCAAUCCAAAAAAAUGCAGUACUAUAUUUUAUAAUUGAUAAAACUUGCAUGUCAAUACACAUCAUAUGUGUGAUGUAUGCAUGAUAUAGCGAAUUGUUAGUUCACAUGUCGAAAGUAGAACACAAAGUUAAUUUUCAUUGAUAACAUAGAAGUUAGGGUUGAUACCACGAAAAACAUCAAAUUAAUAUGUUUGUGACAAAUUUAUCCAAAAUUAAUUUUUGGGUCACCAAAAACUCCAAACCGAUACGCCAAUCACCAAAAAUCUCAAACCAGUACACUCGUAACUACCCCAAUUGAUAUAGAUUUUCACAUGAAUUUGCCACAUGAAUAGAGUUAUUGUCAUGUGUGUCACGACCUCCACAAAGCUAGUGGAACCACUUAAAUGUUUGGCUAAUGGAUUAUUAGUUUAGACUUAACUUGGACACUCCUAAGCCCAUAUCAAUUCGCAACUUGGGAUUUAAGUUCUUAACAUGCAAAUGAUUUUUUAUAAUGGAGUUGCCACUAAUUAAUUUUCGGUAGGUUGAUUAGAAAUCUAAGUAAAGUAAUGGAAAGAUUACUUCUAAAUGAAUUCAAGGACUUGAUUAUGCUAGAUUUCUCUAAGCCAUUUCGAUACAUUUUCUCUUUUAUUUCAAACAAAUAUUUUGUAGGUAGUUUACAUAGAUUUUAAAUUACUCUUAAAUGUGAGGUGAUCAUGCAUGUGUACAAUCAUUAUUUAAUACUCAAUAAAGAAAAACAGUAAAUAAAUUUCUAAAAAGAAAUUUCUGGUAUUUAAUUAAAUUUGAAAUUAUAAAAUAACCAAAAUAAACAUGCAAUCUAUCAUUAAAAAACUACUUUAAUCGUGUCUAAUCUUUUUGGAUUUAAAAAAAUCAAUUAAAAUCAAACAAAAAUAGAAAGAAAUCAAAUCUACAUGAAACACAACAUCUAGGAUGUUAUCCUUGUCCUUCUAAUUUUGGAAACAAAUUGACAAAUCUAUGAGAUCGGAUUGACCAAUAUGUAAUUAUGAAUCGUAAUAAGACCGAAUUGAUGAUCUUUUUGUACAAUCAUGAAUCGUAUCUCGAGUGAGAGAUUGAAUUGGCGAUUAUAACACUUUGUGAAAUUAACCUGAGAAAUUUCAGAUAAGAUAACAACGUUCAAGAAUUCAAUUAAGAAUGCAUUACUUCAAAUGAGGAAAACAAAAUAUUCAAGAAUUAAUUUAGAUAGGAGUUUUACUCACUUUGAUUACUUGUUUCCAAGUUCGGACAAGGGACAAAUCACGAGAGUCAUGGAUCAACCGUGCUUCACGGUGGUGCUCGGCUGAGGGGCUUUCGCAACAGCCGCCAAUGGACAAGCCCCGUAAUGAAGAAACGGCAAAGUCAAGCUAUGAUGGAAAGUUUGGACUUGUGGAUUGCAAAGUCGCUGAAAUUUGUUGGACACUGGCUGGGCGUAUUUGCGAGGUAGUCUGGAAAACACUUGCUCUUCGCCUAAGGACACCCUCGCUUGCCUGGAAUAGCAAGCAAGCAGGGACAUAGGCAAUGACUGCUAGGCAACACCGAGCACGACUAGAAACAGUGGUACGAGAGUUCAGACGUCGAGUAUUGCUGAAGAGCAAGUCAUAAUCGCUGGAAAACCUGCGGAAAGAUUGACCACUGGAAUGCCGCUGGUAUGGUGCUAGUCGUGCAAGGCGCGGCUCUGGGACAGCGAAGUUCACAAGUAACCGAGUGGUGCAGCUGCAAGGGGAGGCCGUCGCUUGCUUUUGGCGUUGACAACUCACCGAAAAAGAAUCUGGAAACAACCUGUAAAAAUAGAAACGCAAGUCAGGGGACCGAGAGGAAGCAAAAGCGUCGGCCUCAAUCAAGCUAGCGACAGCACAAGGAAGGAUGACGAGAUAUUACCGCUUGAGCAGGAACGGCGACCUUCACAGUCAGUGGCAGGAAUUGUGGGUGACGAAGCAACCACCUCGUAGAGUCAAGGACCUCCUCUGUUUUGCAGGCCGCAAGACACGGGUCGUCUUGGUGAUGGAGGCAGCAAAACCAGGGCAACAACACUGGGUCUAAUGUCAAGCUCGCAACAGGGGAGCGGCGCCAGGUGAAGAGUUUGAGGAGCUUGAGCGUGACUAUGCAAGCGUUAGGCUGAGGAAGACGAUUGUUUCUCUCUCUCCUCUUUAUCUCUUUGAGUCAAAUAUCAGCGCCCAAGUUGGUCGAAUAUCACGCUAAAGAUAGAGUUCUGCUUGUGAAAAGGAAAGACUAAUUCAAGAUUGUGGAUAGACAACCACUGACAAAUAGAUGGAAAUUUCCCAAAUGUCAAUCUUUGUAAAGAUAAGCGUGCUAUAUCUCCUUCGUAUGCUUGCCGUUGCAGAAAAUAUAUGAAUAUUUUUUUCUUUCUUGUUCUUUUAUGGCCGAAUUGCUCUCCAAAUUUCUGAAAUUUUCCAAUUUUAAUUACCCAUAUGCACCACAUGCAAUUUUCAACCACGUGGGGCAGUCAUUGGGCUUGAAUUUCAUGAUUCUGUAGGUUUAGUCCAUUAAGCUCAGAAGUUCAAACCACCACUAGUCCAAUUUAAUGCCAUAAAUGAGCUUAUCUAUAUACUAUGAAAAAUACACAUAAAAACUACAUGAAAUUUAAAAUUUUAAUAGUUUUUUAGGAGUUAAAAAUUAAUAGCUGAUUUUCUAUGCAAUAAAUGGAUAAUUUGUUUGUCAAAAUCUAGGUGUUAACAAUGUGCCAUUCAACUCAAUAAAUUCAUCAUAAAAAUUUAAUGAAAGUUAACAGAGGAUAAAUAUGUCAUUAAUGUACUAAUUUGGAGUUUUUGUUGACUCAAAAAUUUGUUCUUGGUAAAUUAAUUUGGAGUUUUUCAUGACAUUAACCCUAGAAGUUAUUAAUUUGCCUCACAACAUCGGCAAUGUAUCAAAUACACGAAUUUCUUAUGACAUAGACUAUAUUUAGCUCACGGAUGAAUUAGCCCCCAUAAAUAUACGCAAACUACCCCAUCCACAUAUAGCAAUUAAGGUUUCAUUCAUAAGAUGAUAGGCAUGGUCAACAAGCUUAAUACAAGAGGGGUAAACUCUUAUUUGGAUUAGGAUUCGCUAUUUUCCAAGCCAAUAGUCAUUUAUCCCAAACUAAUUUUUUGAUCAUAAAAAACCCUAAAUUGGUACACAUGUGAUAGAAUUAUUCUAAAUUAAUUUUUUGAUCAUAAGAAAUCCCAAAUUGGUACAUUUAUGACAAUUUUACACUCCGUUAAUUUUUGUUAGAUUUGAUUAAUACCGCAAAAAAAAAAAAACACAAAACUAGUAUGCGUGUGACACACAAAAGAUAAAACCUUAAAUGAGUAUAUUUGUUAAUUGUCUCAUGUCAUCCAAUUUAAUUAUUUGAUUGCAAAAUUUAACAUAAACUAACGGAAAGUAAAUCCGUCACAAAUAUACCAAUUUGGAGUUUUUGAUAUUAAGAAAAUUAAUUCGGGAUAAAUUUAUGACAUGUGACCAAUUUAAGAUUUUUCGUUGUAUUUACCCUAAAAAAAGGGUUUAUUAUGUUAGAAAAGAAAAACAAGUUCACGGAGGGAGGUGACAAAAAGGAGAAGAGGAAUGUCCUAGCAAAUUUUCUCGAGAAAAUUCUCUCUCACUAGGGUUUAUAGUUCUCUACCGCCUUCCUUCAUCUUUCUACUUCAUAAGCCUCAAUCAUAGUGUUAGAUUAUUUAAAUAUUAAAUAAUAUCUCCAUCUAAUAGCUUAAGCUUGUAAAAUAAUUAGUAGUGAUUUCACCAAAAUUUCACAUGAUAUCAGAAGAACAGGUUUUGAGUGCAAAUAUUUCAAAGUCCAUAUAUGUCUCUCCUAUUAAAUAUUUCAAUAUUGGCUUAUGCCAAAGCCCAACUGACGUAUGAAAUGUUGGAGAAAACUUAUUUACUGUUUUAAAGUUGACAAAACAUUUCCAAAGUUUAGUCUGAAGACUUCCAGACUCUAGUGUCAAAGUCAGAAGAUUGCUAGACUUUAGAUUCCAAGUCUGCCCACAUUAACAGUUUCCAAACUGAAAAAUAAAGACUUAUCCAUAUGCGAGAUUAUCUUUAUUUCUUUAAGGAUUCGAUUCAUAUGGCUUAUGGAUGACCUUAUGGCUGGAUAUAACACCUACAUGAUUGAUUAUCCUUAUUGGAAUCAAUUCCGAUAUUCAAAUCUUUUGGAAGGCAAGCAAACUUGGAAGGCUCUACUUAUGAAAACUAAGAUCCUAAUUAUUUGAGCGAACAAGAUUGACAGGCUUUCAUCACAAAUCUUCAAAUGACUCGAGAUCUCCUUGAUUGAUUCCGUCCAAGGGGUAGAUUGGAAGAAUUCCUUUGGAAAGUGUCAACUGUCGUAAUGGCAUGAGGAAUAUUUAAGGCAGACUCUCUAGUUGUUCGAUAGAGUGUGUGAAAGAAAAAUUUCAAAGUCUGAAGCUUCCUAGUUCCUUGCUAUUUCAUUCACUAAGCUCAAAGUUGUUUACAAAAGAGAGAAACUCAUAGCGAGACUUUAUGAGAGACCAGUAGAGAUUCUUCAUCGUGAAGUCAAGAUCAUCAAGCUGUAAAAUCUUUUUUGAAUUCUUAGUGGAAUCCAACCAAUAGGCUGUCAGCUUGGGGGAGUGAAUGUAGGCUUGAUCUAAGCCGAACCACUAUAAAUUUUGUGUUCUUAAUUCUCUUCCCUCAACUCCUUUAUUUGAUUUAUAGCUCCAAUUAACUGUUUAAGUACAAAUUCCUUUACUUUGUUUAAAGCGUUAUUUAAUCACUAAAGUCAGAAUUCAUCUAUGUUUUUCUAAAGGAAAUUAUAUUUAUUGAUUUUGUGAAAAAAUUUAUUCACAUCUAUUCACUCCCUCUAGGUGUUGAGGGAGAAUUCCUGUUAAAGUCUCGAAGUAUAUAGAUGAACUUUGUCUUAGCCUCAAAACAGCUCUUAAAAGGAUUUCUGAGCUAAAGAGAGAAAAUUCCAAACUAAGGUAAUAAGAAAUUUUUUGGAAGGAAAAGUUUGAAAGUCUAGAUAAAAGUUUUGUAGAUUUGAAACAAAAUUCAGAUUCUCUCUCAAAGGAAAAUGUCUUGUUGAAGAAGAUAUUUCAAAUAUCACAAAAAUAUUUUCAAAUCUGAGAAGUUAGAAAAAAUUCUUUCUGUACAAAGACCUUAUUUCAACAAAUCUAGUUUAGGUAUGACUCCAGAAACAAUUCCUUUAAUUGAUUUUCCUAAAGUUAAAGAGAGAAGCAAACAAAGACCUACAAAGGCAUUUUACAAAAAUCAUUUUCAAAGAGUUUUUGUAAAACCUGUUGGCUGAAGUGCUCUCAAAUGUUCAAAGUGUAACAGUCUAGAACAUUUCGAGAAAAAAUGUCCCAAGGUUUGUAGACUUGUUAAGAGAAAUUGGGCGAAGACCGUUUUCAAUACUAACUCUCCUAAACCCAAUAAAAUAUGGGUAUUAAAGAAAGCUUGAGUUCUUUUUAUAAUUGCAGGUCACUAUCAAGAAGAAGAUCAAAUGGUAUUUGGAUAGUGGCUGUUCAAGACACAUGACUGGAGAUUCAAAUUAUUUUAUAAAGCUUGUUCAAAUUAAUAGUGGAAAAGUUUUCUUUGGAGAGAACAGCAAAUGAAAAAUUGUUGGAUAUGGAACUGUUAAGAUUGAAAGCCUCAUUAUCAAUAAUAUCUCCUUAGUGGAAGGUCUAAAUUACAAUCUACUUAGCAUAAGUCAGCUUUGCGAUACUAGAUUUAAAAUCUAUUUCCAAGAAAGCAUAUGUUCAGAAACAAGUAAAUAUCUAUCUCAAUCUUUCACUGGAUGAAGGCAUGGGAAUAUUUACCUUAUGGAUAUAAAACCAGAAAAUUCUCGGUGUCUUAUAUCCAUUCAAGAUGAAGAAAAUCUUUGGCAUCGAAAGUUUGGUCAUGUCAACAUGAAGCAAAUUGCCAAGAUUUCAUCCAAGAAGCUUGUUCGAGGUCUUCUUAACCUGGCUUAUCAAAAAUCUGAAUUAUGCACUCCUUGUGUUUUGGGAAAACGGGUUAGAAGUUUCUUUAAACCGAUAAAUCAAGUUUCUACUAGCUUAUUCGAGGUCUUCCCAACCUGACUUAUCAAAAAUAUGAUUAUGCACUCCUUGUGUUUUGAGAAAACAGGCUAGAAGUUUCUUUAAAUCUAUAAAUCAAGUUUCUACUAAUCGAGCUUUACAGCUUCUGCAUAUAGACCUCUUUGGACCAACCAGAACUCAAAGCAUUGGUGGAAAUAGAUAAUGCCUAGUAAUUGUGGAUGACUAAUCUCGCUUUACUUGGGUUUACUUUCUAGUAAAUAAGUCUGAAGCCGUCUCUCACUUUUCAAAGUUUGCCAAGAAAGUUCAUAAUGGAAAAUGAUAUGCUAUUUCAAGCAUACAUACAGACCAUAGAGGUGAGUUUGAAAAUCAAGACUUUACUAAGUUCUGUGAUAAAUCUGGUUUCCAGCAUGUUUUUUUUCUCCAUACACUCCGAAACAAAAUGGAGUUGUGAAAAGAAAGAAUAGAUCCUUGCAAGAGAUGGCAAUAACCCUCUUAAUUAAGAGCAAAAUUUCCUCUCGUUUUUGGGCUGAAGCGAUUUCUACAGCCUACUAUAUCAUAAAUAGAGUGUUCUUGAGGCUUAUUCUAGAGAAAACUCCUUAUGAAGUGUAUAAAGGGAAGAAACCAAAUGUUUCUUAUUUCCAUGUGUUUGACUAUAAAUGUUAUGUUUUGAAAAAUGCAAAUGAUCGAAUUGGAAAGUUUGAAGAAAGAUCAGACGAAUGAAUUUUCCUUGGCUACUCAACCACAAGCAAAGCAUACAGAGUAUUUAAUAAGAAAACUCAAUCUGUGGAAGAAUCUAUGAACGUCAAAUUUCAGGACUCUAUGCAGAAUCAACUGGAUCAGACUCAACUUGAAGAAUCUGAACUUGCUCCAGACUUUACAAAGUCUAGCACACCAACAAGAAGAAUUAAAAGAUUCAACAUAAGCAAAAGAUCAGCAGACUCUCAGACCAACCAGCAACUGGAAGCAUAAAUCAAGUCAUCCUAUAGAUCUCAUCAUCGGCAAUAUUGAUGAAGGAAUUCGCAUCAGAUCCAAAAGGCGAGAAGAGUUUAGUGCCUUAGCACUUGUUUCUGAAAUAGAACCCAAAGGUGUAGAAGAAGCUUUGUCUGAUGAAAGUUGGAUCGAAGCUAUGCAAGAAGAGCUCAGACAAUUCAGCAUCAAUGAUGUUUAGGAGUUAAUUCCUAAACCUAAAAGUAAGUCUAUUAUUGGGACUAAAUGGGUUUUCAGGAACAAGGUGGACGAGAAAUGUAAAGUGGUCAAGCACAAAGCAAGACUCAUGGCCAAAGGAUACAUGUAAGAAGAAGGAAUAGACUAUGAUGAGACAUAGAAGCAAUUAGAUUAUUACUUACUUUUGCUUGCUAUAAAAAUUUCAGGUUAUUCUAGAUGAAUAUAAAGAGUGCAUUCCUAAAUGAAUUUAUCCAAGAAAAAGUCUAUGUGGAACAACCAUCUAGAUUUUAAGAUCCAAGAAAGCCAGACUCAGUGUACUAACUGAAAAAAGGCUUUAUAUGGACUGAAGCAAGCACCUCGAGCCUAGUAUGAAAGGUUAAGUAAAUUCCUAACCCAAAAUGGUUUUGCUACAAGAAAGGUAGAUACUACAUUGUUUGAGGUGAGGACACCUGGAGUGCCAUAACUUGGCACGCCGGGACACUUAAGUGCCAUAACUUUAAAAUGGUACACUUAAGUGCCAUCAUCGGAGUAAAAUGGGACACUUAAGUGCCACUCUGGCGAAAAUCCGGCCAAAUGGCUGACGCGGCAAUUUUCCGGCGAGUUUAGUCCAAAACGGCGUCGUUUUGCACGCUGACGUGGCGGAGAAAACGCAAAAACGACGCCGUUUCAUGUCUACGUGUAAAUAAUAAUAUAAAAAUUAAUUAAAUUAUAAAGUAUCAAAAAAUNNNNNNNNNNNNNNNNNNNNNNNNNNNNNNNNNNNNNNNNNNNNNNNNNNNNNNNNNNNNNNNNNNNNNNNNNNNNNNNNNNNNNNNNNNNNNNNNNNNNGUCUUAGGAAUUUGUUUGGAUCAAAAUAAAGUCCUUCUGUGAUUACAUUUUCUAAUUUUUUUUUUACAAUCUGAGUGGUACCUAGUAAGUUUUUAGAAUCCGAUGCACCUUCCAAGAUGAAUUAUAGGAUUUUAAGUGCAACUUAUCCUUUCUUCUUCUGCUAUAUAUAAAUGUAUAACAAAAGUGUAUCAAAAUCUGAAAAUUUUUAAAAAGUGUAAUUAAGUCAUUAAAUUUUGUAGAUCUUUCGAAUCAUGUAAGUGUACUUAUAUUUUCUGAUUCUUUUUUUUUAAAAGCACUCUUUCAUAUUAGUUUCCAGUGGCAGCUCGUGGGAGCUACAAAACGAGAAAGGGCACUACCGUGUACUGUUUUGAAGUUAUGGCACUUAAGUGUCCCGGCGUGCCAAGUUAUGGCACUUGUGCUGGACUUCUGCCUACAUUGUUUUUAAAAAGAGAGGGUAAUGAUUUUCUACUGGUUUAAAUUUAUGUUGAUGAUAUUAUUUUUGGAUCCCCUAAUGAAAAUCUAUGCAAGAAAUUCUCUAGAUGUAUGUAGGAUGAAUUCGAGAUGAGUAUAAUCGGUGAGUUAACCUUCUUUUUGGGAUUGCAAGUUAAACAAUCAAAGAAAUGUAUUUUUAUUCACCAAGAGAAAUAUACAAAAGAUCUCAUUAAGAAAUUUGGAUUAGAGAAUUGCAAAAAGACAUAGAUUCCAAUGUCAAGUUCGUCGAAGCUAGACAAAGAUGAAGGAUGAAAGAAUGUUGACCAGAAACUUUACAGGAGCAUUAUUGGUUUGCUUCCUUAUCUUAGUGCAUCUAGACUUGACAUUUUGUUUAUUGUUUGCAUAUAUACUAGAUUACAAUCAAAUCCCAAAGAAUCUCAUUUAAGUGCUGCAAAACGGAUCAUCAAAUAUGUUGCAACUACUCCAAGGCUAGGUCUGUGGUAUUAUAAAUAAUGAGAUUUUACUCUUCUUAGAUAUUCAAACGCAGAUUUAAUAGUUUGGAGUUGAUAGAAAGAAUACCUCUGGUACUUGUCAACUAUUGGGUAACAAGCUAGUAUCUUGGUUCUCAAGAAAGCAGAGUAUUGUAGCUUUAUCAACAGCAGAAGCAGAGUAUGUGGCUCUUAGGAGCUAUUGUUCUCAAAUUUUGUGGAUAAGGCAACAACUAAGAGACUUUGGAAUUGAAGAAUCAUGUACCGAGAUCAAAUGCGACAACACCAGUGCCAUCAAUCUCACAAAAAAUCCAGUUCUUCAUUCGAAGGCAAAACACAUAGAGAUUCAACAUCAUUUCAUAAGAGAUUAUGUUUAAAAUGGAGAAGUUAUGAUUCAAUUCAUUGACUCGAAGAAUCAGCUAGCAGAUAUAUUUACAAAGUCACUAGAGAAAAGUCUUUUUGAGUCUAUUCGCACCAGACUAAACAUUAUAUCUUCUAUCGAUUAAAGUCUGAAGGUGUUUAGACUCAGAAUGACCAAAAACUACAUCUAUAAGUUAAUUUCUCUUCAAUGCAAGUAAUUUAAUUUUAGCAUAAAAAAUCUGAAAAGGUACGUUAUUUUUUUCUUUGAAUCGUUACUUGCCUAUUUUAUUUUUAGAAAUUAUCUUUUUUGAAUUUUUGAAUUUUUGGCAGUUUUUAUUUUUGAAAAAUGAAGUUUAUUUUUUCCUUUGUGACUGUUCAUAUACCCCGUUUCACUUGCUUUAAAUACCGUCGAAGUUCUUCUCCAUUUAUGAUUUCUUAAACCCUAGAAUACAUAAUUCUUACUUUCUCAUUUCUUCUCUCAAGUUUUCUUUCCAAGUUUUCACCUUUUUGAAACGAACGAGUUCAAGAAGUCUUCCUUGACUGUGAAGAUGUCUUUCCAAAGGAAAUCGUCUCGGAUUGCGAACAGGGGACCACAGAACAUGCCAAAGGGUCCUACUCACUUUGACUUGACCAAAGAAGAAGAUUCUCCUCAACAACAACAUUCUCAACAGCGUCAGCGUGUGUCUUAAGAUCCUCUACACCAACCGAUGGAAGAAGAGAUUGUGGAAGAUGUUGAACCUGUAAAAACGUUGAAACCUCAGUUUCUCUUUAAACUUUAUAAUCAAUUGAAGCAAUGUGGUACUGCAAUGAUGUUUAUUGAUGAGUUUCUACAAGAAAGAGGAUACAAGAACAAGACCAUCUUUCUAGGGCAAAUGGAAAGGUUAGGCAUUGUGCCUCAAGGUUUGGCUGACAAGACUUUUGCCAACUUUCCAAGUGAUCCACGGUUUAGUUCUUUUAAUCAGCCUGAGGUGAAGGAUGAUGAUGAGAAAAUGUACGCAAAUUUUUAGCCUAGGAUGGGCAUGGCUGCUGAUGUGCAUGGUGAGGGAAUGAAUUUGUUUCGUUCUAAAGACCACAAAAAGACUUAUUCGAAUUUGCUGAAAAGAGGGGUGAUGAACCCUCGAUCUGUGGAUUUUGAUUUCUUAGAUUCCUUGAAGGUGAACCCAAGGGAGAAGUUCUCUCUUCUUCAACUUGAAAGAUUCUGUUAUGAGAGUUUUGUUGCUUACCCUGAAUUAACUCCUUACUUCUAUUUAAAUCCAUCUUUUCUAGAUACGAAUAGAUUUCGUUUUACAGUAAUGGAAAAAGAUUUUGUGGUGGAUGUGGGCACAUUAGCGGAUGUUAUUGGUGUGGAAAGAGGGAGUUUUCAACCAAUAAACGUGUCUGUUGGUCAUGCAACACUAUCUCUUGUUUGGGACAGACUUGUUCAGGAAGGAAUUUCAUAUUCCAAAAUGUCUGCUUCCAAUAUUUUACUGCAUAAGGUUGUAAUCAAUUGCAUUCGACCCAAGUCAGCCUCCAAAACAGAUGUAUCUUAUUCUGAGGCAAAGCUGAUGUUUGCCAUCAACAAUGGAAUAAUGUUCUCGCUACCACAUACAAUCCUGAUGCACAUGUAUAGGACUAUUGUGAAUGAUAAGGAACAACUUUCUUACUCCGUGCUAGUUAUAAAAUUGUUUCGACACUUUCACAUUCAGUUUCCAUGAUCUAUUUGUGUCAGAACCAUUGCUCCUAUGGUGAUUGGUUUGAAGUGUUUUCGAAAAUGAGAUCGAAUGAACUGAAUAAAGCAUUGGAGCGCUUGAAGGAGAAGUCUUCAACCAAAACAAAACAAGACUCUGUGGCAAAGAAAAGGAAAGGCAAAGAGCCAAUAACUGCACCUAUCAAGAAGAGGAGAACCUUUAUUUUAUAGGACGAAGAAGAAGAUGAGGAUGAUCUCACACUCUCCGCAUUUGUCUUGAAAAAUCUAUAGAGUUUUGUUAGUUUUGAGAAGCCGCGGAAUAGAGAGGAAAGAGGACGAGAAGAGACAGAGUAGAGAAGUGAAAGAAGAGAAGAGAAUGAAGUGAAGAAAGAAAAGCUGAGGAAGAGAGAAGAAGAGAAGAAAAAGAAGGAAGGGAAGAAGAAGAAGAGGGUCAAGAUGACUCUUUUGAACCAACAUUUGCAGUAUCCUUGUCAGAAGAUUCUGAGAAGACUUGAAGUGGAACUACAGGAGAUGAACGAGAAAAAGAACAUCACUUGGGUGGUGAAGCUAAGCAAGAACAAGAAGAAUAAUUCUUUUCUCCACCCGUAGGCACAGAGACAAGGGGAGCUGUUGAAAAAAGAGGUACUUAUUCACCUAUUUUUACAAGUAAUGAUGUGAGCAGAUCUCCAGCAGAUCCAGAGGAUGUAUAUGCCUCUCAAUUUCCUGAAGCUGAUGUUGAGGCAUCCUUUCCAACUCUUGAAAGUAGAGGAGCUGAUAACACUCCUCAAACUGAUCAUGUUGAAGCUAGUACACAAACAGAGAUUCUGUAGACUUUAAAAGAUUGCUAGGACUCCUUGUGGAGAUAAAAGCUCAGCAAUAUAGCAUGGAAUGUGAAAUUCAGACUCUUUAAUCUGUAUUGAAAGCUACCUUAGUCUCUCUUCACGAUCAAGUACAAGAUCUUAAGCUUCAAUUUCAAAAGACAAUUCAAGAGACUGUCAAAUUUGAGGAUGUUAAGGAGGUGAAGGAGUCACUGCGAAAGCUGGAAGAAACAGUUCAGUCAAUGGGAGAUUUCCAGCUCGUUCGCAUCCCCAAACAACCCUGAUUUCAUCAAACUCUUUUUAUUCUUCUCCACUUUUUGCUGUUGACAAAAAGGGGGAGAAUGUGCGCAGAUUUGACUUAUUUGACUUUUUAUGAUUUGAAUUUUGGUUUUUGGUUUUGACUGCUUAACUUUGUUGGAUUUGUUGGACUUUUUAACGUAACUUACUUUGGUAAUACUGAUUGUGGUUGAAUAGUUAAUUGUCUUAUCUUUUCAGGAUUAACAUAUUUUCUUUGGUUGCAGAACUGAUGCUAUCCAAGUCAUAAUCAACUUAAUUUUAUAAGAGAUUCCAUAUUGCCUAAGAGUUGUUUUGCAGGUCAAAUUUUUAUAAAUCUGCAGGAAAGUUUUGUCACCAUUAAAAAUGGGGAGAUUGUUGGAGAAAACUCAUUUAUUGUUUUAAAGUUGACAAAACAUUUCCAAAGUUUAGUCUAAAGACUUUCAGACUCUAGUGUCAAAGUCUAACGAUUGCCAGACUUUAGAUUCAAAGUCUGCCCGCACUGACAGUUUCUAGACUAAAGAAUGAAGACUUAUCCAUAUGCGAGAUUAUCUUUAUUUCUUCAAGGAUUCGAUUCAUAUGGUUUAUGGAUAACCUUAUGGCUGGAUAUAACACCUACAUGAUUGAUUAUCUUGAUUGGAAUCAAUUCCGAUAUUCAAAUCUUUUAGAAGGCAAGCAAACUUUGAAGGUUCUACUUAUGGAAACCAAGAUCUUGAUUGUAUGGGUGAAUAUGAUUGACAGGCUUUCAUCACAAAUCUUCAAACGACUCAAGAUCUCCUUGAUUGAUUCUAUUCAACAGGUAGAUUGAAAGAAUUCCUUUGGAAAGUACCAACGGUUGUGAUGGCAUGAAAGAGUAUUUAAGGCGAACUCUCUAGUUGUUUGAUAAAGUGUGUGAAAGAAAAUUUUCAAAAUCUGAAGCUUCCUAGUGCCUUGCUAUUUCAUUCACUGAGCUCAAAGUUAUUUAAAAAAGAGAGAAACUCAUAGUAAGACUUUAUGAGAGACCACUAGAGACUCUUCAAUGUGUUGUUGAGAUCAUCGAGUUGUAAAAUCUCUUUUGAAUUCUUAGUAGAAUCCAACCAAUAGGCUGUCAGCUCGAGAAGUGGACGUAGGCUUGAUCUAAGCCAAACCACUAUAAACUUUAUGUUUUUAAUUCUCUUCCAUCAACUCCUUUAUUUGAUUCGUAGCUCCAAUUAACUGUUUAAGUACAAAUUCAUUUACUUUGUUUAAAGCUUUAUUUAUUUAAUCACUAAAGUCAGAAUUCAUCGGUGUUUUUCAAAAUAAAUUAUUUUUAUUGAUUUUGCGAAAAAUUUCAUUCACACCUAUUCACCUCCCUCUAGGUAUUGUUACUAGCCCUUUCAUGAAGAGUGUUAGAAUAUUUAAAUAUUAAACUAUACUUUCAUCUAAUUGCUUAAACUCUUAGAACUGUGAUAGUAAUCUUGCCAAAAUCUCACACAUAACUAAAAAAUGUAGGUUCUAUCUUAUUCUAUAAAUAUUUUAGGAUCUUCAGGAGAGAAGGAAAGAGAAUCAAUAAAGACUACAUAUUUACUCAAUUGACUUCACUUUAUACAUUAUCAAAAAAUGGUAUUUAUACUCGAACUCAUGCAUAUGAAAGAAAAUUAGCUACUUUAGAGUAUGAUUGUGACAUCCCAAAACGUAACUUUUGACACAUGUUUCUUAUAAUAUUAUUCUCUUUUAAUAUGCGGAAGCAUAAUUAAACAUUUUCGAAAAUCCCUUUACAAAGAAAGCUGUACAAGCAUAACCAAUAUGCUUCUACUUCUUUUAUUUAUACCACAUUUAAAUUUACAACUUCAUUACAUUACGAGAAAAAUACAAAAGUCUGGGUGAGGGUUGGGGUGACCUUUCUCCAUACUAUACUCCAAAAGCUUGUAUGUACAAACGUUUAUACCGAAGUCAUGGAUUGAUAACUUCAACAUACUUUCAUAAAGACCUUUAUAAUGUAUAGGAACUUCAUAGCACAAAAGUUAAGGGAUGUCCAUCUUGCACAUCUGAAAAAUGAAAAUGAAUAAGCCAAAACCCAAUAAAUAAAAUCUCUAGUUUUAAGUUAAAAGAACCCUCUUACCAUUUCACCUAGUACACAUAAAAUGAAUGCAUGAUAAUCCAGCAAAUAUGACAAAAACAUGAUUAGACUUUACUUUUCCCAUUUCAUUUGUCACAAAAAUCGUCAACAAAUAAUAUGUCUAUCCAAACUCAUGCAAAUGCACACCAUAUUUCACAUAAACAAACAAUUUAAGCAAUAUUUGGUUCUAUACAUGACAGUACAUUAUGUUCCUUAAUGUUUCCUCCUCCUUCUCUCGAAGUCCCAAUCACUAGAACAUCUUAAUUCGGAGAUAUUCGGCAAACUUUCACCACAAGGGCAUCUCGACUCCCAAAGCAUUCCAAGACACUCUCCAAGUCAUCCCAACCACCAGGGCAUCUCAUAAAUUUCUAUCACAGGGCAUCGUUGUGACAUCCUGAAAUUCGACCCCGUUUCGAUAAAGUGAAAUGGGCAUUUCGUCGACGUGCCUAUGGCCCUUUUUCUCUGAGCUGAUCACUCACGAGUUAACUAACCUAUUGAGAGAAGCCGUUAAGGGACGUAUCAGCUGUAAAAUCCCUAAAAGCUACCUACUUAGUUGGAUUUGGCUAAAAAUCACGUCUGAUCGAUUUUUAACCACGAAAUUGAACUCGAUUUCGAGAAUCGAAUUUUAAGCGCGUCAUAAUUCUUUUUAAGACAUUAUCUCAUCAUUCGUCAAUUUAUUGACGAGUCCGAAAUUUCAAGAAAGAAAUUAUCGGAAGAAAAAUUGAAGCCCGAAAGAAAUUAGAAUGGGAAAGAGAAAAGAAAAUCAAAUAAGAAAAGUAUUGUUGUUUAUUUUUCUUUUUCUCUCUCUCUACCUUCUCUUUUCUUUUCUCUCUUUUCUCUCUCUCUUCUCUCUCCUCUCCCCUUCCCCUCGUGCGAAUUCCUUUCCCCCCUUUCCACCGAAGUGUGGGCUGUCACCCACUUGCCUUUCCCCUCUCCUUUUGACCAUUCAAACCCAUCUUUUCUCUCUCUUAUCUCUUCUUCUCUCUCCUCUCUCUUCUCCCCCUCUCCCUCGUAACCGACUUCUUCUUCUUCCUUCUUGUAUGUGCGAACCAGUGAACCAGAAACAGGAGAAGCCGAGACAGCAGCCAGCCACUGCCGUCACCACCCGUGCACCGCCGCAGCUCGUCGCCAGGUCGUCGUCUUGCCAUUCGCGCUCCGCCUCGCUCGUUCGUCGCUUGCUGCCGCCCUUCCCCCGCGCGAUCCAGCGUCCAUUCGGCCUCUGUUCAGCCGCCGUGAGCGGCUGAGCAGGCCGCCGUCCGGCCUCACCGAAGCUCUACCCGCUCUCCCGACCUCUUGCCGCCCCCAACCCUCUCUCUUUCUCUCUAUUUUGCAGCUGAUCCAGCAAACCUGCGAGUGGGUUUCCAGCAACUUCGGGCCUGCUUUUGGGCCGUUUCCGGGCCCCGAAUCCGUGAGUCGCUAUGGGAAGAAUCGUUCCUCGCGUCGCCCUCGUCGGAUUGAUCCGAUUUGCGUGCGAUUUGGUGAGUAAUCUCACUAAUCCAGGAUUAGUUGGCUAAUUAUGCUUAAGGUUGGUUUAGUUUUAAUUAAUUAUGUUUAGGUUGUUAGAUUAGAAUAAAUUAGCAAUUAUUAGUCAAUUGUGAUGCGAUUUAGAUAAAUUGAUUGCGCAAUUAGCGAGUAGACGUCGUCUACUAAUUAUUGGAAGUGCCUCGGGAUUUUUCCCGACCCUUAGUGGGCUCCAAUUAGGCUUUUCAGGCCUAAGUGGAAUUUUUAGUAUUUAAAUAUUAAUUUUUGAAUUAAAUUAAAUAAUUAUUUAUUUUCCAAAAAUUCAACUAAGAUGGUCCGGAACCGGAAAAUUAUUCUGAUGACUGUGGUGAAGUCCGUUUAUUUAAUCGGGCUUUAUUUUAAGCUAGAAUUUUUAAUAUUAAUUAUUUAAUUUUCGAAAUUAAUAAAUUAAUUAAUUAUUUUUCGGAAAUUAAGAUUUUGAUGGCCGACGACUGAAAUCUCGUGCUGAUCGUCGUGGCGCAGUCCGUUUAUUUAUUUGAGCUCCACGUUGCAUGGAAUUAAAUAAAUUGUGAUAUUUUGGGGAUUUACCCUAAAUUGAUUGGAAUUGAUUGAGAUUGAAUUAUUGGUUGGUAAAUGGCCAAGUAUAUUUAUUCAGCAUUUGCAAUGCUUUGUUGAGUUGUAAAGUGAGUAGAAUUGUGAGAGUGAUUUUAAUAUACUCUUGGCUAAGAUCCAUCAGGUAUGUUAAUAUCGUGUGAAAAUUGAGUGAGUUGAUGAGUAUGUGGGGAUUCAUCCCAAGAUUGAUCAAUGUCGGUAUUCAAUUAGAAUUUGACUAUGAGAGGUUGUGAGUUGAACCUCGGAAGCCGCCAAAGUAUGGCUAUGCCAGUUGGGCCAAGAUUUGCCACCGAAUUUGGAGUCGGUUGCGCCCGUUGGGCCGUAAAUUGCCACCUAUUAAAGGUCGCGCCUGUUAAGGCCGUAAUUUGCCACCAUUAAAGGUCGCGCCCAUUGGGCCGUAAUUUGCUACCUAAAGAUAGGUCGUGUCCUUCGGGACAGUAAUUUGUUGCCAAGAAAUUUGGUAGUCUAUGCUUGUGAAGUGGUGAGUACGAUUUGAACCUGAAUAAGGGAAACGACUGGGGAAUGGUCGAAUUGACAUGAAAUCAACUAGGUCGAUGGAUCGAGAUAUUGAUCUGUGAUGUAAUUGCUUGGGUGCCUAUUGAACUGUGCUAAUAUGCAGGUGGAGCCUAAGGCCAAGAUAAGUCCUCUGCCCUGUGCGUGUUUAGGCAGCCUAUAGUAUAAUAGUUUACUAAUCGGGCUUAGUGGGGUAGAACUCGCUGAGACGUAGUCUCAUCCCGGUUUGGGGAAAAACAUUUCAGGACCCCGUUGAGGAGCUGAGGAGGAGUCUGAGAAGGAGAACUCGAAGGUGAAACUUAAGGAGAAAGAUUUUUGGGAGAAGAAGAUAAUCCCGAGAAGGGCCUUGAGUACGGCCCGGAUGGCUGAGAGUUUAUCUUAUUUUGAGAUCUCCUUUUUGAUGUGAUUAAAGUUUAGAAUAAAAAGUUGUAGAGUGCUCUGGUUUGUGUUUUGUAUAAAAGUUUGGUUAUAAAAUUCAAUAUGAAAAAUAUGGCCCUGCUUUUCUAUCCCAUCGUUUUAUUGUCUAGGGAUUUUAACUGCUUCCGCAUGUGCUUAACAAAUGAAAGGGUCGGCGAUACAUUAUCCUGGGAUAUCGCAUUAUAAAAUCGAUCGAGCGAGAAGGAUGUGUGCGUGCCCGAGGAUCGGGGCGUGACAUCCCCUUUUUGUGGUUACAGAGCGAGGUUUAAGAUUGGAGUGAUAAGGAGCGUUGACCAUGGGAUAGUUAGUAGGAAAGGCCUUUAAAUUCAAUCUGGUGCAUGUCUGUGUUAGCUGGAUGCUAGAAUUGAUUGUUGUGUGUGGAUCGCUCACCUUCUAAUCCAGUGUGGGUUUGGAAGACGGGUUUCAGUGUAAAGACUGAACCAUGAGCGAGCAGGAGUUGAGAACUCCUAGUAAGAGGAUAAUGUCCCUUGUGACUCGGGAUAAUGCACUGAUAAUGGUCGGUACUCGAGGUGGUUGUGGCAGAGUGUCGACUCUGGCCAGCUCGAGCGUAAAAGUACCACUGCAGAUUGGUACUAGUGUAGCAGCGUCAAAUGAUCCGAAGUUCGAUAGGAUCGUUUUGAUGCUAGUGGUCCUUGGGAACUGGAAGAGCCAACAGGCUUAAGAUCAAGUCGUCGUCAGUGUUGCAACCGUCGUUGUCGCCUCACAUGCUGAGAUCCAAAGUGGAGAUGUGAUCCGGGAGCGAGUCAUUGCAUUCGAGCCGAGGUAUAGAUCCAGUUCAGGCGGAAAUGGAAAUCGGUCAGGGAAAAGACCGAGGUCAAGAGGAAAGUAUUCUAUUCCACUCGCGAGGAAGGGUGGGGUAGUCAAGUCACCACCGAGUCAAAUAGAUCAGGUUGUUUCCGGACGUGAUGAUGGAGAUCGGUCUUAUGUCCUUCCUAAGACGCGAAAUUGUUUGGAGUAUAGCCAACAGGGAUAUCUGGUUGGGAGUGGUCCUAGCAGACUGAGGGGGCAACCAGAAAGAGUGCAUGCUUUCACCUGAUAGAAGAUAGAAGAUUCACCUGAUAGGUGUCGGAAUUGUAGAAGUAAGCAUGGAUAAAUCCAGUAUCCGAGUAUGACUAGAACCUGUUGUGAUGAUGACCAGCAUGGCCAUCAAGUGAAGGAUUGUCAGUGGAAGUCUAAGGUAGCAUAGACAUCGCUACUACCGCCAGAACGCCACUAGGAUGGCGAAAGGAAUGGGAGUAGAAUUGACCUUGCACCGAUUGGAGAAAGAAUGUGUUGGAAGUGAUUUUAUCAGAGCAGCGCAGCAUAGCUUUGUGCCGAAUUGGUAGAACUUAAAUUGUUGAAGUAAAAGUGAAAGAGAAGGGAAUCACUAGCAAUAGUUGUGCUUGACUAGUUGCUGAUGUGUGAGUUUGACGCCACAUGAAUAGUGUGGGCUCAAGGAGCAUCUAGUGAUAAUGAAUCACAACUUGGAGUAAUCCAGUUUAGUCCAUUAGCAUGUGAAAAUGUCGAGGUUAUUAGGAGUCGAAAAUAAUCUUCGAUUUCAUUAAUCUCGUUGGCUAAAGACAAUCCGUUUGUUAGACGGAGGUUGCCAAGAUUGAUUUGACAGCUGUAGUGGAUGUGUCAGUUGAGAAAUAGAAUGAGAAGAAGGUGGCCGUGAUACAGAAAAUCUCUAAGAUGGUUCCAAAGGAAUUGCUUGAGUUACCGCCAUAAAGAGAGUUUGAAAUUGUAAUUGAGCUAGCACCAGGGACAGAACCGAUCUCAAAGGCAUCUUACCGAAUGGCGUUAUCUGAGUUGAAGGAACUGAAGAUGCAAAUGUGAAGAUUGAUGAAUGAGGAAUUCAUGCAUAUAAGUGCAUCACUUUUGGGAAACAUCAGUUUUUUUGUGAGAAGAAGAAAGAUGGUUUGUUGCGAGUGUGCAUCGACCAUCGUCAACUCAAUUAGGUGAAGAUCAAGGACAAGUGUUCUUUGCCAAAGAUCAAUGAAUGGUGUGACUAGUUAUAAAGAGUAUUGAUGUUUUAAAGGUCGACUUGAGAUUAUGAAGUCGUCAGUUACGAACUAGGAAGGAGGUUGUAUGAAAGACAACUGUUCGUACUUGAUAUGGUCUUUACGAGAGUAUUAUAAGAUCAUUUAGCCUGGUGAACACUCCAGUUGUUGUCAUGGAUUUGACGAACAGAGUGUUCAAGAAAUAUCUGGAUCAGUUUGUGAUCGUGUUCAUUGGUGACAUCUUGGUCUAUUCGAGAAGUGAUGAAGAGCAUGAGAAUCAUCUGAGAUUAGUGCUUCAGACCUUAAGAACUCAUCAGCUGUAUGCUAAGUUUAGCAAAUGCGAGUUCUAGUUGACUCGUGUUGCGUUCUUAGGUCAUGUGAUUUCCGGGGAAAGAAUCUCCGUCGACUCGAACAAGAUAGAAGUUGUGAUUAAGUGGCCGAGACCGACAUUAGUAACAGAGAUCAGAAGUUUUCUGGGGUUAGCAGAUUAUUACAGACGGUUUGUGGAAGGAUUCUCAUCGAUAGCGUCGCCUUUGACAAAGCUCACGAAGAAAAAUGAGAAACAAGUGCGAGAAUAGUUUCCAAGAGCUUAAGGAAAAGCUGACUACCGCACCUGUGCUGACGAUUCCAUGUGGUCCUGGAGGAUUCGAUAUCUAUAGUGAUGCGUCAUUUAGGGGAUUGGGUUGCGUGCUGAUGCAACAUGGCAGAGUUGUUGCAUACGCUUCCCGGCAGUUGAGACCUCAUGAAUUGAAUUACCCGAUGCAUGACUUAGAACUCGCAGCCAUCAUAUUUGCGUUGAAGAUUUGGAGGCACUACUUGUGUGGAGAAAAGUUUCAGAUCUUCACAGACCAUCAGAGUCUUAAGUAUUUGUUCUCUCAGAAGGAGUUGAACAUGAGACAGUGCCGAUGGAUGGAAUUGCUGAAAGACUACGAUUGUGAUAUUCUAUAUCACUCGGGAAAGGCGAACAAGGUCGCCGAUGCAUUGAGUCGGAAGUCUUCAAUAGCGCAAAUCUUGGUUAAGGAGUGGAACUUAAUCGAGAGAGCUCGAGAUUUGGAAUUCAAAUUCGAGGUAGGCCAUCUCUCAAGUCUUAUGGCCACCCUCAGAAUUAAACCGGAUGUCCAGGUCAGAAUCAAAGAACUUCAACUGACAGAUCCAGACGUGCAGAGGAUUCUUCAAAAGGAUACUGAGAAAAGAAAAGCUGAUUUUCAAGUUUUUGAUGAUGGGACUCUAAGGUUCCAAGGAUGUUUGGUGGUACCUGACAAUGUCGAGCUUAGAGAAGAAAUUUUAUCAGAAGCACAUCGUAGCAGCUACAGCAUUCAUCCUAAAAGCACUAAAAUGUAUCAGAAUCUGCGUCAACAUUACUGGUGGUCAGGUAUGAAGGCGGACAUCGCCAAGCAUGUAGCCAAGUGUUAGACGUGUCAGCAAGUAAAAGCCCAGCAUUGCAAGCCGGGAGGAUUUCUGCAACCUCUCGUGAUCCCAGAGUGAAAAUGGGAGCAUAUCACUAUGGACUUCGUGACUGGACUACCAAGGAGUCAGAGGGGGAAUGAUUCGAUUUGGGUAGUAGUCGACAGGCUGACAAAGUCGGCUCACUUCAUUGCAGUUCGAAAAGACCUGAGUCUGGAUAGACAUGCAGACCUGUAUGUGCGUCAGGUGGUUCGUAUGCAUGGAGUGCCGGUUACGAUAACCUCUGAUAGAGACCCGAGGUUUACCGCUGAUUUUUGGAAGAGCUUGUAGAGUGCUUUAGGUAAAAAGCUUCAGUACAAUACAGCAUAUCAUCCUCAGACGGAUGGCCAGUCUGAAAGGACAAUUCAGACUCUUGAAGACAUGCUGAGAGCGUGUGUAAUAGACUUCAAAGGAAGCUGGGAAGAUCAACUUCAUCUGGUGGAAUUCGCCUACAACAACAGUUAUCAGCAGAGCAUCAAGAUGGCUCCAUUUGAAGCGUUGUAUGGUAGAGCAUGUAGAACUCCAGUAUGUUGGGAUGAAGUCGGAGAAAGGAAGAUAACAGGACUAGAGUUGGUUCAGCAAUCAGUAGAUGCCGUGGCAGUGAUCAGAGACAGAUUGAAGACCGCGCAAAGCAGGCAGAAAAGUUAUGCAGAUAAGCGUCGAAGGUCUUUGGAAUUCCAAGUUGGUGAUCACGUUUUUCUGAAAGUGUCACCAAUGAGGGGAACUUCGCGCUUUGGUAAGAAAGGCAAGCUGAGUCCAAGGUACGUAGGUCCAUUUGAGAUUCUUGAAAGAAUCGGAAACCUAGCGUAUCGUCUUGUGUUGCCGCCAAGAUUGGUGCAAGUGCAUGACGUCUUUCACGUGUCGAUGUUAAGGAAGUACGAGCCUCACCCGACCCAUGUGCUCAAUUUCGAGGAAUUGGACGUGAAUGACCAUGUGUCAUACGUUGACAGCCUGGUCUAGAUUGUCGAUCGAAAAGAGCAAGUUCUGCGUACAAAGACCAUUCCGUUGGUCAAAGUGGUCUAGCAACACCACGGUACUGAAGGAGCAACUUGAGAGACUGAAGAGUCGAUGAGACAGUUGUACCCCCGCCUUUUUGAGCGAAGUGUAAUGGUUUAAAUUUCGAUGACGAAAUUUUUAUAACAAGGGAAGAGUUGUGACAUCCUGAAAUUCGACCCCGUUUCGAUAAAGUGAAAUGAGCAUUUCGUCGACGUGCCUAUGGCCAUUUUUUUACAGGCAUGUUGACACCUAAUAUUUUAGAAAAUAAUAAAUAAAAUAAAAAUUCAGUUUUGGAAAUUUUUUGAAAAUAUAUCUUCUUUUCAAAAUUCAAAAAAAAAAAUCAGUUUUUGCGUGAUUUUGGAGCCACUUUGUUGUUGAGAGGUUGAGCGAAAUCUCCAUUUGUUGGAACAAAUUCGAUUCUUCACUUUAUAAAUAAAGGGUGUGAGAUGUGAAAAGGAGGGGGCUUCUCUUCAUUGUUCGUCCAAGAAAAAAUAAACUGAAGAGAAAGAGAGAAGAAGUUGACGUGAGCAGGGAAAAGAGAGAAAAAAAAAUACAAUGGCAGAAAGUAAAUUGGGGAGGUUUUCGGCAGAGAGUGAGGGAGACAAGUGAGAGAAAGUGGAAAAGAGAGAAAAGGAAAGAAAACUUUAGUUCUCUAGGGAAAAGGAAAGUGUACAGGGGGCAAAGAGAGAGGUGACGUGAGGCAAAGCAGAAAAGUAAGAGUGAGGGAGACGUGUGAGGGUUCGGCAGAGAAGAAAGAAAAAAAAGAGAAAAGGGGACUAUUCAUCAUCUCCUUCGUGGAAGCUACCCGACAACCCUCUGUUCGUUGCUGCCCACACCAGGCUCCUGCGCUACCGGUCUCUCGCACCAGGCCACCCCUUGCGUCGCCGCUCAUCAGCCAGCUACCGACGCCACCUUCGUUCGAGCACCAGCACCACCGCCGCUCCCCGUUGAGCCACCACCGGCCGCCCGCACACCUCAACCCAUGAUCUGCAUCUCAGCUCGCCGCCGGUGAACUCCCCUCUUGACGCCAUCGCCUCCACAUCCGCUCGACGCCGCACCACCGCUACAAUCCCGCGCCGUUGCGAUCCCGCGCCUAACACCCCACUGCAGCGUUUCCUUCCGACGAACCUCGAGCAGCACCUGACGUCUCUGUUGCUCCGCCUGGCGUUGUUGCAACAUUGCCCGCAACACCUUCGUCGUUGCCCGCACCUGUAGCAGUAUCUCUCCUGGACUGCUGCCCCUUCCGAACCGACACUUGUGACCUGCCGCAAUCUGCAGUGCCCAUCACCGCGCGCUUCUGUCCCUUCUGCAGGUCGCCGUGCUGCCCUUCGACUUAGCUGCCAGACGCCUCGCCGCUCCACCCCCGAGAACCCGCGCCGACGCCAUCGCGACCUGCUGCUGCCCAACGCGAUGCCGGAGCUCCAAAGCCCGCCACGAGCUUGACCAGAAGCUGCUGUUGUGUUGCAACCGCCACAGCCCGAUCCCGAGUGCCUCCACCGCUGUUGAACGCUGCUUUUGCGCCCUGCUCGCUCGACAGUCGAGGCUCGCCAUUCCUGACCUCGCCGACUCUGUGCUUUCGCACCGCCUCUGCCUGCGAUCCACUUCCUCGUCACGUUGGUUUACCCUCCUUAGGUAGUAUAUUUUUAUUUUUUAUUUUUUUACUUAUUUCACGUUAUGUUAACUUAUGUUUAAGUUUAAUUGUAGUAUUAUAUGUUAAUAUUUGUAGAUCUCGUAAGUAUUAACUGCAGGUAUUUUAUCCCAAAUUAUGGUAAUUAUUAAUUUGAGCCGUAAGACAUGAGGUCAUUUUUUUAAUUACUUUAAUUUUUAGGAAUUUUUUAUAGCAUUUCAAUUGUUAAAUCAUUAUAGAGUUCAAAUAAUUGUUAAUUUAAUCCGUGAGACAACGGAUUAUUUUUUCGAUUAUUUUAAUUCUUAUAUUCAUUCCUUAAAAAUAAUUGCUUGUUUGGAAAGAUUAAAAAAAAUCUAAAAAAUCUAAAAGUACAUAAAAAUCUAAAUAUUGCAUUAGAGCAUUUAGGUUUAGUAAAUUAUGACCGUAUUUUUAGGUUUAGUAAAUUAGAAUUGCAUUUAUAGGAUUAUAAUUUUUUUAGAUUAUACUUUUAGAUGGGUGAUUUUUGUUAGGGCUAAUUUUAAAUAAUGUUGGCAUGUCUUGAUUUUUUAUAUAGCUUUUAGGAUAAAAUAUAGUUUAAGUUAAAUUGAUUCCUAAAAUAAAUUAAAAUAUCACUCACUUUAGUUAGUCUAAUUAGUUUUGGAUUAAGUCAAUUUUCAUUUAGUAAAAAAAAAAAAGAGGAACAAAAAAUGUUAUGCAUGCCAUGUGAGUUAUAGUUUAAUUGUUUUUAAAAAAAAAGGAAAAUGCUAAAAGAUGAUCAUUGCACCAUUAAGUUACUUUCUUCUCAAUAAAAAACAUUAUGGCAUUAAAAAAAACAAACAAAAAAAAAGACCACUUCCUUGGUUAGUUAAUAGGUUAAUUCAUAAUUAAUCUCAUAUCAUCAUUAUUUAGCAUAGGUUGCAUAUAUGUAUUAAAAAAUGAAUCAUCAGAAAAAAAAUCAUAAAAUAGCAUGCAUGUAGAAAUACCAUGUCAUUCAUCCCAUAUCAUGUAGCAUAUGCAUAUUUAGGAUUAUAUAAAUUAAAUUGCAUACAUAUAGUGAUAAGUUUAAGUCAUACAAUAUGAAUUGCAUCUUGCAUGUCAUUAAAAUAAAUUCAUGUAUAUUAAGUUAGAUUAAGAUUGCAUAAUAAUAAAAAUUAGGUGUCUUGUCAUUUAGAAAUCAUGUUUAGGGCAUGCAUUUUUAUUAGCCUUUUUAUUGAAUGUUACUUUAUUGAUUGUGCACCCACAUGACCACCAUUUGCAUGUUAGUAGCUUAAGUUAAAAUUAAUCAACAUUACCUGCAAAAUAUUUUUGAAAUUAAAAUAAAAGGUACCGAAAGGGCGUUAGACUAAUCUAGAGUAAUCAUGUCCCCAGACCUACUGAAUCUCUGGUUUGCAAAAGUAAAGUAUUCUCCCAUACUUUACUUGGGUUUCUAACCAACCCUAAUUGGUUAUUGGCGGCUCCAACUUGAAUAUAAUUGCAUGUUUAAAUAGAUUAAUUUCAAGUCGCGAUUGGUAGGACUUUGGAGGAUCCGAGCCAAGUCUUCGGACUUAGUAAUCCAUUAACCUAAACUUUAAGUGUUUGCCCUGAAAAUUUAGGUCACGACAGCUUGGCGACUGCACUGGGGACAGAGUUAAAACUCAUAGUAGACAUAGGCCUGUUUUAUUUUUUUUUUAAGAAAAAUAUUUUGUUUGGCAGCAUGGAAACAAGGUACGCCCUAACAUGAAGUGUUAAAUGUUUUUGCAGAUGGGAGGUAUAAGGGGAGUAAUCUUUGCUAACCCUUGUUUUGCAGGUUGGAGUUAAGGAUGAAUGGUUGAAUUUAAAUUAUAAAAGUGUUGUUUGCAAUUAAACUGUUGUGCAUGUUUUAUUGUUUUUAGCACUACACUAUUGCACACACAACCUGCUGCCGGACCCGGGUCGAUUCUUAGGAUGGUGUUGAGAAGGAUACUUCCUCUAAAGCGAGACUGCUAUAUAGAGGUUGACCUUCUCUUCCCCGAAAGUUCUUCAUGGUGUCAAAUGUGUUUGUCCAUAUCCGUGAGACUGCAUGAUAUUAGACAUUUCAUUCGACUGAGCCGGGGUUUGGAGGACCUGACAAGUUAAUGCGAGACUGCAACGGUCAAAUUAUCCUCUUACCUCCAUUUUGUUAAGCCAUCUAGACAGAAAUCGAGUCCCACAUUUCAUGCGUGUGUCUAUGUGAUUGUCAUCCCUUCCUAGUGAAAGUAAGUUGUUUAAAUUCUCAUUACUGCAAUUUACUUACUUGCAAUUUCGUUGGUCCAUGACAUUAGGUUUCGUCGUCGGUCUUAUUUUAUAUGCAAUGGAGAGAUCCGAUGUUCAAUUCAUUCCAACUCCCAAGAUUGAGCUUAGAGGGUGGUGGAACAAUUUAAGUAAAGAAGGUCAAGAUUAUGUGGAGUCGAUACUAGGACGGCUCAUCCCCCUUUCGGAUAUUGGAGUCCAUUGUGGUGUUUUGCAAGCUAUAUCGCACUUUUGGUGUCCCGAGAUGACUAUAUUUAUUUUUGGUAAGAAUGAGCUAACUCCAACACUGGAAGAGUAUAGCGUCAUCAUAGGAAUGCCCCUUGAGACUGAACUUGUUAGGCCACCUCUUGGUAUGGAACUCACAUAAAUUUUAUCUCAAUUUCUAAGAAUUAAAACUGAUGAGGUUAAGAAAGUUUUGAAAGCUAAUUGUAAUGCAUGCCCUUUCUCCUUUUUGGCUAAUCAUUUUUUAAAUCAGUCUUCAAUGCGCCAAAAGGGUAGGAUAUUCAUCUUAGCAUUCUUUGGACUUAUAAUAUUUCCUCAUCGAAAAAAUGCUAUUGAUCCCUCAAUUGCAUGGGUAGUCACACAAGCAUGCGCUGGCAUGAACUUUAUAAACAUGAUUUUGGCUGAGACAUUUUUGUCCCUCAACCGUUUUAAACAAAAUGGAGAAAAAAUCAUGAAUGCCUCUUCUGAGCUUUUACAGAUUUGGUUUCUUUCUCACAUGAAGGAGUUUGGUCAUUUCAUGCAUCGAGGUGAAAUUCAUCACCCAAUAAAAAGAUUUUCAAUCUUAGAAAAAAAAUAUACCGGAAAAUCAUUUUCUGAUUGGGUGACUUUUCUUAAAGAUCCAGAUCUCAAGGGCUUCCUAUGGUAUGUUAAAUGGUUCCAUGUUAGCAUGGCUCGUUUCUCUCACAAGACUGAUAAUCCAAUUCCGCUGAUGGGAAUUACUGGCACAACAUCUUACUAUCCUUAUAGAGUGGCCCGCCAGUAUCGAGUGCUCCAAGAUAUCCCACCUCCUCUCCGAAUGGAUCUAUUUCAAGCUCGCUUUGUGCGCAAGGAUCACAAAUACCUCAAUGAGAUCGAGCGUCUUGAAAAUGCAUGGAAGGAAUGCCAUCCGGAAAAGAUAGUGGUGCCUAGAAGAUUGAAAGGAAAUGAGAGGAUCUUUCAUGCCUCAGAUUAUUAUAUCCACCAUCACGAGAUCCCUCAAGCUCUACUUCCCGUGAUACCUGAAGUGACCAUUAAGCCCACUCGUAAAGCACAAAUUGAAAAUCUUGAAGAAAUGGUGGAAAGGAAAGAAGCUCGUAUUUCUGAGUUGGUUCGACAGAACAAGAAGCUUCGAAAGACUGUGAUCUCCCAAUUGUAUAUAGAAAAGAGUCGCUAGAUUUAGGAGUUUAAUUCUGGCUUUAUGAUGUUAUUUCAAUUUCUUAGAUUGAUGUUUUAGGAAUUUAAUUUCCUAGGGAGUUAUUUUAAUGUUUUAAGUUGAUGUCUUUAGAAUUUGAUUUCCCUUAAUAAAAUAAGCGAUUGACCGUUGUCAUGGACCAAUCUCAUUUGUUAUGAUACUUACUGCAUUAUUUUACAUUUAUAGGUAACAACACGGCUCAUCUAAGAUCACCAAUCCGUACUCAUUCCAGAGCAACAAUGGCUGAUAACACCGAACAAACACGUGUUGCUGAACAAACUCACAUCGCUGCCCUCGAAUUGGAGAUGAAGCAGGUUCUGAAUGUUCUUGAGCAGCUCUCUAAGCAAAUCGAUUCUCUCUAGACAAACACUGCUCCACCAGCUCCGCAAGUUGAAGUAGUGUUACCACAACAUGCUCCCAUGGUUGAUCCAAGAGAUAAAGGCAAGAAUACAGUUGAUCCAAGAGAUAAAGGCAAGAAUACAUCCACAAGUCGCCCAUCUACCUCUGAUGAUUCCUCCAAGGAGAAAAUUACUGACGUGCCUCAAAUUGUUGUUGAUGAUGAGAUACAAGUGAUACAGCCGGCUGUACCGAAGACUGAGCAAGAAAAACGCUUGGCAAAAAUCGAGGAGAAACUUAAGCAGUUAUAGGGUUCAUUUAGCCAAGACCCAAUUGAUCUCUCCCAUUAUGCAAAAAUCAAGAUGUCAAAGAAGUUCAAAAUGCCAGACUUUGAAAAAUAUGAUGGCACCUCUUGUCCAAAGAUCCAUAUGCAGACUUACGUGGUCAGGAUGACCCAAUAUGUUGAUAACAUCCCUUUGAUGAUUCAACAAUUUCAAGCAAGCCUGACAGGACCGGCGUUGCAAUGGUACAUCAUGAAGAAGAUUAAUCUACUGGAGACUUGGGAGGAUUUGACAGAUGCCUUCUUCAAGCAAUAUAAGUAUAAUAUUGAUGUCACUCCAUCUCAAGAAGAUUUACUUCGCACUAAGAAGAAGAGGACAGAAUCUUUUAAGGCAUAUGUCACAAGAUGGAGGACUGUAGCCGCUCAGAUAACUCCAGAGCCGACAGAAAAAGAGCUGAUGGAUUUGUUCAUGAAGACACUCCCGCCUGAGUAUCGAAAUCGAAUGUUGGGAUCAACUGCCGAGUCAUUCAAUCAGCUAAUCCCUAUUGGCGAGAGAAUUGAAGUAGCAUUGCAUGAUGGAUGGGCGUCUGAUCAAACCAGCUCAUAUGGGAGAGUCUCAACCAAGAAGGAUAAAGAACUUGUAGCGGAAGUUAAUGUAGCUUAUGUGCAACCACCUCGCCCUACCCCAAACACCCAUCAGGGAGGAGCACGACCAUUCUUUGGCCAGCAGAAGAACUCUUCUAGGCGUCAAUUUACGCCUCUUCCUAAGCCAUUGUCCAAGAUCUUACCAACCCUUCAGAAGAAAGGAUUACUAGCUAAAGAGCCUAAGCGACCUAAUCCCAAGCGAUUCCCCAACUAUGAUCCGUCCAAGACAUGUGCUUAUCAUAUGGGGGAGGUAGGGCAUUCUGUUGACGAUUGCUAUAUGCUGCAACAUAAAAUCCAAAAUCUUUUGGAUGCCAAGGUGGUCUCAUUCCGCGAUGCACAAUUGAACAUCCAGAAUAACCCACUCCCUGACCACCCAGAAGCUGUGAAUACCAUUUUCGGUUUUGAUGCUGAGCCCACCAUGUUUCAGAUGAUGCAUGAGGAAGCAGAAGUGAUGAAUACCCUAGGGCAACCAAGUGGCAAAUUCAAUUACUAUGUAAAGUAUUCGGCUCCUCCCAGCUCUUAUUUCGACCCAUGGGAUAUCAUCCCAGAUGGAUGGGGUGGCAUAGAUGAUCCUGCACCUCCAAAGAUUGCGAGCUCUGAUGACGCACUCGAAGGAAUGACUGAAUUAUUCGAAGAUAAUUUAGUGUUUGCCAUCGACAAAGCUCGAGAGUAGGAAAAAUUUAAUUAUUUAUACGCUCCUUUGCGCAGGAGUCUUUAUUGUUUUCCAUAUUUGCAUAUUUGCAUUUUCAAUUCUAGGAUUUCCCUCAUUUCAAUAAUGUAAUUUGCUUUUCAUCCAAUAAAAUACAUGGAGAUUUUCGUGUUUUAAGGGCAUGUUGAAGUAUACCAAACUAGCCCUGUGAUGAAAUCCCACCCAAAAGAAAACGGCAAGGAGCUAAUUUUGAAGGCUGGGCUUCUUCAUGUUCCCUUGAAAAAAUUUUCAAAAUAAAAUCAUCUUCUAGCAUGCAUCUAAUUUACCAUGUUUGUUUCAUUUAAUUAUUUGCUUUAUAUUUCAGGUGCAGCUCUGCGCACAUUUAAGGAAUCUCUAUGAGCUCCCUUGCAAAGAGGGGCAAGACACAGACACUUAACAUCUUUGACUUUAUCUUUUGAUGUGCAAGAAUAGAGCAUGGCAUUUUUAUCAUUUCAGAAUGUUUUCACAUGAUGUGCAAUUCGUCAAUUCUACUUGAAAUUUAUCAAAAUGGAUAAUUCAGUGAAAGAUGUCGAGUUUCUUAAACAUGCUAAAUGAGGUGUGAAAGGCAAGCCUAAUCCCAUACUCAGUCUCCUGUCUAUACAUUGUGAGGUGAGUAUAGAAACAUUUUGUGUUUCAAGAUGAAGAAUUUUCUUGCAUGAAGUACGACAACCAAAAUGAUGAGGGGCGAUUCAUUUCUCUAUAAUGAACCCUUGUUUAAUCCUUCUUUGAGCCUAAACACUUGAAGAACUUCUUUCAUACUACCCCUGUCAAGAACCACCCCACAUCGGGGCAAAUGGAGGUAAGUUGACAUUGAAGGAGAGUGAAAUGGAUGGAAAUUUUAUUGCUCUCACUUGCAUUAAUCUUCAAGUUAUGUUUUUACAUUGAAUUCAUGUGGUAAUUUAAGUGCCUUAGGAUGACGAAGAGCGUUUCUUUCACUAUCCUACACACUUAUAUCAUUUGCAUAGCCCACUUGAGCCUGUGAUUUCGUUUAUUUUAAACCCAGUUGGUGAUCAUCCCCCACACUGGGGCAAGGCAAGAGACGGAUGAAGACCCUUGAAGGUUCGAGUGUCAUUUAAAGUAUACUUGACACAUGCAUUGUGCGCAAGAACUGAAAUCAAAAUAGAACUAAGGGGCAUGAAAAAGCAGUGUGUCUGGUAAAAGCAAGGCUAAUGCCCAUGAUUUUAAAAGAAAUGACUGAUGAUUUGAGGGGCAUAUAAAAAAGCAGUGUGCCUGAUCGAUGCCUAUCAUCAAAGAAAAUGAUUUUGAGAAAAUAUCUCCAGUUGAAUAAUCAUUGGCAUCAAUGAUAAACUCUUGAGCCAAUAAAGAAAUCUGUCAAGAAGACAAUCAGUGGUAAUGUCAAGAUGAUCACCAACUCUUACCCAUUACACACAUCUUUGAGCCUAACAAUCCUUUCGUUUCUCAAACCCAAGAACCAAGCCUAUGUUACGUCCCUUACAAAGUCUCUUCAGAUUAGGGCACUUGAAUUAACAUAGGAAUUCAUAUGUUUUAAGCAUUGCUCAAAGAACUGUGAGCAAGAUUAUUUCUUUCUCAUUUUGCAGGGUUCUUGACUUGUAAACCCGGAGAUGAUUACAGAAUUGUUCUUUCAAUUGCUUUGACUCAAAGAAUCCCUUUGUUAAACCAUUAACCAAAUCCACAUUACAAUCCUUGUCAAAGACCUCUCAGAUUGGUAAGGUCGUACUGAUUGCAAGAAAAUUUGAACUCUUGUCGGCAAGAUGAUGAUAAGAUUAAGUGAUAUAUUCCCACAUCAAUGGUCGGUACAAAUAACCCCUCCUAAAUGAGAGCAAGUGAAAAAGCCUUUUCACACCAAAAGCGUCUCAUUUAGCAUGUUCAAGAGAUUCACACUAUAAUUGAAAAUUAUCCUUGUGAUAAUUUUUCCAGUAGAAGCUUGAUAAAGCCAUCAUGCAUGGACCUUCAUUGAAUAUUUUCCUCAAAGACCAAAAAAUUGUCUUUGAAGCCCUGAGUUUGUUCAGUGAUCUUGGUGCUUGAUGAGAAUUCCAAGUACCCAUUUAUAAAAUGUUUUCAAAUGUCUAGUUUGAGUUCCAGAUGUUUAGUAAAAUAUUUUCAAAUGUCUAGUGUGAACUCCAGAUAUUUGAACCCUUAAAUACUUGAUGUGACUUCCAAGUGUUUGUCUUUCCAAAUGUUUGAUGUGACUUCCAGAUGUUUGGUAAAAUAUUUUCAAAUGUUUAGUGUAAACCCCAGAUAUUUGAACCCUUAAACGCUUGUGUGAUACCAAGUGUUUGUCCUUCUAAACUUCUGAUGUGAUUUCCAGAUGUUUAGUAAAUGUUUUCAAAUGUCCAGCAUGAAUUCCAGAUAUUUGAAUCUUUAAAUACUUGAUGUGACUUCCAAGUAUUUGUCUUUUCAAACAUAUGAUGUGAUUUCCAAGUACUUAGGAUCUUAUGAGAGUUCCAGAUCUCUAAAGACUUUGAGCCUUUCAAUUAUCUGAAGAGAUUUCCAGAUGUUGGUCAGAUCUCAUAUGAAUCAUUUCACACCUAAUAAUACUUUUCUGAAUCUCCAGAUAAGUAUGACAGGUACGCGUCCUUCUUUGCAUUUGCAUUUCAUUGAGCAUAGACACAUUGAGAUCUACGUUCUUGACCAAAUCAUUGCAUUUACAUUGCAUUAUUGCAUGACCUUGCAUUUCAAAAAGAAUUAAAUUUAUUUGAAAAAGAGGUCAUUAACAUUUGCAUAUACAUUUCAUAUUCAUUUUGCAUUCAUUUUGCAUUCAUUUUAUAUUUGCAUUUCAUUGAGCAUAGACACAUUGAGAUCUACAUUCUUGACCAAAUCAUUGCAUUUACAUUGCAUUAUUGCAUGACCUUGCAUUUCAAAAAGAAUUAAAUUUAUUUGAAAAAGAGGUCAUUAACAUUUGCAUAUGCAUUUCAUAUUCAUUUUGCAUUCAUUCUGCAUGGUCUAAAUUUAGGUGUCAUUUAUCUUUGAAGGAAACCUUUACGAGCUUCCUUUCAAAGAGGCGCAGCUGUUGACAUCUAAUAUUUUAGAAAAUAAUAAAUAAAAUAAAAAUUCAGUUUUGGAAAUUUUUUGAAAAUAUAUCUUCUUUUCAAAAUUCAAAAAAAAAAAUUCAGUUUUUAUGUGAUUUUGGAGCCACUUUGUUGUUGAGAGGUUGAGCGAAAAUCUCCAUCUGUUGAAACAAAUUCGAGUCUUCACUUUAUAAAUAGAGGGUGCAAGAAGUGAAAAGGAGGGGGCUUCUCUUCAUUGUUCGUCCAAGAAAAAAUAAACUGAAGAGAAAGAGAGAAGAAGUUGACGUGAAAGGAAAAAGAGAGAAAAAAAAAUACAAUGGCAGAAAGUAAAUGGGGGAGGUUUUCGGCAGAGAGUGAGGGAGACAAGUGAGAGAAAGUGGAAACGAGAGAAAAGGAAAGAAAAAUUUAGUUCUCUGGGGAAAAGGAAAGUGUACAGGGGGCAGAGAGAGAGGUGACGUGAGGCAAAGCAGAAAAGUAAGAGUGAGGGAGACGUGUGAGGGUUUGGCAGAGAAGAAAGAAAAAGAGAAAAGGGGACUGUUCAUCAUCUCCUUCGUGGAAGCUACCCGACACCCCUCUGUUCGUUGCUGCCCACACCAGGCUCCAGCGCUGCCGGUCUCUCGCACCAGGCCACCCCUUGCGUCGCCGCUCAUCAGCCAGCCGCCCUACUGCCGACGCCACCUUCGUUCGAGCACCAGCACCACCGCCGCUCCUCAUCGAGACACCACCGGCCGCCCACGCACCUCAACCCAUGAUCUGCAUCUCAGCUCGCCGCCGGUGAACUCCCCUUGCGACGCCAUCACCUCCACAUCCGCCCGAUGCCGCACCACCGCUACAAUCCCGUGCUGCUGCGAUCCCGCGCCCAACGCCCCACUGCGGCGUUUCCUUCCGACGAACCUCGAGCAGCACCUGACGUCUCCGUUGCUCUGCCCGACAUUGUUGCAACACUGCCCGCAACGCCUUCGUCGUCGCCUGCACCUGUAGCAGUAUCUCUCUUGGACUGCUGCCCCUUCCGAACCGACACCUGUGACCUGCCGCAAUCUGCAGUGCCCAUCACCACGCACUUCUGUCCCUUCCGCAGGUUGCCGUGCUGCCCUCCGACUUAGCCGCCGGACGCCUCGCCGCUCCACCCCCGAGAACCCGCGCCAACACCAUCGCGACCUGCUGCUGCCCAGCGCGACGCCGGAGCUCCAAAGCCCGCCACGAGCUUGACCAGAAGCUGCUGUUGCGUUGCAACCACCACAGCCCGAUCUCGAGCGCCUCCACCGCCGUUGAACGCUGCUUUUGCCCCCCUGCUCGCUCGGCAGUCGAGGCUCGCCAUUCUUGACCUCGCCAACUUUGUGCUUUCGCACUGCCUCUGCCUGCGAUCCGCUUCCUCGUCACGUUGGUUUUACCCUCCUUAGGUAGUACAUUUUUAUAUUUUUAUUUUUUUACUUAUUUCACGUUAUGUUAACUUAUGUUUAAGUUUAAUUGUAGUAUUGUAUGAUAAUAUUUGUAGAUCUCGUAAGCAUUAACUGCAGGUAUUUUGUCCCAAAUUAUGGUAAUUAUUACUUUGACCCGUAAGACGUCGGGUCAUUUUUUUUAAUUACUUUAAUUUUUAGGAAUUUUUUUAUAGCAUUUCAAUUGUUAAAUCAUUAUAGAGUUAAAAUAAUUGUUAAUUUAAUCCUUGAGACAAUGGAUUAUUUUUUCGGUUAUUUUAAUUCUUAUAUUCAUUCCUUAAAAAUAAUUGCUUGUUUUGAAAGAUUAAAAAAAUCAUAAAAAUCAAAAAGUACAUAAAAAUCUAAAUAUUGCAUUAGAGCAUUUAGGUUUAGUAAAUUAUGACCGUAUUUUUAGGUUUAGUAAAUUAGAAUUGCAUUUAUAGGAUUAUAAUUUUUUAGAUUAUACUUUUAGAUGGGUGAUUUUUGUUAGGGCUAAUUUUAAAUAAUGUUGGCAUGUCUUGAUUUUUUAUAUAGCUUUUAGGAUAAAAUAUAGUUUAAGUUAAAUUGAUUCCUAAAAUAAAUUAGAAUAUCACUCACCUUAGUUAGUCUAAUUAGUUUUAGAUUAAGUCAAUUUUCAUUUAGUAAAAAAAAAAAAGAGGAACAAAAAAUGUUAUGCAUGCCAUGUGAGUUAUAGUUUAAUUGUUUUUUUAAAAAAAGGAAAAUGCUAAAAGAUGAUCAUUGCACCAUUAAGUUACUUUCUUUUCAAUAAAAAACAUUAUGGCAUUAAAAAAAACAAAAAAAAAAAAAGAUCACUUCCUUGGUUAGUUAAUAGGUUAAUUCAUAAUUAAUCUCAUAUCAUCAUUAUUUAGCAUAGGUUGCAUAUAUGUAUUAAAAAAUGAAUCAUCAUAAAAAAAAUCAUAAAAUAGCAUGCAUGUAGAAAUACCAUGUCAUUCAUCCCAUAUCAUGUAGCAUAUGCAUAUUUAGGGUUAUAUAAAUUAAAUUGCAUACAUACAGUGAUAAGUUUAAGUCAUACAAUAUGAAUUGCAUCUUGCAUGUCAUUAAAAUAAAUUUAUGUAUAUUAAGUUAGAUUAAGAUUGCAUAAUAAUAAAAAUUAGGUGUCUUGUCAUUUAGAAAUCAUGUUUAGGGCAUGCAUUUUUAUUAGCCUUUUUAUUGAAUGUUACUUUAUUAAUUGUGCACUCACAUGACCACCAUUUGCAUGUUAGUAGCUUAAGUUAAAAUUAAUCAACAUUGCCUGCAAAAUAUUUUUGAAAUUAAAAUAAAAGGUACCGAAAUGGCGUUAGACUAAUCUAGAGUAAUCAUGUCCCCGGACCUACUGAAUCUCUGGUUCGCAAAAGUAAAGUAUUCUCCCAUACUUUACUUGGGUUUCUAACCAACCCUAAUUGGUUAGUGGCGACUCCAAAUUGAAUAUAAUUACAUGUUUAAAUAGAUUAAUUUCAAGUCGCGAUUGGUAGGACUUGGGAGGGUCCGAGCCAAGUCUUCGGACUUAGUAAUCCAUUAACCUAAACUUUAAGUGUUUGCCCUGAAAAUUUAGGUUGCGACAAGGCAGCUUUAAUUGAUUUUAAAUCUAUUUCCCUAAUAUGUGAGGUGAUCAUAUGGGUGCGCAAGCCACCAAUUUAACAUCUAAGGAAAGCAAUGAAUAAAUUGCAAGAACUUACCUUGUAGCAACGAAAUCAUCUGCAAUGUUAGAUCAUAAUUCACAUUAAUAACCCUAGAUAUGAUUUCUAAUUAAUAAGCAAUUUCUUUUUUUUUUGUUUCUACUUAUUUAAUGAAAAUCAUGCAAUAUGCAAUGCAAUAUAACUAAAUGACCUAAUUCUAAUGUCAUGCAACUUCUAAUUAAAUUGACCUAAUAACAAUCUCUAAAUGACAUGCAUUUCUUGAAUCUAAUCUUAAUGACAUGCAUAUGAUAUUAUUUUUUUUCUAAAAAAAGAAUGCAAUUCAUCCUAUAAAAUAAAACUAAUUUAUUCUAAGAAAUUUUUUGGUUUUUUUUUUAUGAAAUUCGGAAUUAGAUAAAAUGUAAAAAUUAUCUAGCUAGAUUAAGAUUCUAUUCCGCUUAUAUUAAGGAUUAAGUCAAGCUAAACCCUAAUUUAACCAAGAUAUUAUCUUAAAUUAGCAAUCUCUAACCUAAGAUGUCCAUCUAAAAGAUUAAUCUAAAUACCUUAAUUCUACAUGACAUAUGCAUGAUGAAUUUUUUUGUUAUUUUUUUUAUUAAUUUCGAAAUUUAAAAUUGCCACAUAAUUAAACAAAAACUAAAAUCCUAAAUGAAUGCACUUUUUGGAUUUUUUUUAUUUAACAAAAUAAAAUUGAUUCAAUCAACAUGACAGCAAAUCAGAUAAGAUAUGAUCAAUAUCCACAAAUUGGUGAACCAUAUCUCGCGCAUGAGAUCAGGUUGGCCAUUUUUAAAUAAAUUGCGAAUCGAAUCUCGAGCUUGAAAUCGGAUUGAUGAUUUUUCCGUGCGAUUACGAGUUGUAUUCCGAGCAUAAAAUCGGAUCGUCAAUCAUAUGCACGUUAUGAAAUUAGGAAAAUUACCCAACUUAAAAGACUACUCGAGUUGCGAUUAUCGCAGCAUAUCAGGGAUUUCAAUCAUGUGCAACAUUCGAAGAUUUGAAUUUAAUCGCAAUAUCAUUGAAUUAAGUAAGGAAAUUACCAAAUUAAAUUUGGGUAAUAUCUUUACCUAUUUUGUAAUAUCGUUCCCGAAUUUGGACUUGUAGUGAAUUCUACAAAAGAAAAGUCGAGCGCGAUGAUGGAUGAUUCACGGUGAUAUCCGGCUAAGGAGGGACUACAUCGCGGUGGUUGUGGCUGCUCGCUAAAUUGGACUGAAAUCAUCGCAAUGAACUACUCAACAAAUCUGGGAAAAUCAAUGGAGCGGGCUGGACUUGCGCUAGGUGGUGUCUGCGAUUAAUGGAGAUCGUGAUUGUGUCUGGCAGUGCAUUAAACAUAUAAUAACCACGUCAGGAAAGUGAAGCCAUGAGAAAACCAGAAAACUCUUCUUCUCUUAUUUUUAGGUGUUCACAUGGGCAUGAUAUGUGUCCCUUGUACGUGACUAUAGAGAAAGAAAAGUGGAAUUUUUAUUGAGAAUUGAAAACUCCCUUGAUAGCUUGAUGAUCCCCUCGAUUUAUGCCUGAAGUUGGUCUUAGUGCGGCAGCAGCUUUGUCGAUGAGGAAUCCGCAGUGAUGGUGUCAUGUAUAGACCGACGGUGGGACUCUCAGUACAGGCUGCUUGGUGAAGCCUGCCGGUUCAAUAAUUCUCGGCUAGGGAAGGAGCAACUCACUGGGUGGACUUCUCGAUGGAGGUGGUGACCACGCACAAGCAUGAGCUGACGGUGAGGAGGAUGCUCAGAUGUUCACCGAGAUAGUCUCACAGCUAACCUGCGAAACAAAGAACGAUUUUGUUGCGGGAAGGCACCAAACUGGUCUCUGCUCAACAACGGCAGCGAUGUCAUGGCUCACGGCACGGUAGAAAAAAUCACUGCUGCUUAUUCAAGAACCUGCAAAACAGAAAGAGAUUCACUGUAGUGAAUGGAAGAAGUUCGGCCAAGAGGGGGCCGUCACGGUGCAGGUACAGCGUGGAUGUCUAGCAGUAACAAUUAUGGCUAGUGGAUCUCGGAGGCGGUGAUGGAGCGAUCUUGGAAUUUUAGACCCAAAGAGCAGAAAGAACUUCGGUUUCUAUUCUCUUUUGGAUCCUCCACUAUCUAUUCUCUCAACGUGUGGCUGUAUGUUCAAUGUGUGUGGCCCCCUUAAAACCCUACGCGAACAACGUUUUUAUAGGCCAAACGUUAGGGUUUCAAUUUCCUUUUUAAAUCAACAUCCGUGAAGAUUUCUUUCUUAUUCUUGCAACUUUUCUUUCUGCCCACACCGAUGGAUACGUGAAGACUAAACCCCACUUUCCCUUUUUUGUUGAUUUCCUUUGUAUGAAGCUGAUCCUCCUCCUUGCAUUACGGUCAACAGAAUUGUCUAAGGAUUUUGAGAAUAUUGACUCAAUUUCAUGGGUGCUCAAGAUGGUCUCUCUUGUGGCGAAAUCUUUGUCCGCACGCUUUCAUAUUUUUUCUUGGAAGAUAUCAUUUUCUAUCCUUACGCAGAUUGAAUAUUCUCCAACCAAAUAAUUGCCCGCAAAUUGGUCGAACAUUAGGCUAAAAAUUCAAGAUUGUAAUAGAAUCCUCUCAAAUUCCAAGUCUUGCAAAGAUGAGCUCGCAAUCCACCGUGAUAUCAUUGAAUAUUGGAAUAAUAAUACAAAUCUUUUCCGAAAUGCACCCAUCUCCCAACUUGUCAAAUUAAAGCUUAUUUGUCACCGGUUCAUGAAAAUGCGAUAAAAUAAAUAAAUAAAAACACCCUUAAAACUAAAUGCUGCGAUUUAAUAUUUUUGUUUAGGGGUUAAAGUUCGGUCCCUAAUUUUUUAAUGAAUAAACGGUCGCCAAAAUUUAGGUGUCAACAACUGCCCCUCUUGAAGGUGAGCUCGAAGAGGUUGCCUUAAAAAACAAAUUGAGACCUAAAUUUUGACUAUACAUAUGGAUUGAAUGAAUUUUUUUUGUUGGAAAAUGAAUUCCAUUUUUGAAUGCAAUUUAUAUAAUGCACGGAAAUGCUAAUGCAAAUGCAUGAUGCAAAAGGAAAGAACGUACCUAUAGUCACUUACCAAUGAGUGCAGUAGAACAUCUUGAGGUACAUGAUAAAUCCCCAUUUGCUCCACAAGUACCCAACUCUCACUUAGGUUCCUUGAAGAGUGUAACGGGUAAUAGAUUGAAAGAUUGAGAAGAACAUUCACAUAUAAAGUGAAAUGUUCAACGAAAAGAAUUGAGACAUCCAAAUCCAGACUGAGAUGUCAAAACUCGAAAUACCUAGAUCCAAACUAAGGUAUAACAAGAAAGCUCGAAAAACAUUUACAUCCAAAGUGAAAUGUUUAACGAAAAGAAUUAAGACAUCUAGAUCCAAACUGAGAUGUCAAAAUUUUUGAACUCGAAAUGCCUAGAUCCAGACUAAGGUAUAACGAGGAAGAUUGAGAAACAUUCACAUCCAAAUGAAAUGUUUUGAUGAAAAUAAUUAAGACAUUCAGAUCCACACGCUUAUCAACAGGUAAAUGAGUUAAAUCUAACGGAGUUAAUGGAUUAAAACCAUAGACAACCUCAAAUGGUGUAAAUUUAGUAGCAGAAUGCAUGCUCCUAUUAUAUGCAAAUUCAACAUGUGGCAGACAAUCUUCCCAAGAUUUGAUUUUCUUUUUAAUAAUAGCACGCAACAAUACCCCUAAAGUUCUAUUAACUACCUCGGUUUGACCAUCGGUCUGUGGAUGACAAGUAGUAGAANNNNNNNNNNNNNNNNNNNNNNNNNNNNNNNNNNNNNNNNNNNNNNNNNNNNNNNNNNNNNNNNNNNNNNNNNNNNNNNNNNNNNNNNNNNNNNNNNNNNNNNNNNNNNNNNNNNNNNNNNNNNNNNNNNNNNNNNNNNNNNNNNNNNNNNNNNNNNNNNNNNNNNNNNNNNNNNNNNNNNNNNNNNNNNNNNNNNNNNNNNNNNNNNNNNNNNNNNNNNNNNNNNNNNNNNNNNNNNNNNNNNNNNNNNNNNNNNNNNNNNNNNNNNNNNNNNNNNNNNNNNNNNNNNNNNNNNNNNNNNNNNNNNNNNNNNNNNNNNNNNNNNNNNNNNNNNNNNNNNNNNNNNNNNNNNNNNNNNNNNNNNNNNNNNNNNNNNNNNNNNNNNNNNNNNNNNNNNNNNNNNNNNNNNNNNNNNNNNNNNNNNNNNNNNNNNNNNGCCCCAUUAAACCACCACUAUGCGCUUCUCGCACCAACAAUUCACGCAAAGAACACUUAGGCAAACAUAGUUUGUUUUCACGAAAAAGAUAACCUCCAUGCCUAUAAAAUUUAUCAAAUGCAGCGUGUUCACAUGCUUCAUAGACUCUCCCAAAGUCAUCAUCAUCAAUAUAUAAGCCCUUAAUAUGCUCAAAACCUAGACACUUCGCUUCUAAAAUAGUUAGAAUCGCAUACCUUCGAGAAAGUGCAUCGGCUACCACAUUUUCCUUACCUUUCUUGUACUUGAUCACAUAUGGAAAAGUCUCAAUGAACUCUAUCCAUUUGGCAUGUCUUUUAUUCAACUUUUGCUGUCCUUUCAAGUACUUCAAGGUCUCAUGGUCGGUGUGGAUCACAAACUCCUUUGGCCAUAAAUAAUGUUGCCAAGUCUCCAAAACUCGCACUAAAGCAUACAUCUCCUUAUCAUAGGUAGGAUAAUUCAAUGUUGCUCCACUCAAUUUUUCGCUGAAAUAAGCUAUGGGACGCCCUCCUUGCAUCAACACGGCUCCAAUUCCUAUACCAGAAGCAUUGCACUCUAUCUCAAAAGUAGCACUAAAAUUCGGCAAAGAUAAUAAAGGAGCAUUAGUUAACUUAUCUUUUAGCAUAUUAAAUGCUUUAUCUUGCUCUUCUCCCCACGUGAAACCCAUGUGCUUCUUGAUUACCUCAGUUAAUGGUGCGGCAAUAGUGCUAAAAUUUCUCACAAAUCGUCGAUAAAAACUCGCCAAUCCAUGAAAGCUACGCACCUCUCCUAUGGUCUUAGGCAUUGGCCAUUCACGGAUUGCUUUAACCUUUUCUUCAUCAACCUGUAUACCAUUAGCACUAACAACAAAUCCUAGAAAUACUAAUUUGUUGGUAACAAAAGAGCACUUCUUUAGAUUAGCGUAUAAUUGCUCGGCCCUUAAAACCUGCAAGACAACUCGCACAUGCUCAAUAUGGUCAUCAGGACUUCGGCUAUAAAUUAAGAUGUCAUCGAAAUAGACAACCACAAAUCGACCAAUAAAAGCACGCAAAAUGAUUCAUAAGUCGCAGAAACGUGCUCGGUGCAUUAGUUAAUCCAAAUGGCAUUACUAACCACUCAUAUAAUCCAUACUUGGUCUUAAAUGUAGUUUUCCAUUCAUCACCUUCUUUCAUCCUAAUUUGAUGAUAGCCACUUUUCAAAUCGAUCUUAGUGAAAACGCAAGAACCUUGCAACUCAUCCAACAUGUCAUCUAACCUAGGAAUAGGAUGUCGAUACUUUAUCGUAAUAUUAUUGAUUGCUCGGCAAUCGACACACAUUCGCCAAGUUCCAUCCUUCUUUGGCACUAACAAAACAGGGACGGCGCACAGGCUGAGACUCUCUCACAUACCCCCGUUCCAAUAGUUCGCUAACUUGCCGCUGAAGUUCCUUUGUCUCCUCGGGAUUGCUUCGAUAUGCGGGUCGAUUAGGUAAUGGCGCACCAAGAAUCAAGUCAAUUUGAUGUUCUAUGCCUCGAAUCGGUGGUAUCCCUCCAGGAAGUUCAUCAGGAAAGACAUCUUCAAAUUCCUGCAAUAAAGAUACAAUAGGACUAGGCAAACUUGGGUCAAGAUCGUUAGUAGAAAAUAAAAUCUCCUUGUACACAAGUACAAGCAUUGGUCGAUCUAGAACUAAAGCUCUCCUCACUUCACUUGAUUUUGCAUAAAAAUUAUUUUGCCUCUUUUCUUUCCUCUCUUCUUUUCCCUCGGUUUUUACCACAAUCUUUCUCUCGGCCUCUCCUUUUCCUUGUGUCUCAGACACACCAUGCAAGCCCUCGAAUUUCUCACCUUUUCUCUCUCUCUCGGCUUCUCGUUGUAACUUUAGUUGAUCUUGAUACACCUCACUAGGUGUCAUUGGUACCAAGGUAUAAGUCUUUUGAUUCAUCAUCAAUGAAUAAUGAUUAGUAUACCCAUCAUGAUGUACCUUUCGAUCAUAUUGCCAUGGUCUUCCAAGUAAGAUAUGACCCGCUUGCAUAGGUACAACAUCACACUUUACCUCGUCCUUAUAUCUCCCUAUCUCAAAUGGAAUUCGAACUUGCUUCGAUACUUUCACCUCACCACUAUCAUUUAACCAUUGAAGUCUAUAAGGCCUAGGGUGCUUUGUUGUCUUCAAGCCCAACUUAUCCACCAUAAUACAACUUGCCACAUUCACACAACUACCUCCAUCAAUUAUCAUACUACAAAUCUUACCAUUCACCACACACCUUGUAUGAAACAAAUUAUCUCUUUGUUGGUGAUGCUCCUCCUCCUUUACUUGCACACUCAGAGAACGCCUAACCACCAAUAAGUCUCCUUUUAUAGCCACUUCUCCAUCACUACAAUCCUCCAAUGGUGGCAUCUCAUCAUCAUCUUCUUCCCUUUCACUUUCGGACUCAAUAACACCAUGUCCAGUCAUGAUCAUCACCCUCCUAUUAGGGCAUUGAUUCGCCAUAUGACCCCUGCCCAAACACUUAAAACAUUUAAUUUCACGAGUUCUAGUAUUAGGAUUUUCGGUUUUACUUGAAACCGGAUUCGUUCCAACUUUACCGUCCCUCUCCUUCUCCUUUGAAGUUUCGGUUUUUGUGUUGUUUCCUCUCCAAUUUGGCUUCUCAUCUCUCUUCCAAUUGGAUCUCCAAUUCUGAUUUGAACCUCCUCCACUCUUGUGAUUUCGAUCCAACUUCAAUUGCCGCUCAACUUUGAUGGCUUUGUCCACCAAUUCUUCCAAUUCAACAUAGUGUUGUAGCUCUACCACCCUUGCUAUGUCUCGGUUCAAACCACUCAAAAAUCUUGACAUUGUGGCCUCACGAUCCUCCAUCACAUUAGCACGGAUCAUGGCAAUCUCCAUCUCCUUGUGAUACUCUUCCACGCUCUUAUUGCCAUGUGUGAGGUUUUGUAACUUUUGAAACAAAUCUCGAUGGUAAUAACUUGGCACAAAACGCCUCCUCAUCACUGCUUUCAUCUCAUCCCACGUCUCUAUCGGUCUUUCACCAUUGUGCCUCCUAUUAGUCACAAGUUGAUCCCACCAAAUUAUAGCAUAAUCAGUAAAUUCAACAGCUGCAAUUUUUACCUUUUUGAGCUCAGAGUAUCGUUGGCAAUCAAAUACCAUCUCCAUGCGUUUCUCCCACUCUAGAUAUGCAUCGGGAUCAUUCUUCCCUUGGAAGGAAGGAAUCUUCAUCUUGAUGUUGCCAAGUUCAUCAUCUCCUCGGUGUCUAAACCUUCAGCCUCCAUUCCACCUUUCAAAUCGAGCAUCUCGAUCAUCCUCCAUGUCGGCCUCAUCAUCAUCAUAUUGCCGUUGCCUUCUAUGUUGUGUUCUAGAGGCAUCUCGCUAAUGUUGCGGCCUUCCUCGAGGUAUCUCUCGGUCACCAUCAACCCUCAUGUCAUUCCUCAUCAUUCGGUCACUAAGCUCCUCCACUACGACCCUCAAUUGCUGGAUGCUUUCCACGAGCACUUCAUCCCUUCGUAUGGAGUCAACCUCCCAUUGAUUCACGCUUUCUUCGCGCGACAUAUUUUAGACCUGCAAGUAAAUGUUAGUCUAAAAAAAUCCUCACCAAUCGCUCCCUCACGUGUUUCUCUCGAGAUAUUUGUCACUCCUCUCGUGUUUAACUCAAGUCUAGGCUUUUUUUCACCCUCAAUUAAGCUUACACACUCUUGCAUUUUUCCUCUCGUAUUCUCUUUUCACAAGCUCUUUAUUGGACUCAAAACCUGUCUCUCAACCCCCUCACGACAAUCAAUCAAACUAAUCAAACAAGAUUAGAUCACUAUUGAUUUUGUUUCAGCAAGUAACAAUUUCAAACCAACAAGUACAACUUUCGAAAUUCCAAUUGAAACGCAAAUCACUACUGAUUUUGUUUCAAUUUGGUCUACUAACAAAUGAGUUGCCUUCUUGAUUUAUUUAUUUUUUUGUUCGGCUAAUUUUUUUUUUGCCGAAUCUGUUUUUUUUUUCUCUUGCACGCUUUUUUUUGUGCGUUUUCUUUCUCUUCCUUUUUUUCACUUUUUUUUCUUUUUUUUGACGAACUCAAAUACAAUUUAAGAUGCUAGAAAAGAAAAUUUAAAACUAAUAGCAAACAACUACGUAUGGAAGCACAAAACAAUCAGAUCCCUAAAUUAACUAGAACGGAAACCCUAACCCAAUAAAUCUCAAAUUGCUGAUUAUCAACAGAAAAUUAAAGAUAAAUAGACCUUGUAGAAUUUGGCUCUAAUACCAAACUGAUGUGAAUCGUUGCAGAGGGAUUGUUCUACGAAGGCUCAGAUGGUGCGAAUUGUAAACCUCGACCUCCAAUCAAACCUGUGAUUGGCAACCUCGGUAUGAAAGUGACCUGUUGACGAACACGUGUCAACCAACCAACGUUAUAGACGCCACGAGCGAAAGAAUUCGCUAUCUCGCUCGAUAAGUCGAAUUGACCGCCACAAGAGAAUCUUGAUUAGGUCAAGUCCUCAAAAGAGUAGUAAAAAGAGAACCUCUCAAUUCUUUUCCUCAAAAAUAGAAUAUAUCUGUCCCAAAAAAAAAUUGGCAAAUCCUUUAUAGAGGCUGCCACACAAACCCUAAAAAACUAAUGCGUCAUAUUCUAGAAUAUUCCUAUUCUAGAAUAUUCUUAAACAAGAAUAUAUAUAAAUUGAAUUGGUCAAUUAUUUGGUGACAAGAUAAUUAAAUUGCACCAAGAUUUCCAAAAUUCUUCAAGAUUUGAUCCAAGGUCAUCUUCAUGCCAAAGAUCACGAACCAUGACGCCAACAGCUUGCCUGAAUUGUUUGGCCCGCGCUCGAGUAAUCGAACCAGUAGGAAUAGACAAUGGGUCCCUAGCACCUCCUCCUCGAUAUGACUCGAUGUCCACAUCAGUUUAUAAAGAUUGCAUUUUCUCUCAAUGGGUCUAUCUAAAAUUUUUGGAUUGACAUAAGUUUUUUGGGUGGUUUGUGGAGGUUGUGGAGAAAUCUCUACGUUGCCUCUUGUCUUCAGCUCUUUAUACUUCGGAAGAGCGUGCUUCAUGGAAUGUAUCUGCUAAAUCAAGCUAGCUUUUGUUCAAUCCUUGCCCACAUGAAAAGGCUAUCAAUUGAGCUGUUUCACCAACUCUCUAUUAGAUUUUCAAAUUUGUAUUGUUGCUGAAUUGGCUAGUUUAGAUUAAAUUUUCAUGCUCUCUUCUCAGAUUAUCCAUGGCUAAUUAUUUUCUAUUUGCACAUAAAGUGGUCUUCUUUCAUCUCACCCAGAGAUUGGGCUAAUAGGGUAGUUGAGUAGGAUACGAUGGGGCUACACAAUUACUUACUCAGUAGCAUUGAAUUAUGGCCAAAUUGUGGACUAACUUUUGUCAAUUGUUUUAAGUGCUUUAAUCUAUCAAUUUUGUUGGAGUUUUUGAUCAAUUGAAAAGUCUAUGUAUAUUAUUUUAAGCCCAUUACCAAAAUUUGCAAAUUUCUUCCCUUAAUUUUGCAAGAAAAUCCAUCAAAGUAGGCCAUUUUCUUGUUAGAGAAUGCCUAAUAUGAUUUCAUUUAGUUUUUUUUUUUUUGGCUUGAUUUGAUCAAUCUAACCUAGCCCCCAUUCAGUUUCAAACUAAUUGGGGAUCAAAUGAUAAAAAUGAUGAUUUAAGAGCUUAGGCAAAUUUUGUUAAAUUUGUGAAUUCGUCCCGCAACUUUUGAAAAUUGUAUUUUGGCCUCAACUCACAGUUACAAUUGAAAUUCGACCCCCCAAAGGCUUGGCUAGUCAUAAUCAAAUCCUUGGUCCCAAUUGUCUUUUUGUGGUAAGUAGGUUUAAGAAAACUAAUUCCACUUAAAAGUUUGUUGCAACUUGCCUUCGGGGGACUACCUUUGGGGGAGUAGAUUUAGAGAUACUUGUAAAGCGUGAGCUUUUUGAAGUCCAUACCAACAUUGGUUCUCCUAAUCUAUAUGUUCAAAAGGAGUCACCAUUAGCCAUUGUUGAGGGUUGGCUAAAAACCCUAAUCAAGACAAGGAAAUGCCAUCUUAAUACAUGCGCAACCAAAGAUUUCAAAAUCGAAGACUUUAUUACCUUAGCUAUUUAACUAGAGCUCUUUCGAUAACUAAAAUUGAUUAUUUGCUAACUAAAUUAUUAGGGCAGCCCAUUGAAGAUUUUAAGAUUCAUCCAAACCAUUCCAAGAAAAUAACAAUUGAUAUAUUGAAAUUGCAUAAUCAAGUAUAAUCGAAUUGAAAAGUGCAAGCACCGACCUAUCAUCAUCUAUAAAAUGAAAAAGCCAUACAAAAAUCCUAUGAUAAAUCCCUAAAGGCAUGUUCAAUUGGGUUUCAAUUUUUUAAGGAUUUUUCAUUUUUUUAAGAGAAAACUACUAAAAUUACUAACUUUUAAGCUUCUUUCCAAAAAUUUCUGAUUUUUUUAUAAAUUUUAUGAAUUUUUUAAUUAAUUUUAUGAAUAUUCUAAUUUUUAUUUUUAAAAUUUUUAGUAUUUUUGUUUUUUUAUUAAUUUUAAAUAUUUUUAAUUCUGGAAAAUAGACUCUGGACCUGGUCAAGGAACUCGGUCCAGAUAUGAGUCUAGCCCGAACCCAUUAAUGGUCCAGGCUUGGUUUGAAAUUCGGACUAGCCUCUAGGCAUAGUCUGAAUAUAACCAAUUUCUAUUUUAUUUGCUAAGCCGACAAUUCCUAACCUAUAUCUAAUCCUAAACAAGCCCACUCUUUAUUAAGCCCAUGGAUUUUUGUUAUCUUUCUUUCUCAUUUUUCUUUUUCUCUUUCUUUUGUUUUCUCUCAUACUUUCUAUUUUUUAUCUUUAUCAUCUUCUGAGUGAAGCCGCCUCUUCCUCCGAACAUCUUCCCCCUUUGUGACGUCCUCACCUGAACCAGCACCCAUACUCCGAUGAGUCCUCACCGAAGCUUAAGCCACCACUGGCCCACCAUCCAACAUCCAUAGUUCAAUUCAACCAACGCCAGUCACUGCCGAUCAUUAGCUGAGAAGCCUUUCAAGCUUCAAAACCUUUACAACCAUAUUCAAUCACAAAAACACACUUGUAUGCAUAUUAAAAUGAAGGGGAAUGGACUAACAAGGUUGGCUCCAAACCGCAGGCUUGUCCGGCAAGAGGUUCAUGGCCAACUCAGACAACGCGAGAUAUGCCACCAAAAAUCAAAGAAAAUGCCAACAUUAGUGUCGGGAGAGCAAUAUCAAAACAAAUCAUGCAGGUAACGGAGAUAUAAACUUUGGUUUUAAGGAUUUGAGUUAUGUUUUUCAUUGAAACAUUUUAUCAAAACGAGAGAUUUCCAGGUUGACCGAGACUCUCAAUGAACGUACCCGAACACACAGCAACUCAACAAGGAAAUCGGCGAGGCCGGAGUUCAUGUUAGCCGGAUGGCCGCGAGCUCCCACUAGGCAUGCCCAAAAUAGAGUAUGUAUAGAGGAAGAAGGAGCUUGCCCGGUUCAUGGUGGACGACGACUGGGGGAGCUAGCCUCUAAAGGUUUAGGCGACUUGGAGGAACCACUAGUGAAUAGAAUCCCUCUCUCUCUCUCUCUCUCGCUCUCUCUUCCCGAGUUCAUUUUUUUCUUAACUUUUAGUCGAGCAAGAUCUCUCUACUCUCAUUUGUUGGAGAAAACUCAUUGGAUGUUUUGAAGUUGACAAAAUUUAUUCAAAGUCUAUUCUGAAUAUUUUCAAACUUUUAUGUCAAAGUCUGAAGAUGACUAGAUUUUGUGGUAAAGUCUAAAGUCUCCCAGACUUUGUGUCAAAGUCUGCCCACUUUGACAAAUUUCAAACUAAACACUACUGAAGAAUGAAGACUUAUCCAAAUGCGAGAUUUUGUUUAUUUCUUCAGGAGUUCGAUUCAUAUGGCUUAUGGAUGGCUUUCUAGUUGGAUAUAUCACCUAUGAGAUUGAUUAUCUUUAUUGAAAUCAAUUUAGAUAAAUCAAAUCUUUUCGGAUUGCAAGUAAAUAUGGAAAGAAUCUACUUAUGGAAUCAAGAUCCUGAUUAUAUUGGCAAACAGGAUUGACGUGCUUUCAUCAUAAUAUUCAAACGACUUGAGAUCUCCUUGAUUGAUUAUGUCCAACGAGUAGAUUAGAAGAAUUCCUUUGGAAAGCGCUAAUGGCCAUGAAGGCAUGAAGGAGUAUUUAAGGCAGACUCUUUAGUUGUUCGAUAGAGUGCGUGAAAGAAAAAUUUCAAAGUCUAAAGCUUACCAUUUUCUUGUCAAUCGAUAUUAUGAGCUCAAAGUUGUAUACAAAAGAAAGAAACACUUAGCGAGACUUCGCGAGAAACCAGUAGAGAUUAUUCACUGUGAAAUCGAGAUCCCAAACUGUAAAAUCUCUUUUGAUUCUUAGUCGAAUCUAGCCAAUAGGCUGUCAACGUGGAGAGUGGACGUAGGCUUAAUCUAAGAUGAACCACUAUAAUUUAUGUAUUCUUAUUCUCUUCCAUAAACUCCUUUACUUUAUUCUUAGUUCUAUUUAACUGCUAAAGUCUGAACUUGCUCAAAUUCUGUUGUUCUUUAGACUCUGUUUUAGAAGCAAAGUAUUUCCACUGUAUCUUUUGAAAAAUUGUCUUCACACCUAUUCACCCCCUCUAGUAUUCAUAUUAGCACUAACAAUUGGUAUCAGAGCUUGUGUGCUUAUUUAUUGAAGUGUUUUUACUUCUAAGAUAAAGAUUUAUGGCUAGUAUUUUAGCUCCAGGAUUGGUUGAAGGCCAAAGCAAUACCAGACCUCCUUACUUCGAUGGGAAGGAGUACAAUGUGUGGAAAAACAAGAUGAAGGCAUUUUUGAGAUCGAAAGAUCCCUGUAGUGGGAUGUGGUAGAAAAAGUGAUCAAUCCUAAAGUUACAUCAACCUCAGAAAAAGGAAAAGAAGUUGUAGAUACUGGCGAAAUAACACAAGCAGAAUUAACUAAGAGACAAGCUCUUGACGCUAAAAUUAUCUACUCUUUAUACUAUGCUUUAUCUCCCACUAAAUACAACCGAAUUUCUUCUUGUGAAACAGCAAAAGAAGUUUUGGACAGAUUGUACGUUACCUAUGACGGAACUGAUCGAGUAAAGGAAAUGAAAAUCAAUAUUCUACUUGGACAAUAUGAAGCCUUCAAGAUGAAGCCUAGAGAAUCCAUCACCGAUAUGUUCAGUCGUUUCACUGAAAUCGUGAAUGGAUUAACAUAUCAAAGACAUGCAAUCUUAGGACCAAUGAAGGUUAAUAAAUUGCUGCGUGGACUCUCCGAAUACUGAAAUCAUGUGAAAACGUCAAUUAGAGAAACUUAGAGGAUCAUGCCUCUUUCGAUAAGUGAACUAGUAGGUACACUUCAAUAAUAUAAAGUGGAGCAGAUCAAUGAGGAAGAAGAUCCAAGAGGUAAGAAAUCAAUUGCUUUAAAAUCUAAUGAUGAUUCUGAUGAUACAGAUUCAGAUGAUGAUAUGGAUGAUGAUGAGCUAGCACUUAUGAUAAAAAAAUUUAGAAAGUUAAAUAGAAAGGGAAGAAGAUUCAACUGGAAGAAACAGAGCACACAAAAUUUCUAGAAGAGACCGACUAAGGACAACGAAACUAGCAAAGAUGUAAUAUGCUUCGAAUGCAAGAAAAAUGGGCAUAUUAGACCUAAUUGUCAUUUGUUGAAGAAAAGGUUAGGAAGAACUGGGAAGUACAAUAAGGCUCUCAAAGCUGAAACUUGGAGUGACACUAAGUGCGAGGAAAGUGAAGAAGAAUAUGCCAACAUUUGUUUGAUGGGUCAUUCCAACUCAAACUCAGAAUUGGAAACAGACUCUGAUUCAAACUUAGACAAAGAACUUGAGGUUAGUAAUUUAAAAAUUCAUAUUAAAGUCUCGAAGUACAUAGAAGAACUUUGUCUUAGUCUCAAAACCUCUCUUAAAAGGAUCUCCGAACUAAAAAGGGAAAAUUCUAAACUCAAGCAACAGGAAAUUUCUUGGAAAGAAAAGUUUGAAAGUCUAGAUAAAAGUUUUGUUAAUUUAAAAGAAAAUUCCGAUUCUUUUGCUAAGGAAAAUGCUAUUCUAAAGGAAGAUCUUUCAAAUAUUUCAAAAUUUUUUUCAAAAGGAUCUAAAAAAUUGGAGAAAAUUCUUUCAGUACAAAGACCAUAUUUUAACAAGUCUGGUUUAGGUAUGACUUCAAAAACAAUUCCAUUGAUUGAUUAAUUUUCCCAAAGUAAAAGAGAGACUCAAACAAAGACCUGCAAAGGCAUUUUACAAAAAUCAUUUUCAAAGAGUUUUUGUGAACCUAUUGGAUGAAGUGUACUCAAAUGUUCAAGGUGUAACAAUUUUGAACAUUUUAAGAAAGAAUGUCCCAAAGUUUGGAGACCUAUUAAGAACGACUGGGCAAAGACCUUUUUUAAUGCUAACUCUCCUAGACCCAAGAAAGUCUGGGUACCAAAGAAAACUUGAGUUCUUCUUAUGAUUGCAGGUCACUAUCAAGAGAAAAAUCAAAUGGUAUUUAGAUAGUGGCAGCUCGAGGCACAUAGCAAGGGAUUCAAGCUGCUUUAUAAAGCUUGUUAAACUGAAUGGAGGAAAAGUUUCCUCUGGGGGAAACAGCAAGGGAAGAAUUGUAGGUUGUGGAACUAUGAAGAUUGGAAGCCUGACUAUCCACAAUGUUUCUUUGGUAAAAGGUUUGAACUACAAUCUACUCAGCAUAAGCCAAGUCAGUGACAUUGGAUUCAAAAUCAAAUUCCAAGAAGGUAUUUGUUCUGGAACGAGUCAAGACUUCUCCCAAUCUUUCACUGGGCGAAGGCAUGGGAAUAUUUAUCUUCUAGAUGUAAACUUAGAAAGUUCUCAGUGUCUUAUAUCUAUUCAAGAUGAAGUAAGUCUCUGGCAUUGAAAGCUUGGUCAUGUCAACAUGAAACAAAUUGCCAAGAUUUCUUCUAAGAAACUUGUUCGUGGUCUUCCCAACCUAGCUUAUCAAAAGUCAGAACUAUAUACUCCAUGUGUUCUGGGAAAAUAGGUUAGAAGUACCUUUAAACAUGUAAAUCAAGUUUCUACCAAUUGAGCUUUUGCAGCUUCUGCAUAUGGACCUUUUUGGACCAACCAGAACUCAGAGUAUUGGUGGAAAUAAAUAUUGCCUAGUAAUCGUGGAAAAUUACUCUCGCUUCACUUGGGUCUACUUUCUGGUAAGUAAGUCUGAAACUUUCUCUUACUUCUCAAAGUUUGCAAAGAAGGUUAAAAAAAAAGAAAAGGUUAUGCUAUUUCAAGCAUACGAACUGACCAUGGAGGUGAGUUUGAGAAUUAGGACUUUGCAAAGUUUUGUGAUGAAUCUGGUUUUCAGCAUGUUUUCUCUUCUCCAUACACUCCAAAACAAAAUGGGGUUGUGUAAAGGAAAAACAGAUCCUUACAAGAGAUGGCCAGAAUCCUCUUAAUUGAGAGCAACAUAUCCUCUCGAUUUUGGGUAGAAACAGUUUCUACAGCUUGCUACAUCAUCAACAGAGUGUUCUUGACGCCUAUCUUAGAGAAAACUCCAUAUGGAGUGUAUAAAAGAAAGAAGUCAAAUGUUUCUUAUUUCCAUAUCUUUGGCUGUAAAUGUUUUAUUCUGAAGAAUUUUAUUGAUCGAUUUGAAAAGUUUGAGGAGAAAUCAAACGAAGGAAUCUUCUUUGAUUAUUCAAUCACAAGCAAAGCUUACAGGGUCUUUAACAAGAAGACUCAAUCUGUGGAAGAAUCCAUGAACGUCAAAUUUGAGGAGACUCAACCAGAUCAGAUUGAAGAGUCUGAACCUGUUUCAGACUUUACAAAGUCUACUUCCCCCGAAGAGGUUCAGACUUCUGGAAAACAACAACAAACAGAUCAAGAAGUUUCAACUGAAGCAGAGGAUCUUCAGACUUUCAAAUCAAAUAGUAACUGGAAGCACAAGUCAAGUCAUCCCAAAUAACUCAUCAUUGGCAACAUUGUUGAAGGAAUUCGAACCAGAUCCAAAAGGCGAGAAGAGUCCAAUGCUUUAGCACUUGUUUCUGAAAUUGAACCAAAAAGUGUAGAUAAAACCUUGUCCAGUGAAAGCUAGAUAGAAGCUAUGCAAGAAGAGCUCAGGCAAUUUAGCAUCAACGAAGUUUGGGAGCUGAUUCCAAAACCUAAUGGUAAAUCUAUAAUCGGGACAAAAUGUGAGAUAGCUAGUAUAAGCACCUAGAGGGGGGUGAAUAGGUGCACAAACAAUUUCUCGAGAUACGGAAGUGAUUCUAGGCAAACGAUAGAAAGGAAAAUACAAUCAAAGUAAAGUAAAGGUUAGGGAAGAGAAAAUUGAACACAAGAUUUAUAGUGGUUCGGCUUAUUCCAAGCCUACGUCCACUCUUCCGCACUGACAGCCCACCGGCUGGAUUUCACUAUGAAUAAAAGAGAAGUUACAGCACAGCUUUUCAUUGAUUCCACAGUGUAGAUGUUCUACCACACUUACUCAAGGUUUCUUAUGAAUAUAGACUCUCUUUUGUUUACAAGAUUUUGCUCAACAAAUGAAUUGACUAAGAACAAGGAGCUUCAGACUUUGGAAUUCUUCUAUUGUGCACUCACUCGAACAACUGGAACGUCUUCCUUAUAUACUCCUUCAUGCCAUCAAACCCGUUGCCACUUACCAAAGGAAUUCCUCCAAUCUCGAUAGCCCAUCAAUCAUGUUCGCCCAUACAAUCAGGAUCUCGGAUUCCAUAAGUAGAACCUUCCAAGUAUACUUUGCCAAUCAUCGGAUCCUUAAUCUUCGAAUCAAUUAUGAUCAAAUAAAGGAUUCCAUCAUGUCAUAUCCAGCCAAGAGAUCUUCUCCAGUCGAUAAGGCCACAUCCUUAAUAAAACAUCCAGUUCUGGAUAGCCUUUCUUCAACGGAUUAGAAACUAUCAAUGAGGAUAGACUUUGAGUCUUGAGUCUGGCUGUCCGGAGGUCUUCAGACUUUAAAUAGCAGAGUCUGCAAGCCUUCAGACUAGACUGAUGGAAACGUUUUGUCAACUUCAAAACACUUCAAGAGGAUUUCUCCAACAAAAUGCGUCUUCAGGAAUAAGAUGAACAAGAAAGGAAAAGUCAUUAGGAUCAAAGCAAGGCUUGUAACCAAAUGAUAUACUCAAGAAGAACGGAUAGAUUAUGAUGAGACUUAUGCACCAAUAGCGAGGUCUUCUCUAGUCGAUAAGGUCACAUCUUUAAUAAAACAUCCAGUUCUGGAUAGCCUUUCUUCAACGGAUUAGAAACUGUCAAUGAGGAUAGACUUUGAGUCUUGAGUCUGGUUGUUCGGAGGUCUUGAAACUUUAAAUAGCAAAGUCUACAAGCCUUCAGACUAGACUGAUGGAAACGUUUUGUCAACUUCAAAAUACUUCAAGAGGAUUUCUCCAACAAUCUCCCCCUUUUUGAUGGUGACAAAACUUUCCUGCAGAUUUGGAAAACUUUGACCUGUAAAACAUUUCUCAAACAUAUAUGCAUAUCUUAUAGAGAUAAAUGGCUAAAUGAAUAACACUAGAAUCUGCAACCACAGAAAAUAGGUUAGUCCAGUAUGCAAUAAAGCCAUCCAUAAGAUAUCAAUAGUAGUUAAUAAUAAGCAGUCAAAUUCAAAUCCCAAAUUUAGUCCACAUCCAGACACACAAGUCAAGUCAAAACAAACCACAAACCAAACAAGCCAAAAGCCAAAAGUUCGACAAAUUUAAGUUCAAAGUUUUUCAAGUCUCGCAACUCUCCCCCUUUUUGUCAACAUAAAAAAGAUUGAGAUGAAAAUGGAGUGGAGUCAAGAAUGCUUGGGAACACGAGCAAGCUGGAAAUCUCCCAUCGAAUGAACGAUGCCUUCCAGCCUUUUCAAGUCUUCCUUUAGUUGUGCAACAUCCUCACCCUUAGCAUUAGCCUGAAUCUAAAGAGAAAGGGCUUGGAUUUGAUCAUUCAAUGAACCCGAAGAAGCUUGUCCUACAUUAUGCAAGUUCUAAACUUCGCAUCCCAAUGUAUAUAUCUGACCUUGCAUCUCCAAGAGAAUAUCCAUAACUCUGCGAAAGUCUGCUGAAUUGUCGGUCUGCGUAUUGGCAUCGGCACGAUCUGAUGGAGUAAAUGCAGACGAUGGUAGAUCAGCAUAAUCACGCAGAUUUGGCGACGAAACAUCAUGACCUUCAUCAGGAAAUUGAGAGGCAUAAAUAUCCUUUGGAUCUACUAGGGAUCGACUGACUCCCUCACUGGUUGCAGGAUUUGAGGACAUGCCUCUUUUCUCUUGGUCUCCCUCUGUUUUCAUGCCUUCAGGUGGAGAGUGCUCCUCAUGUUCUCCUUCUUCUUGAUCUCUUUUCUCUUCUUCUUCUUUUUCAACUAUCUCUUUCUCAGCAUCUCUUUCUUCUUCUUCUUCUUCUCUUUCCUCCGUUUCUUUUUCCUCUGCUUCUUUCUCUUCUCUUUCUUCUGUCUGCUGUUCUGAGUCUUUCUUUGGAACAGAUCGACUAAGAUUCUUCAAUGCCAUUGCAGAAAUAGUGAUGUUAUCCUCAUCAUCUUCAUCCUCAAUGAUGAGAGCUCUUCUUCUCUUGGAUGGAGCAUCCAUGGGCUCCUUCCCUUUUCUUUUUCCUACGGAAGAGAAUUGAUGAGAUUUGACUGGAGUCUUCUCCUUAAAUUUCUCCAAUGCCUUGCUUAGUUCCUUCAGACGCAUCUUAGUCACCAUUUUCAGUCCUACCACCAUAUGAUUGCACGAUUGAGCACAAAGAAUUUGCGGAGGCUGAAUGUUCAGAUGUCUGAAUAACUUCGUCACAAGACAUGGAUAAGGAAGUUGACCUUUGUCUAUCAUCACUGCUCUAUACAUGUGGAACAUAACCAUGUGAGGAAGUGAAAACCUUUUCCCAGAGAUGAUGGCAUACAUUAGCUUUGCCUCUGAACUUGAAACAUCAGUCUUGGAAGUUGAUUUUGGUUUGAGGCAAUUGAUUACAAUCUUGUGUAGCAAGAUGUUGAAUGCACUCAUCCUUGAGUAGGAAAUCUUUUCCUCUAUUCUCCUAUCCUUAACAAGUUCCAGUGUAGCACGAGCAACAGAAACUUUGAUCCGUUGAUAUCUUCCUCUCUCAACUCCUAACACAUCUGCUAGCAUAUCCAUAUCCACUACAAAGUCUUGAUCUUUGACACUGAAAGAGAAUCUAUUUGCAUCCAAGAAACUAAGAUUUGAAUAGAAAUAUGCAGUUAGUUGAGGAUAGGCCUCUGUGGUGUCAGAGCAGAAUUUUUCAAGUUGAAGAUGACCGAACUUUUCCCUUAAGUUCACAUUCACAGCAUCCAGAAAAUCAAAAUCCACACUCCUAGGGUUCAUCACCCCACGCUUCAGCAAUUUUGAGUAUAGAUCCUUAUGUUCCUUCGAUCUAAACAACUCUCCCCUUUUUCCUCCAUUUUCUGCCGCAACUCCCAUUCUUUGUUGAAAUUGGCUGUAUAAUUUGUCAUCAUCAUUUCCAUCUACCGGAUUAAAUCCCCAAUCACGAGGAUCACUUGGGAUAUUCGCAAGGGUUUCUUCUGCCACCCCUUUUACGAGCAAUUCCCAAACUUUCCAUUUUUCGCAAAAAGAUAUAUUCAUUUCCAUAUCCUUUGUCCUUAAGAAAAUCAUCGACAUAGUUCAAUGGAGUACCAAUCCCUUUUAAAGCACGAUACGGCUUAUAAAUAAAAGAGGGCCUUUGAACUCUUACAGGAUCUGCAUCUUCAAUGAUUUCUCCAUUUUGUUGAUGAUCAACAUCUUGAGGACUAGAUGGAGGAGAAUGACGCUGCUGAGAAUGUUGUGGGCUCUGCUGCUGAUUUGGAGACACUUCUUCUUCAGUGAGAUCGAAGUGUGUAGGCCCCUCACUCAUUCUCCGUGGUCCCCUGCUUGCGAUCCUCGAAGACUUUCUUGAAGACGACAUAUCUCUUAGUCUUUGAAAGAUUCCUUGCUUGACUUUCCCAAGAAAGAUGACAACUUUUUUGAAGAUUAAACAAGAGAAGAAAACAGGAAUGGAAGAUUAGUGCUUUUUAGGGUUUUGGAGUUAAGCGAAGAGAAACCGACUGUAUAUAAGACAGUCGAAAGGAGGGGAUGCCAAAUGUCAUAAUGGAAAGUGAAAAGAUGUUUUUUUCAAAAAAAUAACUGCCUUUUUCGAAAAAUGGUCAUUUCAAAAUAACUCCUUUUUCUAAAGGAAACGUUGCGCAAUAAUCACGUCAAUUAAAGAUAGCGGUUGAGAUAACAAUAAUCAAACACGGUUCAUGAACGUACAUUUUCAAGAUGAGAUUACAGAGAGAAUAACUUACAGUCAAAGUCUUGUAGUCAAAGUCUUAUUUGUCUGAGUCUGAGAGUCUCUAGACUUUAACUUCUUCAAACCUCAAAAUGUUGAGUUUGGAAUGGAUAAUUUCAAAUUGAUUUUUCUCCAAAGGCUUUGUAAAUAUAUCCGCCAGUUGGUUCUUUGAGUCAACAAACUAAAUCGUAAUUUCUUCAUUUUGAACAUGAUCUCUAAUGAAGUGAUGUCGAAUCUCUAUAUGCUUUGCUCUUGAGUGAAGAAUUGGAUUUUUGGUGAGAUUGAUUGCACUAGUGUUGUCACAUUUAAUCUCCGUGCAUGAAUCUUCAAUUCCAAAGUCUCUUAGCUGUUGUUUUAUCCACAGAAUUUGUGAACAACAACUUCCGAGAGCUACAUAUUCUGCUUCUGUUGUAAAGAGAGCUACUAUACUUUGCUUCCUUGAAAACCAAGACACUGUCCUGCCUCUAAGUAGUUGACAGGUACCUGAGGUGCUUUUUCUAUCAACUCUGCAUCCGGCUAAGUCUGCGUCUGAGUAUCCAAGAAGAGUAAAGUCUCCCCUUUUAGGAUACCAGAGACCAAAGCUUGAAGUUGAUGCAAUAUAUUUGAUAAUACACUUUGCAUCAUUUAAAUGUGAUUCUUUAGGGCCUGCUUGAAAUCUGGCACAAAUGCAAACACUAAACAAAAUGUCAGGUUUAGAAGCAGUAAGAUAAAGAAGUGAACCGAUGAUACUCCUAUAUAACUUUUGGUCAACUUUCUUUCCUCCUUCAUCUUUGUCUAUCUUCAAGGAACUUGACAUUGGUAUAUCGGCCUUUUUGCAAUUGUCCAGUCCAAACUUCUUCAUAAUAUCAUUAGCAUAUUUUUCUUGAUGAAUAAAAGUUCAUUCCUUCAGUUGUUUCACUUGAAGUCCAAGAAAGAAGGUUAACUCACCCAUCAUGCUCAUUUCAAAUUCAUCCUGCAUAGUCUUAGAGAAUUUCUUGCACAGACUUUCAUUAGAGGAUCCAAAAAUAAUAUCAUCAACAUAUAUUUGAACAAGUAGAAAACUCUUGCUUUCUCUUUUAAUGAAAAGAGUAGUGUCUACUUUACCUUUAACAAAUCCAUUUUCAAUUAAGAACUUACUCAGUCCGUCGUACUAAGCUCAAGGUGCUUGUUUUAAGCCAUAUAAAGCAUUUUUGAGUCUGAAUAUUGAGUCUGGUUUCCUUGGGUCUUCAAACCCAGGUGGUUGUUCCACAUAGACUUCCUCUUGGAUGAAUCCAUUUAGGAAGGCACUUUUGACAUCAAUUUGGAAUAACCUGAAAUUCUUAUAACAAGCAAAAGCAAGUAAUAAUUGAAUUGCUUCUAACCUUGCUACUGGUGCGUAAGUCUCGUCAUAGUCUAUCCCUUCUUCUUGUGUGUAUCCCUUGGCCACGAGUCUUGCCUUGUUUCUUAUGACUUUUCCUUUCUCAUUCAUCUUGUUCCUGAAAACCCAUUUAGCUCCAAUAACAGACUUACCUUUUGGUUUAGGAGUCAAUUCCCAUACACCAUUAAUGCUGAAUUGCCUGAGCUCUUCUUGCAUAGCUUCAAUCCAGCUUUCAUCAGAUAAAGCUUCUUCUAUGCUUUUGGGUUCUAUUUCAGAAACAAGAGCCACAGCACUAGACUCUUCACGCCUUUUGGAUCUUGUGCGAAUUCCUUCAUUGAUGUCGCCAAUAAUAAGAUCUUUGGGAUCACUAGACUUAUGUUUCUAGUUGCUGGUUAAUUUGUCAGAUUGAUGGUCACUCCCUUCACUUGAAUCUUCAACAGUCACUUGUUGCUAGUCCUUCAAAGUUUGAGCUAUUUUAGACUUUGUAGAGUCUGGAGUAGGUUCAGAUUCUUCAAGAUGAGUCUGAAUGGAUUCAUUUUGCAUAGAAUCUUGGAAUUUAACAUUCAUUGAUUCUUCCACUGUUUGAGUCUUCUUGUUGUAGACUUUGUACGCUUUGCUUGUGGUUGAAUAUGCAAGGAAGAUGCCUUCAUCUGACUUUUCUUCAAACCUACCAACUCGAUCAUUUGCAUUUUUCAGUAUAAAACAUUUACAUCCAAAUACAUGAAAAUAUGAAACAAUAGGCUUCUUUUCUUUGAAUAGUUCAUAGGGUUUUUUUUUUUCCAAAAUAGGCCUUAGAAAAACUCUAUUUAUAAUGUAACAUGCUAUAGAAACUGCUUCAGCCCAAAAACGUGAAGAGAUGUUACUUUCAAUUAAAAGAGUUUUAGCCAUUUCUUGAAGUGAUCUAUUCUUUCUUUCCACAACUUCAUUUUGCUCUAGAGUAUAUGGAGAGGAGAAUACAUGCUGAAAACCAGAUUCAUCACAGAAUUUUGUAAAAUCAUGAUUUUCAAAUUAACCUCAAUGAUCUGUUCUUAUACUCAAGAUAACAUACCCUUUUUCAUUUUGAACAUUUUUAGCAAACUUUUCAAAGUAAGAGAAAGUUUCAAACUUACUUGCCAAGAAAUAUACCCAAGUAAAUCGUGAGUAAUCAUCCACAAUUAGUAGGGAGUAUUUCUUACCUCUAAUGCUUUGUGUUCUGGUUGGUCCAAAAAGAUCCAUAUGCAGAAACUGCAGUACACGGUUAGUGGAAACUUGAUUUAUUGGUUUAAAGGAAUUUCUUACCUGUUUUCCCAAUAUACAUGGUGUACAUAGAUCAGGCUUUUGGUAUGAUAAAUUGGGUAGACCACGAACAAGCUUCUUUGUUGAGAUUUUGGCUAUUUGCUUCAUAUUGACGUGCCCAAGCUUUCUGUGCCAUAAGUUUGCUUCGUCUUGGAUUGAGAUUAGACAUUAUGAUUCAUCUGGUUUCACAUCCAAGAGGUAGAUAUUUCCAUGUCUUCGACCCAUGAAUGACUAAGUAGAAUCUUUACUAAUUCCUGAACAUAUUCCCUCUUGAAAGUUGAUUUUGAAACCAGUAUCACAUAGUUGGCUAAUACUGAGCAAAUUGUAAUUAAGUCCUUCCACUAAGGAAACAUUGCUGAUUGAGAGAUUUCCAAUCUUUACAGUUCCAAAUCCCACAAUUUUUCCUUUGUUGUUUCCUCCAAAACAAACUUUUUCACCAUUUACUCGAACAAGCUUUAUAAAGAAAUUUCAGUCUCCUGUCAUGUGUCUUGAGCAUCCACUAUCCAGAUACCAUUUUACCUUUUUCUUGAUAGUGACCUAAAAUUUUCUUUCAGAAUCUGAAUCUGUCUCGGAAUUUGAAUCUGAAUCUGUCUCGGAAUUUGAAUCUGAAUCCGAUUGUGCCAUCAGACAUAUAUUAGCAUAAUCAUCAUCACUUUCUUCACACUCUAUAUCACUCCGGGUUUCAUCUUUAAGAGCUUUUCGGUACUUUUCAGUUUUUCCUUUCUUCUUUCUCAGAAGAGGACAGUUGGGUCUGAUGUGUCCCUUUUUCUUACAUUCAAAGCAGACUACAUCUUUGUUUGAUUCAUCAUCCUCAACAGACUUAGUCUGUUGCUUUUGAAAACUUUGUUUCUUUGGAUUGAAUCUUCUUCAUUUUCUGUUUAACUUUCUAAAUCUUCUUAUCAUGAGAGCAAGUUCCUUAUCAUCCAUAUCGUCUUCAGAAUCUGUAACAUCAGAAUCAUCAUUAGAUUUUAAUGCAAUGGAUUUCUUACCUUUAGGGUCUUCGUCUUCAUUGAUUCGUUCCACUUCAUAAGACUUAAGAGUCCCAACCAACUCAUCAACAGAUAGUGGCAUGAUUCUUUGGGUCUCUCUGAUUGAGGUCUUUAUGUGAUUCCAAUCCUUGGAGAGUCCACAUAGUAGCUUGUUUACCUUCAUGGGAUCAGAAAUUGGUUGACCUUGAUUUUCAAGACCAUUCACGAUUUCUGUAAAACGACUAAACAUAUCAGUUAUAGAUUCUCCUGAUUUCAUCUUGAAGGCUUCAUAUUGACCGAGGAGAAUGUUGAUUCUAGUCUCUUUCACUCGAUCGGUUCCUUCAUAGGUAAUAUGUAAUCUAUCCCAGACUUCUUUAGCUGUAACACAAGAAGAUAUUCAGUUAUAUUCAGUAGGGGAUAAAGCACAAUAUAAUGAAUAAAUUGCUUUUGCGUUAAGAGCUUGUCUCUUGAUUAUCUCUUCCUGAGUCAUUUCGCUAGACUCAACAGCAUCUUUUCCUCUUUCUGAGACAAAUGCAGCUUUAGGAAUGAUUCCUUUUUCUACAACGUCCUAUUCCAGAGGAUCCUUUGAUCUUAGGAAUGCUUUCAUCUUGUUUUUCCAUAUGUUGUAAUCCUUUCCAUCAAGGUAAGGUGGUCUGGUAUUGCUUUGCCCUUCUACCAGCCUUGGAGCCAACAUACUAGCCAUGGAUUUUUAACUCUGAAGUAAAACACUUCAAACAAAGUGAGUACACAGGCUCUGAUACCAAUUGAGAUAGCUAGUAUAAGCACUUAUAGGGGGGUGAAUAUGUGCACAAACAAUUUCUCGAGAUAAGGAAGCGAUUCUAGGCAAACGAUAGAAAGGAAAAUACGAUCACAGUAAAGUAAAUGUUAGGGAAGAGAAAAUUGAACACAAGAUUUAUAGUGGUUCGGCUUAUUCCAAGCCUACGUCCACUCUUCCGCACUGACAGCCCACCGGCUGGAUUUCACUAUGAACAAAAAAGAAGUUACAGCACAGUUUUUCCUUGAUUCCACAGCGUAGAUGUUCUACCACACUUCCUCAAGGUUUCUCACGAAUAUAGACUCUCUUUUGUUUACAAGAUUUUGAUCAACAAAUGAAUUGACUAAGAACAAGGAGCAUCAGAAUUUGGAAUUCUUCUAUCGUGCACUCACUCGAACAACUGGAACGUCUUCCUUAUAUACUCCUUCAUGCCAUCAUACCCGUUGGCACUUACCAAAGGAAUUCCUCCAAUCUACCUGUUGGACGGAAUCAAUUAGGAAGAUCAUUUGAGCUAUUAAAGGAAUAUGUCGAUAGCCCAUCAAUCAUGUUCGCCCAUACAAUUAGGAUCUCGGUUUCCAUAAGUAGAACCUUCCAAGUAUACUUUGCCAAUCAUCGGAUCCUUAAUCUUCGAAUCAAUUAUGAUCAAAUAAAGGAUUCCGUCAUGUCAUAUCCAGCCAAGAGAUCUUCUCCAAUCGAUAAGCCCACAUCCUUAAUAAAACAUCCAGUUCUGGAUAGCCUUUCUUCAAUGGAUUAGAAACUGUCAAUGAGGAUAGACUUUGAGUCUUGAGUCUGGCUGUCCGGAGGUCUUCAGACUUUAAAUAGCAAAGUCUGCAAGCCUUCAGACUAGACUGAUGGAAACGUUUUGUUAACUUCAAAACACUUCAAGAGGAUUUCUCCAACAAAAUGCGUCUUCAGGAAUAAGAUGAACAAGAAAGGAAAAGUCGUUAGGAUCAAAGCAAGACUUGUAACCAAAAGAUAUACUCAAGAAGAACGCAUAGAUUAUGAUGAGACUUAUGCACCAAUAGCAAGGUUAGAAGCAAUUAGAUUAUUACUUGCUUUUGCUUGCUAUUAAAAUUUCAAGUUAUUCUAGAUGGAUGUCAAAAGUGCAUUCCUUAAUGGAUUCAUUCAAGAAGAAGUCUACGUGGAACAACCACCAGGAUUUGAAGAUCCAAGAAAGCCAGACUCAAUCUAUGGACUGAAAAAGGCCUUGUAUGGAUUGAACCAAGUACCUCGAGCCUAGUAUAAAAGGUUGAGUAAGUUUUUAGUAUAGAAUGGUUUUGAAAAAGGAAAAGUAGAUACUACCUUGUUCAUAAAGAGAGAAGGAAAAGAUUUUUUGCUAAUACAGAUUUAUGUAGAUGAUAUUAUCUUUGGUUCUCCUAAUGAAAAUCUAUGUAAUAAAUUUUUGAAGUCUAUGCAGGAUGAAUUCAAGAUGAGUAUGAUGGGUGAGUUAACCUUUUUUUUUUUUUUUUUUUGGAAUUGCAAGUUAAACAGUUGAAGAAAUGUAUAUUCAUUCACUAGGAAAAAUAUGCCAAAGAUCUAAUCAAGAAAUUUGGAUUAGAGAAUCGCAAAAAGACAAAGACACCUAUGUCAAGUUCCUCGAAGCUAGACAAGGAUGAAAAAUGGAAGAAAGUAGAACAAAUGCUUUACAGAAGCAUGAUCAGUUCUCUUCUUUACCUUACUACAUCUCGACGUGACAUUUUGUUUAGUGUUUGCAUUUGUGCUAGAUUUUAGUUUGAUCCUCGAGAAUCUCAUUUAAGUGCAACAAAACGCAUCAUUAAAUAUGUGACAAAUUCUCCAAAGCUGGGUCUAUGGUAUUCAAAAGAAUGAGACUUUACUAUUCUUGGAUAUUCAGACGCUGAUUUAACUGGAUGUAAAAUGGAUAGAAAGAGCACUUCUGGAACUUGUUAACUGUUGAGAAGUAUGCUGGUAUCUUGGUUUUCAAGAUAGCAUAGUACUGUAGCUCUAUCGACAGUAGAAGCAGAAUAUGUAGCUCUUGGGAGCUGUUGUUCUCAAAUUUUGUGGAUAAGACAAUAGCUAAGAGACUUUGGAAUUGAAGAAUCGUGUAUCGAAAUCAAAUGUGACAAUACCAACGUAAUAAACCUCACCAAGAAUCCAAUUCUUCAUUCAAGGGUGAAGCGCAUAGAAAUUUGACAUCACUUUAUAAGAGAUCAUGUCCAAAAUGGGGAGAUUAUGAUUCAGUCUAUUGAUUCGAAGAAUCAACUGGCAAACAUAUUCACAAAACCUCUGGAGAAAAAUCUAUUUGAGUUUAUUUGCACCAAGCUGAAUAUUAUUUAUCCUCUGGAGUAAAGUCUAGAGCUAUCCAGACUCAUAAUUUCCAGACGCUAUAUCAGCGAGAAAUUGACUCAAAUCCAAGUAUUUUAAUUUUAAUAUAAAAAUUGUGAAAAUGUAUGACUUUAUUCAAAUCGUUGCUUACCUAUUUUAUUUUUAGAAGUUAUAUUUUUCAAAUUUUUGAAUUUUUUGGCAGUUUUUAUUUUCAGUUUAUUUUAAAAGGCAGUUUUCUUUUUCCUUUAUUAUGUUUCGAUUAUCUCUUUUCUUCGUGACCUUUCAUCUUCUUUAUAUACCCUUUUGUAUUUGAGCAAUUCUUUUUUAAAACCCUAAAGAAUAGACUCCAUGCUCUCUACUCUCUCAUUUCUACUCUCUCGACUCUACUCUCAAGUGUGUUCCGCAAGUUUUCAUCUUUUUUCACUCAAACUUGUUCGGGAAAUCCUCCAUGAUUGCGAAGAUGUCUUUUCAAAGAAAGUCUUCUCGGAUCACAAGCAGGGGACCAUGGAAUAUGCCUGAGGGCCUGACUCAUUUUGAUCUGACCGAAGAAGAAGAGUCUCCACAAUACUCUCCAUAGCGUGCUACGCAGAAUCCUCCUCGUGAACCGUUGGAAGAGGAAAUUGAACAAGAUGUUGUUCCUUUUCGUACCAUGACUCCCCAAGAUCUAUUCAAAUUAUAUGGUCGUUUGAAAACGGGUGGUUCGCCAAUGUCACUCAUUACUAAUUAUCUAAGAGAGCACGGUUAUAUAAAUGAAACGAUGUUUCUGAGAACAAUGGAGUGUUUAGGAAUAGCAAAGAAAGGAGCAGUAGAUGAGGCUUGUUGCAAAAAUCUUCCUGGAGUAUUUUGAAGCUAACAAAACGUUUCCAUCAGUCUACUCUAAAGACCUCCGAACUGCCAGACUUAAGACUCACCUCCGGACUGCCAGACUUAAGACUCAAAGUCUAUUCUUAUUGACAGUUUCUAAUCCGUUGAAGAAGGGCUAUCCAGGACUGGAUGUUUCGUUAAGGAUUUGACCUUAUCGACUAGAGAAGAUCUCUUGGCUGGAUAUGACAUAACUGAAUCCUUUAUUGAUUCAAAGAAUGAGGAUCCGAUGAUUGGUGAAGUAUACUUGGAAGGUUCUACUUAUGGAAAUCGAGAUCCUAAUUGUAUGGGCGAGCAGGAUUGAUGGGCUAUUGACAUGUUCCUUAAAUAGCUCGAAUGAUCUUCUUAAUUGAUUAUGUCCAGCGAGAAGAUUGAAAGAAUUCCUUUGGUAAGUGCCAACGAGUAUGAUGGCAUAAAGGAGUAUAUAAGGAAGACGUUCCAGUUGUUUGAGUGUGUGGCGAUAGAAGAAUUCCAAAGUCUGAAGCUUUUUGUUCUUAGUCAAUUCAUCUUUUGAGCAAAAUCUUGUACGCAAAAAAGAGUCCAUAUUCUUAAGAAACCUUGAGGAAGUGUGGUAGAGUAUCUACACUGUGGAAUCAAGGGAGAGCCUUGCUGUAACAACUCUUUUGCUCAUACUGAAAUCCAGCCGGUGGGCUGUCAGUGCGGAAGAGUGGACGUAGGCUUGGAAUAAGCCGAACCACUAUAAUUUCUGUGUUCAUUUUCUCUUCCCUACUCUCUGCUUUACUUUGAUCAUAAUUCGCUUUGUUAACGAAAGGAGAAAUUCAUUUCUAUUGUCUGCUUAGUAUUGCUCUCUUAUCUCAAGAAAAUAUUUUUUACACCUAUUCACCCCCCUCUAGGUGCUUAUACUAGCUAUCUCAAUUGGUAUCAGAGCCUGUGUACUCACUUUGUUUGAAGUGUUUUACUUCAGAGUUAAAGAUCCAUGGCUAGUAUGUUUGCUCUAGGGCUGGUAGAAGGGCAAAGCAAUACUAGACCGCCUUACUUUGAUGGAAAUGAAUACAACAUAUGGAAAAACAAGAUGAAGGUGUUCCUAAGAUCAAAGGAUCCUUCGGAAUGAGACGUUGAAGACAAAUGAGUCAUUCCUAAAGCUGCAUCUAUCUCAGAGAGAGGAAAAGAAGCUGUUGAGUCUAGUGAAAUGACUUAGGAAGAGAUAACAAAGAGACAAGCUCUUGAUGCAAAAGCAAUUUAUUCUUUAUAUUGUGCUUUGUUACCUACUGAAUAUAACAGAAUAUCUUCUUGUGUUGCAGCGAAAGAAGUUUGGAAUAGAUUACAUAUUACCUACGAAGGAACCGAUCGAGUGAAAGAAACCAGAAUCAACAUUCUCCUCGGUCAAUACGAAGCCUUCAAAAUGAAAUCGGGAGAAUCUAUAACUGACAUGUUUUGUCAUUUUACAGAAAUCGUGAAUGGUCUUAAAAAUCAAGGUCAACCAAUUUCUUAUCCCAUGAAAGUAAACAAGCUAUUGCGUGGACUCUCCAAGGAUUAGAAUCACAUAAAGACCUCAAUAAGGGAGACACAAGAAUUAUGCCACUAUCUGUCGAUGAGUUGGUUGGGACUCUUCAGUCUUAUGAAGUGGAACCAAUCAAUGAAGAUGAAGAUCCUAAAGGUAAGAAAUCCAUUGCAUUAAAAUCCAAUGAUGAUUCUGAUGUUACAGAUUCUGAAGACGAUAUGGAUGAUGAGGAGCUUGCUCUCAUGAUAAGAAGAUUCAGAAAGCUGAACAGAAAAGGAAGAAGAUUCAAUCCAAAGAAACAAAGUUUUCAAAAGCAACAGACUAAGUCUGUUGAGGAUGAUGAAUCAAAUAGAGAUGUAGUCUACUUUGAAUGUAAGAAAAAUGGACACAUCAGACCCAACUAUCAUCUUCUGAGGAAGAAGAAAGGAAAAGCUUAAAAGUAUCGAAAGGCUCUUAAAGCAGAAACCUGGAGUGAUACGGAAUGUGAAGAAAGUGAUGAUGAUUAUGCCAAUAUAUGUCUGAUGGCACAAUCGGAUUCAGAUUCAAACUUCGAGACAAACUCGGAUUCAGACAGUGAAUUUGAGGUGAGUAACUCUAAAAUCCCUAUUAAAGUUUCUAAAUACAUUGAUGAGUUGUGUUUUAGUCUUAAGACCUCUCUUAAAAGGAUUUCCGAACUUAAAAAGGAAAAUUCUAUACUGAAAUGACAGGAAAAUGUUUUGAAAGAAAAGGUGAAAUGUUUAGACAUUAAUGUUUCUACUCUUAAAGAAAGAGAAGACAACCUUUCGAAAGAAAAUGUAUUUUUAAAAAAUGACAUAUCAAAUAUUUCCAAAAGAUUUUCAAUAGGAUCUGAGAAACUUGAGAAAAUUCUUUCAGCACAAAGACAUUUUUUCAAUAAAUCUGGUUUGGGAAUGACUGUGGAAACCAUUCAUUUAAUUGAUUUUCCUAAAGUGAAGGAAAGAAUUAAGCAAAGACUCACAAGAGAUUUUUACAAAAAUCAUUUUAAAAAGGUCUUUGUAAAACCAGUAGGUCGCAAUGCUCUCAGAUGUUCAAAGUGCAAUAGUUCAGAUCAUUUUGAGAAAGAAUGUCAUAUGGUUUGGAAACCUGUUAAGAAAGUAUGGGCAAAAGCGCAUAUCAUACUAAUACCAAUGGACCCAAGAAAAUAUGGGUACCAAAGAAAUUUUGAGUCUCUUUUUUAAAUGCAGGUCACUAUCAAGAAGAAAGUAAAAUGGUAUCUGGAUAGUGGAUGCUCAAGACAUAUGACAGGAGAUUCAAAUUGCUUCAUAAAGCUCAUUCAAGUAAAUGGUGGAAAAGUCUCAUUUGUAGUAAAUAGCAAAGGAAGAAUUGUGGGAUUCAGAACUGUAAAUAUUGGAAACCUCACGAUUAGCAAUGUUUCCUUAGUGGAAAGACUCAACUACAAUCGCUUAGUAUCAGUCAGCUAUGCAAUACCGGUUUCAAAAUCAACUUUCAAGAAAGAAUAUGUUCAGGAACUAGUAAAGAUUCUACUCAGUCAUUCAUGGGUCGAAGACAUGGAAAUAUCUACCUCUUGGAUGUGAAACCAGAUGAAUCGCAAUGUCUAAUCUCAAUUCAAGACGAAGCUAACUUAUGGCACAGAAAACUUGGGCACAUCAAUAUGAAGCAAAUAGCCAAAAUUUCAGCAAAGAAGCUGGUUCGUGGUCUACCCAAUCUGUCAUACCAAAAGUCUGAUCUAUGUACACCAUCUGUAUUGGGAAAGCAUGUAAGAAAUUCCUUUAAACUAAUAAAUCAAGUUUCCACUAAUCGUGUACUGCAGCUUCUGCAUAUGGAUCUCUUUGGACCAACUAGAACUCAGAGCAUUGGAGGUAAGAAAUAUUGCAUAGUAAUUGUGGAUUACUAGUCACGAUUUACUUGGGUAUAUUUCCUGACAAGUAAGUCUGAAACCUUUUCUUACUUUGAAAAGUUUGCUAAAAAGAUUCAAAAUGAAAAAGGGUAUGUUAUUUCAAGUAUAAGAAUAGACCAUGGAGGUGAAUUUGAAAAUCAAGAUCUUACAAAAUUCCGUGAUAACUCUGGUUUUCAGCAUGUGUUCUCCUCUCCAUAUACUCCAGAGCAAAACGAGGUUGUGGAAAGAAAGAAUAGGUCACUUCAAGAAAUGGCUAGAACUCUUUUAAUUGAAAGUAACAUCUCUUCACGUUUUUGGGCUGAAGCAAUUUCUAGAGCAUGUUAUAUUACUAAUAGAGUUUUUCUAAGACCUAUUCUGGAAAAAACCCCCUUUGAGUUAUUCAAAGAAAAGAAGUCUAUUGUUUCAUAUUUUCAUGUGUUUGGAUGUAAAUGCUUUAUAUUGAAAAAUGCAAAUGAUCAAGUUGGCAAGUUUGAAGAAAAAUCAGACGAAUGAAUCUUCCUUGGAUAUUCUACCUCAAGCAAAGCCUACAGAGUCUACAACAAGAAGACUCAAUCUGUGGAGGAAUCAAUGAAUGUCAAAUUCCAAGAUGUCAAAUUCCAAGAUUCUAUGCAAAAUGAAUCUAUUUAGACUCAUCUUGAAGAAUCUGAACCUACUCCAGACUCUACAAAGUCUAAAUCUCAAGAAGCAGUUCAGACUUUAAAAGACCAGCAUCAAAUGAUUGUUGAAGAUUCAAAUGAAGAAAGUGAUCAUCAACCUGACAAAUCAACCAGUAACUGGAAGCAUAAGUCCAGUCAUCCCAAAGAUCUCAUUAUAGGCGACAUUAAUGAAGGAAUUCGCACAAGAUUCAAAAGGCGUGAAGACUCGGGUGCUGUGGCUCCUAUUUCUGAAAUAGAACCCAAAAGCAUAGAAGAAGCUUUAUCCGAUGAAAGCUGGAUUGAAGCUAUGCAAGAAGAACUCAGGCAGUUCAGCAUUAAUGAUGUUUGGGAAUUGACUCCUAAACCGAAAGGUAAAUCUAUUAUUGGAGCUAAAUGGGUUUUCAGGAACAAGAUGGACGAGAAAGGAAAGGUCGUAAGAAACAAAGCAAGACUCGUGGCCAAGGGAUAUACGCAAGAAGAAGGGAUAGACUAUGAUGAGACUUACGCACCAAUAGCGAGGUUAGAAGCAAUUAGAUUAUUACUUGUUUUUGCUUGUUAUAAGAAUUUUAGGUUAUUCCAAAUGGACGUCAAAAGUGCUUUCCUGAAUGGAUUUAUCCAUGAGGAAGUCUAUGUGGAACAACCACCUAGGUUUGAAGACCCAAGGAAACCAGACUCAGUAUUCAGACUGAAGAAGGCUUUAUAUAGUUUAAAGCAAGCACCUCGAGCUUGGUACGACAGGCUAAGUAAAUUUUUAAUUCAAAACGGCUUUGUCAAAGGUAAAGUAGACACUACUUUGUUUUUCAAAAGAGAAAGCAAAAGUUUUAUGCUUGUUCAAAUAUAUGUUGAUGAUAUUGUUUUUGGAUCCUCUAAUCAAAGUCCGUGCAAGAAAUUCUCUAAGUCUAUGCAGGAUGAAUUUGAAAUGAGCAUGAUGGGUGAACUAACAUUCUUUCUUGGACUUCAAGUGAAACAAUUGAAGGAAGGAACCUUUAUUCAUCAAAGAAAAAUAUGCUAAUUAUCUUGUCAAAAAGUUUGGACUGGAAAAUUGCAAAAAGACUGAUAUACCAAUGUCAAGUUCUUUGAAGAUAGACAAAGAUGAAGGAGGAAAGAAAGUUGACCAGAAGCUAUACAGGAGUAUCAUUGGUUCACUUCUUUAUCUUACUACUUCUAGACCUGACAUUUUGUUUAGUGUUUGCAUUUGUGCUAGAUUUCAAGCAGACCCUAAAGAAUCUCAUCUAAGUGCUGCAAAGCGUAUUAUCAAAUACAUUGCGUCAACUUCAAGCCUUGAUUUUUGGUAUCCUAAAAAUGGAGACUUUACUCUUCUUGGAUACUCAGACGCAGAUCUAGCCGGAUGUAGAGUUGAUAGAAAGAGCACCUCGGGUACCUAUCAACUACUUGGAAGCAGGACAAUGUUUUGGUUUUCAAGGAAGCAAAAUACAGUGGCUCUUUCUACAGCAUAAGCAGAGUAUGUAGCUCUUGGAAGUUGUUGUUCACAAAUUCUAUGGAUAAAACAACAGCUAAGAGACUUUGGAAUUGAAGAUUCAUGCAUGGAGAUUAACUGUGACAACACCAGCGCAAUCAAUCUCACCAAGAAUCCAAUUCUUCACUCAAGAGCAAAGCAUAUAGAGAUUCGACAUCACUUCAUUAGAGAUCAUGUUCAGAAUGGAGAAGUUUCGAUUCAGUUUGUUGACUCAAAGAACCAACUGGCGGAUAUAUUUACAAAGCCUUUGGAGAAAAAUCAAUUUGAAAUCAUUCGUUCCAGACUCAACAUCUUGAGGUUUGAAGAAGUAAAAAUCAAGAGACGCUCAGACUCAGACAAUCAAGAUCUUUGAUUGUAAGUUAUUUUAUUCUCUCUCAGAUUAAAUCUUGAAAAGGUACGAUCAUCUGUCCAUAAUUGAUUUUUGCUACUUUCGAUUUCCGUGAUUAGUGCAAUCUUUCUUUUUCAAAGAUGGACUUAAUUUUUACAUGACAGUUAUCUAAUUUUUUGAAAAAGGUAGUUAUUUUUUAAAAGGGCAUCUUUUUACUUUCCAUUACGACGUUUUGUAUGCCUCUCUUCGACUGACCUAUAUACUGUCGGUUCCUCUUCGUUUAACUCCAAAAACCCUAAAAAGCAUCGAUCUUCCACUUAUGUCUUCUUCUCUUGUUUAAUCUUUGAAAAUUUGUCAUCUUUCUUGGGAAAGUCAAGUUUGGAAUCUUUCAAAGAUUGUGAAAGAUGUCCUCUCAAAGGAAGUCUUCGAGGAUCGCAAACAGGGGACUGCAGCAAAUGCGUGAGGGGCCUAUGCACUUUGAUCUCAUCGAGGAAGAAGAGUCUCCUAGUCACCAGCAGAGCCCACAACAUUCUCAGCAGCGUCCAUCUUCUCCAUCUAGACCACAGGAUGUUGCUCGUCGAGAAGAGGAAGAAAUAAUGGAAGAUGCAAAAUCCGUAAGAACUUUUAAGCUCUCUUUUACCUACAAGCUUUAUCGUGCUUUGAAAAGGGGUGGAACUCCUUUGAACUACAUUGACAAAUUUCUGAAAGACAAUGGGAACAAAAAUGAAACCUUCUUUUUACGCACAACGGAACGGUUGGGAAUUGCCCCUACUGGGUCGGUAGAAGCGGCAAUGGCAAAUAUUCCAAUCGAUCCACUUGUUAGAGGGCUGAAUCAGCCAGAUGGGAAUGAUGAUGACAAGUUGUACAGUCAGUUUCAACCGAGGAUGGGUGUUGCGGCAAAAAUUCGGAGCAAAAGGACAGACUUGUUUCGAUUGGAGGAACACAAGCAUCUAUACUCUAAGUUGUUGAAGCGUGGGGUCAUAAACCCUAGAAGUGUGGAUUUUGCUUUCCUUGACGCUGUGAACGUUAAUUUGAGGGAAAAAUUCAGUCUUCUUCAACUUGAACAGUUCAGUACUAAAUCUACAGAAGCCUAUGCUGAACUCACUGCAUACUUCUAUUCAAAUAUCAAUUUCUUAGAUGCGAAUAGAUUCUUUUUUAGUGUUCGAGAUCAGGACUAUGUGGUGGAUAUAGAUAGGUUGGCUAAUGUGAUUGGGGUUGAGAGAGGGAGAUAUCAACCUAUCAAUGUCUCUAUUGCUCGUGCUACGUUGGAACUUGUUAUGGAUAGAAGGACAGAGGGAAAUGUUUCCUACUCGAGGAUGAGUGCGUUCAACAUUCUGCUUCACAAGAUUGUGAUCAAUUGCCUCAGACCAAAAUCUACUUCAAAGACUGAUGUUUCAAACUCAGAGGCAAAGCUGAUGUAUGCCAUCAAUGCUGGGAAAAAGUUCUCUCUUCCUCACACUAUUAUAUUCCAUAUGUAUAGAGCAGUGGUGAAGGACAAGGGUCAACUUCCUUAUCUAGCUCUUGUGACAAAGUUAUUUAGACAUUUGAAUGUUCAGCCUCCCCGGAUUCUCUGUGUUCGAACUUUUGAUCAAAUGGUAGUGGGACUGAAAAUGGUGUCUAAAAUACGUCUGAAGGAACUCAACAAGGCGUUGGAGAAAUUCAAGGAGAAAACCCCUGUCAAAACUCAUCAAAUCUCUUCGGCAGCAAAAAUACAAGGGAAGGAGCCCAUGGUUGCUCCAUCCAAGAAAAGAAGAGCUCUCAUUAUUGAGGAUGAAGAAGAUAAGGAAGACAUCACCAUUACUGCAAUAGCAUUGAAGAACCUAAGUCGUUUUGUUCCAGAAUCAACGGAACGACAAGAGAAAGACACAAAACAAAGGACUGGAGAAAGAGAAAAUUUGGAAGCAGAAGAUAAAGAAAUAGAGGAGAGAGAAGCUGAAGAAAGAGAUGCAGAGGGGGAAAGAAUUGAAGAAGAAGAAGAAGAAGAGGAAAGAGUAAAUCAAGAGGAAGGAGAGCACGGGGAACACUCUUCUCCACCUGAAGGCAUGGAAACAGGGAGAGAUCGUGAGAAAAGAGGAAUGUCCUCAUAUCCUGCUACCAGUGAAGGAGUCAGCUGCUCUCCAGCAGAUCCAGAGGACAUCUAUGCCUCUCAAUUUCCUGAGGAAGGACAUGAUGUUUCAUCGCCCAAUCUGCGUGAUUGUGCUGAUUUGCCAUCGUUCGCCUUUACUCCAUCUGAUCGUGUAGAAGCCAGUACGCAUACUAAUAAUUCAGCAGAUUUUCGCAUAAUUCUUAAUGUUCUCUUAGAAAUGCGGGGUCAGAUAUAUGCUCUAGGAUGCGAAGUAUAGAAUUUGCAGAAUGCAAGUAAAGCUUCUUCAGUUUCUUUGAAUGAUCAGAUCCAAGCCCUUGCUCUUCAGAUUCAAGCAAAUGCUAAGGGUGAAGAGGUGGCUCAGCUGAUGGAUAGUUGACAAAGCUGGAUGGCAUUGUCCAGUCAAUAGGAGAUUUCUAGCUUGUUCGUGUUCCCAAGCAUUCUUGAUUCCACUCAACCUUUUUUUAUGAUGACAAAAAGGGAGAGAGAUGUGAUUUGAACUUUGAACCUUGAACUUUUUUGAACUUGAACUUGAACUUUUGAUUUGUUUUGAUGUUUGACUCGACUUUUGUGUCUGGCUGUGGACUGGAUUUGAGAUUUUGGAUUGACUGCUUAUAUUAAAACUAUUGAUAUCUUAUGGAUGGCUUUACUCAUAUGCAAGACAAACCUAUUUUAUGUGGUUGUAGAUUCUAGUGUUAUCAAUAAGCCAUUUAUCUUUAUGAGAUAUUCAUAUUUGCUUGAGUAAUGUUUUGCAGGUCAAAGUUAUCCAAAUCUGUAGGAAAGUUUUGUCACCAUAAAAAAUGGGGAGAUUGUUGGAGAAAUCUUCCUGGAGUAUUUUGAAGCUGACAAAAUGUUGCCAUCAGUCUAGUCUGAAGAUUUGCAAACUCUUCUAUUUAAAGUCUGAAGACCUCCGGACUGCCAGACUCAAGACUCAAAGUCUAUUCUCAUUGAUAGUUUCUAAUCCGUUGAAGAAGGGCUAUCCAGGAUUGGAUGUUUCGUUAAGGAUUUGACCUUAUCAACUAGAGAAGAUCUCUUGGCUGGAUAUGACAUAACGAAAUCCUUUAUUUAUUGAAAGAUUGAGGAUCCAAUGAUUGGCGAAGUAUACUUGGAAGGUUCUACUUAUGGAAACCGAGAUCCUGAUUGUAUGGGCGAGCAAGAUUGAUGGGCUAUCGACAUGUUCCUUAAAUAGCUCGAAUGAUCUUCCUAAUUGAUUCUGUCCAACGGGAAGAUUGGAAGAAUUCCUUUGAUAAGUGCCAACAGGUAUGAUAGCAUAAAUGAGUAUAUAAGGAAGACGUUCCAGUUGUUCGAGUGUGUGCGCAAUAGAAGAAUUUCAAAGUCUGAAGCUCUUUGUUCUUAGUCAAUUCAUCUUAUGAGCAAAAUCUUGUGCACAAAAGAGAGUCCAUAUUCUUGAGAAACCUUGAGGAAGUGUGGUAGAGUAUCUACACUGUGGAAUCAAGGGAGAGGCUUGCUGUAACAACUCUUUUGUUCAUAGUGAAAUCUAGCUGGUGGGUUGUCAGUGCGAAAGGGUGGACGUAGGCUUGGAAUAAGCCGAACCACUAUAAUUUCUGUGUUCAUUUUCUAUUCCCUACUCUCUGCUUUACUUUGAUCAUAAUUCGCUUUGUUAACGAAAGGAGAACUUCCUUUCUAUUGUCUGCUUAGUAUUGCUCUCUUAUCUCGAGAAAAUAUUUUUUACACCUAUUCAAUCCCCUCUAGGUGCUUAUACUAGCUAUCUCAAGGCUUUCCGUAACUUUCUUAUCAAUCCUCGUUUUAGCACUUUCAAUCAGCCUGAAAGCAAAGAUGAUGAUGAGAGGAUGUUCUCAAAUUUUUAGCCAAGGAUGGGCAUUGCUGCUAAAAUGCCUGGUGUAGGAACGAAGCUUUUUUCGUUUUAAGGAUCAUAAAAAGGUUUAUUUCCAGGUGCUGAAAAGAGGGGUAAUGAACCCUCGAUCGGUCGACUUUGACUUUUUAGAUUCAUUCAAUGUAAAUUUGAGGGAAAAAACUAGCUUUCUUUCAACUUGAAGACUUUUGCUACAAGACAACUAUUGCUUAUCCAGAGUUGACUACCUUUUUCUAUUCCAAUCUUUCUUUUCUUAACCAGAAUUGCUUCAAAUUCACCGUGAAUGACAAAGAAUAUCUGGUGGAUGUUGACACUUUGGCUGACGUUAUUGGGGUGGACAGGAGUGGUUUCCAACCAAUAAAUGUAUCAGUUGGUCAUGCAAUUCCAAUCUUUCUUUUCUUAACCAGAAUUGCUUCAAUUUCACUGUGAGUGACAAAGAAUAUCUGGUGGAUGUUGACACUUUGGCUGACGUUAUUGGGGUGGACAGGAGUGGUUUCCAACCAAUAAAUGUAUCAGUUGGUCAUGCAACAAGAUUCUUUGUUAGUGACAGACUCCCCGAAGAAAGCAUCACUUAUUCCAGAAUGACAGCCUCCAAUGUCUUGUUGCACAAAAUCGUCAUAAACUGCAUCAGACCAAAGGCUACUUCAAAAACUGAUGUUUCCCAAUUUGAAGCACGGCUUAUGUUUGUUAUUUCCAAUGGCAUGAAGUUUUCACUUCCUCAUAUUGUCUUAAUGCACAUAUAUAGGACUGCUAUGAAGGAUAAGGGACAGCUACCUUACUCUGUGCCGGUUACAAAGCUAUUCAAAUAUUUCCAGAUCGAGUUUCUUGUCUCUCUCUGCACCAGAACUGUAGCUCCUAUGGUUAUAGGACUAAAGAUGGUUUCGAAGAUGAGGCUAAAAGAUCUGAACAUGGUUUUAGAGCGCUUGAAUAAGGCAUCUCCUAGCAAAACAAAGGAAGAAUCUGUUGCAAAGAAGAGAAAAGGCAAGGAGAUUGUGAAAGAACCCCUCAAGAAGAGAAGAUCCCUUAUCCUGCAGGAUGAAGAUGAUGAUGAUGAUCUUACCAUUUCAACCUUGGCCUUGAAAAAUCUUCAAAACUUUAUUGGUUUUGAGCAACCUAAGGGGAUAGGAGAAGGAGGGAGAGCAGAUAUAGAGCGAAGAGAAAAAGGAAGAGAAGACAGAGAAGAAGCAAAGCUAGAAGAAGAAGAACCGGGAAGAGAAGAAGAAGCAAGAGAAGUCGAAGAAAGAGAAGAAGCAGGAAGAGAAGCUGAAGCAGAAGAGCGUUAGGAUGACUCCUAUGAGACAACUUUGGUAGUAUCCUUAUCCGAGGAUUCUGAAGCAACAGGGAGUGUCCAAGUGGGAGAAAGAAUAGAAACAGAACGUCACCUUCGUGCAGGAAAUGAGAAAGAUCAAGAAGUUUUCCUCCCUUUACCUGUAAGCAAGGAAACAGGGGGAGCCCAUGAGAAAAGAGGUAUUUCUUCUCCUCUUUUUGCAAGUGAUGAUAUCAGUCGAUCUCCUACUGAUCCAGAAGAAGUCUAUGCUUCUAAUUUUCCUAAAGUUGAUAUUGGAGAAUCAACUCCAAGUCUUGAAGGCAGAUCAAUUGAUGUUCCCUCAUUACUCAACACUCCACAAACUGAACGUGUUGAGGCUAGUGCACAAACAAAACCUACUACAGACUUUCAAAGGCUGCCCGAGCUCAUCCUGGAGAUAAAAGCACAGCAAUGUGGAAUGGAGUGUGAGAUUCAGAAGCUUCAAUCUGCUUUGUAAUCUACUUCAAAUUCUCGCAAUGAAAUGAUAUAGUCUUUAAACUUUCAAGUUCAAGGUUUACAACGGCAAGUUUCAUGGACUCCAAGCAUCGAAGAUGUUGAGAAGCUGAAGAAGACAGUGUGAAAGCUAGAGGAGAUAGUUUAGUCAAUGGGGAAUUUCCAGCUCGUUUGCAUUCCAAGACAAACUUUAUUUCAUUCUCUCUAUUUUUAAUCUUGGUUUUCUCCACUUUUUGCUGCUGACAAAAAGGGGGAGAAUGUGCAAAUUUACUGUUGAUACUUUUGAACUUAAACUUUUGUAGAUUUAACUCUGUUUGAUUGGUUUGACUAGUAACUCUCAUAAUUUGUAGCAACUUUUGUGACGAUUAUGAAUGAGGACAAAUAUGGAUGUUUUAAUCUUGGUGUUUGAUUAUUUUUCAAGAUUAACAUGUAUUCUGUGGUUGUAGAAUCGUUGCCAUCCACAGAUCAAUAUCUUUUUGAAUAUCAGGAUAUAAGUUCUUAAAUCUGCAGGGAAGUUUUGUCACCAUAAAAAAAUGGGGAGAUUGUUGGAAAAAAAAACUCAUUGGAUAUUUUGAAGUUGACAAAACUUAUUCAAAAUCUAUUUUGAAGAUUUUCAGACUUCUAUGUCAAAGUCUAAAGAUGACCAGAUUUUGAGGUAAAGUCUAAAGUCUCCUAGACUUUGUGUCAAAGUUUGCCCACUCUGACAAAUUCCAGACUGAACACUACCGAAGAAUGAAGACUUAUCCAUAUGUGAGAUUUUGUUUAUUUCUUUAGGAGUUCGAUUCAUAUGGCUUAUGGAUGGCUUUCUAGUUAGAUACAUCACCUACGAAAUUGAUUAUUUUUAUUAAAAUCAAUUUUGAUAAAUCAAAUCUUUUCGAAUUGCAAGUAAAUAUGGAAAGAAUCUACUUAUGGAAAUCAAGAUCCUAAUUGUAUGGGCGAACACGAUUGACGGGCUUUCAUCACAAUCUUCAAACGACUCGAGAUCUCCUUGAUUGAUUCUGUCCAACGGGUAAAUUGAAAGAAUUAAUUUGGAAAGUGCUAAUGGUCAUGAAGGCAUGAAGGAGUAUGUAAGGCGAACUCUCUAGUUGCUCGAUAGAGUGUGUGAAAGAAAAUUUUCAAAGUCUGAAGCUUACCAUUUUCUCGUCAUUCAAUAUUACGAGCUCAAAGUUGUAUACAAAAGAGAGAAACACUUGGCGAGACUUCGUGAGAGACCAAUAAAGAUUGUUCACUGUGAAGUCAAGAUCCCAAAGCUAUAAAAUCUCUUUUAAUUCUUAGUGGAAUCCAGCCAGUAAGCUAUUAGUGUGGAGAGUGGACGUAGGCUUCAUCUAAACUGAACUACUAUAAUUUCUAUAUUCUUAUUCUCUUCCCUAAACUCUUUUACUUUAUUCUUAAUUCUAUUUAACUACUAAAGUCUGAACUUGCUUAAAGUCUGUUGUUCUUCAGAAUUUAUUUUAGAAGCAAAAUGUUUCCACUGUAUCUUUUGAAAAAUUGUUUUCACACCUAUUCACCCCAUCUAGGUGUUCAUACUAGUACUAACAUCAUUUGCUAGUUCCUUCUUUCUCUGCUGACUCUAGCGAACAAACUGGCCACCUUUUCGGGCCUCUCUCUCUCUCUCUCUCUCUCUCCUCUCACGCUUCUCUGGUUUUCUUCUCAUUUCUUAGCCGAGCUAGCCCCCUUUCCCUCUUGCUCCCUCUCUCGCUUUUAAGGCCAACUGGCAAGCGGGCAUGGCACCUGCCAUUGCCAGCUUGCUGAUCAGCCUAACUUGGACCCGUAGAUCACCCCGUCACCUGCUCCCCUCCUACUCUAGCUCUAUCACUCUUCUUUCUCUCUUGAAGCGUGAAUGGUGUUAAGGGGAAGAGAACCAUCACGGGGGCAGGCCUGUGAGAAAGGAUGAUGGGUUGGCCCAAGUGGAGGAAAAGAAAGGAGAGAAAGGGGUUGGGCUAGGCCUAGCCGGAAAAAAGAUAGGGGUCCGAUUUACUUAACCCAGCCCGACUCCACCUCUCUCUCUCUCUUUCUCUCUCUCUCUCUCUCUGUCUCUGUCUCAAUAACAACCAUUCUUCUAAGUCUUAAAUCAAUUGUCUUUCUUUCUUUUUUUCCUUUUGUAUUUCCUAUAAAUUCUGUUACUAUUAUCAGAUGCUUCUAAUGUCCAUACGCUAUGCAAUUUUCAUAAUUUUUUAGGUUUAAAAAUUAGUCUCUAAUUUAUAUGCAAUUAAAUCCUAAAAGGAUGGCCUAAAUUUAGGUCUCAACAAAGUUAUACUAAGGCCCUGUUUGGUUCAGCAUUUGCAAUGGGUUUUGGGAUUCUAAAGUUCCUUGGCCAAAUGCAAAUGCAUUUGAUUCAUUCUUUUACUCAACUUUGGAGAAAUACAAUUGCAUUUCCAUAGAUCUCCCUUUAGCUUAAAGUAGGUCUGAGGUCCUUUAGGAAGUUACAUUAUUAUAAUACAAGUCUUGAUCCUUAGUUAUUCUACAUCUUCUCCAAAGGUCACGACACAGAAAAGUUGAUUGGAGGUUGAUGAUCGUUGGCCAAAAGGUUGUACAUGCUAUCGACUAUUGCUUGGGGGUCGCUUAACCUUUAGCGACCAUCACCUAGGGUCGUGCGAAUUCAAGCGACUGUUGCCUAAGGUCGCGCGACCUAAGACGAGGCCAUCCAACAACCAAAUCUUGCUUGAGGUCGCAUGACCUCAAGUUAGGCUACCAAUAGUUGAACUCCCAGAAAAAAAAAGCAAAAACAUUUUUUUCUUAAUUUGGUCAAAGUUCUUUAUAAAUGCAAUUUUUACUUAAUGGUAUUUAAGUCAAAGUUAUUUCCCAAUACACUAUUACAAUUCAACACAAAGACCUCAUUUCAAUAAAUCUGGUUUGGAAAUGACUGUGGAAACCAUUCCUUUAAUUGAUUUUCCUAAAGUGAAGGAAAGAAUUAAGCAAAGACUCACAAGAGAUGCUUACAAAAAACAUUUUAAAAAGGUCUUUGUAAAACCAGUAGGUCACAAUGCUCUCAGAUGUUCAAAGUGCAAUAGUUCGGAUCAUUUUGAUAGAGAAUGUCAUAUGGUUUGGAAACCUGUUAAGAAAGUAUGGGCAAAAACCACAUAUCAUACUAACACCAAUGGACCCAAGAAAAUAUAGGUACCAAAGAAAGUUUGAGUCCCUUUUUUAAAUGCAGGUCACCAUCAAGAAGAAUGUAAAAUGGUAUCUGGAUAGUGGAUGCUCAAGACAUAUUGUUGGAGAAAUCUUUUUGGAAUAUUUUGAAGCUGACAAAACGUUUCUAUCAGUCUGGUCUGAAGAUUUGCAGACUCUGCUAUUAAAGUCUGAAGACCUCCGGACUGCCAGACUCAAGACUUAAAGUCUAUUCUGAUUGAUAGCUUCUAAUCCGUUGAAGAAAGGCUAUCUAGAACUGAGUGCUUCACUAAAGGAUUUGGCCUUAUCGACUGGAGAAGAUCUCUUGGCUGGAUAAGACAUAACGGAUUUCUUUAUUCAAAUCAAGAAUGAUUAAAGACCCGAUGGUUGACGAAGUAUUCCUGGAAGGUUCUACUUAUGGAAACCAAGAUCCUGAUUGUAUGGGCGAGCAUGAUUGAUGGGCUAUCGACAUGUUCUUUUAAUAGCUCGAAUAAUCUUCCUAAUUGAUUCCGUCCAACGGGAGGAUUGGAAGAAUUCCUUUGGUAAGUGCCAAUGGGUAUGAUGGUACAAAGGAGUAUAAAAGGAAGACAUUCCAGUUGUUCGAGGAGUGCACGAUAGAAGAAUUCCAAAGUCUGAAGCUCUUUAAUUCUUAGUCAAUUCAUUUGCUGAGCGAAAUCUUGUACACAAAAGAGAGUCUAUACUUUGAGAGACCUUGAGGAAGUGUGAUAGAAUAUCUACACUGUGGAAUCAAGGAAAAGCAGUGCUGUAAUAUCUCUUUUGUUCAUGGUGAAAUCCAGCCAAUAAGCUGUCAGUGCAGAAGAGUUGACGUAGGCUUGAAAUAAGCCGAACCACUAUAAACCUUGUGUUCAAUCUUCUCUUCCUUACUCUCCACUUUACUUUGAUCAUAGUUCUAUUUGUUAACUAAAGGAGAGUUUUCUCUUUUGUUGUUGAUCCAGUAUUGCUUUCAUAUCUCAAGAAAUUAUUUAAACACCUAUUCACGCCCCCUCUAGGUGCUAUUACUAGCUAUAUCAAUUGGUAUCAGAGCUUGUGUACUCACUUUGUUUGAGGUGUUUUACUUCAGAGUAAAAGAUCCAUGGCUAGUAUGCUAGCUCUAGGGCUAGUGGAAGGACAGAGCAAUACAAUACCACUUUACUUUGAUGGAAAUGAUUACAACAUCUGGAAAAACAAGAUGAAAGCGUUUCUACGAUCAAAGGAUCCUUUGGAAUUGGACGUUGUAGAAAAGGGAAUCACUCUUCAAGCUGCAUCUGUCACAGAGAGAGGAAAAGAAGUUGUUGAGUCAAGAGAAAUGACUUAGGAAGAGAUAAUCAAGAGACAAGCUCUUGAUGCAAAAGCAAUUUAUUCUUUAUAUUGUGCUUUAUCGCCUACUGAAUAUAACAUAAUAUCUUCUUGUGUUAUAGCAAAAGAAGUCUGGGAUAGAUUACAUAUCACUUAUGAAGGAACUGAUCGAGUGAAAGAAACCAGAAUCAACAUUCUCCUCGGUCAAUAUGAAGCAUUCAAAAUGAAAUCUGGAGAAUCUAUUACUGACAUGUUUAGUCAUUUUACAGAGAUUGUGAAUGGCCUUGAAAAUCAAGGGCAACCAAUUUCUUAUCCCAUGAAAGUAAACAAGCUUCUUCGUGGACUCUCCAAGGAUUGGAAUCACAUAAAGACUUCAAUAAGAGAGACACAAAGAAUCAUGCCACUAUCUGUCGAUGAGUUGGUUGGAACUCUUCAGUCUUAUGAAGUUGAAUGAAUUAAUGAAGACGAAGAUCCUAAAGGUAAGAAAUCCAUUGCAUUAAAAUCCAAUGAUGAUUCUGAUGUCACAGAUUCUGAAGACAAUAAAGAUGAUGAGGAGCUUGCUCUUAUGAUAAGACGAUUCAGAAAGCUGAACAGAAAAGGAAGAAGAUUCAAUCCAAAGAAACAGAGUUUUCAAAAGCAACAGACCAAGUCUGUUGAUGAUGAUGAAUAAAACAAAGAUGUAGUCUGCUUUGAAUGUAAGAAAAAAGGGACACAUUAGACCCAACUGUCCUCUUCUGAAAAAGAAGAAAGGAAAAGUUGAAAAGUAUCGAAAGGCUCUUAAAGCAGAAACCUGGAGUGAUACAGAGUGUGAAGAAAGUGAUGAUGAUUAUGCCAAUAUAUGUCUAAUGGCACAAUCGGAUUCAGAUUCAAACUCCGAGACAGACUCAGAUUCAAACAGUGAAUUUGAGGUAAGUAACUUUAAAAUUCCUGUUAAAGUCUCUAAAUACAUUGAUGAGCUGUGUUUUAGUCUUAAGACUUCUCUUAAAAGGAUUUCCAAACUUAAAAAGGAAAAAUCUGCACUAAAACAACAGGAAAAUGUUUUGAAAGAAAAAUUGAAACAUUUAGACACGAAUAUUUGUACUCCUAAAGAAAGCGAAGAUAAUAUCUUGAAAGAAAAUGCAUUUUUAAAAAAUGACUUAUCAAAUAUUCCAAAAAGAUUCUCAAUAGGAUCUGAGAAACUUGAAAAAAUUCUUUCAGCACAAAUACCUUAUUUCAAUAAAUAAGGUUUGGGAAUGACAUCAGAAACUAUUCCUUUAAUUGAUUUUCCUAAAGUGAAGGAAAGAAUUAAGCAAAGACCUUCAAAGACAUUUUACAAAAAUCAUUUUCAAAAAGUAUUUGUAAAACCAGUGGGUCAAAAUGCUCUCAGAUGUUCAAAAUGUAAUAGUACAUAUCAUUUUGAAAAAGAGUGUCCUAUGGUUUGGAAACCUGUUAAGAAAGUAUGGGCAAAAACCGUAUAUCAUACUAACACCAAUGGACCCAAGAAAAUAUGGGUACCAAAGAAAGCUUGAGUCUCUUUUUUAAAUGCAGGUCACUAUCAAGAAAAAGGUAAAAUGGUAUCUGAAUAGUGGAUGCUCAAGACAUAUGACAGGAGACUCAAAUUGCUUCAUAAAACUUGUUCAAGUAAAUGGUGGAAAAGUCUCAUUUGGAGGAAACAGCAAAGGAAGAAUUGUGGGAUUUGGAACUGUGAAGAUUGGAAACCUCACAAUAAGCAAUGUUUCCCUAGUGGAAUGACUCAACUACAACUUGCUCAGUAUCAGUCAGCUGUGUGACACUGGUUUCAAAAUCAAUUUUCAAGAGGGAAUAUGUUCAGGAACGAGUAAAGAUUCUACUCAGUCAUUCAUGGGCCGAAGACAUGGAAAUAUCUACCUCUUGGAUGUGAAACCAAAUGAAUCGCAAUGUCUAAUCUCAAUUCAAGAUGAAGCUAGCUUAUGGCACAUAAAGCUUGGGCACAUCAAUAUGAAGCAGAUAGCCAAAUCUUAGCAAAGAAACUUGUUCGUGGUCUACCCAAAUUGUCAUACCAAAAUUCUGAUCUUGUACACCAUGCGUUUUGGGAAAGCAAGUAAGAAAUUCCUUCAAACCAAUAAAUCAAGUUUCCACUAAUCGUGUACUACAACUUCUGCAUAUGGACAUUUUCGGACUUACCAGAACUCAGAGUAUUGGAGGUAAGAAAUAUUGCCUAAUAAUUUUGGAUGACUACUCACGAUUUACUUGGGUAUAUUUCGUGGCAAGUAAGUCUGAAACUUUCUCUUACUUUGAAAAGUUUGCUAAAAAGGUUCAAAAUGAAAAAGGGUAUGUUAUCUCGAGUAUAAGAACAGAUCAUGGAGGUGAAUUUGAAAAUCAUGAUUUUGCAAAAUUCUGUGAUGAAUCUAGCUUUCAGCAUGUAUUCUCCUCUCCAUAUACUCCAGAGCAAAAUGGAGUUGUGGAAAGAAAGAAUAGAUCGCUUCAAGAAAUGGCUAGAACUCUUUUAAUUGAAAGUAACAUAUCCUCAUGUUUUUGGGCUGAAUCAGUUUCAACAACAUAUUAUAUUAUAAAUAGAGUUUUUCUAAGGCCUAUUAUGGAAAAAAAAAAACCCUAUGAGUUAUUCAAAGGAAAGAAGCCUAUUGUUUCAUAUUUUCAUGUGUUCGGAUGCAAAUGCUUUAUAUUGAAAAAUGCAAAUGAUAGAAUUGGUAAGUUUGAAGAAAAAUCAGAUGAAGGAAUCUUCGUUUGAUAUUCUACCUCAAGCAAAGCUUACAGAGUCUAUAAUAAGAAGAGUCAAUCUGUGGAGGAAUCAAUGAAUGCCAAAUUCUAGGAUUCUAUGCAAAAUGAAUCUGCUAAGACUUAUCUUGAAGAAUCUGAAUCUGCUCCGGACUUUACAAAGUCUAAAGAAGCAACUCAUACUCUGAAAGACUAGCAUCAAAUGAUUAUUGAAGAUUCAAAUGAAGGAAGUGAUCAUCAAUCUGACAAAUCAACCAGUAACUGGAAGCAUAAGUCCAGUCAUCCCAAAGACCUCAUUAUUGGCGACAUUAAUGAAGGAAUUCGCACAAGAUCCAAAAGGCAUGAAGAGUCUAGUGUUCUGGCUCUUAUUUUUGAAAUAGAACCAAAAAGCAUAGAAGAAGCUUUAUCUGAUGAAAGCUGGAUUGAAGCUAUGCAAGAAGAACUCAGACAAUUUAGUGUCAAUGAUGUCUGGGAAUUAACUCCUAAACCAAAAGGUAAAUCUAUUAUUGGAGCUAAAUGGGUUUUCAGGAACAAGAUGAACGAAAAAGGUAAAGUCGUAAGAAACAAAGCAAGACUCGUGGCCAAGGGAUAUAUGCAAGAAGAAGGGAUAGACUAUGACGAGACUUACGCACUAGUAACAAGGUUAGAAGCAAUUCGAUUAUUACUUGCUUUUGCUUGUUAUAAGAAUUUUAGGUUAUUCCAAAUGGACAUCAAAAGCGCUUUCCUGAAUGGAUUUAUCCAUGAGGAAGUUUAUGUGGAACAACCACCUGGGUUUGAAGACCCAAGGAAGCCAGACUCAGUAUUCAGACUGAAAAAAGCCUUGCAUGGAUUAAAGCAAGCACCUCGAGCUUGGUACGACAGACUAAGUAAGUUUUUAAUUCAAAAUGGUUUUGAAAAAGGUAAAGUAGACACUACUCUGUUUAUCAAAAGAGAAAGCAAAAGUUUUCUGCUUGUUCAAAUAUAUGUCGAUGAUAUCAUUUUUGGAUCCUCAAAUGAAACUUUGUGCAAGAAAUUCUCUAAGUCUAUGCAUGAUGAAUUUGAAAUGAGCAUGAUGGGUGAACUAACCUUAUUUCUUGGACUUCAAGUGAAACAAUUGAAGGAAGGGACUUUUAUUUAUCAAGAAAAAUAUGCUAAUGAUCUUGUCAAAAAGUUUGGACUGGAAAAUUGCAAAAAGACUGAUAUACCAAUGUCAAGUUCCUUGAAGAUCGACAAAGAUGAAGGAGGAAAGAAAGUUGACCAGAAGCUAUACAGGAGUAUCAUCGGUUCACUUCUUUAUCUUAUUGCCUCUAGACCUGACAUUUUGCUUAGUGUUUGCAUUUGCGCCAGAUUUCAAGCAGACCCUAAAGAAUCUCAUAUAAGUGUUGCAUAGCGUAUUAUCAAAUACAUUGCUUUAACUUCAAGCAUCGACCUUUGAUAUCAUAAAAAGGGAGACUUUACUCUCCUUGGUUAUUCAGAUGCAGAUCUAGCCGGUUGCAGAGCUGAUAGAAAGAGCACCUCAGGUACCUGUCAGUUACUUGGAAGCAGGACAGUGUCUUGGUUUUCAAGGAAGCAAAAUACAGUAGCUCUUUCUACAGCAGAAGCAGAAUAUGUAGCUCACGGAAGCCGUUGUUCACAAAUUCUAUGGAUAAAACAACAAUUAAGAGAUUUUGGAAUUAAAGAUUCAUGCACGGAGAUUAACUGUGACAACACCAGUGCAAUCAAUCUUACCAAAAAUCCAAUUCUUCACUCAAGAGCAAAGCAUAUAGAGAUUCUACAUCACUUCAUUAGAGAUCAUGUUCAAAAUGGAGAAGUUUCAAUUCAAUUUGUUGACUCAAAGAACCUACUGGCGGAUAUAUUUACUAAGCCUUUGGAGAAAAAUCAAUUUGAGAUCAUCCGUUCCAGACUCAACAUCUUGAGGCUUGAAGAAGUUAAAGUCUAGAGACUCUCAGUUUCAGACAAUCAUGGUUAUUGACUGUAAGUUAUUUUAUUUUCUAUUAUAUUAAAUCUCGUAAAGGUACGAUCACUUUUCCAUUCAUAAUUAAUUUAUGCUAUCUUCAAUUUCCAUGAAAAGAGCAAUUUUUCCUUUUCAAAAUGAGUUAAUGGCAGUUAUCCAUUUUUUUGAAAAAGGCAGUUAUUUUUUUAAAGGUAUCUUUUAACUUUCCUUUAUGACGUUCGGCAUUUCCCCGUUUUGACUAAGCUAUAAACAAUUGGUUCCUCUUCCCUUAACUCCAAAACCCUAAAAAGCAUCGAUCUUCCAUUCCUGUCUUUCUCCCUUGUUUAAUCUUCAAAAAGUUGUCAUCUUUCUUGGGAAAGUCAAGCAAUGAAUCUUUCAAAGACUGAGAAAGAUGUCAUCUUCAAGAAAGUCUUCAAGGAUUGCAAGCAGGGGACCACGGCGAAUGAGUAAGGGGCCUACUCACUUUGAUCUCAUCGAGGAAGAAGAGUCACCAAGUCAGUAGCAGAGCCCACAACAUUCUCAACAGCGUCAUUCUCCACCAUCUAGUCCACAGAAUGCUGUUCAUCAACAAGAGGAAGAAAUCAUCAAAGACGCAGAUCCUGUAAGAGUUCAAAAGCCCUCUUUUAUUUAUAAGCUCUACCGUGCUUCAAAGAGCAUUGGUACUCCUUUGAACUACAUCGAUGAGUUUCUUAAGGACAAGGGAUAUGGGAAUGAGUACAUCUUUUUGCGAAAAAUGGAGAGUUUGGAAAUUGCUCCUAAGGGGAUGGCAGAAAAAACCCUUGCAAAUAUCCCAAGUGAUCCGCAUGUUGGAGGUUUUAAUCUGAUAGAUGGAAAUGAUGAUGACAGAUUGUACAAAGAAUUUCAACCGAGAAUGGGUGUUGCGGCGAGAAUUCGAGGAAAAAGAACUGAAUUGUUUAGAUCUAAGGAACAGAAUGAUCUAUAUUCCAAAUUGUUGAAACGUGGGGUGAUAAACCCUAGGAGUGUAGAUUUUGAUUUCCUUGAUGCAGUGAAUGUCAAUUUGAGAGAAAAGUUCAGUUUUCUUCAACUUGAACAAUUCUGUUCCGACACCACAGAAGCCUAUGCUCAAUUAACUGCUUAUUUCUAUUCAAAUCUUAGUUUCUUGGAUGUGUAUAGAAUCUCCUUCAAUGUCCGAGAUCAGGACUUUGAAGUGGAUGUGGAUACGUUGGCAGAUGUUAUUGGGGUUGAGAGAGGGAGAUAUCAACCCAUCAAUGUCUCUAUAGCUUGUGCCACAUUGGAACUUGUUAAAGACAGAAUGACAGAGGGAAGGAUUUCAUACUCAAGGAUGCAUGCGUUCAACAUUUUUUUUUUGGUAAAGGUAAGUAAUAAAUUGAUUUUGCAAGAAAGAAGACAAGAGGGAGGCCUGGCACCAACAAAAACAGACACUCAAGAAGACAAAAGUCUAGAGCGAGUGUAAGGGUGCCAUGGUUCCCAGAAAAAAGGAGCAACAACAACAAAAGGAAACAAAAUACAACAAAAACUAGAAAACCUCCAUCAAUCAAAAAUAGAAGGAUGGAUGUUCCAGCUUCGUUGAAGUCUUCUAUUCAUGGGCACAUCGGGAACAUGGUUAAAGGUCAUAGCCUUAUCUUUGAUAGCCUUCUGAAGAUGCAUUUUCAUUGUUGGAAGAAAGAGAGUCUGAUUCCGAAAAAGCACAUUGUUCCGCUCUUUCCAAAUGAUAUAACACAUUGCACCAAAACUAAACCGAGCUAGGAUCUGAUAAAAACUCUUCCCCAUAAACCGCUUGGAAGCCCAGGCCAAAUUAUCCACCCAACGCUUGUUUCGCCACACUAGGUUGAAUCUUGCCGCCCAAAAUGAAAUAAGACUAUCCGAAGCACGGCACGCAAAGAACAAAUGAUCUAUAGAAUCAGGUCUGCAUGAACAAAGGGGGCAAUUUGUAGGGGGGGUCCUACCAUAAGAGAUGAGCAAAACCUGAGUCGGCAGCCGAUUGCGCGAAAUAAGCCAAAGAUGCGUUUGAUAUCUUGGAGGCAAGGCAGUAUUCCAAACAAAAGAAGCCCACGAGAUGACAUUAUGCUUCGGACGGAUCAAAUCCCAGGCAGAAGCAAUGGAGAAGCGACCGGAUGGGUGCGGAAGCCACUGAAACCGAUCCUCCUCUUGGUUGAAUACCGGAAGGGGAUUCCACCAAUUAGCCAUGAUGUUAAUAAUAUACCAGCCCAUAGGAGUAGCAAAACCAUCAGCAACCGAAGCAGAGCGGGAUAUACCUGAGCGAUAAAUAUCCUGAUUAGAAAAGAUCUUGUAUAAAGGACCAUUUGGGUGCUAAGGGUCGAACCAAAAGGAGACCGACCUCCCAUUUCCAAUGUUCCAUCUGAAAUAUUGCUGAAAUUGAUCACGAAGAUCUAAUAACUUCCUCCAGGUCCAAGAGCAAUGAGUAGGGCAAGGAACCACCCAAAAAUUUUUCCGCUUCAGGAAAUUGGAAUGAAUCCACUUACACCACAUGGAUUCUUUAUCCGAGAAAAGAAUCCAAAUAUGUUUGAGCAUGGACGCAAUGUUGUUCUCCCUUAGAGUACGAAUACCUAAGCCCCCUUCAUUUUUGGGAAGGCAAACAUUACACCACGAGACUUUAGCACCACUUGCACCCAUCUCAGGGCCUCUCCACAAGAAUUGGCGGAAAAUUUGCUCAAUUCGAUUUAGAACUGAACAUGGCAAAAAGAACACAUUAGCUCAAAAGACUUGUAUAGAAUGAAGCACCGACCUUAUAAGUUGAAGACACCCCGCAAAGGAGAGGAAUCUAUUGGUCCAAGAUUGAACAAGAGCCGUGAUUGAAUUAACCAAGGAGACACGGUCAGCUUUCCUUAAUCUAGCUGAAAUAACCGGUACUCCUAGAUAGCGGAAAGGAAAGGUGCCCAACUGAUAGCCCAUCUUAUUGAGGAUAUCCUCAUGAAGGUCAGAGGAGCCUCCAGAAAGGAAAACUUCACUCUUCCGAAGAUUCGGAAUCAGUCCACUCCAGCUAGAAAAUUUCUCGAUACCAUUCUUGAGAAGAUCAAUAGACGAUAAGUUAGCUUCAGCGAAGAGUAGUACAUCAUCAGCAAAGAAGAGAUGAGAAAGUCGGGUGGGCUUGCAACGCCAGAAAAAACCAAAGUCCGGAUGUGAAGUUUGAAUGUCUAGAAUACCUGUAAAGACUUCCAUCACAAGAGUAAAAAUAUACGGCGACAUGGGAUCACCUUGACGAAUACCCCUCCCACUUGAAAAGAACCCAUGGAGUUCCCCAUUAAUUACAACCGAGAACUUGGGGGUACGAAUGCAAAUCAUAACCCGGGCAAUGAACUCCUGGGGGAAACCGAAAGCCUGCAGACACAAUUCAAUAAACCUCCAAUCCACCGUAUCGUAGGCCUUCCUAAAAUCAACUUUAAUAACACAUUUAGGCUGGUAAGGAUCAUUGUGAAAACCACAAAACAGCUCCUGAGCAAGUAAAAUAUUGUCACUGAUGUGUCUACCUUUUACAAAGGCAUUUUGAGGCAGACUAAUGAUAGAAGGUAGCACCUGAGAGGGCAAGCAAUUGGCCGAAAAUCAUUCACAUUGGAAGCAUUCGGGACUUUGGGGACCAAGGCCAAAAUAGUUGUGUUAAUUUCCCGCAACAAUAUGCCCGUCUCAAAGAAAUCUUUCACUGCCAGAAUAACAGAAGGUCCAACAAUCUCCCAAGAAUGUUUAAAAUAUUCCACAUUGUAUCCAUCAGGGCCAGGGGCCUUACCCACCGCAAGAGAGAAUAUAGUAUCUUUAAUUUUAGUCUCCGAGAUGAGGCUAGAAAUAAAGCGAACUUGAUCCUUAUCAAGGGUGUGCUUCAACACCGCACGCAUUUCCUCCACCGAAGGCCUCGCAGCAGGGUGAGAGAAGUCCAAUAACUCCCGGAAGUGGUCAACAAAUAGGUUUUGAACUUCAGAGGGAUUUGAGGUAGAAACAAUCCCAUCGGAGAGCGAGAUAAUUCUAUUGUGAAGUUGUCUCUUGUUUACCGAGUUAUGAAAAAAAUUUAGUAUUAAGAUCACCUUCUUUCAACCACCACACCCGAGACUUUUGUCUAUAGAAUGAUUCCUCUUGAAGGCGCAAAUUCGAGUAGGAUUGGAGCUGUUGUUUUUCCAAUUCAGCAAGUUGAAUAUUCGAAUAGUCAUUCUGAAGAGCAUCUUGGGUUUGGAGCAAUGCACAUCUUGCUUCAGCCGUUCUAGAGGACAAGUCCGAGAAGGACUCCUUGUUGAUUUGUUUCAACUUACAUUUGAGAAGCCGAAGCCUGGAGCAAAGAAUAAACAUUGGAGAACCCACAAAGGGAGAACUCCAAGCUUGCAAAACCACAUCAGUAAAAUCCGGAUGAGAAAACCAGAAAUUGAAGAACUUGAAAGGCUUGCGAGACUUAGGGGCAGGCAUAAUCUUAAUAAUCAUUGGAGAAUGAUCUGAAAUGCCAGAGGCCAAGAAAGAGGCCUCAGAAAAGGAAAAUUCAGCAGUCCAACAAGAAUUAACGAGAACACGAUCAAUCUUUCUUUGCUUACGGUUGGCACCCAUGGAAGUAGCCCAAGUAAAUCUAUUCCCGGUAAACCUGAGAUUGUCAAGACCAGCUUGUAUGAGGCACUCACGCAACUCAUCAAAAGCUGGGAUCCAACCAUUAGAACCACCCAAUCUAUCCGAAGGGUCACGAAUUGCAUUAAAGUCUCCUGCUAGUAUCCAAGGGAAACUCGAAAGGAGAGAACUAGUCUGAAUAAUGUCAGCCCAAAGAGGACGUCUAGCCACAAAACUAUGCUCAGCAUAGACCACCGCAAGGAAGAGAACCUUACCAGAAUUUAAGCAAGAUAACUUUCCAUGAAUAGCUUGAUCCGAAGAAGAGUUCGUAACAAACAAGACUUCACGGGGGUUCCACCCCACCCAAAUUCUUCCUUUCAAGGAAUGAUUAUAGUUGUUUUCCCACUUCCAGCCCGGCAACAAAACAGCAGAGAUCGCACUAAAGGUACCCUGGGAAAUCUUUGUUUCCACAAUACCAACACAACAUAGAUUAUGAGAUCUAACAAAGUUUCUGAUUUCAGCUUGUUUGAGAUGGCUACCAAGUCCCCUAAUAUUCCAAACUCCAAUAUACAUAGCUAUAUAUAACUAUAUAAUGUAUUACGAUGAGAAUAGAAGUUACCGAUGUGAUCUCCUUCGGCUAGUGCCUUGAGGAGGGUCAGGAGGAGCAGCCAACGCUGGGGUAGGAGGGGCGGCCAACUUUAGGACAGACGGAGUCUUGGGCGAGUUCCUUUUAGCAAGGACUUCCUCAGUACAGCAGAAUGCUUAACAUUUGUAACCAAUUCACUAGGACCAUCGGGUUCCUCAUUUGAGCUGCUACUUACCGCACUAGCCACAUCCUCAGAUUCUUCAGCAGUAAAGCCAGACCCAAUAUAAGCAGAUUCUGGGAUCGGCUCAACAGGAACCAUUGUGGAAGGAGGUCCAGUAGGGCUGGGAAUCAAAGCACCUUUAUUUUUCUGGGCAGACUUGCUUAAAGCUUGAGAAGAAUUUGAUUUAUCCAUAAACUUCAAAGAAGAGAUAGGAGUCGAAGAGUCCUUCCCAUUAAACCCCGACGGUUGCCUCUUCUUCCGAGUUACCUGCUUCCAGCCAUCUUGCUGGUCAGCAUAAGACACCUUACAAGGCUGGGCGGGAGGAAUCGAUGGGGGCACUGUAGGCACAGCAGCAUCUCGAGCUUCCUCAGUAACAGCAUCAUGGGACUUAUCUACUACGGGUGCUGGAACUUCUUUCUCCUCACAGUUAUGGCCAAAGACCUGGCAUUUUGGACACGCAAUGGGUAUCCAUUCGUACAAGAUAGGAACAAUGAAGGACUCCCCAUUCAGAAAUACCUCCACAAAUUCACAUUUCUCUAACUUAGCCGACACUUCGACACAUACUCUUGCAAAAGACAAAUGUUUCAUUUUUUCAGUCAAUGGGUCCACAUAUAAGGGUCUACCGACCGCACUCGCUAUCUGGCUUAUCCCAAGAGCAGACCAAUAAGCAAAAGGUAUGUUUUUCAUACGGAUCCAAACGGGCACAGAGGAUUGCAAGUCCUUCCUCAGCUCAAGAGUGGGAUCCCAUUGUUUCAGAAUAAGUGGCACUCUAUUCACCGUCAAUGGACCUUCCUCAAGAAUCUUCCUGCGGUAAUCAGGGUCAGGAAUAAAGAAGAAAAAAAAUCCUUCAUCAUCAGCAAGCAUUUCAGUUAAAUGGGAGCCCCACGUCUCCUUAAGGACUGACUCAGUCAUUUUGAACGGCACAUUCUUGCCAAUGAAAUACCCCAUCAAACAAUGAUUCCAUUUUGGAUCUGCCGCAUGCACCACUUCCUCAGAGAGGUGCACCACUCCUCUUUUUCCAACAGAAGUUGGAGGCACGAAGCUAAGUUCAUAUCCCUUUGCCGAGAGCCUAGCAACAUUAACCCAUGAACGGGUUGGAGGGGCUUUCUGCUCACUCCAUUUUUGUCCAGCAGGACGAGCCACUCUAGGGCCACGAGAAGCAGAUCUAAGGCGGCUCCUACCACGCCUAGAGCCCGCUUGGGACUCCUCAUUUGGAUGGCCCAACUGACUUAGGAGAUUCGAAGAGGAUGCCAUUACGAAACAGCACAGUACCCCAACACAGCACCGGCCCAAACCCCAGAAUAAAUCAAGGAGAGCAAUCAGGCCAUACCAGGUGUUUGUAGGGGCUUAAGGGCCUUCAAGGACAAGGAGAUCCACCAGCAAUUAGCACACCAAUCAGUCAAAGUCACCCACGAAGACAGAGACCAGAAUCGGGAAAAGCUAGGCGCACCAGAAAUUCUGAUCGAGAGCUCCCAUCUUGAUAAAUGAAAACCAACCAAGCCAAGCUUACCUGGGGUUUGUAGGCAGUCCCCAUAUGACCUAGCCAACGAAAAAUCAGCUCCAAAUACCAGCGGAAUCAACCAGAAUCCACAAAAAACCAUCUGGAGUGAAUAGUGCCAGAAUCGCCCAAAUGGAGAGGAAAGUGAAUAGUAACCCGAGAAUUCUUUGAUCCGAGAUGCAUGCGUUCAACAUUAUGCUUCACAAAAUUGUGAUAAAUUGCCUCAGACCCAAAUCAACUUCAAAGACUGAUGUUUCUAACUCAAAGGCAAAGCUGAUGUACGCAAUCAAUGCUGGAAAAAAGUUCUCUCUUCCUCACACUAUUCUGUUUUACAUGUAUAGAGUAGUGGUGAAGGAGAAGGGCCAACUUCCUUAUCCAAGUCUUGUGUCAAAGAUAUUCAGACAUUUGAAUAUUCAGCCUCCAUAAAUUCUCUAUGUUCGACCCUGUGACAAAAUGGUGGUAGGACUGAAAAUGGUGUCCAAAAUGCGUCUGAAAGAUCUUGACAAGGCGUUGGAGAAAUUUAAGGAGGAAACCCCUGUCAAAUCUCAUCAAGUCUCUUCUGCAGCGAAAAAGAAAGGGAAGGAGCCCAUGGUUACUCCAUCUAGAAAGAGAAAAGCUCUCAUUAUUGAUGAAUAUGAUGAGGAUGACCUCACAAUUUCUGCUAUAGCAUUAAAGAAGCUGAGUCGUUCUGUUCCUGCAUCAGUAGAACGACAGGAGAAAGAAGCAGAGGAGAGAGUAGAACAGGAGAAAAAGGCAGAGGAGAGGGAAGAACAGGAGAAAGAAGAAGAUACAGAAGCAGAGGAGAGAGAAGCAAAGGAGAAGGAAGAAAAGGAGAAAGAAGCUGAAGAAAAAGAAACUGACAAGGAAAUGUUUGAAGAAGAAAAGGAAGGAGAGCAUGAGGAAAAAUUUUCUCCACCUGAAGCCAUGGAGACAAGGGGAGAUAGUGAAAACAUAGGAAUGUCCUCAUAUCCUGUUAACAGUGAAGGAGUCAGUCACUCUCCAGCAAAUCCAGAAGACAUUCAUGCCUCUCAAUUUCCUGAUGAGGGACAUGGUGCUUCAUCGCCAAAUCUGCGUGAUUAUGCUCAUAUACCAUCGUCUGCCUUUACUCCAUUAGAUCGUGCUGAAGCUAGUACGCAGACCGAUAACUUAGCAGAUCUUUGCAGAAUCAUUGAUGUUCUUUUGGAAUUGCGGGGUCAGUAUAUGCUUUGGAAAACGAAGUUCAGAACUUGAAGAACGCAGGACAAGCUUCUUCCAUUAAAUUGUCUGAUCAGAUCCAAGCUCUUUCUCUUUAGAUUCAAGCCAAUGCUAAAAGUGAAGAGGUGGAUCAUCUAAAGGAAGAUUUGAAAAAGCUGGAAGGCAUCAUCCAGUCCAUGGGAGAUUUCUAGCUUGUUCACAUUCCCAAGCAAACUUGACUCCAUUCUAUUCCCAUCUCAACUUCUUUUUAUGAUGAUGACAAAAAUAGGGAGAGAUUUGAAAUAUUUUGAACUUAAACUUGUUGAAUUUUUAGUUUGUUUUAACUUGUGUGUUUAUGUCUGGAUUGACUGAACGUGGAUUUGGAUUUGAAUGCUGUUUAUAUUAAGCACUAUUGAUAUUUUAUGAAUGGUUUUACUCUCAUGAAAGACUAACCUAUUUUCUGUGGUUGCAGAUUCUAGUGUUAUCAUUAAGCUAUUAAUCUUUAUGAGAUAUCCAUAUUUGCUUGAGUAAUGUUUUGCAGGUCAAAGUUAUUCAAAUCUGCAGGAAAGUUUUGUCACCAUAAAAAAGGGGGAGAUUGUUGGAGAAAUCUUUCUGGAAUAUUUUGAAACUGACAAAACAUUUCUAUCAGUCUGGUCUGAAGAUUUGCAGACUCUGCUAUUAAAGUCUGAAGACCUCCGGACAAUCAGACUCAAGACUCAAAGUUUAUUCUGAUUGACGGCUUCUAAUCCGUUGAAGAAAGGCUAUCCAGAACUGAGUGCUUCACUAAAGGAUUUGGCCUUAUUGACUGGAGAAGAUCUCUUGACUAGAUAAGACAUAACGGAUUUCUUUAUUCAAAUCAAGAAUGAUUAAAGAUCCGAUGGUUGACGAAGUAUUCCUAGAAGGUUCUACUUAUGGAAACCAAGAUCCUCAUUGUAUGGACGAGCAGGAUUGAUGGGCUAUCGACAUGUUCUUUUAAUAGCUCGAAUAAUCUUCCUAAUUGAUUCCGUCCAACGGGAGGAUUGGAAGAAUUCCUUUGGUAAGUGCCAACGGGUAUGAUGGUACAAAAGAGUAUAAAAGGAAGAUGUUCCAGUUGUUCGAGGAGUGCACUAUAGAAGAAUUCCAAAGUCUGAAGCUCUUUGAUUCUUAGUCAAUUCAUUUGCUGAGCAAAAUCUUGUACACAAAAGAGAGUCUAUACUUUGAGAGACCUUGAGGAAGUGUGAUAGAAUAUCUACACUGUGGAAUCAAGGAAAAGCAGUGCUGGAAUAUCUCUUUUGUUCAUGGUGAAAUCCAGCCAAUAGGCUGUCAGUGCAGAAGAGUGGACGUAGGCUUAAAAUAAGCUGAACCACUAUAAACCUUGUGUUCAAUCUUCUCUUCCUUACUCUCCGCUUUACUUUGAUCAUAGUUCUAUUUGUUAACUAAAGGAGAGUUUCUCUUCUGUUGUUGAUCCAGUAUUGCUUUCAUAUCUCAAGAAAUUAUUUAAACACCUAUUCACCCCCCCUCUAGGUGCUAUUACUAGCUAUAUCACAUAUGACAUGAGAUUCAAAUUGCUUCAUAAAGCUCAUUCAAGUAAAUGGUGGAAAAGUCUCAUUUGGAGGAAACAACACAUGAAGAAUUGUGGGAUUCAGAACUGUAAAGAUUGGAAACCUCACAAUCAGCAAUGUUUCCUUAGUGGAAGGACUCAAGUGGAAGGACUCAACUACAAUCUGCUCAGUAUCAGUCAGCUGUGCAAUACCGGUUUCAAAAUCAACUUUCAAGAAGGAAUAUGUUCAAGAACCAGUAAAGAUUCUACUAAGUCAUUCAUGGGUCGAAGACAUGGAAAUAUCUACCUCUUGGACAUGAAACCAGAUGAAUCGCAAUGUCUAAUCUCAAUUCAAGACGAAGCUAACUUAUGGCACAGAAAACUUGGGCACAUCAAUAUGAAGCAAAUAGCCAAAAUUUCAGCAAAGAAGCUGGUUUGUGGUCUACCCAAUCUGUCAUACCAAAAGUCUGAUCUAUGUACACCAUGUGUAUUAGGAAAGCAGGUAAGAAAUUCGAGGUUGGGACACCUGGAGUGCCAUAACUUGGCACAGAGGGACACUUAAGUGCCAUAAAUUUAAAAUGGUACACUUAAGUGCGAUUAUCAGAGUAAAAUGGAACACUUAAGUGCCAAUCCGGCCAAAAACCGGCCAAAAUGCAGACGUGGCAUUUUCCGGCGACAUGCUUAACUGAUGUGACAAUUUUUUUUUAAAAAAAAAGCACACGUGAAUGAGGAAAAUGACGUCGCCCCAUCCACUGUGCAUUUGGCCAAACUAAACGACGUCGUUUUUCCUUAGUGUUAAACGACGUCGUUUGGUGUAUUUGGAUCUUAACCUUUUGUCAGUUCACACUAGGUCUGACGUCCUCUCCAUCCAUCGCCGUUCACAACUCACCGUUAGCAAGUGAUCGCUCACCAUCGUCGCUCGCCUUCGUCGCUCGCCAUCGUCGCUCGCCGUCGUCACUCGCCAUCAUCGCUCGCCGUUGUCGAUUUGCUCAGGUUUUUUCUCUUCUUCAUCUCCCCUAUGGUGAAAUUAGGGCUCCGACUCGUUUAUUAGGGCUCAAACUUGAAAUUUGGGGGUCGGCUAGGAAAGCUCAGGCUUGAUGUGAGAUUUAUGGCUCAGAUGUGGUGCUACAAUCCUAUUGGGGGGUUCUAAUUGACAGUUUAGGAGCGGCAUUGAAAUAUAGGCUCGGUGUAGGGCUCGGCGAGGGGAAAAUUAGGGCUCGGUGUAGGGCUCAACAUCGCCUCAUCCACUAUGAUGUGUGAUUCAUUCAGGGUGUUGAAUUAUGAUGUGCGAAAGUAAUUUGUAGUGGUUAGAUGUGAAAUGUGCGAUGAUUGGUGAUUAUUAGGGUUCAGAGUAUUGGACUUUGGACAUGUUCGAAUUGAAGGUUGUGGGGAUGGGGACUUCUUGAUAUUUUUUUAAUAAAUUGCAUUGUUGAGGACCCAUGCUGAGGAAUCUCUCCAUAUUUUAAAGGAAUGCGACGGCAUAAUCAAAGCAGUUGUCGAGUGGUCCCAUCUUUAUUUUUAUUUGUCCUUGUCCUGAGGUCUCUUGUUUUCAAGCUGUAGCUGUCGUCUGACCACAUCUUCCCUCUCUCUUUCUUCUUUUCUUUUCUUUAAUAAAGAGUGUAGGGACCUCCACUUGCAAUUUUCUGUUCUUUGUGAAUGUGGUCCCAAAAGUUAAUUGUAUAUUUGUCCUCUUUUGUUGCAGAAAUGGCGCGUAAAGACUAUGUUGCUGUCAUCGUUUACUACGGUGGAGAUUUUGUGAUUGGGGAUGAUGAGUGGGAGUAUGAGGGGGGGGGGAAUGAGGGUACUAUCUUUGUAGAUAUAAAGAAGGCAUCUUAUAUUGGAUUUGUUAGGGAUGUAGUGACAUUUUUGCCUUGUAGAGUACAAAAGUUACUGUACUUUGUUCCUAGGAAGGGCUUGAGAGAUGGUUUGAGAGUUUUGGAAGAUGAUAAUGGUUUUAGGGAUGUCUUAUAUCAUUAUCUUCAUGGCGAAGAGGCAAAAUUGUUUGUUGAAAGCACUAGUGAUAGUGAGGACGAAGAUGAUGAUAGAGAUAACACCCAAGUAGGAGAAGGAGGAGAUGGUAUUCAAGCUAGUACUGAGGUUAGGGAUGAAGUAGGGCAUGAUGAACAGGAUGGGGAGGAGAGGGGCGCAGAUGCUGUUCACCAGAGCGAUUGUGACAUGGGUGAUGUCACAAUCACUGAAUUAGAUUGGGAAGUAGCUGAAUCCAGUGACGGUGAUGAUGAUGAUGACGAUGACGAUGAGGGGUUGGCUGCUGAAGCUAAAAAUUUAUUAAUCUUAAGUGACGCCGAUGAUGAGGAGUUUACACAGUCAAGGAAAAAACAAAUGGACUUUUUGUCAGAUAGUUUUGCAACUUUGCAUGUACCUGUUCAUCCAAAUAGAGACGAAGGCCCUGCAGAUGUUGAUGUUGCUGGCCAGGUCCUAGAGACAGAUUAUGAAGAAAGCAUCGACACCGCAACUUCCUAGGACGAAGUUGAAGAAGAUCAACGAGCUGUGCGUAGAAGGAAAAGUAAGUUUCCUUCCUAUGAUCCAUCUGUUGCCUCUCAUACUUUGUCAGUAGGUAUGAAAUUCCGUGAUGCGAUACAAUUUAGGGAAGCUAUACUGAAGAACUCCAUUGCUGCACAAAGAAAUAUUGAUUUCAUUAGAAAUACCAAGAAAUUUGUAAGAGCUAGGUGUUUGCAGCAAAACUGUCCAUGGAAGAUUUACGGUGCGUUUGUUAAGAAGAGUGGGUCUUUUCAGAUUAGAGCCUACCAAGAGGAACACACUUGUUCCAUUAAUUUUCAAAACAAAAGGGUAACAAGUGCAUGGUUGUCCAAGCACUUCUUCGAUCUGAUCAAGGUGAUGCCCGAGAUGAAAAUUGCUAACUUUAGGAUGCUGGUGAAGGAGCGUGUAGGCAUCAAUGUAUCUAGGAAUCGGUGCAAAAGAGCAAAGCAAAAGGUGAUAAACAUACUUAUUGGUCAGUAUGCUAAGGAAUAUGGGCAGGUGUGGGAGUAUGCUUGGGAGUGUAGGCUGCAAAACUCUACAAGUAGAGUGUAUGUAGAGGUGAUUGAGAGACCGCUUCCUGAUCAUGGGACCAAGUUCGAUAAGUUCUAUGUGUGCUUUGAUGCAUGUAGACGAGGAUUUUUAGCUGGUUGUAGACGGAUUAUAGGAUUGGACGGUUAUUUCUUGAAGGGCUUGUGCAAGGGAGAAUUGUUGGCAGCGAUUGGAAGAGAUGCGAAUAACCAAAUGUUCCCACUAGCUUGGGCUAUUGUAAAGAUUGAGAACAAAGACAAUUGGUCCUGGUUCUUGAAAAAUCUGAUGGCUGACUUAGAGAUAACAAACGGGGAAGGGUGGGCAUUCAUGAGCGACCAACAAAAGGUAAUGCAUUCAUGAACAUGUAAUUUGCUCUAGUAUUUCUUACUUUGAAUUCUUGCAGGGAUUGGUUUCGACAGUAGCCAAGUUGUUGCCCCAUGUUGAACAUCGAAUGUGUGUUCGGCACAUAUACGGAAAUUGGGCAAAUAACUAUAAAGGGGAUAAGCUGCAGUUGCAAUUUUGGCAAUUAGCAAAGAGUGCAAACCUGGCUGACUUUAGAAUAGCCAAAGAAGGACUGCUUCAGUUGACAAAGGAAGGUUGUGCUACCCUAUUUCAACUAGAACCGAAGCAUUGGUGCAGGGCAAUCUUCAGUGAGGAGUUCAAGUGCGAUAACGUUGACAACAACAUUUGUGAAGUCUUUAAUUCGAAGAUAAUAGAUGCCAGAUGCAAACUAGUCAUCUCAAUGCUUGAAGAUAUACGAGUUGCGGUUAUGACUCGGCUGCAGAAACAAAGAGAUGAGGCUGCAAAGUGGACAAGACAAUAUGGUCCUAGGAUUGUCAAGAAAUUGGAUGAGAACUUGGCUGCAAGUACGCAUUGUCAUCCCAUUUGGAAUGGAGAUGGCGGAUAUGAGAUAAUGAAGGGUGCAUAUAAGUAUGUUGUCAAUCUAGGAAGUAGGAAGUGUUCAUGUAGAGCAUGGCAAGUAAGUGGAAUUCCAUGUGCACAUGCCAUAUGUGCCAUCCAGUUGAAGGGCGACAAUACAGAUGAUUACAUCGAUGAUUGGUACCAUAAAUCAAAAUAUCUUGCUUCCUAUCAGUUCAUGAUGCAGCCAAUUAGAAGUAGCAAGUUUUGGGAGCCCAUGGAUCAUGAAGCACCUCAACCUUUGCCACUGAAGAAGAAAAUUGGAAGGACAAAACGAAGAUGAAGAAUGGCUGAGGGAGAGGUCUCGGGUCAGCAAAGAAUGAGCAGGCAGGGUGCAAAGAUCACGUGCUCUUAUUGUCACCUAACAGGCCACAAUAUUAAAGGUUGUCAAUUGAGGAAGCAACAACAACCGUUGAGGCAAUGUGAAGGGCCUAGUGAAGAGACAGUUGGAGAAAUGCACACAGCAGGGCCAAGUGAGUCGAUUGUUCUUCAGUCAACAAGCCCGGUAAGUCAUGAAAUUUAUUUUAUGUUUAUGUUGCUUUCUUGUCGUUUAUCAUAAAAAUGUACAUAAUAUCCUAUUUGGCCUUGUAUGUAAUGUGUUUGUUAGGUCACAAGAAGAACCUCAGUAAGUCAUGAAACUGAACAGCCUGUUCGAAGAAGGCAAGGUAGAAGACAGCCAGGUGAAGGAUUGGCCCAAGCAGCAUCACGGCCAGCUGAAGGAUUGACCCAAGCAGCAUCAAGGCCAGCUGAAGGAUUAGCCCAAGCAGCAUCAUGGCCAGUGCAGUUGACUGUUCUUCAACAGCGAAAGAAAUACCAGUGGUAAAUUCAACCAAUUUGUAUUCAGUUUUUAUUAUUAUAUGUCUCGAUAUUAUAUUUAUGGUAUCUUUUGGCCUCUUUCUCAGGUUCAAAGAAAGCAAGUUGGAACUCAACUGCCAACUGAAGGGCCAUCACAGGAGCCACCUCAAGGAUCAUCACAGGGGCCACUAGAAGAAUCAUUGCAAGGGGCACCACAAGUACCACCACCAGUACCACCAGAAGGAGGUGUCAUUGAAGUUGAAGGGCUACACAGUAGGAUAACUAGAACAAGGCCAGGUGAAGGGGCAGGUACACAAAGGCCAUCUAGAAGACGCCCAGCACAAUUGGUUGAAGAAGCCCCGGCUGUUGUUAAAGGGCCCAAGAAAGUAGGUAAAAGGGGCAACAAAUCACAAGUUCCUGAAAGUGACACCCCUAUUCAAACAAGAGGGGCACUUGGGAAGAGGUUAAGACAAUAUGGCUAUGGCCUUUAUACAGAUGAGCGUAUUGGAACAAUUAUUCUCAAUGUAAGUUUUAUUGGCUACAUUUAAUUUAAUUUUAAUUUAUGCUGUAGAUUUUUGCUAACAAUUUAUUGUUUUUUUGUAGCCUAGGAGAAGUUUAGAGGUUCUUAUCUCAGGCCCAACUGUGACACCCCUCGACGGCCCCCGAUCCUCUUUGGGUCGCCACAGUUUGCUUACUAUUUACUUUCCUAAUAACAUGUCACUCUGAUACCAUUUCAAUUGCAGCAGGUCCAUACAACAUAGGGGGUUUACACUUUUUUUUUUAUAGGUCCCUUGCACAAUUCAUAUACGGAAGCACAUCUAGCAAACUCCCUUCCCUAUAUUUAGAAAACGAUGCACACCUACUAAACAUUUAUAAGUAAAAGCCGAACACGUUUAUUUACAUAUGAUAUUGCUAGUAUAAACACCUAGAGGGGGGGUGAAUAGGCGCACAAACAAUUUGUCCCAAAUACGGAAGCAAUUCUUAACAAAUUGAAAUACGAUCGAGAUAGAGAUAGAGAAAUUUGAACACAGGAUUUAUAGUGGUUCGGCUUAUUCCAAGCCUACGUCCACUCUUCCGCACUGAUAGCCCACCGGCUGGAUUUCACUAUGAUCAAAAGAGAAGUUACAGCACAGCUUUGCCUUGAUUCCACACUGUAGAUGUUCUAUCACACCUCCUCAAGAUCUCUCACAAAUAUAGACUCUCUUUUGUAUACAAGUAUUCGCUCAAAGGAUUUAUCUAAACAAAUAGGAGCUUCAGACUUUGGAAUUCUUCUAUCGUGCACACCUCGAACAACUAAGAACGUCUUCCUUAUAUACUCCUUUAUGCCAUCAUACCCGUUGGCACUUACCAAAGGAAUUCCUCCAAUCUACCCGUUGGACGGAAUCAAUUAGGAAGAUUGUUCGAGCUAUUAAAAGGAACGUGUUGAUAGCCCAUCAAUCCUGUUCGCCCAUACAAUCAGGAUCUCGAUUUCCAUAAGUAGAACCUUCCAAUAAUAUUUAGACAAUCAUCGAAUCUUCAGUCAUUGAAUCAAACUUGAUCAAUCAAAGGAUUCUGAUACGUCUUCUCCAGCCACGAGAUCUUCUCCAGAUGAUAAGGUUAAAUCCUGAACAAAACAUCCAGUUCUGGAUAACCUUUCUUCAACGGAUUAAAGACUGUCAAUGAGGAUAGACUUUGAGUCUUGAGUCUGGCUGUCCGGAAGUCUUCAGACUUUAACUAACAGAGUUCGCAGACCUUCAGACUAGACUGAUGGAAACGUUUUGUCAACUUCAAAACACUUUCACUGAGAUUUCUCGAACAAUCUCCCCCUUUUUGAUGGUGACAAAACCUUCCUGCAGAUUUGGAUAACUUUGACCUGCAAAACAUUUCUCAAACACAUAUGCAUAUCUUAUAGAAAUAAAUGGCUAAUAGAAUAACACUAGAAUCUGCAACCACAGAAAAUAGGUUAGUCUAGUAUGUAAUUAAGCCCUUCAUAAGAUAUCAAUAUUGAUUAAUAGAAGCAGUCAAGUCAAGUCCAAGUCUAGGUAGUUCUUAUCCAGACACAAAACAAAGUCAAACAGGUUCAAACCAUAAACCUCAAAACAAUCCAACAAAAAGUUUAAUGAAUGAAAAGUUUUUGAAUCAAAUCUUGCAUCUCUCCCCCUUUUUGUCAUCAUUAAAAAGAAUGAGAUGAAGUUAAGAUUGCUUGGGAACGCGGACAAGUUGGAUAUCUUCCAUAGACUGAACGAUGCCUUCCAGCCUUUUAAAGUCUUCCUUCAGCUGUACAACCUCCUCACUCUUUGCAUUGGCCUGAUUCUGAAUAGAGAGGGCUUGCAUCUUAUCAUUCAAUGAACAGGAAGAAGCUUGACUUUCAUUCUUCAAGCUUUGAACUUCGCAUCCCAAGGCAUAAAUCUGACCUUUCAUCUCCAAGAGAAUAUCCAUGAUUCUGCGAAAAUCUGAUCCAUUAUCAGUCUGAGUACUUGCUUCGGCUCGAUCUGAUGGAGUAAAAGCAGACGAUGGUGGAUCAGCAUAAUCUCGCAGGUUUGGCGAUGAAGCUUCAUGACCUUCCUCUGGAAAUUGAGAUGCAUAAACAUCUUCUAGGUCUGCAGGCGAGCGACUGACUCCUUCACUUGCAUCAGGAUAUAAAGACGUCACUCCUUUCUCCUGAUCUCCCCCUGUUUCCAUGCCUACAGGUGGAGAAGAGAUUUCCUCAGGUUCUCCUUCUCCUCUUCUUUCUUCUUCUUCAGGUCUUUCUUCCUCUGCUUCUUGCUCUUCUUCUCUUUCUUCUUCUUCCUUCUCCUCUGCUUCUCUUUCUUCUUCUUCCUUCUCCUCUGCUUCUUUCGUCUUCUGUUCUGAUUCUUUCUGUGGAACAGGACGACUUAAAUUCUUCAAAGCCAUUGCAGAGAUGGUGAUGUCUUCAUCAUCAUCUUCAUCCUCAACGAGGAGAGCUCUUCUUCUCUUUGAUGGAGCAGCCAUGGGCUCCUUCCCUUUUCUCUCAGCAGCAGAAGAGAAUUUAUGAGAUUUGGCAGGAGUCUUCUCCUUGAAUUUCUCCAGUUCCUUGCUCAGUUCCUUCAGACGCAUUUUGGUCACCAUUUUCAGUCCUACCACCAUAUGAUCGCAUGAUCGAACACAAAAGAUUUGCGGAGGCUGAAUAUUCAGAUGUCUGAAUAUCUUCGUAACAAGGCUUGGAUAAGGGAGUUGACCUCUGUCCUUCAUCACUGCUCUAUACAUGUGAAACAUAACAGUAUGAGGGAGAGAAAACUUCUUUCCACAGAGGAUGGCAUACAUCAACUUUGCCUCAGAGCUUGAAACAUCAGUUUUGGAAGUUGAUUUCGGCCGAAGGCAAUUAAUCACAAUCUUGUGAAGCAAGAUGUUGAAUGCAUUCAUCCUUGAGUAGGUGAUCUUCUCAUCCGUUCUCCUGUCUUUCACCAGUUCAAGUGUGGCCCGAGCAAUGGAAACUUUGAUUGGUUGAUAUCUGCCUCUCUCAACUUCUAACACAUCUGCCAGCAUAUUCAUAUCCACAACAUAGUCUUGUUCUUUAACGCUGAAGGAGAAUCUAUUCGCAUCUAAAAAGCUAAGAUUUGAAUAGAAAUAUGCAGUCAAUUCAGCAUAAGCCUUAGUUGAGUCAGAACAGAACUUUUCAAGUUGAAGAUAACUGAACUUUUCCCUCAAGUUCACUUUCACAGCAUCCAGAAAAUCAAAGUCCACACUCCUAGGUUUUAUUACCCCACCCUUCAGCAAUUUCGAGUACAGAUCCUUUUGUUCCUUUGAUCUGAACAAAUCUCCCAUUUUUCCUUGAAUUUCAGCCGCAAUACCCAUUUUCGGUUGAAAUAGACUGAACAGAUUAUCAUCGUCAUUUCCAUCUAUAGGAUUCGGCCCCCAGUCACGAGGAUCACUUGGGAUAUUCACAAGAGUUUCCUCAACCACCCCUUUACGAGCGAUUCCCAAACUUUCCAUUUUUCGCAGAAAGAUAUAUUCAUUCCUAUAUCCUUUGUCUCUAAGAAACUCAUCAACAUAGUUCAAAGGAGUACAAAUUCCUUUUAAGGCACGAUAUAGCUUGUAAAUAAAAGCGGGCUUUUGAACUCUUACGGGAUCUGCAUCCUCGAUGAUUUCUUCCUGAUGCUGAUGAACAACGCCUUGAGGACUAGAUGGUGGAGAAUGACGCUGCUGAGAAUGUUGUGGGCUCGGUUGCUGAUUUGGAGUAACUUCAUCUUCAGUAAGAUCGAAGUGCGUAGGCCCCUCACUCAUUCUCUGUGGUCCCCUGCUUGCGAUUCUUGAGGACUUUCGCGAAGAUGACAUCUUUCUCAGUGUUUGGAAGAUUCCUUGCUUGACUUUCCCAGAAAAGAUGACAACUUUUUUGAAGAUUGAGCGAAGAAGACAAACGGGAGUGGAGGAUCGAUGCUUUCUAGGGUUUUUGAGAGAAAAGUGAAUAGAAAAGUGAAGAGAAAUCGACAAUGCUCAUUCGGUUAAAAAGAAGGGUAAACGAACCGUCACAAAGGAAAUAAAAAUAUGCCUUUUCAAAAUAACUGUCUUUAUCCGCAAAAAUAGCUAUUUCAAAAAAUAACUUCCUUUUUGAAAAUGAAUCCUUUUGAAAAUGAAUCGAUGCAAUUUUUUACGUUAAUUAAAUAUAGCAACAAUUUAAACAAGUCUGAUGAUCGUACCUUUUCAAGAUAAGAUUGGAGAGAGAUGGACUUACAGUCUGAAGGUCGAGCCAAGACUGUUGAUAAAGUCUUGAAAGCCUGAGUCUGAAAGUCUUUAGACUUUGAUAUCCUCAUACUUCAAAAUGUUGAGUCUGGACCGAAUAGACUCAAAUUGAUUUUUCUCCAAAGGCUUUGUGAGUAUAUCAGCCAGUUGAUUCUUUGAGUCAACAAAUUGAAUUGAAACAUCUCCAUUUUGAACAUGAUCUCUAAUAAAGUGAUGUCGAAUCUCUAUAUGCUUUGCUCUUGAAUGGAGAAUUGGAUUUUUGGUGAGGUUGAUAGCGCUGGUGUUGUCGCAAUUAAUCUCCGUGCAUGAGUCUUCAAUUUCAAAAUCUCUUAGCUGUUGUUUUAUCCAUAGAAUUUGCGAACAGCAGCUUCCAAGAGCUACAUAUUCUGCUUCUGUUGUUGAAAGAGACACAGUGCUUUGUUUCCUUGAAAACCAAGACACUGUUCUGCUUCCAAGCAACUAGCAAGUUCCUGAAGUGCUCUUUCUAUCAACUCUGCAACCGGCCAGAUCUGCGUCUGAAUAUCCCAGAAGUUUAAAGUCUCCCUUCUUAGGAUACCAAAGACCGAUGCUUGAUGAUGAGGCGAUGUAUUUAAUGAUGCGUUUCGCAGCACUGAGAUGAGAUUCUCUAGGAUCUGAUUGAAACCUAGCACAGAUGCAAACACUCAACAAAAUAUCAGGUCUAGAGGCAGUUAGAUAAAGAAGUGAUCCAAUAAUGCUCCUGUACAGCUUUUGAUCAACUUUCUUCCCUUCUUCAUCUUUGUCUAUCUUUAAAGAACUUGACAUUGGUAUGUCGGUCUUUUUGCACUUUUCCAGUCCAAACCUUUUGACAAGAUCAUUAACAUAUUUUUCUUGAUAAAUAAAAGUUCCUUCCUUCAAUUGUUUUACUUGAAGACCAAGAAAGAAUGUUAACUCUCCCAUCAUACUCAUUUCAAACUCAUCCUGCAUAGACUUUGAAAAUUUCUUGCACAGACUUUCAUUAGAGGAUCCAAAAAUAAUAUCAUCCACAUAUAUUUGAACAAGUAAGAAACUUUUGUUUUCCUUCUUGAUAAAUAAAGUCGUAUCUACUUUACCUUUGACAAAACCAUUUUGUAUUAGGAACUUACUUAACCUGUCGUACCAAGCCCGAGGUGCUUGCUUUAAACCAUACAAAGCCUUUUUCAGUCUGAAGACUGAGUCUGGCUUCUUUGGGUCUUCAAACCCUGGUGGUUGUUCCACAUAAACUUCCUCAUGGAUAAAUCCAUUUAGGAAGGCGCUUUUGACUUCCAUUUGGAAUAACCUGAAAUUCUUAUCACAAGCAAACGCAAGUAAUAGUCGAAUAGCUUCUAACCUUGCUACUGGAGCGUAAGUCUCAUCAUAGUCUAUUCCUUCUUCUUGCGUAUAUCCUUUGGCCACGAGUCUUGCUUUGUUUCGUACGACUUUUCCUUUCUCAUUCAUCUUGUUUCUGAACACCCAUUUAGCUCCAAUAACAGUUUUACCUUUUGGUUUGGAUGUUAAUUCCCAGACAUCAUUAAUGCUGAACUGUCUGAGCUCUUCUUGCAUAGCUUCAAUCCAGCUUUCAUCAGACAAAGCUUCUUCUAUGCUCUUUGGUUCAAUUUCAGAAACGAGUGCCAUAGCACUAGACUCUUCUCGCCUUUUGGAUCUGGUGCGAAUUCCUUCAUUAAUUUCGCCAAUUAUAAGAUCUUUGGGAUGACUGGACUUAUGCUUCCAGUUACUUGUUGAUUUGUCUGGUUGAUGAUCUCUUUCUUUAUUUGGAUCUUCACUAACAACCUGAUGCUGGUUUUCCAGAGUCUGAGAUGCUUCUUGAGUUGUAGACUUUGGAGGGUCUGGAGCAGGUUCAGACUCUUCUUGAUGAGUCUGACUUGAUUCAUCUUGCGUUGAGUCUUGAAAUUUGACAUUCAUUGACUCCUCUACAGACUGACUCUUCUUGUUAUAGACUCUGUAAGCUUUGCUUGAAGUAGAAUAUCCAAGGAAGAUUCCUUCAUCUGAUCUUUCUUCAAACUUACCAACUCGAUCUUUUGCAUUUUUCAAUAUAAAACAUUUGCAACCAAAUACAUGAAAGUAUGAAACAAUAGGCUUCUUUUCUUUGAAUAACUCAUAAGGGGUUUUCUGAAGAAUAGAUCUUAAGAAGACUCUAUUGAUGAUAUAGCAUGCUGUUGAAACAGCUUCAGCCCAAAAUCGAGAAGAAAUUUUACUUUCAAUUAAAAGAGUUCUAGCCAUUUCUUGAAGAGAUCUGUUCUUUCUUUCCACAACUCCAUUUUGCUGAGGAGUAUAUGGAGAGGAGAACACAUGCUUAAAGCCAGAUUCAUCACAGAAUUUUGUAAAAUCUUGAUUUUCAAAUUCACCUCCAUGAUCUGUUCUUAUACUAGAGAUAACACAUCCUUUUUCAUUUUGAACCUUUUUAGCAAAUUUUUCAAAAUACGAAAAGGUUUCGGACUUACUUGAAAGGAAAUAUACCCAAGUAAAACGGGAGUAAUCAUCAACAAUUACUAGGCAAUACUUCUUACCCCCAAUACUCUGAGUUCUGGUUGGUCCGAAGAGAUCCAUAUGCAGCAACUGUAGUACAUGAUUAGUAGAGACAUGAUUUAUUGGCUUAAAAGAAUUUCUUACCUGCUUUCCCAGAAUACAUGGAGUGCAUGAAUCAGUCUUUUGGUAUGGCAAUUUGGGUAGACCUCGAACAAGCUGCUUUGAUGAGAUUUUGGCUAAUUGCUUCAUGUUGACAUGACCAAGCUUUUUGUGCCAUAAGCUUGCUUCGUCUUGAAUUGAGAUAAGGCAUUGCGAUUCAUUUGGUUUCACAUCCCGAAGAUAGAUAUUUCCAUGUCUUCGACCCAUGAAAGAUUGAGUAGAGUCUUUACUGAUUCCAGAACAUGUUCCUUCUUGAAAGAAGAUCUUGAAACCAGUAUCACACAAUUGACUAAUGCUGAGAAGAUUGUAAUUGAGUCCUUCCACUAAGGAAACAUUACUUAUUGUGAGAGUUCCAAUUUUCACGGUUCCAAAUCCCACAAUACUUCCUUUGUUGUUUCCUCCGAAUGAAACUUUUCCACCAUUUACUUGAGAAAGCUUUAUAAAGCAAUUUGAGUCUCCUGUCAUGUGUCUUGAGCAUCCGCUGUCAAGAUACCACUUUACAUGUUUCUUGACGGAGACCUGCAUUUAAAAUAAAGUCUCAUGCUUUCUUUGGUACCCAAAUUUUCUUGGGUCCUUUGGUGUUAGUAAGAUAAACAGUAUUAGCCCAUACUUUCUUAACAGGUUUCCAUACCAUAGGACACUCUUUUUCAAAGUGAUCCGGACUGUUGCACUUAGAACAUCUGAGAGCAUUUCUACCUACGGGUUUUACAAAAACUUUCUUGAAGUGAUUUUUGUAAACCUCACUUGAAAGCCUUUUCUUAAUUCUUUCUUUUACUUUAGGAAAAUCAAUCAAGGGAAUUGUUUCUUCUGUCAUACCAAGACCAGACUUAUUGAAGUAAGGUCUUUGUGCUGAAAGAAUUUUCUCAAGUUUUUCAGACCCUAUAGAAAAUUUCUUUGAUAUAUUUGAUAAGUCUGUUUUUAAAAAGACAUUUUCUUUUAAAAGAUUUUCUUCAUUUUCUUUAAGAUUGAAAAUAGACAAGUCUAGACUUUUAACUUUUUCUGUUAAAACAUUUUCCUUUUGUUUUAGAGCUGAGUUUUCUUUUUUCAGUUUGGAAAUUCUUUUGAGAGAAGUCUUAAGACUAAAACAUAGUUCAUCAAUAUAUUUAGAAACUUUGACAGGAAUUUUAAAAUUACUUGCCUCAAAUUCACUGUCUGAGUCUGAUCCUGAGUCUGAUCCAGAGUCUAAGUCUGAUUGUGCCAUCAGACAUAGAUUGGCACAUUCAUUAUCACUUUCUUCACACUCAGUAUCACUCCAGGUUUCAGCUUUGAGAGCUUUUCGAAAUUUUUCAGCGUUUCCUUUCUUCUUCUUCAGAAGAGGACAGUUGGGUCUGAUGUGCCCCUUUUUCUUGCAUUCAAAGCAGACUACAUCUUUAUUUGGUUCCUCAUCAUCAACAGACUUGGUCUGCUGUCUUUGAAAGCUUUGUUUCUUUGAGUUGAACCUUCUUCCUUUUCUAUUUAGUUUUCUGAAUCUUCUUAUCAUGAGAGCAAGCUCCUCAUCGUCCAUAUCAUCUUCAGAAUCUAUAUCAUCAGAAUCAUCAUUUGAUUUUAAUGCAAUGGAUUUCUUACCUUUUGGAUCUUCAUCUUCAUUGAUCCUUUCCACUUCAUAGGACUGAAGAGUUCCAAUCAGCUCGUCAACAGAUAGUGGCAUAAUUCUCUGCGUCUCUCUUAUCGAAGUCUUUAUGUGAUUCCAAUCCUUGGAGAGUCCACGCAGUAGCUUGUUUACCUUCAUGGGAUCAGAAGUUGGUUGACCUUGAUUUUCAAGACCAUUUACAAUAUCUAUAAAACGACUAAACAUGUCAGAUAUUGAUUCUCCUGGUUUCAUUCUGAAGGCUUCGUAUUGACUAAGAAGAAUGUUGAUUCUUGUUUCCUUCACUCGAUCUGUUCCUUCAUAGGUGAUAUGCAAUCUGUCCCAAACUUCUUUUGCUGUACCACAAGAAGAUAUUCUAUUAUACUCAGUUGGUGAUAAAGCACAAUAUAAGGAGUAAAUUGCUUUUGCAUUGAGUGUUUGUCUCUUGGUUAUUUCUUCCUGAGACAUUCCGCUGGUUUCUUCAGUUUCUUUUCCUUUUUCAGAGACUGAUGCAGUGGUAGGAGUAAUUCCUUUUUCUACAACGUCCCAUUCCAAAGGAUCCUUUGAUUGUAGGAAAGCUUUCAUCUUGUUCUUCCAGAUGUUGUAAUCCUUUCCAUCAAAGUAGGGUGGUCUGGUAUUGCUUUGUCCUUCCAUCAGCCCUGGUGCUAGCAUACUAGCCAUGGAUCUUUUACUAUGAAGUAAAACACUUCAAAUAAAGUAAGUACACAGGCUCUGAUACCAAUUGAUAUUGCUAGUAUAAACACCUAGAGGGGGGGUGAAUAGGCGCACAAACAAUUUGUCCCAAAUACGGAAGCAAUUCUUAACAAAUUGAAAUACGAUCGAGAUAGAGAGAGAAAUUUGAACAUAGGAUUUAUAGUGGUUCGGCUUAUUCCAAGCCUACGUCCACUCUUCCACACUGACAGCCCACCGGCUGGAUUUCACUAUGAUCAAAAGAGAAGUUACAGCACAGCUUUGCCUUGAUUCCACAGUGUAGAUGUUCUAUCACACCUCCUCAAGGUCUCUCACAAAUAUAGACUCUCUUUUGUAUACAAGUAUUCGCUCAAAGGAUUUAUCCAAACAAAUAGGAGCUUCAAACUUUGGAAUUCUUCUAUCGUGCACACCUCGAACAACUAAGAACGUCUUCCUUAUAUACUCCUUUAUGCCAUCAUACCCGUUGGCACUUACCAAAGGAAUUCCUCCAAUCUACCCGUUGGACGGAAUCAAUUAGGAAGAUUGUUCGAGCUAUUAAAAGGAACGUGUUGAUAGCCCAUCAAUCCUGUUCGCCCAUACAAUCAGGAUCUCGGUUUCCAUAAGUAGAACCUUCCAAUAAUAUUUAGACAAUCAUCGAAUCUUCAGUCAUUGAAUCAAUCUUGAUCAAUCAAAGGAUUCUUAUACGUCUUCUCCAGCCACGAGAUCUUCUUCAGAUGAUAAGGUUAAAUCCUGAACAAAACAUCAAGUUCUGGAUAACCUUUCUUCAACGGAUUAGAGACUGUCAAUGAGGAUAGACUUUGAGUCUUGAGUCUGGCUGUCCGGAAGUCUUCAGACUUUAACUAACAGAGUCUGCAGACCUUCAGACUACACUGAUGGAAACGUUUUGUCAACUUCAAAACACUUUCACUGAGAUUUCUCCAACAACAUAGAGCUAAUGGACAUCUUUAGUCCGUACAUCAAAAUGCCAUAGUUUUCUAUACUAGGCUACACUUCAAAAGAUGACCGACAUCUCCUCCCACAAUCGUAUGCUUAAGGUCCAUCAACCAGUGUCGGCGUCUAAAGGUUCCCUCCUUUUGCUAUCCUUCUCCUCGCGGUCAUAUCCAACCGCUUAAACCAUCUACUAAUCUGAAAUGUUAUUCCCCAAAAGGGGUGAGUACAACCACUCAGCAGGUAAAGGAAUCCAAUAACAACUCGAUGCAUCAUACAAAUCAUAUAGAAAUUUACCUUGCAGCCAUGCGUAACUUACCUUGCAUCAUACAAUCUGAAAUGUUAUUCCCCAAAAGGCGUAACUUACCUUGCAGCCAUGCGUAAUACUAUCAUGCAUCAUCAUGCCUUAUCAUCAUGCAUAUCAUAUCAUCAUAUGUCAUCAUCAUAAUCAUCAUCAUGGCAUCAUUAUAUCAUACAUGUCAUCCUUAUCAUGACAUCAUCACAUCACAUAUUAUCAUCAUCAUCAUGCAUAUCAUCACGCAUAUCAUACCAUGGAUCAUCAUCAUGCAUAUCAUCAUGCAUAUCAUACUAUGGGUGAUCAUCAUAUCACAUCACAUAUCAUCAUCAUCAUCAUGCAUAUCAUCAUGCAUAUCAUACCAUGGGUGAUCAUCAUAUCACAUCACAUAUCAUCACCAUCAUCAUGCCAUGAGUUAAUUUUCAUCAUUAUCUUUAAAUUUGAUCACCACAUCACCCUUCCUCGAUUCAUCAAUUUCAUCCCAUAUUUUACCCUCGCAUCCCAUGUGAGAAAAACCUCCGAGCAUGUAUCCAAGAUACAACCGGGCAUCCGGCCCCCCACAUUCCGGGCAUCUCGCAUCCCAACUAGCAUCACGAGGAACCUCCGGGCAUGUAUCCAAGAUACAACUGGACAUCCGGCCUUUACCCUUCUAGCCGGGCAUCUCGCACCCAAAUCCUAGCAUCGCGAGGCAUUCCCUUCCGGCAAAGACCUCCGACAGGGCUUCCGGAAUUAUGUACCGACAUACCACCAGGCCUCCCCUGGAAUUAUGUACCGUAUACCACCGGGCAUCCCGACACUCCCGGGGAAAUCCAGCAAUGUAUCUCUAUACAUUCCGGCCAUCAUCCUCCACCACAACCAUUUCCUCAUUUACCAUCAUUCACAUUUACCAUUUCUUUAUCUCAAUUUAACAUAGCAAUUGGCAUGGCAUCAAACAAAUCACACUUGACAUGGAAUUCACACUUGCAUCUCAAUUCAAAUGUCAUACACAUACCAAAACUUUAUCACACAUGCAUCUCAAUUCAAUACAUGUACCAAGACUUUAUCACAUAUAUGCCACACAAAUAAAAUUGAAUCCAUGGCCAAAUAAAAAUCUAUUUUAUUUUAUUUUAUUUUAUUAUUUUAUUUAUUUAUUUAUUAUUUAAUAUCAAUAAAUUCCCAAAAUUAUCAAAAUCCAAGAAAUUAUUAAACAAACCCAUAGGAUGAUAAUUACUUGCAAAAUUCAUGGCCAAAUUGAAUUUUUACUAAAUCUCACAAUUUUCCCAAAACAUCCUAUGAUUCUCGAAUUAAACCAGAAUGCACGGUUUCCGAAUAAAUUCAAUUAAAAUAUCCAUAUGGCCUCCAAAAAUUAUGAAAUUUUACUGGGUUAUAGCCAAGACAUUUUCGUACAACUUUCAUGCAGAAAUCCAAGUCAGAUUCCUUAUAGAUUAUUUUAUUCAACCUCACGAAGCUUCUGGAACCCUUACCGCAUCGUCUAGAAUACACAUCUCCGAAAUACUGAGAUUUAACCUACCUAUCCUCUUUCGUUUUCUCUGGAAUUUGGAUAUGUUAUGUAUCAAGGUGUCCUUUACAUGUUUUGUGAAGAGAUCUAGGUCAAAUAACCAAAUUAUGGUCACUAUUUAAGUCCAUGAAGUCUCGGGUGUCUCGGAACACAUCACCAGAAUCAUCGUCCCCAAGAUCUAGCCGAUUUACUAGGCUAUACUUGUUCAUUUCUCUUCAAAUUUGAGUAUGUUGUAGUUUAAGGUGUUACCUACAACUUUCAUGAAUAAAUCGAAGUCAGAUCUUCAACAAAAAGCAACAUGCAAUCAAGAAUCCAACAAGAGAUCAGUGAAAACUUCACAGAUCUGAGGUCUCCGUAUAACAAGACUUAAACCCCUCAAAUCUCCAUCAUUUUCCACGAAAUUUCAGUAUGUUAUAGUAAAAGAUGUUAGCUACAACUUUAAUGAAGAUAUCACAGCCAAAAUCGAACUCUAAACAUGCAUGCAAGCUCUCACAACAUUCUGACUUAAACAGUUCAUACGAAAAUAUUCCAGAUCUAGCAUCUCCGUAGGAUGAGGGUUUGACCCCUCAAAGCUGCAUCAUUUUCCACGAAAUUUCAGUAUGUUAUAUUUAAAGAUGUUAGCUAAAAUUUUCAUGAAGAAAUAGAAGCCAAAAUCGGACUCUAAACACACAUGCAAGCUCAAACAAGUUUCUGACUCCCAACAGUUCAUGCGAAAACAUUGGUGCAAGAGUAGAAAGUGGAUUCCCAACUUGCCUCUAGACCUCACGAACAGCACGAGCGGACGGCACACGGCGGCGAACGGGCUCCUUUCUCUCCCUCUCGGCUUCCUCUCUCUCUCGCACGAUUCUCUCUCUCUCUCCCUCACUUGGCCGAAUGGCUAACCGGCCAUUCUCUCUCCUCUUCUUCCCUUUUAUAUUGCAUGCACUCUAGGUUUGCAUGAGGGACAAGUGUAAUUGUGGAGGAAGACAAGUGUCCACCAUGCUUCACCUCCUCCAUGCCACUUGUCCUAUUGCAUGCAUCAUGGGCCGGCCACCUCUUCCUUUGGGCCUUAAUGGGCCGGUCGAACUCCCUCUUGGGCCGACUAGCUUGGCCCAUCAAGCUUAGGCCAAAUGGGCUUAAGGCCCAUUCGAAAAUUAACCCCUUUUUCCCUUUUUUUGUUUGAAUUCCUUUCUAUAAUUAUUUUUAAAUUUCAAUUUUCAUCUUGGCCAAAGUCUUGGGACAUUUUGUUCAUUGAAAUUUAAUUUAUAAAGUACAUGGCCAAGCAUAAAUUAUUAAUCUAUCAAAUUUAAAUUUUCACAAUCAUAUGCACAAAUCAUCUAAUUAAAGACUAAUGGCUAAAGCAUAAGCCAUGGAAAUUUUUAUCACUUAAUUAGGAACUUUAACACACCUCAUGGCUUGGCUUUGAAUUUUGGGAUGCCACACCAACUCAAGAAUCGAUGGCUGCACCAACAAAAAAGAAAACAUCAACUGUGCCAACAAAAAAGAAGAGAAAGAACCCAGCUCCAGCUCCUUUUGAUUCAAUUUGGCCUAGGACAUUUGCAGCUCCAUCUGAGUCAGUGGAUACUGAGAAGGUUGAAGAAGAAGUUGCACGUCCAGUUAGAAAGAGUGCCAGAAUUAUGAAUCAAGUGAAAGGCCCAUCGAAAGGAGCACGAAUAGGGGGUGUCGUGCAUAUUGAUUGAUGAGAUGAAAUGUGAUAGGAUUUGUGGAGCUUAUGAGUCAAAACAGUUAUGUAAAUGUUGAUGUUGUCAGACUUUCUAUGGAUGGUCAUCUUUUUUUUUUUCUUUAGUUUGUCAUUCAUUGAUGUUGUCAGACUCAGACUUGAUGAAAUAUCAAUGAAAUGAUCUUGCGCUGCUUGUCAAUUUAUGUUGUUGUUUAUCAUGGAUUCUACUUUUACUUGUUGCUGCUGCUGUUGGUGUUCUGUGGUGAUAGCUGGUGUAUCUGGUGAUUGUGGGUGGUGAUGUUUGGUGGUAGUCAGUUUGUUGUUGGGGUGCUAAUGUGGUGGCUGGGGUGCUGGUGUGGCUGGUGGUGAUGCCUAGUGAUUAUCAAUUUGUGGUGGGGGUUAUAGGCUUAAGCAGUUGCACCUACACCUGGUACAAGUGUGCAGUUUGCACAUCUUCCACCAUGUGUACUAAUGCAAACUAGUGCAAGGCUCCGCUUGCACUAGUAUCUUGUGCAUCAACACCACCACCAUGGUGGUGGCUGGAGCGCCUAGUGUGUAGUGUGGCUAGUAAUGAUGGUGAUGGUUGGUGGUGCAGCCGGUUCCGGUGGCUGGCGCAAUUUUUAGAGAAAACCCACAAAAAAAUUGGCAACUCCAUACAACAGCACAAACAAUGAUCUUGUGGAACAACACAAACUUCUUCGCAUCUUUCAAAAAGAAAAAACUCUACGUUUAAUCCAGAACAACACCAUUUUUAACUAUGGCAGUUGGAGAAACUUUUUCUCAUUUUCAAGUACUUUACAUUUCAUCAUAAAGUACAAUAGACAACAAAACAACACCAUAAUACACGCUUGGUAACACUUUCGUUCAAUUUUCAUCAUUGAAACUUCAUUCUUGAAAGGUUUAGUUGAAGAUGCUUGAGCGUGCAUUGAGACUUCAUUCUUGAAAAGUUUAACUGAAGAUGCUUGAGCUUGCAUUGAGUCAACAUCGUCCAAGUCGUCCACGAACACAGAUGGAGAUUGCUGUCUUUUAUGAAGUAGAUCCAAUAUCACCUCUGUGGCUCGGUUAGAGAACUUCUCAUCGAUCCAUUUGAAGUAUUUGUACUUCGACGCUUCUUUAUAUUGGGCGCAUCCAUAAAAUCUUCUCCCAGGAUUGAUUUGAGUCCACGAUGUUCUUCUUGGACUCAGUAACCCACACAAAUAGAAACGCUGGCCUUCUCCUUCACUUCGGUGCGAGGAAAUUGAGGCGCUGCUGCGAGUCCUACUCUCCAUUUCCAAGAUUUGACGAAGGAAUUUUGGGCAAAUGAAAAUUAGGGUUCAAGACUUGAAUUCGAGCACUUCAAUAGGGAUUUUGGCCGAUUUAGGGUUUUAGAUUUGGGGCAUUUGGGGAGACGACGUCGUUUUUGGAAGAUUUUGGGCUUUUAUUAUGCAGACGACAUCGUUUCUGGUGAGUUAGAGCCGACUCAGCUCUCCGGCGAGCCACGUAGGCAAAAAAUAAUAAUAAAAUAUUGCCACGUAGGAUUUCUGGCAAGGGUCGCCGGAGGUGGCACUUAAGUGUCCCACUAGAAAAAAAAAGUGGCACUUAAGUGUACCGUUUUGAAGUUAUGGCACCUAAGUGUCCCCCCGUGCCAAGUUAUGGCACUUGUGCUGUACUUCUGCCUAAGAAAUUCCUUUAAACCAAUAAAUCAAGUUUCCACUAAUCAUGUACUGCAGCUUCUGCAUAUGGAUCUCUUUGGACCAACCAAAACUUAGAGCAUUGGAGGUAAGAAAUAUUGCCUAGUAAUUGUGGAUUACUACUCACUAUUUACUUGGGUAUAUUUCCUGACAAGUAAGUCUGAAACAUUUUCUUACUUUGAAAAGUUUGCUAAAAAGAUUCAAAAUGAAAAAUGGUAUGUUAUUUCAAGUAUAAGAACAGACCAUGGAGGUGAAUUUGAAAAUCAAGAUUUUACAAAAUUCUGUGAUAAAUCUGGUUUUCAGCAUGUGUUCUCCUCUCCAUACACUUCAGAGCAAAACGGAGUUGUGGAAAGAAAGAAUAGGUCGCUUCAAGAAAUGGCUAGAACUCUUUUAAUUGAAAGUAACAUCUCUUCACGUUUUUGGGCUAAAGCAAUUUCUACAGCAUGUUAUAUUAUCAAUAGAGUUUUCUAAGACCUAUUCUAGAAAAAACCCCCUAUGAGUUAUUCAAAGAAAAGAAGUCUAUUGUUUCAUAUUUUCAUGUGUUUGGAUGUAAAUGCUUUAUAUUGAAAAAUGCAAAUGAUCGAGUUGGCAAGUUUGAAGAAAAAUCAGACGAAGGCAUCUUCCUUGGAUAUUCUACCUCAAGCAAAGCCUAUAGAGACACAACAAGAAGACUCAAUCUGUGGAGGAAUCAAUGAAUGUCAAAUUCCAAGAUUCUUUGCAAAAUGAAUCUAUUCAGACUCAUCUUGAAGAAUCUGAACCUACUUCAGACUCUACAAAGUCUAAAUCUCAAGAAGUAGUUCAGAUUUCGAAAGACAAGCAUCAAAUGAUUGUUGAAGAUUUAAAUGAAGAAAGUGAUCAUCAACCUGACAAAUCAACCAGUAACUGGAAGCAUAAGUCCAGUCAUCCCAAAGAUCUCAUUAUAGGCGACAUUAAUGAAGGAAUUCGCACAAGAUCCAAAAGGCGUGAAGAGUCUAGUGAUGUGGCUCUUAUUUCUGAAAUACAACCCAAAAGAAUAGAAGAAGCUUUAUCCGAUGAAAGCUGGAUUGAAGCUAUGCAAGAAGAACUCAAGCAAUUCAGUAUUAAUGACGUCUGGGAAUUUACUCCUAAACCGAAAGGUAAAUCUAUUAUUGGAGUUAAAUGGGUUUUCAGGAACAAGAUGGACGAGAAAUGAAAGGUCGUAAGAAACAAAGCAAGACUCGUGGCCAAGGGAUAUACGUGAGAAGAAGGGAUAGACUAUGAUGAGACUUAUGCACCAAUAGCAAGGUUAGAAGCAAUUAGAUUAUUACUUGCUUUUGCUUGUUAUAAGAAUUUUAGGUUAUUCCUAAUGGACGUCAAAAGUGCUUUCCUGAAUGGAUUUAUCCAUGAGGAAGUCUAUGUGGAACAACCACCUGGGUUUGAAGACCCAAGGAAACCAGACUUAGUAUUCAGACUUAAGAAGGCUUUAUAUAGUUUAAAGCAAGCACCUCGAGCUUGGUACGACAGGCUAAAUAAAUUUUUAAUUCAAAACGGCUUUGUCAAAGGUAAAGUAGACACUACUCUGUUUUUCAAAAGAGAAAGCAAAAUUUUUCUGCUUGUUCAAAUAUAUGUUGAUGAUAUUGUUUUUGGAUCCUCUAAUCAAAGUUUGUGCAAGAAAUUCUCUAAGUCUAUGCAAGAUGAAUUUGAAAUGAGUAUGAUGGGUGAACUAACCUUCUUUAUUGGACUUCAAGUGAAACAAUUGAAGGAAGGAACCUUUAUUCUUCAAGAAAAAUAUGCUAAUGAUCUUGUCAAAAAGUUUGGACUGGAAAAUUACAAAAAGACUGAUAUACCAAUGUCAAGUUCUUUGAAGAUAGACAAAGAUGAAGGAGGAAAGAAAGUUGACUAGAAGCUAUACAGGAGUAUCAUUGCUUCACUUCUAUAUCUUACUGCUUCUAGACCAGGCAUUUUGUUUAGUGUUUGCAUUUGUGCUAGAUUUCAAGUAUACGCUAAAGAAUCUCAUCUAAGUGCUGCAAAGGGUAUUAUCAAAUACAUUGCAUCCACUUCAAGCCUUGGUCUUUGGUAUCCUAAAAAGGGAGAAUUUACUUUUCUUGGAUACUCAGACGCAGAUCUAGCCGAAUGUAGAGUUGAUAGAAAGAGCACCUUGGGUACCUGUCAACUACUUGGAAGCAAGAUAGUGUCUUGGUUUUCAAGGAAGCAAAAUACAGUGGCUCUUUCUACAGCAGAAGCAGAGUAUGUAGCUCUUGGAAGUUGUUGUUUAACAAAUUCUGUGGAUAAAACAAUAGCUAAGAGACUUUGGAAUUGAAGAUUCAUGCACAGAGAUUAACUGUGACAACACCAGCGCAAUCAAUCUCACCAAGAAUCCAAUUCUUCACUCAAGAGCAAAGCAUAUAGAGAUUCAACAUCACUUUAUUAGAGAUCAUGUUCAGAAUGGAGAAGUUUCGAUUCAGUUUGUUGACUCAAAGAACCAACUGGUGGAUAUAUUUACAAAGCCUUUGGAGAAUAAUCAAUUUGAAAUUAUUCAUUCUAGACUCAACAUCUUGAGGUUUGAAGAAGUAAAAAUCUAGAGACUCUCAGACUCAGACAAUCAAGAUCUUUGAUUGUAAGUUAUUUUAUUAUCUCUCAGAUUAAAUCUUGAAAAUGUACGAUCAUCUGUCCAUAAUUGAUUUUUACUACUUUCAAUUUCCAUGAUUAGUGCAAUCUUUCUUUUUCGAAAAUGGAGUUAAUUUUUAAAUGGCAAUUAUCUAAUUUUUUGAAAAAGGCAGUUAUUUUUUUAAAUGGCAUCUUUUUACUUUCCAUUACGACGUUUUGUAUGCCUCUCUUUGACUAACCUAUAUACUGUCGAUUCCUAUUCUUUUAACUCCAAAAACCCUAAAAAGCAUCGAUCUUCCACUUCUGUCUUCUUCUCUUGUUUAAUCUUCGAAAAGUUGUCAUCUUUCUUGGGAAAGUCAAGUUUGGAAUCUUUCAAAGACUGUGAAAGAUGUCGUCUCAAAGGAAGUCUUCGAGGAUCGCGAACAGGAGACCGCAGCAAAUGCGUGAGGGGCCUAUGCACUUUGAUCUCACCAAGGAAGAAGAGUCUCCUAGUCACCAGCAGAGCCCACAACAUUCUCAGUAGCAUCCAUCUUCUCCAUCUAGACCACAGGAUGUUGCUCAUCGAGAAGAGGAAGAAAUAAUCGAAGAUGCAGAACCCGUACGAACUUUUAAGCCCUCUUUUACCUACAAGCUUUAUCGUGCUUUGAAAAGGAGUGUAACUCCUUUGAACUACAUUGACGAAUUUCUGAAAGACAAAGGGUACAAAAAUGAAACCUUCUUUUUACGCACAAUGGAACGGUUGGGAAUAGCCCCUACUGUGUCGGCAUAAGAGGCAAUGGCAAAUAUUCCAAUCGAUCCACGUGUUGGAGGGCUGAAUUAGCUAGAUGGAAAUGAUGAUGACAAGUUGAAUAGUUAGUUUCAACUGAGAAUGGGUGUUGCAGCAAAAAUUCGGAGCAAAAGGACAGACUUGUUUCGAUCGGAUGAACACAAGCAUCUAUACUCUAAGUUGUUGAAGCGUGGGGCCAUAAGCCCUAGAAGUGUGGAUUUAGAUUUCCUUGACGCUGUGAACGUUAAUUUGAGGGAAAAAUUCAGUCUUCUUCAACUUGAACAGUUUUGUUUUGAAUCUACAGAAGCCUAUGCUGAACUCAUUGCAUACUUCUAUUCGAAUCUCAGUUUCUUAGAUGCGAAUAGAUUCUCUUUUUGUGUCCGAGAUCAGGACUAUGUGGUGGAUAUAGAUAUGUUGGCUGAUGUGAUUGGGGUUGAGAGAGGGAGAUAUCAACUUAUCAAUGUCUCUAUUGCUCGUGCUACGUUGGAACUUGUUAAGGAUAGAAGGACAGAGGGAAAGGUUUCCUACUCGAGGAUGAGUGCGUUCAACAUUCUGCUUCAUAGACUGAUAUUUCAAACUCAGAGGCAAAGCUGAUGUAUGCCAUCAAUGCUAGGAAAUUUUUUUCUCUUCCUCACACUAUUAUAUUCCACAUGUAUAGAGUAGUGGAGAAAGACAAGGGUCAACUUCCUUAUCCAACUCUUGUGACAAAGUUAUUCAAACAUUUGAAUGUUCAGCCUCCCCAGAUUCUCUGUGUUCGAACUUGUGAUAAAAUGGUAGUGGGACUGAAAAUGGUGUCUAAAAUGCGUCUGAAUGAACUCAACAAGGCGUUGGAGAAAUUCAAGGAGAAAACCCCUGUCAAAACUCAUCAAAUCUUUUCAGUAGCAAAAAGAAAAGGCAGGAGCCCAUGGUUGCUCCAUCCAAGAAAAGAAGAGCUCUCAUUGUUGAGGAUGAAGAAGAUGAGGAAGACAUCACCAUUACUACAAUGGCAUUGAAGAACCUAAGUCAUUCUGUUCCAGAAUCAAUGGAACGACAAGAGAAAGACACAGAAUAAAGGACUAGAGAAAGAGAAGAUUUGGAAGCAGAAGAGAAAGAAACAGAGGAGAGAGAAGCUGAAGAAAGAGAUGCAGAUGAGGAAAGAAUUGAAGAAGAAGAGGAAAGAGGAAAGAGGAAAUCAAGAGGAAGGAGAGCAUAAGGAACACUCUUCUCCACUUGAAGGCAUGGAAACAGGGGGAGAUCGUGAGAAAAGUGGAAUGUCCUCAUAUCCUGCUACCAGUGAAGGAGUCAGCCGCUCUCUAGCAGAUCUAGAAGCAGAUCUAGAGGACAUCUAUGCCUCUCAAUUUCCUGAGGAGGGACAUGAUGUUUCAUUGCCCAAUCUGCAUGAUUAUGCUAAUUUGCCAUCGUCUGCCUCUACUCCAGCUGAUCGUGCAGAAGCUAGUACGCAGACUGAUAAUUCAACAGAUUUUCACAGAAUUCUUGAUGUUCUCUUAGAAAUGCGAGGUCAGAUAUAUGCUCUGGGAUACGAAGUAUAGAAUUUGCAGAAUGCAAGUCAAGCUUCUUCAGUUUCUUUGAAUGAUCAGAACCAAGCCCUUGCUCUUCAGAUUCAAGCAAAUGCUAAGGGUGAAAGAGGUGGCUCAACUGAAGGAAGAGUUGACAAAGCUGGAAGGCAUCGUCGAGUCAAUGGGAGAUUUCCAGCUUGUUCGUGUUCCAAAGCAUUCUUGAUUCCAUCUCAACCUUUUUUAUGAUGACAAAAAGGGGGAGAGAUGUGAUUUGAACUUUGAACGUUGAACUUUUUUGAACUUGAACUUGAACUUUUGAUUUGUUUUGAUGUUUGACUUGACUUUUGUGUCUAGCUAUGGACUGGAUUUGAGAUUUUGGAUUGACUGCUUAUAUUAAGUACUAUUGAUAUCUUAUGGAUGGCUUCAGUCAUAUGCAAGACUAACCUAUUUUCUAUGGUUGCAGAUUCUAGUGUUAUCAAUAAGCCAUUUAUCCUUAUGAGAUAUCCAUAUUUGCUUGAGUAAUGUUUUGCAAGUCAAAGUUAUCCAAAUCUGUAGGAAAGUUUUGUCACCAUCAAAAAGGGGGAGAUUGUUGGAGAAAUCUUCCUGGAGUAUUUUGAAGCUGACAAAAUGUUUCCAUCAGUCUAGUAUGAAGAUUUGUAGACUCUUCUAUUUAAAGUUUGAAGACCUCCGGACUGCCAAACUCAAGACUCAAAGUCUAUUCUCAUUGACAGUUUCUAAUCCGUCGAAGAAGGGCUAUCCAGGACUGAAUGUUUAGUUAAGGAUUUGACCUUAUCGACUGGAGAAGAUCUCUUGGCUGGAUAUGACAUAACAGAAUCCUUUAUUGAUUCAAAGAUUGAGGAUCCGAUGAUUGUCGAAGUAUACUUGGAAGGUUCUACUUAUGGAAACCGAGAUCCUGAUUGUAUGGGCGAGCAUGAUUGAUGGACUAUUGACAUGUUCUUUAAAUAGCUCGAAUGAUCUUCCUAAUUGAUUCUGUCCAAUGGGAAGAUUGGAAGAAUUCCUUUGGUAAGUGCCAACAGGUAUGAUGGCAUAAAGGAGUAUAUAAGAAAGACGUUCUAGUUGUUCGAGUCAGUGCGCGAUAGAAGAAUUCCAAUGUCUGAAGCUCUUUGUUCUUAGUCAAUUCAUCUUCUAAGAGAAAUCUUGUACGCAAAAGAGAGUCCAUAUUCUUGAGAAACCUUGAGGAAGUGUGGUAGAGUAUCUACACUGUGAAAUCAAGGGAGAGCCUUGCUGUAACAACUCUUUUGUUCAUAAUGAAAUCCGGCCGGUGGGUUGUCAGUGCAGAAGAGUGGACGUAGGCUUGAAAUCCAGCCUUGCUGUAACAACUCUUCCCUACUCUCUGCUUUACUUUGAUCAUAAUUCGCUUUGUUAACGAAAUGAGAACUUCCUUUCUAUUGUCUGCUUAGUAUUGCUCUCUUAUCUCGAGAAAAUAUUUUUUACACCUAUUCACCCCCUCUAGGUGCUUAUACUAGCUAUGUCAAGUAGGUCUUGGUUUGUUGGCCAAUUUCAUUUGGUAAAUGGCUAAAUCAUGAAAAAUGACGAGUGAGAAAAGUUUGCGGAGCCUGAUCUGACCUUGUUGUGCUCUUCAAAUCAGGCUCCACGAAGAUGAAAACCCUCCUCCACACUUUCCUCCGUGACCUUCGGAGGCUUGCCAUCUCGAAGCCCUUGCUUCUUGAGAUAUUUCCAAGCAAAGAGCUUUAUAUGAACGUUGUGAUGAAGAUGCAAGCUUCACUCUCCAAAGCCUUAAUCAAUAUCAACACCGUCAUGCACACUCACAUCUUCCCAUACGUAUUAGGAUCCUGCACAAGUAAAGCGCACCCAUUAAAAAAAAUGCGUGCACAUUGUGGGUGUUUGAAUGAAGGGAAAAAAUGUUUGAAAAUAAGGUGUCUUUGAGCUCGAAAUCAAAACCGGGUGAAGAAAAGUGGAAAGAAAAUGGAGUAUUUGUACAGUGUCAAGAUAAAUGAACUUCAACAUAGAAUAAAACACCAAGAGAAUUUUGAGCUUAAUGACGAAAAAUGAGCUUUUCAAAUGGCGGUGUCAAAAUAGGGAGAUGGGUUGGGCGAAAACAAGAAGAAAUGUCUCUAAGAAAAAGUAGAAAAAAAUGGAGAAGCUUCUUCUUUGUCACUUGAUUUCCCCAAACUCAGGUGAGAGAGAGGAGCAAAGCACGCGCAAGGUUCAACUCGAGCUCAUUGGAGCCACCGGUGGAGCUUCGAGAGGCAAAGGAGGAGGUGAAGGCAGGAACCAGCUACGACCAGCAGAACGUAAAGAACUCUGAAAGAAAGAGGAGAAGCGUCUGGGCUAUUCUUCUCCAAGAAAAGAACAAAAAGAACUCUGAAAAUUGAAAUUAGGAGAGAGAAUUUUUUAAGCAAGAGUCCGAACAUUCAUUAUCCCAUCCUUUUCUGACAGCCCACCUGAGGGAUGAGAAAAAGAAAACUUACCUUUUAAACUUUUCCAUUUUGUGACCGGUCCAGAUUAGAGGCCAUGUGUCGACUUUUCAAUGGAACCACUUCAGCUCACACGCACCGUGUAGAACGAUGACUUGAUAAUUAUUUUUUCCAAAAAGCUUAAUCAAAGUACAAAAAAGAAAAAAAAAAUCUUUCAAAACUAAGAAGGACAGUUCAUAAAUUUUGAAAGAACCUUUAGUAAAAUACAAAUCUGGAAGAUUUCACUUCAAAAUAAAGAAAUCCUUAAAAGCAAUAAAUUUUUUCCAAAUAUCAUGAGUUUAAAGAAUGGAUCAUCAAUGACAAGAAAUUUGAGAAAACACAUUUCAUAGAGUUAGCCAUAACAAAAUCUUUAUGCUAAAAAAUAAAAGAACCUAAAAUAACAAGUAACAAGGCCCUCAUAUCAAUUAUUGAGUUUCACAAUACAAUUUAAAGGGGGUAAAGAGGUUGAACGAGAAACUAUGAAGGACUUUUGUGUGGCAUCCCAAAAAAAUUCAAGUCAAGCUCUAAGGUGUAUUAAAGCUAGUAAUUAGGUAAUGAAAUUACCUAUGGCUUAUGCUUUAGCCAUUAGUCUCCUUUUAGGAUUAAGUGAUAUAUGCUUGUGUUCAUGAGAUUUUAAAUUAGAUAAAUUAAUCUAUGCUUGGCUAUGCACUUUAUAGACUAAGUUUCUAUAAAUAAAAUGUUACAAGAUUUUGGCCAUGUGGAAUUUAGUAAUUUAAAUUCUUAAAAGAAAAAUAAGAAAGGGGAAAAUUGAUUUUUAAUUAGGUUGGGCCUUAGGCCCAAUAGCUUGAGCCUUUGGUGGGCCGAAUGGCCAGCCCAAUUAGGCCCAAGGAGGAGUGGCCGUCAACCAUGAGGGGGAAGGAGUGGCCGGCCCACUUCUUCCAAUCCAAGCCCAAGCCCAAAGCCCAUUAUGCAUGUGUCAUGACAAGUGGCAAGAGGAGGUCUUCAUGCAUUGGCCAUUGGAGAGGCAAGUGAUGAUUGCAAAUGAUGAGGAUUUGGGGAAAUAAAAGGAAGAGGAGAGAGAGAGGGUGGCUGGUUGGUGUUGUUCAGCCAAGUGAGAGAGAGAGAGAGAGUGAGGCCGAGAGGAGAGGAACCGAGAGGAGAAGGAGUCGCCCCUCGCCGCCCGCACGCCGUUCGUCCAUCGCCGGUGUGCCGUUCAUGUGUUGCUGUCCGCUUGGUUCUAGAGGCAAGUUGGGACUGAUUUCCACUAUUGCAUGUGUGCCUUGCAUGUAUGAUUUGCUAGUGGUGAGUUUUCGAUGUUAGGGUAGGCGAAACCGGAGCAAAGAUGUGCUUUGUUCUUGAAUAUGCUUGAUGUUUUCGCAUGAACCGCCUGAACCAGAAUCUUGUGAGAGCUUGCAUUCAUGUUUUGAGUUCCAUUUUGACUUUGAUUUUUUCAUGAAAAUUGUAGCCAACAUCUUAAGCUACAACAUACUAAAAUUUGGUGCAACAUGAUGGAGAUUUAAGGGGUCAAACUCUCAUCCUACGGAGACACUAGAUCUGGAACGAUUUUGCUGACCUUUAUGUAGAUCUGUGGUUGCAUGUUGAUUUUUUUAUCAAGAAUAUCUCUUCUACUUCUUCAUAAAACUUGUAGAGAACAUCUUAAAGACUACCAUACUGAAAUUUGAAGUAAAAUGAACAAGUAUAGCCUAGUGAAUCGACUUACUCUUGAAGACGGUAAAUCUGGAGACGUAGUACUGCCCACCCGAGAGUUCAUGGACCCAUAUGGUGACUUUUCUUUGGAAUUUGACUUAGAUCCCUUCAUGAAAGUUGUAGGGGACCUCUUGAAGUAAAUUAUAUCGAAAUUUCAGAGGAAAAUAAGAAUAAUAAGUGGGUAAAAACUCGGUAUUUCGGAGAUGACUACACUGGACGUUUCGGUAUGAGAACCAGAAGAUUCGGACGACUAUAGGAAAUUAUUUAGAAUGAAUCUGGCCUAGAAGUCUUCAUGAAAAAUCUACUUUAAUGUCUUAGCUAUAACCUGGUAAAAUUACAUAAUUUUUGGAGGUCGUUAGAGUAUAUUAAUCGAAUUAUUUCAAAAACUGCACAUUCUGUUUUUAUCAGAAAUUGCAUGCUGUGAUUGUGUGGAUGAUAUCUUUUGUGUGGAACUUUAUUGGCCAUGUGUUUUUCAUGAAAUCAUUAUCUUAUUGCCUUGUUUAUCAUAUGCCUUAAUUUCAUGAUUUUUGGGAAUCAUAUGGAUAUUUAAUUUAAAUAUUUUCAAAAAUGGUGUAAGCUGGAAUUUAAAUAAAUUCCCAAAAAAAAAGGCAUGAUAAAUGGAUUAUUUAAAUUGUACAAAUUCCAUAAACUUUAUUUUUUUUUAUGAAAGAUUGCGUCUUGCUGCAUAUAUGAUGAUGACUGAUGAUGCAUGUGUAGAUCAAAGGAUGAAAGUGAUUUUGUUUGCCAUUACAUCAUGUGCCAUGUUAAGUUGAGACCUAAAUUGGUAAACAUAAACAAUGAUAAAUGAGGAAACUGUUUGUGGCGGAUGAUAAUGCCCUGGGAGUAUCAGGAUGCGCGGGAUGGGGGGUGCCGGAUGCCCGGAAUGUGUAGAGAUACAUGGCCGAAUGGCCCUGGGAGUAUCAGGAUGCCCGGAAUGGUUGGGUGCCGGAAGCCUCGGAGAUCUUUGCCCAAGGGGAUGCCUCGUGAUGCCAGUUGGGAUGCAAGAUGCCCAGAGUGUGGGGGUGCCGGAUGCCCAGUGGCCUUAAGUGGCUGAAUGUCGGAGGUUUUUCUCGCGAUGCCAAGAUGGGGUGCGAGUGUAAAGUAUCGGAUGAAAUUGAUGAUCUCGAGGAAGUGGGAUGUGGUGAUCAAAUUAAAAAUUUAAAAGUGGAAAUUGAAUUAUGCAUAUAUGACAUGAUAUGAUGAUGAUCACCUAUGGCAUGAUGACAUGUAUAUAAGAUAUGAUGAUGAUAUGCAUAUAUGACAUGAUAUGAUGAUGAUCACCUAUGGCAUGAUGACAUGUGAUGAAGAUGUAUGAUGGUAUAUGCAUGGCUUCGAGGUAAGUAUGCUUUGAUGCAUGAGUGACAUGUAUGAGUUUGUGAUUGUAUUGUAUGAUGCAUUGAGUGGUUAUUGGAUUCCUUUACCUGCUGAGUGGUUGUACUCACCCCUUUGGGGACCAACAUUUUAGAUUAGCAGGAUGCCGCUCCCUGCUGUCUCGUGGAGCAUAUUUUACGGCCUUCCUUCAGAUGUAGAGGUCGAGUAUGUGGAGAUCGACUAUCCCACCAUUCCUGGACUGACUUUUAUUCGAGUGCGCGCCUUAGUGUUGUACAACGUGGGCCUGGCUGGGGGCCCUGUCAUUAAGGAGUUUAUAUCCGUCCACGUUCGUCGAGAUGGAACGAUGCGUGGAAUGUUGCCGCCGCCACCGCCUGAUGCACCGGGAUCGGUGUGAGGGCCCGUGUGUGUCAAGUAGUAGGGGUGUGGAACGGGAACCGCCCGAACCGAGAACCGGCCGGACCGGACCGAACCGGCCGGUUUUGGGCGGUUCCCACGGUCGGCGGUCCGGUUCCCGGUUCCUAAUCUUGGAACCGGUGGCCGGUCGGUCCGGUUCCCGGUUCUAAGGUGGGAACCGGACCGAACCGGACCGACCGGACCGAAACAAAUUUUUUUUUAUAUAAUUUAUAUACAUAGCAUUAAUAAAAUAUAUAAACAUGAUAACUUAUUGCAACUAAAAUUGCAAUUUGAGAUAGCAUCAUCUUAUGUGGCCAAGAGACCAUUAAAACUAUUUUUAUUACUCUUUUAUUUAUAGAAAAAAAUCUCCUUGUUAGUUUUUGUUGGAAAUAUGAUUUGUUUUUUUAUUCUAAUUAUCUAAAUACGGUUAAUUGAUUCUAUGAAUCCAUGAGAUUGGAUAUUAGGACAGUAGUAUAGGAAACAACAUAUUUUGUAUAUUCUUUCCUACCGUACUCUUUUCUUGUAUUAUUAAUAGGUGUGUAAUACAUGUACAAACACAACAAUACACAAUACAGAAAAUUCCUCCAAUUCCUUCUCAGUUUUUGUCAAUUUUCUUUCUCAUUUUCUAUCAGUUUCAUCUUCUACUUGAUGUGGGACUAAGGUUUCAAGAGACCCACAAGGCACUUCAAGCCUCCAAGAGUCCCACAUUGACUAAACAUUUAAAGAGCAGAGAUUGUCUAUAAAAUCUAAGCCAUGCAUAACUUUUAGCCAAAUUAUUCACGACUUUCAUGGUUAAAGCUAAGUGUGAAACACACGAAGUUUGAAUCACAUUUGAAUAUUUUGCACGUGGAAACAUAUGUAAUUAGUUUUGUUGAAUUGCUCGAGAACCGAAUUGGAUUGAUUGGUCCGGAGCGCGGUCACUCUUUAGUGUAAAAAAGUAGAGCCGAUUUUGUUGGACCGGACUGGACUGGACCGGAACCGAUGGUCGGUCCGGUUCCCGGUCCUAGGACCAAACGGUCCGGUCCACGGUUUACAAUUUUGGGAACCGGUGCUCCCGGUCCGGUUCCCGGUUCCAAGGUAGAACCGGACCAAACCGGGAACCGAUCACCCCUAUCAAGUAGGAGCUGAAACUUUUGGGAUGGUUAGCCGACACUAGUGAUGGGGGAUCUUGCACGUUAGUCGUAGUGGGUCGAGUGUUUCUUUUUGGGUUAUGGCCAAGUGUGGCUUCAUGUCUUGGCCUUUCUUUUGAUGUACCGCCCCAAGGAAACCCAUCUUGAAAAUAUGUAAAUAAAGUGUCGUGGUUUUGUCUUUUCUCAUGAUGAUUAGUGGUGUGCAAUUGUAUCGUGGUUGUUGGAGGGAGAGAUGGCGAUGUUAUAUUUUUCUUCCGCUAAUGAGUCACGCUGGGACCGUUUUCAAAAAAAAAAAAUGUCUAUGAGUUACGACGCUUCUUCUAAGAGAUGUAGCUAAUGUUCCAUCAGGUGUAAUGUUAGGUGCCUAUGGCAACCCUAGGUGGUUUGGGGUGUCACAGCGCCCUUUUUUUGGUAUCAGAGCGAAUGGUUAUAGGCGGAGUGAUAAGGAACCUCAUUUCGAAAUUGAGGAACAUGAGGACAAUGCACAUCAAGGAUAUAAAAUGAAAUAAUUGAAUAACGGGUGAUGAGUAUUCACUCAUAGAUCCCUAGUGGUUUAUUUUGAGUUGCCUUUAGGUACCAGUAACAUGUAUAUGUUACUUAUGUGGUAGUAGUAGUUGCUUUGAAUGGAUGCAGAGAGUCUCAGAUUAUUCCUGAGGCAAUGCUUGGAAAUUGCCGGAAAGUCAUGGUGCGAGCUGGAAGUGCUCAUCCAUUGAGGGCUGAAGCCUUUGCUGCAAGGGCUGAACCCCGAAUGGAAGACAUCCUGUAGGCAUUGGCCAAUAUUGGAAAUCUGAUGGAAAGACAAGCGCUGAGAACGCCGUACUCAAGGACUGGUGGAGCAGUUUUUGAAGCUGAAGCCACCUAAGUUUAAUGGAAUGGGAAGUCCUGAGGAGGCGGAGCAAUGGAUUGAUGGGAUGGAACGAAUUUUCCGGCUGUUGGACUGCAAUAAUGCUGAGAAAAUAACUUUGGCAGAGUACCAGCUGGAGGGAAAUGCAAAGUUUUGGUGGAGAGCUUCGAAGGACAUAAUCUUUCUAACAGGUAUUGAUGUUAACUGGGAGGAGUUUGUGAGAGCUUUUAAUAGAAAGCAUUUUUCUAACUGUGCUAAGGACAGGAAAAUUACAGAAUUUGUUCAACUAGAACAAAAGGAGCUGACAGUAGACCAGUAUGAGGCUAGAUUUUCUGAACUGUCUAGAUAUGCCCCUAGACUGAUUGAGGAUCAGGAGGAAAAGGCUAAGAGAUUUCUGAAAGGUUUGAGAACUGACAUUAGAAAGCAACUAGUGCCUUUGAACAUAAGAGAUUAUAAUAAGAUUUAUGAAAGGGCACAUUUAGUGGAGCAGGAACUGUUGAGAGAACGAUCAGAGUUUAAGAAACCGUGAAAUUUUAAUGAUGUGAGAAGGGGUAAGAGACCCUAUUCUGGUCAAGGUCGGACUUGGAAUGUGAAGAAGAAGAGUAAUUUUGGAAAAUUUGGCGAGCAAGAAGUGGUCUGAAUAUAGGGAAAGCACCCUAUCAGCCUGGUGUUUGUCAAAGGUGUAAUGGGCGACAUGGCCCAGGACCUUGGAAUGGACGACUAAAAUAUUUUGGUUGUGGACAAGUGGGCCAUCUUAGGAGAAGUUGCCCACAAGAAAGGUUGCAAGUGAGUGUUGGCUUGGUGCGACAGGGAUAUCAAAGUGCUUUUAGAUCGAAUUUACAAGGAAAUCUUUAGAAGCCACCAGCACAAGGAAGGGUGUAUUCGGUCACCCAAGAGGAAGCGGAAGCUUCCAAAAAUGUUAUCUCAGGUACGAUCCUUAUCAAUGGUGAAAAGGCAUAUGCAUUGUUUGAUACGGGUGCACCGCAUUCAUUUGUGUCUGAAAGAUAUAGACGUUUGAAUAAAAUAGAAGUUAUGCCUCUUGAGAUGCCUCUUUGUGUUUCCACGCCUUUAAAGGAUAUGGAAUUGUCUACGCUGGUGUGUGGGAAUUGUAAGAUAUCAAUAGAGGGAAAGGAUAUGGAAAUAGACUUAGUUGUAAUGGCCAUGUAUGAUUUUGAUGUCAUUAUAGGAAUGGACUGGCUUCGUAAGUAUCGGGCUAGAAUGGAUUGUUACAGGAGAGUGACCCAAUUCGUUUUACCUAAUCAGUCUAGUUGUGAAUUUUUAGGAGGUCAGACCCAUCUACCUGUAGCACUUAUUUCGGAAAUAGAAGCCUGUGCGUUACUUCACAAAGGAUGUCGAGGAUACCUGGGCCAUAGUUAAAGAUUAUGCAAUGAAGGAACCUAAACUUGAGGAAGUUUGAGUAGUUAAUGAAUUUCAAGAUGUAUUUCCUGAGGAAUUGCCUGGAUUACCACCAGAGCGGGAAGUUGAAUUUGAAAUUGAAUUAAUGCCUGUAAUAGGACCAAUAUCAAAAGCCCCAUAUAGGAUGGCCUUAGUCGAAUUGAAGGAAUUGAAAGUGCAACUACAGGAGUUGCUUGACAAAGAAUUCAUUAGACCAAGUGCUUCACCUUGGGGUGCACCGGUCUUGUUUGUGAAAAAGAAAGAUGGAUCGAUGCGCUUGUGCAUUGAUUAUAGGAAGCUGAACCAGGUGACCAUUAAAAAUAAGUAUCCUUUGCCUAGAAUUGAUGACCUGUUUGACCAACUCCAGGGAAGUUCGGUCUUCUCUAAAAUUGACUUGAGGUCGGGAUACCAUCAGUUAAGAAUUAAGAAAUGGGACAUUCCUAAGACUACAUUUAGGACUCCUUAUGGACACUACAAGUUCCUUGUUAUGCCAUUUGGAUUGACUAACACGCCGGCUGCAUUUAUGGAUUUAAUGAAUAGGAUAUUUAAGCCCUAUUUAGACUAGUUUGUGAUUGUAUUUAUUGAUGAUAUUCUGGUAUAUUCAAGAGGACCUAAAGAGCAUGAGCAACACUUGAGGAUAGUUUUGCAGACCUUGAGAGAGCAUAAGUUGUAUGCCAAGUUUAGUAAGUGUGAGUUCUUGCUGGACCAGAUAUAUUUUUAGGGCAUGUGGUGUCAGGAAAGGGAAUUGCAGUAGACCCGGCAAAAGUUGAAAUGGUAGUAAAUUGGCCGAGACCAACGACACCUACUGAAAUACGAAGUUUCUUAGGACUGGCUGGUUAUUAUAGAAGGUUUAUUGAAGGAUUUUCAAGAUUGGCAGGUCCUUUAACUAAGUUGACCCGAAAGAAUGUGAAAUUUGAAUGGAAUGAGGAAUGUGAAAGGAGUUUCCAGGAGCUUAAAAGGAAAUUGACCUCAUCUCCAAUCCUGACUAUACCGACUGGACCUGAUAGUUUUACAGUAUAUAGUGAUGCAUCUCACAAAGGACUGUGAUGUGUUUUGAUGCAACAUGGCAAGGUCAUAGCCUAUGCAUCUAGACAAUUGAAACCCCAUGAACUGAAUUACCCAAUGCAUGAUUUAGAACUAGCAGCCAUAGUGUUUUCCUUCAAGAUAUGGAGACACUAUUUGUAUGGGGAGAAGUUUGAGAUUUAUACGGAUCAUAAGAGCUUGAAAUAUUUGUUCUCACAAAAGGAGUUGAACAUGAGACAAAGGAGGUGGAUGGAACUAUUAAAGGAUUAUGAUUGUGAGAUAAGAUACCAUCCAGGGAAAUCGAAUAGGGUAGCGGAUGCUUUUAGUCGUAAGUCGGCUGUGGAAAUAGCAAAUUUAAGGAUGGCAGCAUGGGGGUUGUUAAAGUCUGUAGCGGACUCAGAGUUUAAAUUGGAAAUGGAUUAUCUUACUGGUAUGCUUAGUGCAUUAAGAAUAGAACCCGAGAUUAUUCAGAAAGUUAAAAUCUUGCAAGAAUCUGACCUAGAGAUUUUGAAAGUGAAAAAUGCCGUGUCUUUAGGAAAAAGACCAGAAUUUCAUGUCUUUGAAGAUGGAGUGGUAAGAUGCCAAGGACGACUCUGUGUUCCCGAUAGCGAAGAAUUAAAGAAGGAAAUUCUGUCAGAGACACAUAAGAGUAAUUAUAGUAUUCAUCCGAGUAGUACAAAGAUGUACAGGAAUUUGCGCCAGUAAUUUUGGUGGAAUGGUAUGAAGGCAGAUACGGCUAAGCACGUUUCUCAAUGUUUGACGUACCAGCAAGUAAAAGUGGAGCAUCGCAAACCCGCAGGGCUCUUGAGACCAUUAGACAUUCCAGAAUGGAAAUGGGAGCAUAUAACAAUGGACUUUGUGCAAGGAUUACCAAGGACGUCAAGCAGUCAUGACUCUAUUUGGGUCAUAGUGGACCGUUUGACUAAAUCGGCUCAUUUCCUAACGGUUCGCAUGGACUACCCAAUGGAUAAGUAUAUGAAUAUAUAUGUAGGUCAAGUAGUACGCCUACAUGGUGUUCUAGUGACUAUCACCUCAGAUCAGGAUUCGAGAUUUACUUCAAACUUUUGGCGAAGUCUUCAAAUUGCAUUAGGAACUAAGCUUCAAUUUAGUACUGCUUUUCAUCCCCAUACAGAUGGAAAAUCAGAAAGAGUAAUCCAGACAUUAGAGGAUAUGUUGAGGGCUUGUGUAAUUGAUUUCAAAGGAAAUUGGGAUGAAAGAUUGCAUUUGGUGGAGUUUGCCUAUAAUAAUAGUUUCCAGAAAAGUAUAGGCAUGGCUCCCUAUGAAGCAUUAUAUGGAAGGAGAUGUAGGACUCCUGUCUAUUGGAAUGAAGUAGGUGAAAGGAAAUUGAUAGGACCUGAACUGGUACAAGUUACCACUGAGGCUGUUGAAAUUAUCCGGAAAAGACUUAAAACAGCUCAGAGUAGGCAGAAAGACUAUGCAGAUAGGCGUAGAAGGCCUUUGGAAUUUAACGUGAGAGACCAUGUAUUCCUUAAGGUAUGUCCAACGAAAGGGAUAUCUCGAUUUGGGAUGAAGAGUAAGUUAAGCCCCAGAUUUGUUGGACCUUUUGAAAUACUCGAAAAGAUAAGGGAUGUAGCUUAUCGCUUAGCACUACCUCCUAAGUUGGGGAAUUUGCAUGAUGUGUUUCAUGUAUCGAUGUUGAGGAAGUACCAGUCGGAUCCUGGUCACAUACUCGAUCAUGAAGCCAUCAAAGCGGAUGAGAAAGUGAGGUACAUUGAAGAGCCUGUACAGAUAUUGGAUCAAAAUGAACAAAUUCUUAGGACUAAGAAGAUCCCUUUGGUUAAGGUACUAUGGCGACAUCAUGAUAUGGAGGAAGCCACAUGGGAAAGUGAAGAUCAAAUGAAGGAAAAGUACCCCUAUUUGUUUCAAGAAGGCACGAGUGGUGUCUAAUUUCGAGGACGGAAUUCUCUAAGGAGGGGAGAAUUGUGGCAUCUCAAAAAAAUUCAAGUCAAGCUCUAAGGUGUAUUAAUGCUCGUAAUUAGGUAAUGAAAUUACCUAUGGUUUAUGCUUUAGCCAUUAGUCUCAUUUUAAGACUAAGUGAUAUAUGCUUGUGUUCAUGAGAUUUUAAAUUAGAUAAAUUAAUCUAUGCUUGGCUAUGCACUUUAUAGACUAAGUUUCUAUAAAUAAAAUGUUACAAUAUUUUGGCCAUGUGGAAUUUAGUAAUUUAAAUUCUUAAAAGAAAGAAUAAGAAAGGGGAAAAUUGAUUUUUAAUUAGGUUGGGCCUUAGGCCCAAUAGCUUGAGCCUUUGGUGGGCCGAAUGGCCGGCCCAAUUAGGCCCAAGGGGGAGUGGCUGUCGACCAUGAGGGGGAAGGAGUGGCCAGUCCACUGCUUCCAAUCCAAGCCCAAGCCCAAAGCCCAUUAUGCAUGUGUCAUGACAAGUGGCAAGGGGAGGUCUUCAUGCAUUGGCCAUUGGAGAGGCAAGUGAUGAUUGCAAAUGAUGAGGAUUUGGGGAAAUAAAAGGAAGAGGAGAGAGAGAGGGUGGCCGGUUGGUGUUAUUCGGCCAAGUGAGAGAGAGAGAGAGAGAGUGAGUUGCGAGAGAGUGAGGCCGAGAGGAGAGGAACCGAGAGGAGAAGGAGUCGCCCCUCGCCGCCCGCACGCCGUUCGUCCGUUGCCGGUGUGCCGUUCAUGUGUUGCUGUCCGCUUGGUUCUAGAGGCAAGUUGGGACUGAUUUCCACUCUUGCAUGUGUGCCUUGCAUGUAUAAUUUGCUAGUGGUGAGUUUCGGAUGUUAGGGUAGGCGAAGCCGGAGCAAAGAUGUGCUUUGUUCUUGAAUAUGCUUGCUGUUUUCGCAUGAACCGCCUGAACCAGAAUCUUGUGAGAGCUUGAAUGCAUGUUUUGAGUUCCAUUUUGACUUUUAUUCCUUCAUGAAAGUUGUAGCCAACAUCAUAAAAUACAACAUACUAAAAUUUGGUGCAAAAUGAUGGAGAUUUAAGGGGUCAAACUCUCAUCCUACGGAGCCACUAGAUCUGGAACGAUUUUGCUGACCUUUUUGUAGAUCUGUGGUUGCAUGUUCAUUUUUAUCAAGAAUAUCUCUUCGAAUUCUUCAUUAACCUUGUAGAGAACAUCUUAAAGACUACCAUACUCAAAUUUGAAGUAAAAUGAAUAAGUAUAUCCUAGUGAAUCAACUUACUCUUGAAGACGGUAAAUCUGGAGACAUAGUACUGGACAGCCGAGACUUCAUGGACCCAUAUGGUGACUGUUCUUUGGAAAUUUGACUUAGAUACCUUCAUAAAAGUUGUAGGGGACCUCUUGAAGUAAAACAUAUCGAAAUUUCAGAGGAAAAUAAGAAGAAUAAGUGGGUAAAACCUCGGUAUUUCGAAGAUGACUAUAGGAAAUUAUCUAGAACGAAUCUGGCCUAGAAGUCUUCAUGAAAAAUCUACUUUAAUCUCUUAACUAUAACUUGUUAAAAUUUUAUAAUUUUCGGAGGUCGUUCGGGUAUUUUAAUCGAAUUAUUUCAAAAACUGCACAUUCUGUUUUUAUCCGAAAUUGCAUGCUGUGAUUGUGUGGAUGAUAUCUUUUGUGUGGAACUUUAUUGGCCAUGUGUUUUUCAUGAAAUCAAUAUCUUAUUGCCUUGUUUAUCAUAGCCUUAAUUUCAUGAUUUUUGGGAAUCAUAUGGAUAUUUAAUUUAAAUAUUUUCAAAAAUGGUGUAAGCUGGAAUUUAAAUAAAUUCCCAAAAAAAAGCAUGAUAAAUGGAUUAUUUAAAUUGUACAAAUUCCAUAAACUUUUUUUUUUUUUAUGAAUGAUUGCGUCUUGCUGCAUGUAUGAUGAUGACUGAUGAUGCAUGUGUAGAUCAAAGGAUGAAAGUGAUUUUGUUUGUCAUUACAUCAUGUGCCAUGUUAAGUUGAGACCUAACUUGGUAAACAUGAACAAUGAUAAAUGAGGAAACUGUUUGUGGCGGAUGAUAAUGCCCUGAGAGUAUCAGGAUGCCCGGGAUGGGGGGUGCCGGAUGCCCGGAAUGUAUAGAGAUACAUGGCCGGAUGGCCCUGGGAGUAUGAGGAUGCCCGGAAUGGUUGGGUGCCGGAAGCCUUGGAGGUCUUUGCCCAAAGGAUGCCUCGUGAUGCCAGUUGGGAUGCGAGAUGACCGGAGUGUUGGGGUGCCGGAUGCCCGGUGGCCUUAAGUGGCUGAAUGCCGGAGGUUUUUCUUGCAAUGCCAGGAUGGGGUGCGAGUGUAAAGUAUCGGAUGAAAUUGAUGAUCCCAAGGAAGUGGGAUGUGGUGAUCAAAUUAAAAAUUUAAAAGUGGAAAUUGAAUUAUGCAUAUAUGACAUGAUAUGAUGAUGAUCACCUAUGGCAUGAUGACAUGUAUAUAAUAUAUGAUGAUGAUAUGCAUAUAUGACAUGAUAUGAUGAUGAUCACCUAUGGCAUGAUGACAUGUGAUGAAGAUGUAUGAUGGUAUAUGCAUGGCUUUAAGGUAAGUAUGCUUGGAUGCAUGAGUGACAUGUAUGAGUUUGUGAUUGUAUUGUAUGAUGCAUUGAGUGGUUAUUGGAUUCCUUUACUUGCUGAGUGGUUGUACUCACCUCUUUGGAGACCAACAUUUCAGAUUAGCAGGAUGCCGCUCACUGCUGUCACGCGGGGCGUAUUUUACGGUAUUCCUUCAGAUGUAGAGGUCAAGUGUGUGGAGAUCGACUAUCCCACCAUUCCUGGACUAACUUUUAUUCGAGUGCGCACCUUAGUGAUGUACGACAUGGGCCUAGCUGGGGGCCCUGUCAUUAAGGAGUUUAUAUCCGUCCACGUUUGUCGAGACGGAGCGAUGCGUGGGAUGUUGCUGCUGCCACCGCCUGAUGCACCGGGAUGGGUGUGAGGGCCCGUGCGUGUCAAGUAGGAGCUGAAACUUUUGGGAUGGUUAGCCGGCACUAGUGAUGGGGGAUCUUGCACGUUAGUCGUAGUGGGUCGAGUGUUUCUUUUUGGGUUAUGGCCGAGUGUGGCUUCAUGUCUUGGCCUUUCUUUUGAUGUACCGCCCCAAGGAAACCCAUCUUGAAAAUAUGUAAAUAAAGUGUCGUGGCUUUGUCUUUUCUCAUGAUGAUUAGUGGUGUGCAAUUGUAUCAUGGUUGUUGGAGGGAGAGAUGGCGAUGUUAUAUUUUUCUUCCGCUAAUGAGUCGCGCAGGGACCGUUUUCAAAAAAAAAAAAUGUCUAUGAGUUACGACACUUCUUCUAAGAGAUGUAGCUAGUGUUCCAUUAGGUGUAACAUCAGGUGCCCGUGGUGACCCUAGGUGGUUCGGGGUGUCACAUUUUGUCAAUUAUAACAAAUUAAACUUCACCAGUAUUGGAAAGAGUUUGACAUAAUUAGGAAUGGUGAUUAUAAAUAAAUACAUUACAAGGAGUAGUUAUGAUAUAAAGUGAUAAAUGAUAGCACAUUAAAAAUUAUUUUCCCUCUUUUCACUUCUGCUCCCAUCCCCUUCCCCCCUUUUUUCCCCCUUCCCCCCAAAACCAAUCUCUUUCUCUCUCUCUCUUCCUAAGGUUGGGGCUCACUGGCCUCCGGUUGGGGCUCACAACGUUGAGCCUCAAGCUGCAAGCUCAGAUCCAACGACGAUUGUGGCGGUCGCAUCAACCAUAAAGCUCCUUCGCCUCGUUAAUAGAGGGAGCGACGGCAAAAAAAGAUGUGCUAUCUAUCGAAACGACUUGUGAGGCUGAAUAGCGUGACAGUUGAAGAGAUGUGACUACAAGUUGGCAACAGAGAUGGAUUGCACUAAAUAAGGCGGAUGGAAUUAAUGUUCAUGUUUAGAAUUUUCGGUGUGAAUUCUGGACAACAAAUGAGUGGUUUUAAUAAUUUUUAAGUGUAAAGGAUUUCAACCCAGUAUGAACAGAGUUAAAUGCCUAUAUAAUUUGGUAUCAGUCACAUUCACAAAGGCAGAGAGUUCACAAAAUGCUCAUCAAGUUGACAUACAAACUUUUAUGAGUAGUACGAUAACAGGUUUGGCACAAGAGGAGCCAUCAAAUUUUGACCGUAAAAUAAAGGUAACACACACACACUCUCACACACACACACACACACACACACAUAUAUAUAUAUAUAUAUACAUAAAUCCAAAUAUAUCCUAAAACUGUUUUGUCUUAACUUUGGGACAUAACAUACUUAGGGUAUUCUUUACCGUAAAUGCGAAAGAAAAAACUACACUAAAAAAUUAGAUGGCCCUUCAAGUGAAGAGUGUAGACUCCACUGCAUCUCAUAAGGAGUAUUUGAGGAAUUGAUAGGUUGGUAAAGUAGCUAUCCGCGCCGGUGAAAGUUGAGAGAUUGGUGAAACAUCCACUGCAAGAUUAACUUAUGUUUUGCACAGUAUUUCUCAACUGGCAGUACAAGAUAAGUUAAUGCCUACAUAAUUUGGUAUCAGUCAUAUUCAUAAAGGGGGAGAGUGCACGAAAUGCCCAUCAAGUUUUUCUUUUUUCAAAAAAUGCUUAUCAAGUUGGCAUACAACUUUUAUGAGUUGUACGAUAAUAGGCUUGGCACAGGAUGAGCCAUCAAAUUUGACGAUACAAAUAAAUGCAGCAUAUAUGUACAUAUACAUAUAUAUUAUAUACAUACACUCCCUCCUUUUUCUUUCUCCUGCUCUAAGAAUUCAAGGUUUUCGCACUUAAAACAAGAAUAUAAAUCGAUGUGGGCAUGUCUAAACAAAUUUAUUUAUAUUCAUUAUCUUCCAUCAGUCUGAUUCUCCGAUUCCUUACCUCUUUAUGCGGAAAUCAAACCUAUCUACUUUCCUUUUUACUUGACACCACUUAAAUCGAUUCAAUCAAAUCUGUUCCGGCAUUUCUAAGCUAAACCAAUAUGUUGAUUGUUCCAAAGUUGGAAUCACUAAAGCAAAAAAGAAGUGCUUAUCUAUCACCUUCUAAAGUUGAGAUAAAUGCGUAACCAAUCCAGGACAUUUUGCCAUUGAUUGGUCUAGUUCUUAACAUCUUCAUUUGAUUAAUUGAGUCCUUAAUGUUUGAAAAACGCCGUAAUCAACUCCUGAAUUUUCUAUUAACGGGUUUUGCGAGUCUUAAAUGCUAGAAAUCCUUUACGUCUCUCACAUGGCCUUUCUCUAAUGUUGCCUAGCCAUGGACCGUAGAGUUAUACGUUGUUUUCAACGUUGGAAAUCUAGUAUGAGACUUGAUUGAACAUCUUUUUGCAAAAUAUUUAAAGGCUCAAUCCAUCAAAAUAAUAUUUUAGGCAUGAAUUGACCAAUGGCUAAAAGUUAAGAGCCCGUUCUAUACUUUUCCCUAGAGGAGCAUGAUUUUACGGUAUGACUAGGAAUUGGAUAAUUGGACGGUUGCGACCUAUCCCUCGGGGGGAGGGAACAUGUUUAGGGGUAUUGCCUAAAGGAUGGAUUUAUAGCCUUUGAUUAGGCACAGGCUCUCCCAAGCUCAUACCCCGCGUGACAUUGGGAUAUUCUAAAAAAAUUUCAAAAAAUGAGUCGCCACUAACCUAUUGGGGUCGGCUAGAAACCAAGUAAGGUAUGAGAGUAUACCUCACUUCCUAUGCAACCGGAGAACCUAGGGUCAGGGAUUUGAUUACACUAAUAACCAAUUAGUGUUCUUUCGGUACCUAAUCUUGUUCAUUUUAAAGGAAAUGAUUUUUGUCAGGCAAUUUGGAUUGAUUUUAUACCUAUCCACUAACACGUGAGGUCAUCACGCGAAUGUGCAAUCAUUAAAGUAAUAAUCAUAGUUACCAAGAUCCCAAUUGCAGCAAAAUUAAACACAUGCAAUUAAAUAUAAUUAGAUAUGCAAAUUAAAUAUACGAUAUAAUCAAUAUACAAGCAAAUAAAGGCCUAAUUAUACUAAAAAUGGCAAAACAUAGCAAUUCCUAAUCAAACCCUAUAUUUUUUUUUUGGAUUUUCGAUUUUUUUUAAAUAUAUGUAUUUUUAUUUUUAAAAUAUUAUAAUAUUAUAAUAAUAUAAUAUAUUUAAAAAGAACCGGGUCGGAUCCCCGGGUUAGGUCCGACUCGGUUCGGUGAACAAGGCCUGGGAUCAGGCCAGACGGCCCGAACCUAGACCGAAUCGGGCCAAGCGGCCUGAAAUAGCAAAAACCAGUCGGGCUGAGCUUGAUGUAAGGCCUAGUCUGGUCUAAUUUUUUUAAAAACAAAGCCCGCACUAAACUAGCCCAAACCCGGCCUGAAUUGCCCAAAAACCCUACUCGUUUUGCGACUCACACCCGACCCGAUUUUUGGCCGAAAUCGUAGGGCUUCUUGGCAACGAUAAUGACGACAGUGACAAGCUUGAUGGCGGCAGUGACGUGACGGGUGGUCGCGGCGACAUGGCGGGCGGCAGCGGCAACGUAAGGGCCUGCAAGGAUGGGCGGCAGCUGCGUUGGAGGCGAGCGGAAGCGUCAAGUGGUCACGGGCGGAAGCGGGUAGCACUCAGGCGUGAUGGCUUAUAGCAUCGGGUUCCAAUAGCAUCAGGUGUCGUGGCGAAGGGGGGCGGUGGGCAGACCGGCAGGUGUCGGCAUUCGGAGCCUUGGCGAUAACAGAGACAAGCUACUGUGGCAUCGGGCAGAGGCGUGGGUUGCUGGUGGAGCGGCGGUAACAGGCGACCAGUUUCGUGGCAACGUCGGAGGCGGAAUGGUAGCAGCGUUGGGCUAGUGCUGCGACGGCGGCAGAGAGAUCGAGCUGCUGGCAAGGCGAUUGUCACAGCUACCGGUGCUACAGUGGCGUCAUGACUUAGAGCUACUAGUGGUCGCUGUGGCGUCGAUGACAUUGAGGUAGCGAGCUCGGACAACGACGGGCAAGAAGGCAGCGGCUUGGCUCGGACGGCAUCGGGUUUGAGGCGGCAAGGAGGACAGCGGCAUGGAUGGCGUCGCGCAGCAUCACUGCUACCCUACUCCCCUCUGUUCCUUCUCUCUGUUCUCUUCUGCUGUGUUGCUUCUUCACGCCGGCGCCUUUGCUCCAAAUAUGGGUUAAGAGGAGAUAGCGGCGAUCGGGGUUGGUCGUGGCGACAGCGGUGGCAGGAACGACAACGGCGAGUCUUCUCCUGCUCCCUCUCUUUCUCUCUCACUCCUGCUCUCUCUGCUAAAUUCUCUCUCGACCUCCCUGUGUUUCUCCAUUUGCCUCUACCGUUCCCCUUUCUCUAGGGUUUCCUGCACAAAGAUGUGCAGAGGAGGAAGACGCUAGUGUGGGCCAAGCCCAAGAGGAAACGGCUUGGGCCAUGUAGGGACAAAAAGAAAAGAGGCGGGUCGAGCCAAAGUCUGAUCCGGCCCAACUUGGCCUCUCUCAAUUUGAAUUUCUUUUUUUUUAAUUAAUAAUUUUUAAAUUCUAAUUAAUUUAUAUAUAUUUUUAAUUAUGCAUUCGAGGAAAAGUUAGGUGUCAACAGCUGCCCCUCUUUGAAUGCAGCCUCGAAGAGGGUGCAUUCAAAGACAAAAGACACUUAAAUAUUUUGGCAGUAGAGAGACCCUGGGUGCAUAGGCAUGCGUCAAGUCGACAGAAAUGACUCAUAACUAUGGAAACAUGCUGGGUCACAAGAAGAGAGAGAAUGACUUCGGGCUACAAAAGCUCGUCGUGUCAUAAGAAGAAGGAGAGGGACUUCGAGCUACGGAAGCCCACGAGUCAUAAGAAGAAGGAGAGGGACUCCGGGCUACAGAAGCCCACCGAGUCAUAAAAAGAAGGAACAAACUCUGGGCUACAGAAGUACACCGAAUCAUAAGAAGAAUGAGAGGGACUCCGGGCUAUAGAUGCCCACCGGGUCAUAAGAAGAAGCUAGGAAGACUCCGAGCUAUAGAAACCCACCGGGUCAUAAGAAGAAGGAGAGGGACUCCGAGCUACAGAAGCGCACCAGUUCAUAAGAAGAGAGGAAACUCCGGGCUAUAGAAGCCCACCGGGUCAUAAGAAGAAGUAGAGGGACUUUGGCCUAGAGAAACCCACCGGUCAUAAGAAAAACGAGAGGGACUACGAGCUACAGAAGCCCACCAGGUCAUAAGAAGAAUGAAAAGACUCCGGGCUACAGAAGCACACCGAGUCAUAACAAGAAGGAGAGGGACUCCGGGCUAUAGACGUCCACUGGGUCAUAAGAAGAAGAGAGGAAGACUCCAGGUUAUAGAAGCCCGCCGGGUAAUAAGAAGAAGAAGGACUUCGGGCAACAGAAGCCUACCGGAUCAUAAGAAGAAGGAGAAAGACUCUGGGCUACAGAAGCACACUGGGUCAUAAGAAGAGAGGAAGACUCCGAGCUAUAAAAGCUCACCGGUUCAUAAGAAGAAGAAGAGUGACUCUAGGUUAGAGAAGUCCACCGGGUCAUAAGAAGAACGGGAAAACUCUGGCUUACCAAAGCUCAUCGGGUCAUAAAAAGAAGGAGAGGGACUCUAGGCUACAGAAGCCCAUCGGGUCAUAAGAAGAGAGGAAGACUCUGGGCUACAGAAGCCCAUCGGGUCAUCAGAAGAAGGGGAAGACUCCAGGCUACAAAAGUCCAUCAAGUCAUAAGAAGAAAGAGAGGGAUUUCGAGCUACAAAAGCCCACUGGGUCAUAAGAAGAAGGAGAGGGAGACUCCGGGUUACAGAAGCCUACGAGGUCAUAAGAAGAAGAGGAAGACUUCGGUCUAUAGAAGUCCAUCGGGUCAUAAGAAGAAUGAGAGAGACUUCGGGCUACAAAAGGCCAUCAAGUCAUAAGAAGAAGGGGAAGACUCCGAGUUACAGAAGCCCAUCGGGUCAUAAGAAGAAGGAGAGGGACUUCGGGUUAAAGAAGCCCACCGGGUCAUAAGAAGAGGGAAAAGACUCCGGGCUACAAAAGCACACCGAGUCAUAACAAGAAGUAGAGGGACUUUGGGUUAUAGACUCCCACUACAUCAUAAGAAGAAGAGAGGAAGACUACAGGUUACAGAAGCCCACCGGGUCAUAAGAAGAAGAAGGACUCCAGGCAACAGAAGUCCACUGGAUCAUAAGAAGAAGGAGAGGGACUCUGGGCUACAGAAGCCCACCGAGUCACAAGAAAAAUGAGAGGGACUCUGGGCUACAAAAGUCCACCGGGUCAUAAGAAGAAUCAGAGGGCCUCCAGGCUACAGAAGCCCAUCCGAUCAUAAGAAGAGAGGAAGACUCCAGGCUACAGAAGCCCAUCGGGUCAUCCGAAGAAGGGGAAGACUCAGGGUUACAGAAGUUCAUUGGGUCAUAAGAAGAAAAAUAGGGAUUCCAAGCUACAAAAGCCCACCGGGUCAUAAGAAGGAGAGGGAGACUGCAGGCUACAAAAGCCUACGGGGUCAUAAGAAGAAGGGAAGACUCCGGUCUACAAAAGCCCAUCUGGUCAUAAGGAGAAGGAGAGAGACUUUGAGCUGUAGAAGCCCAUCGAGUCAUAAGAAGAAGGGGAAGACUAUGAGCUACAGAAGCCCACUGGGUAAUAAGAAGAAGGAAAGGGACUCCGGGUUAAAGAAGCCCACCGGGUCAUAAGAAGAGAGAAAGACUUCGGGUUACAGAAGCCCAUCGGGUCAUAAAAAGAAUAAAGGAAGACUUUGGGUUAGAGAAGCCCACCGAGUCAUAAGAAGAAGGAGAGGGAUUCUAGGCUACAGAAGCCCACCGGGUCAUAAAAAGAAUGAGAGGGAGACUUUGGGCUACAGAACCCGACCGGAUCAUAAGAAGAUGGGGAAGACUUCAGGCUACAGAAGCCCACCGGGUCAUAAGAAGAAUGGGAAGACUCUGGGCUACAAAAGCCCACCAAGUCAUAAGAAAAAUGAGAGGGACUCUAGACUACAAAAGACCACCGAGUCAUAAGAAGAAGGAGAGGCAUUUCGGGCUAUAGAAGCCCAUCGGGUCAUAAGAAGAGAGGAAGACUCUAGGCUAUAGAAGCCCAUUUCGUCAUAAGAAGAUAAGGAAGACUCCGGGCUAUAGAAGCCCACCGGGUCACAAGAAGAAGGAGAGGCAUUCAAAGCUACAAAAGCCAACCGGGUUAUAAGAAGAAGGAAAUGGAGACUCCGGGCUACAGAAGCCCACCGGGUCAUAAGAAACGAGAAGACUUUAGGCUAUAGAAGCCCAUCGAAUCAUAAAAAGAAGGAGAGAGAUUCCGGGCUAGGGGGGGUCCACCGGGUGAUAAGAACAAAGGGAAGACUCCGGGCUAUAGAAGCCCACCGGGUCAUAAGAAGAAUGAUGGAGACUCCGGGCUACAAAAGCCCACCGGGUCAUAAGAAGAGAGAAAGACUCUAGGUUAGAAAAGUCCACCGAAUCAUAAGAAGAAUGAGAGGGACUCUGGGUUAUAAAAACCCAUCGGGUCAUAAGAUGAGAAGAAGACUACUAGUUACAGAAGCCCAAUGGGUCAUAAGAGCAAGGGGAAGACUUCGGGCUAUAGAAGUCCACUGUGGUCAUAAUAAAGAUGGAGAGGGACUCCGAGUUAUAAAACCCACCGGGUCAUAAUAAGAAGGAGAGGAAGACUGUAGGUUAUAGAAGCCCAGCAUGUCAGAAGAAGGGGAAGACUCUGGGCUAUAGAAACCCAUCAGGUCAUAAGAAGAAGGAGAGAGGCUCCGAGCUACAGAAGCCCACUGGGUCAUAAGAAAAAGAGGAAGACUCCCGGCUAUAGAAGCCCACCGGGUCAUAAGAAGAAGGGCAAAACUCCAAGCUACAGAAGCCCACCGGAUCAUAAGAAGAAUGUGAGGGACUUUGAGCUACAGAAGCCCACUGGGUCAUAAGAAGAGAGAAAGACUCCGAGUUACAGAAGCCCAUUAGGUCAUAAGGAGAAUAGAGGAAGAUUUUGGGCUACAUAAGCCCACUGGAUCAUAAGAAGAAGGAGAGAAAUUUCAGGCUACAGAAGCCCACCGGAUCAUAAGAAGAAUGAGGGCAACUUCGGGCUACAAUAGUCCACCGAGUCAUAAGAAGAAAGAGAGGGACUCCGAGCCACAGAAGCCCAUCGGGUCAUAAGAAGAGAGGAAAACUCCAGGCUACAGAAGCCUAUCGGGUCAUAAGAAGAAUGGGAAGACUCCGAGCUACAGAAGCCCACCGGGUCACAAGAAGAAGGAGAAGGAUUCCAAACUACAGAAGCUCAUCGGGUCAUAAGAAGAAGGGUAAGACACUAGGCAACAGAAACACACCGGGUCAUAAGCAAAAGGAGAGAGAUUCCAGGCUACAGAAGCCCAUCGGGUCAUUAGAAGAGCGGAAGACUCCGGGCUAUAAAAGUCUAUCGGAUCAUAAGAAGAAGGGGAAGACUCCGGGCUAUAGAAGCCCACCGGGUCAUGAAAAGAAGAAGAGGAAUUUCGAGUUACAGAAGCCCACUGGGUUAUAAGAAGAAGGAGAGGGAGACUUUGGACUACAGAAGCCCACUGGGUCAUAAGAAGAACGGGAAGACUCUAGAUUAUAGAAGCCUGCCGAGUCAAAAAAGAAUGAGAGAGACUCCCGGCUAUAGAAGCUCACUGAGUCAUAAGAAGAAGGGGAAGACUCCGGGCUACAGAAGCCCAUCGGGUCAUAUGAAGAAAGGAAGACUUUGGGCUACAAAAGCCCACCGGGUCAUAAGAAGAAUGAGAGGGACUCCGGGCUACAAAAGUCCACCGGGUCAUAAGAAGAAGGAGAGGAACUCUGGGCUACAGAAGCCCAUCGGGUCAUAAGAAGAGAGGAAGACUCCGGGCUACAGAAGUCCAUCGGGUCAUAAGAAGAAGGGGAAGACUUCGGGCUAUAGAAGCUCACUGGGUCACAAGAAGAAUGAGAGGGAUUCCGAGCUACAAAAGUCCACCGGGUCAUAAGAAGAAGGAGAGGGAGACUCCGGGCUACAGAAGCCCACCGGGUCAUGAGAAGAAUGGGAAGACUCCGGGCUAUAGAAGCCCACUGGGUCAUAAGAAGAAUAAUAGAGACUCCAAGUUAUAGAAGCCCACCGGGUCAUAAGAUGAAGGGGAAGACUCUGGGCAACAGUAGCCCACCGGGUCAAAAGAAGAAGGAGAGGAACUUUAGGGUACACAAGCCCAUUAGGUCAUAAGAAGAGAGAAAGACUCCGGGCUACAAAAGUCCGCCGAGUCAUAAGAAGAAGGAGAUGGACUUCAGACUAGAGAAGCCCAUCGGGUCAUAAGAAAAGAGGAAGACUCUGGACUACAGAAGCUAACCGGGUCAUAAGAAGAAGGGGACGACUUUGGGCUACAAAAUCUCACCGGGUCAUAAGAAGAAUGAGAGGAAGACUCCAGGGUACAAAAGCCCACUGGGUCAUAAGAAGAAGGAGAAAACUCCAGACUACAAAAGCCCACUGGGUCAUAAGAAGAAGGAGAAGAGACUGCGGGUUAUAGAAGCCCACCGUGUCAUAAGAAGAAAGGGAAGAUUCCAGGUUACAGAAGCCCACCAGGUCAUAAGAAGAAGGAGAGGGACUCUAGGCUAUUGAAGCCCACUGGAUCAUAAGAAGAGAGAAAGACUCUAGGCUACAGAAGCCCAUCGAGUCAGAAGAAAAAUAGAUGAAAACUCUAGGUUACAGAAGCCCAUUGGGUGAUAAGAAGAAAUAGAGGGAUUCCGGGCUACAGAAGUCGACCGGGUCAUAAGAAGAAGGAGAGGAAGACUCCUGGCUAUAGAAGUCCACCGGGUCAUAAGAAGAAGGUGAAGACUCCAAGGUAUAGAAGCCCACCGGGUCAUAAGAAGAAGGGGAAGACUCCGAGCUACAGAAGCUUACCAGGUCAUAAGAAGAAGGUGAGGGAUUUCGGGCUUCAAAAGCCCACCGUGUCAUAAGAAGAAGGAGAAGACUCAGGGCUAUAGAAGCCGACUGGGUCAUAAGAAGAAUGAGAGGGACUCUGGGCUACAUAAGCCCACCGAGUCAUAAGAUGAAGGAGAAGUGAGGUCUCACCAUGUAACAACGAGUUUCAACCGGGUUGGAAAUACAUGAUUUAAGGAAAACCAAUGAACUUUUGUAGAUGACAUGGUUUAAGGUUGACCAUGAACCUUUGGAGAUGGCAUGUUUUAAGGCAGACCACGAACCUUUGGAGAUCACAUGGUUUAAGGCUGACCACAAACCUUUGUUGUCUUUAGAGAAGCAUCCAUUAAUCCCUUGAAAGUUGCAUGGUUUCACUAGGGAAUCUUGUCAAACUCAACUUGAGUAAAUGUCAUUAGGGACGCCAUCAAGAGAUGUAUUAGGUAUAUUGCAGCAUUAAUUGAACAAGCUAAUCAAGCUAAUUCCGACUGCUUUUAAAAAACAUUCAAUGUCAAUCAGCAUCAUGUGGCGCAAAACUAUCAUCUUGCUUGGAGAUGUAUCAUUAAUCAUCAAAUUCUCUAGGAGUCAAGCUCUUAUUAAAAUGGCUACGACACAUGAAAAAGGCUCAUUAGACAUGCCAAACUAGAGCUUCUUAAUCAGAAAUGGUUUCUCAGACACUCUCGAUAAAAUGUUUGUUUGAUCUCAUCCAUUCGAGUGGGAAGUAACUGAUUGCUGAGGGUAUCUCCCAUAACCCACGUCAAAGGCUUAUAGAAACAUUCGCUAUGAGCACAAUCUGAUCAAUCAAAAAGGUGUUUUGAAAUAACCACAAUAUAGAUUUGGUCAUGGGCUUACACAAAGGGGUUAUUGCUUUGAGGUCAAUAAAGGAACAUUUGCUGCUAUCUUCAUCGAGUUUUACAAGUCAUGAACUUGGAAGAUAAGACAAGAUAGAAUUAAAUCCACUCCUUCAAGCAAUAGCUUCUUUAUGAUAUUCUCAUUUUCACUCAAAUCAUCACAAUCAGAAAAUAUUUCAGAAGAGGGUUGUAAUGUUGGCUUAGUAGAGGCUCGAAAGGCUUAAAAUUUUCAAGAGGGUUAGAGUCAGUGAUCAUCAUGGUAUCAUGAUCAAGUCACUCAACCUUUUGAAAGCAUUUGGCUUUUGAAACACAACACAUCUCGAAAGUCCCUUGAUUAAUCAUUUCUACAUUAGAGCCUUGCUCAUCUCUCUAAUUUCAUUUGUUCUUGAAUUGAUUUUUUUACGCAAGCACUUGGACUUUGAAUAUUUUUUCUCACAUAAGAUGCAGCAUUUUGGCUCUUUUUCUUGACAGGUAUUGGCGUUGCUUUUAUCAGGUAUCCUGCUUUUUCAUGCUCCAUAAUUUUGUCAAACUUUUUGUUCUUUGGACUUUUAGAGCUCUUGUGACUUUUGAGAUGCUUUUCAUAUUUUAUCGUAAAUGUCGAUUGUAUGUGGUCAAUCUUUAUGCCUUGCCUCCAGUGAAGGGAGAUGAUCACCGCUCGGGGUUCAGAAAUAAAUAAUCAGGCCCAAAUUGGUUAAAGCAAUGGGUAUUAGUGUUUGGGUAAAGAAGGAAAUGCUCUUCUUCACCUUGGGAUGAGUCAAGCUUUAAUAAGAAUUCCUCUAAAGCUACCACUAGAAGAUUGAUGCAAGUGAAAGUAAUAGAAUCUUUCUCAAUCUUUCGCUCUACAACACGAUCGUAAUCUACUAUGCUGCCCCCAAUGUAGGGUUGUUCUCGACAGGGUUACUUUGAAUGAUCAUCUUUAUUCUGCCCAAAAGGGUAGCAAGAUGUGAGCUCGGUGCUUGAGAUUGAUGAAGAAAACGCCUUUAUCAUUUCAAAUAUUUGCGUUCAAUGCGAAUGAAUCAUCUGUCCUAAGAGAAUGUCGCUCUUCACUCAACUAUCAAAAGUGUUUGAAGGACGUGUUUGGAAAUGGCUUACCUUUCUUCAUCCUAAGCACUUCUAGUUUGGCAUGAUUAACAUUCCCUUCUCACUCUGUCGAGAUCAUCUGAGUAGAUCAAUCUUCAUAGGGAAAUUUGAUUCAAUGAAUAAUCCACAAAACGAGAAAUCAAUUUUGAGAUAAUGAUGCUCACAAAGUUUGUAGAAUUUUUUUCUUUUCUCAAUUAUUCCUUUUUUUUAUUGUCUUUAGGAAAGUGCCAAAGGUUUUCUUUUGUAAUGGAAAUUCUCUUCUUCUUUUUUUUACUUUAAAAAAAUUUGAGAAGAGGGGUACUUACCUGCGGCAUGGCGACCCAGUAACCCUGUAAACAAUGUAAAAGAAUAUGUUAGUGCAAAAAUUCUUAGGGAUUGAAAUGUUGGAAACGAUACAUUAUUACCUUUCACUCGCUUUUAUCUUUUAAGGGCUAACAUCUCUUGGAUUCACCCUUAUGGAUAUUUGGUAACUUGGCAUUACCCUUCACUUGCAUUUGUCUUUAAGCAUUCGAUGUCUUCAUCAUUUUACGCCAAAUGGAUGGUCAAGUCUUGUCUUAUUGGAGAGAGAUAUCGCCCUUAUAAGAAUACUCUUUUGCUUUUGUUGGAAUGGUAUAUAACUUGGCACCCAGGAUGUAUCCUUGAAAAUGGAAAAGAAAAUCAUGUCAAAAAUAGUAUCAGAAAUUGAUAAUUGAAAUCGAUACAAUUUACUCUUUCUUCGAAUUCGCCUUUUUGGAUGCUUGGCAACUCCCUUCAUUUUUCUUAUCAUGCAAAGUGAACGAGAUCAAUAGUCUAUUUUGGCACCUAAGGCAUUUGCAAAUAACAAAACUUCCUAGAACGGAAUUCAACUUCGUUCCUCCUCUAAAGAAAAUUGGUGCUGACGAAGCCUCGACACAUGCUUGCUCCUUGAGUUCCAUGAGCCCUCACUUUUAUCAUUUAGAAGGGGUCGAUUUUGAUCUCAAAUAAACUCCUCAUUCUACCUGAGAAAGCAACCAUGCGAAGAGAGGGCCUUAAGCAAAGCUUUCUCAAAAUUUAUUUUUAAAAGAUUUUGAAGGUAGACGUAAAUGUUCGUUUGAAACACUUCUGAGUUUUUUGCUUUUUUUUUCUUUUUUGAGAAGGAUGAUUUUCACAAAAUUGAAUUUCCAUCAUUAAAAAAAAUGUGUCGAAUGAUUUACAAAAGCAUCAAUUAGAUUCGCAAUCAAAACCCAAAAUGGAAAACAUGGUUCUUAACAAGAAUAAAGACAAUAAUAAAAUAUAAGAAACUCUUGCGCAAAUGAAAGUAAAAAUAAACUCUUGUUCUAGUCAUAGAAUUCACUUCUUUAUGUGGUCACCACGAGAAUGUCAAGGAGCAUUGCGCAUAACCUACAAAAAGACGAUAAUGUCAGUACGCGAAUGAGAGAAAAUGAUAUUUCAAUGAGGUCACUUCUUACAAUAAAAUCAAGGUGACAAUACAUGCCCCAUAGUCCUUAUUAUGGGGUUUUGGAAUUUUGCCAAUAUUUUAUCAUAAGAGAAGACAUCAUUAAAAGAAUCAAUCCGUGGCUAUCAAUUGAAUGUCCACUCUAUUCCAAAAGUUUCAUGCAAAAGUGGCAUUGAUUUUUGAAAGAUUAAUUGGUGAUUUUUACUCAUAGAAAAAUGUGGUAACUUUUGUUUUGAGAAACCUAUACACAAAAUAGAUUUGCAUUUUAGUCCCAAAAUGUGAGAAUGAGAGAAGUUGAUAAAAAAAAUGCAAUUUCAAUUUUUGUGCCCCAAUAUAAAAUCAUAACUUGAAAUUUUUCUUUUUUAAAUGAUGUUGAGCCCAUAAUUAGAAAUUUAAACAAAACCAUGUGUUCAACAAGGUCAAAUCAAAGUGUUUAGAACUUGCAUUCAAUGUUCACUUGUCAAAAAUGAUUGCCAAUUUUUUCAAUUAUAAGCCUAGAGCACUGAGGGCAAUCGAUUGAUGUUCGCAAAUUUCAAGAUGGAGAUGCAAUACAAAAUGAGCAAAUAAAAAAGAAAAUGAUACUUACUAUGGGUGCCAACCUUUGUCUUUGUUUUUUUUUAAUAUAUAAUUACAUAGACAUGCACAAGGGAUGAAGUUCAAUUUCUACUCUAUACGGCUCAAAAUGGAGUCAUAGGAUCACCAGACUGAACCAACAAGAUCACAGUUAGGUUGUGUUACGCAUGACUUCGGCUUUGUCAAAAAACUGACCCGUGUCGCAUGGUUGCAGACUGGGGUGGGUACUUACAGCAUGAAGAAAUAAAUUUCAGGGUAGAGAUGGGCCACUCAGACUACAUGGUUGUAGUCGGAGUGGUAUCCACCUCAACACCAUCCUAAGUGAUUCUAUGCGGCUUAGGUCCGGUGGCAAGUAGUGUGUGCCAUGAUGUAGUGCAAUGCAAGAAACGUAACCAUGACAAUUUAUAGGCAAGCAGCACUUCAUAAAUGCAAAAUAUAAACAUACAUUCCCAACUCCACACCUACAUGACAAAGGGUUAACAAUCACUCAUCCCCUUAUAACUCUCAGUUGCAAAAACACUUAACACCUAAUACGUUAGGGACGUACAUGGAAUCAUCGCUACCAAACAAAAAUAUUUUUGAAUAAGAUUAAUUUUGAUCUAAGUCCUCUAAGGUUUAAAAUCAAGUCCACAAUAGAGUCACCAAGCUAUUGCAACCUAUCCCUCGAGGGGAGAGAACGAGUUUAGGGGUAUUGCCUAAAUGAUGGAUUUAUAGCCCUUGAUUAGGCACGGGCUCUCCUAAAACCAUACCCCGUGUGACAUUGAGAUAUUCUAAAUAAUUUCACAAAAAAAGAGUCGCUGCUAGCCUAUUGGGGUCAACUAGAAACCAAGUGAGGUAUAGGAGUAUACCUCACUUUCUAUGCAACUAGAGAAUUUAGGGUCGGGGACUUAAUUACACUAAUUAACCAAUUAGUAUCAUUUCGGUACCUAAUCUUGUACAUUUUAAAGGAAAUAAUUUUUGUUAGGCGGUUUGGAUUGAUUUUAUACCUAUCCACUAACAUUUGAGGUGAUCAUGCGAAUGCGCAAUCAUUAAACUAACAAUCAUAGCUACCAAGAUCCUAAUUGCAGUAAAAUUAAACAUAUGGAAUUAAAUAUAAUUAUAUAUGCAAAUUAAACGCGAUAAAAUCAAUAUAUGAGCAAAUAAAGGCCUAAUUACACUAAAAAUAGCAAAACAUAGCAAUUCCUAAUCAAACCCUAUAUUUUUCGGAUUUUCAAUUUUUUUUAAUAUUUUUUUAUUUUUAAAAUUUUAAAAUUUUAAUUUUUUUUAAAAUUAUAAUAAUAUAAUAUAUUUAAAACUAAUCGAGUCGGAUCCUCAGGUUGGGUUUGACUCGAUUUGGUGAACAGGGCCCGGGAUCGGGCUAGACAACCUGAACUCGGACCGAAUUGGGCCAAGAAGCCCGAAAUAGCAUAAACCAGUCGGGAUGGGCCUAAUGUGUAGGCCCAGUCUAGUCUAAAUUUUUUUUUUUUUAAACAAAGCCCAGACUAAACUAGCCCAAACCCGGCCCUAAUUGCCCAAAAACCUUACUCGUUUCAGGACCUGCGCCCAACCCGAUUUUUGGCCAAAACCCUAGGGCUUAUUGGUGGCGAUGAUGACAACGGCGACGGGCUUGAUGGUGGCGGCGACGCGGCAGGCAGAAACGGUGACGUUGGGGCCUACGAGGAUGGGCGGUGGCUACAUCAGAGGCGAGCAGGAGCGUCAGGUCGUCCCAGGCGGAAGCGGGCAACGCUUAGGCGUGGUGGCUUUUGGCAUUAGGUUCCAACGGUGUUAGGUGUUGCGGUGAGGGGGGGCAGCAGGCAGACCGGCAGGCAUCAGCAUUAGGAGCCCCGGUGGCGAUAGAGACGAGUUGUUGUGGCAUCGAGCAGAGGCAUGGGUUGUUGGUGGAGUGAUGGUGAUAGGCGAGCAGUUUCAUGGCAAUGUCGGAGGCUGAAUGGUGGUGGCAUGGGGCUGGUGCUGCGACGGUGGUGGAGAGAUUGGGUGACUGGCAUGACAGUCGUCGUGGCUACUGGUUCUACAACGAUGUCACAGCUUAGAGCUACUAAUGGUUGCUACGGCAUCGGUGACAUUGAGGUAGCAAGCUCGGAUGGCAACGGGUAGGAGGAGGGUGGCUCGGCUCGGACGGCGUCGGGCAGUGCCACCGCUGCCCUCCUCCCCUCCAUUCCUUCUCUAUGUUCUCUUUUGUUGUGUUACUUCUUCACAUCGGCACCUCUGCUCCAGAUCUGGGUUCUAGGGAGCUGCGGUCGCCGUUGGUUGGGCGGCAGCAGUGGCAGGAACGUCUACGGCGAGUCUUCUCUUGGUUCCUCUCUCUCUCUCUCUCUCUCUCUCUCUCUCUCUCUCUCUCUCUCUCUCUCUCUCUCUCUCUUGCUCUCUUUGCUGAGCUCUCUCUCCACCUCGCUGUGUUUCUCUGUUUGCCUUUGUUGUUCCCUUUUCUCUAGGUUUCCUUUGCGAAGAUGGGCAGAGGAGGAAGAGGCUAGCGUGGGCCAGGCCCAAGCAUGUAGGGACAAAAAGAAAAGAGGCGGGUCGAGCCAAAUAUUGAUCCUGCCUGACUCGGCCUCUCUCAAUUUCAAUUUCUUUUUUCUUCUUUUUUUUUAAAUUAAUAAUUUUUAAUUUUUAAUUAAUUUAUAUAUAUUUUUUAAAUUAUAAAUUUGAGGAAAAGUUAGGUGUCAACAUGGACUAAUGAGAACCAAUCUAGUUUCUGAUUCUAAGGAGAUUUGGUCCAAUUACUAGUUUCUCGGGAAUAUGGGAGAGCCGAACCAAGAACUUAAGUAGUAUUGGCACCGGCACACAACAUGCCACACAACAUAACAUGAUAUGUCGACUCAUCAUUUAUCAAAAAACAGAUAAUUCUGGCAUGUUUAACACAUUAUAUAUUAAAUAUAUAUUUUUAUAUAUACAUAAUAAUUUAUCAUUUUUAUGAUUAUUUCGAUUAAAUUAAUUUGAUUCAAAUUCACAAAUAAAUAAAUAAUAAUAAAAAUCUAGAAUGAAUUUUAUACUAAAAACAUUAAUCCACCAUUUAUUGAUAUCAUUUGUUGUUUCAAUUUAACAAAUUCAACUCCAUUCUAAUAAUCCAUAAUACUUGGAAAGAAAAAAAAUAAGUAAUUCAUAUUCAGGACUUGCUUGUUAGGCGUAUUGGAAGAGAAGGGAAAAAAACUUGAGAAAUGAAUUAUGUAUAAUAGGAAAUGAGAGUCAGAAGAGAAAAGAAGAGAAUAUUAGUUUUUUUUUUCAAUUUUUUAUUGUUAUUAUUAUUUUUAUUUUUUCACAUAUAAUAGAUUUUAACCCCUCAUUUAUUUAAAAAUUUUAAAAUUGAUUUCGUAUAUUAGAAUCAUGUGUCGGAAACUCACAUAUUAGAGGAGUGUCAAGAAAGUUGACCAAAUAUCGGAUUUUUAGACACGUAUUGACCAAAUAUUAGAGAGCAUUUGACAGUGCCAGACACAUAUUAGAAUGUCCAACACAAGGUGAAGGUGAAAAGUGUUUCUUAAAUGGGAACCUACAAAACCCUAAUAUAGAAUUGACUUAUACACAUUGGAUUAAACCCCUAAUUUUCCUCUUCAAGAACGACUCCUUGGCUUUCUUCCUUUAUGAGAAAAUUUCUUCUGCUUGAAAGUCUUGCUCUUCGUUGAUGUCACCACCACCAGCCGUGGGGAGGCACGGGUGAUGAGCUCCACUAGCGACAAGCUCUUGCACGAUUUGUUCAUCCUUAAGUGACCGAGGACAAUAGAGGGAAGAGAAUGAAAGUGGUCGUUGUAGUGUCAGUCACAAGGCCUAGUUCUCUGAAGACUUUAGGAUCGUCGACUUAUGAUGUGUUUGGUAACCAUUCUAUUUCUAAGAAUACUUUCUACUUAAAAAUGAUUCAAUUUUAUUCUAGUCUAUAAACGAGUUUAUAAGCAUUUUAAGGUAUUUGAUAAUUGCUCAAGUUUUCUAUUCUCAUAAUAAAAACGCAUUUGAUAUGUCCCUUAACUUUUUUGUAGCUUAGAAUUUUUUUUAAAAUUUUCAAAUAAUUUUACUAUAUUUUUCUCUCUUUUUUUUCAUCCAUUUUCUUCUUCUCUGGCUAGUUGCCAGCCAUAGUAAUGGCCGACAACCUCACUGGAGCCUCUCCAGGUUAGGACAAGGUUCAUCAAGCUCAUUGGAGCCUUGCUAAGGUUGUUGGGUGAACUCGCUUGACCACUAGCAAGGUUGAGUCUCGUAGCAGUUGACGGUGGGGCCUGGCAGGGCUUCAGCGAGCUCAACGGCCCUCACCCAAUUGGUCGUUGGGCCACAAUAAUAAGGAAGAAGAAGAGCAAAUUAAAGAAAGAAAAAAAGAAGAAGGAAAUUUGGCUUGAUUUUGGAAUUAUUUUUAAGAAUAGAUAAAUAACUUUUUCUUUAUCUUUUUAUUCUGUUCCAAACCUAUUUUUAAGAAUAAAAAAGUUAUUAAAUGGAUUUUUAUUUUUUAUUAAGAAAAAGAAAAAAAAAUAGAUACUAUUUAAUCAGUUAAUUGAAUAUUUGUUGGGAAAAGUUGAUUGAAUUUUUGGCUUAAAGCAAUUCUCCAUCUGCUGCUUCAUCUUUGGGAUAUUAACUAUCUCAUCACUCCACGUGUUUAGCGAAUUGUCCGAAUGUUAAAGUAACGAUAGAGCUAUGCUGCCGUGUGUGGUAUUCUUGUGGCUGUGUGUGAGCCAUGUGGCUUUCUCGUUUUGUGCUCUCUCCACUCAAGGCUCUAUAUUUCUUCGGUUUACGUAAAUUGGAUUUUUUUUUUCUUUUACGAAAUUAGGUCAUCGUAAUCUCGUGGACUUUCCUCUUUAGCUUCCACUCUGCUGUUGCUAUCUUGGGGUGGUUAUUUUGGGGUGGUUAUUUAGGAAGUAUCGACACUCUUCGGAGGCAUUCAUGUCGUGUUGGACACUCGGAUACGUGUCGGACAUUCUUAGACACUCUUCGAUACUCAAUCAAUAUAUAUCGAAAAAUUUGACACCUGAUCAAUUUUUCCAACACUCUCUAACACUCGAGUCGGAAUUUUUACAUGCGAGUUUUCAACACAUGAUUCCAACACGCAAUGUCAACUUUAAAAAAUUUCCAUAAUGAGGGAUCAAAAUGUAUAUAUGUGAAAAAUAAAAAUAAAAAUAAAAAUAAUGAAUGGGGAAAGAAGAAAAAUCUAAUUUUCUUAUCUCUUUUGACUCUCACUUCCCGUGAUCCCAUGAUAUGCAAUUCAUCCCUUAAGUUUUUUUUUUCUCUUCUCUUCUAAUAUGUUUGACACAAAAGUUUAGAAUAUGAAUUGCUUGUUUCUUUUUCCUCCAAAUUUUAUAAAUUAUUGGAAUGGAGUUGAAUUUAUCAAAUUGAAAUAAUUAAUGAAAAUUGAGAAACAGCGGGUCUAAUAAUUUUUGGCAGGAGGGACAGCUAGCGCACGGUCACAUAAGUGCUGUUUGGAACUCGAUGAUGGGGGUAAUGUGUUGUUGUUAAACAAUGUAUAAUUACUACAUAAGUAGUUGAUUUCUCUUUAAUGCAAUGUUCAAGCACAACACAAUUACAAAGCAUAAAUCCUUCCUCCUUCUUAACUAACCAAAUUAAUCGAAUUAUUUUUUUUUAAAUUUUUCUUUUCUUUUCUUUCUUCUUUCUUUUUUUCUUUUCUUUUUUCUUUAUUUUCCUUCCUCCUUCUUCCUUUGUCGGUCGUGUGCCUCGGUGACGGCCAGCAGUCCAAUGACUAGCCAAGAUGCGACCAAUGAGCUCGAGGCUCGAUCAAUUCAAGAUAGCCCAAGCUUUGGCAAGACCAGCAAGCUCGCACCUCACCAGAUCUAGGUGAGUACAAGCUUUGCCGAGGUGGGCAAGCUUGUGGAUCAAUUGAUCAUGGCGAGCUCGCAACUUGCUAGAUUCAGGCAAUGUCACACCUCGACCUCACCUUAACCUCACAUGCCUUGUAACAUGGCCCUCGAACUCAUACCUCGACUUGGCUCUCGAGCUCGAGGUCUCUCGAGCUUGCCUUAAGCUCGCCUAUGGCCAUCACUAGCCAAUCGCGGUGGAGCAAGGAGGAAAAAGAAAAUAAAAGAAAAUAAAAAUAAUUAGAAAAUAAACUUUUUUUAAAAAAAAAUUUAAAAAAAAAAUUUAAAAAAUUGGUUGAGAUGAAGUCAUGGGAUUGAAAUCAUUUUCCAAUAGGUCCAAACAUCAGAAAAUAUUUUCGAUCAUACAUUACCAAAAAAAAAAAAAAUUAACCAUUUUCUUGGAAAAUGUUUUGGAAAUUUUCAUUUAUCAUUGAAUUUUCCGCAAAAUAAACAUAUCUAGUAUAUAUUCAGGUAUAAGCACAUCUUGGUACAAUCAAAAUAAAAAGGAACUCCAAAUCGUAGUGGCGGAAGGUGGUCUAUCCUACAAAACUAAAAAAAUAAGUGAUAAGCUAAAAAAUUGGUGGUGAGCCGAAACUUAUUAAAUGAAAUCUCUAAGUCUAAGGUAGGAGAUUAUCAUAUUACUCAACCUAGUAUAUAUACAAACAACAUGAGUCCAAGGCAAUAACCAUGCAUGACAAAUGCAUAAGCAAGUGUUUUUUUUUUUUUUAGAUCAUGACAUGCCAAUGAAAACCUUUAAAAAUAUGCAAGUUCAUUCACUCAAAAACAAGCAAAUGACAUAUUAUUUUAUGAUACAUCAGCAUCACCUAGUAGCUCACAUUUAUACAUAGGGAAUGUGUAUUCCCUACUGGUCAUGAAGCUCACUAGUAUACAUAAACAAGUUCAUAUUUGUCAUGAAGUUCACCAACAUACACAGAUGAGUUCAUAUUGAUCAUGAAGAUAUCUAAUAUAUAGAUGAGUUCAUACUUAUAAUUGGCUAGGACCCAUCUCUACUUAUGAGGCAUUUUGAACACUCCUAGAGCAUUCCUCUACUCCUGUUUGGUGUGCAAUUUGGUUCAUUUCCACUCCCUUCACCAUCUCAAAAGUUUGCCAUGAGCCACUUCUUGUUCGAACCUGCUAGCCUUGACGAUCACUCCCUUCCCUACUUAGACCUAGUCAUUAUAGGCCUAUCAGCUUUAGUCUGGUGCAUCCCCAAACCACACACCUACUAAAGAAGGUCCCAUUUUGGCAUCCCUCGAUUGUCUUAUAUAAUUGACAAUGUGACAUUGGCAACUCAUAUUAUUGACAACAUGAACAUCGACAACUCAAAUAAUCGGCAAAGGGAACAUCAGCAACACUUAGCUAGUAAAUUGGUAGCUUAGUUGAAUUACAAAGAUAUCACUUUAAGGUUUAAUAUUCAUAGUUUUCACGUUCCUAUUACUAAAAGAUUGCCAUCACAUCAUAGAAAAACAAUCGAAGACCCCCUAAGAAAUCUAUCAAACACAUCUUAUACAUGUAACAAACUUAAUGAUCCAAUUCAAGUGAAUACAAAAAUCUCACAUACCAUUAUUGUAGCUUAACUACACUUGACAACAAAAGCCAAAUACAUCCUAACAAUCAAAGAUCAUUCAAGUUAAGAGUAAUAAGUAAAUCAAUCUAACUUAGCCUUUAGAGUCUUCACUUACCUCAAAUAGAAGGUUGGAAUAAAAUCAAAGCUUUCCCCACCAUCAGAGCAAAUAAUCAAGAACAAAGAUUAACAUCUCUCAACCUUUUAAAAGAUAAUAAAACCCACAAUUUCACCUUGUAAGCUCUUGAAAAAUGGAAUUUUGAAGACUUGACAACAAAAGAAUAAAAUCUUUCGUUUCACAUGAAAGACAGGAACAUGAAAAUAUAAAAGGAAGAUCUCUUUUUCUUUCUUUGCAAAAAUAAGUUGUAAUUCUUUUUUAAAGUUGAAGACAUAUGGAGACUUAUUUAUAGGCCAAGGGAGGUGAGAACUAGUAACUUAAGUUAACAGAAAUGAUGAAUUAACUUUAAAAAAAUAUGCUAGGUGGAAAUGCAAGAGAGGUGGUCAAGUUAGAAAACCAGAAGUGACAUAAUCAUAUCAUCCAAUGUGGAUAAACCAAGUAAUAAUGAUCUUAAGUAAAAAAGCUAGGUGUAAAGAGAGGAAUGGUGCUUUACUCCAAAGGAUACAAGUGGCCUCCAAAGUGGCUUAAUAAAAGUAGCCAAAAUGAGAUAUUUUGAUUGAAAUGUGAGAGAACUCCUUGUUGUCCAAAUAAAAGAAAUGAGUAAUUGAGAGCAUUAACGGGCUAAAUUUGAAAGAGAUGAUGUAAUGCAUGAUAUCAAGGUUAAACUAAGUUCAAUGUCACAAACUAAGGAUGUGGGGCUUAAAAUACCUAGUGGAAAAAUGAAGAAAGAGUAUAUAAAUUAAAAAUGGACAAAUGGCUCACUUGUAUGGUUUCCAAAUUAGAUAUUUUAUUAAGUUAUUAAAGAAUCUUGAAAAUCAAUACAUAAAUAAGGAAAUCAAUGUCCAUUUCAAGCAUGGAUAGAUUAGAAAAAUAUUUUGAACCUUAAUAAAAACAUUAGUGAAAAAUAACGGAUGGCUAGAAAAUCUCAAUAUGGUAAAUUUAUAACUUGAAUAUUGUCAAAACUGCAAUUUAAGGACUACAACUAAUAUGGUGGAAAAUUAAUUAUUGCCACUCAACAUCGUUGACAUACAUGUCAACACCUAUCAAUUUAAUGUCAAAAAAUAGCACUUCAGUGACUACAACCUUGGAAAAUCAUCCUAAAUACUAAUACUGAAAGUCGAAAAUUAUGGACGGCACAUAUGCAUUUUUAUCAUUUGCUAUAGUCUUAACUGGUGCACUAAAAGAACUUGUUGACUAAACCUAUUAAGAUUUUUUUAUGGGACUAUUAAAUUAUAAUUUUAAUAUGUAGCAUAUACGGUUGCAAUAUAAAGAUAAUUUUGUGCCAUACUUUAAUAAAUACUAAGUAUCAAGUUGGUAUAUCCAACUUACGCUGUGUUUGGCAAUUUUGAUAAAACUCAUAAUAUAAUAAAAUUAUCCUAUCCUAUGUUUGAUGUCUAUUUAAGAUAGGAUAAAUGGAGACAUCAGGGGAUAUAGACCAAAUAAAAUUAUGCAUUGGGGGAAGUGGGAUAAAGAUGGAUAUGAUUUAUAGCAUCUAUAAUGGGAAAGUUAUUUUUCUCAAAUGACGGAUUUUUUAAAUUAAAAAAAUUAAAAUUAUAUCUCAAUAUAAAUUCAAAAUAACAAAAAAAUAAAAAUUUAGUUAUUUUAAUUUAAUCUUAUUUUCAUUCGUAUAUAUUCGAAUUUAAUUAUAUUUUAAAAAUUAUUUCAAUAUAUAUAUAAAUAUAUUUAUAUUUAUGAUAUAUUUUAGGUAUUUUAGUAUUUUACGUAUAUUAGUAAAAAUUACUAUUUAAUAAAAUUUUAUUAGAGAACAAUGGGAGGGGAAAAAUAAAAAAUAAAAUAAUUAAAAAGAGAGGAAAAUAAAAUAAAGUAAGCAAGAGUGUCACAAGAGAUAGUUAUUUUCUUGAGGACAAGUUUUUUAAAAUUAAAAAAAUUAAAAUUAUAUCUCAAUAUAAAUAAAGGAUGCGUUAAGCUCCACUCGUUCUCUUCUGUCUUAUGUGCUGAGCCAAGUUGCUUGCAAGGCUUUGUUUAGUUGACUAAGCGUUGGGCUUUCAGAUCUUAGCACUGCCAACCUAAACUCUUUUCUUCAACACCUAGUUUAGCAAUUAAGUCUCAUUUGAGUUUGUUUUCAGCCACUUUAUUUAUCCUCAUGACGACAGGCUCCCUUAAUAACAAUUUAGUUAUCUUAAUUUAAUUUUUUUAUAUAUUCAAAUUUAAUUUGAUUUUAUAUAAUAAUUUCAAUAUAUAAAUAUAGAUAUAUCUAUUAUAUGUUUAAGGUAUUUCAGUAUUUUGGUUAUAUUAGUACAAUCUACUAUUUAACAAAAUUUUAUUAGAGAAUGAUGGGAGGGGAAAUACAUAAAAGAAAUUAAGAGUAUCGUGAGAGAUUUUUACCAUCUUAUUUUAUAAAAAUUUUGGUUCAUUUUUACUAAUGUGUCAUUUAUACCAAACAAUAUGCAUGAUAUGAUAUGAAUAUAUCCAACUUAAUUACUGCAAUCACCAAACAGUGGAUAUGAUUUAUCAAAAUCCCAUAAAUUUCAUAUUUUAUCUUAUUUGGUUCUUUCAUGAUUAGAAAUUUGGACGACCAACCGUAACCUUAAAGGUUUUGAAUUGGAUUUCUUGGGUUUCCUUUUUAAUCAUCUAUGAGUUUCAUUCUUUAAUACAGCUUAACACCUUCAUCAUUAAAUUGAUUUUCUCAUGAAAAGAAGCGUUUUUAGAUAUCAAUAUAUUAUGAUGCGGAUGCGACUACGACUGCCUAGAAAUUUUUUGUAACGUUCAAAUAAGUCAAAACAUGGUCAACGAGCCAGGAACAAGAGAUUUGAUGAUGAUUUACGCCAGAAUUUUCAAGAAGAUAUCAAGAUGCAAUGGAUAUUUUAUAAUAUGAAUUUAUAUAUAGUUUUGAUAUCUUCUUUGUCUAGAUUUAGUUAAAAAAAGGGAUAUUGAUUUGCUGCUAAUUUGAAAUAGAGAUUCAAUAUUCUCUCCUUCUCUCGUCUUUGAAAAUUUAGUUUUCUUCUAAGUUAGUAUUUACCACAUUUUCACCACAUCAUAUUUUUAUUGUCGUUUUUUGAUAGCAAGUACACAACAAUUUUGGGAGGCACAUCCUCUACGAGGGUGAUCGAUUCCCGGUCCGGUCUGGUCCAUUGGAACCAGCCACUUAGUUUAAAUGAAAAUUAAAAUAUUGUUGACGCCUAAAAUUUCAUUUUAAUUAAUUAGGUUUUGCUUUUUAUUUAUUUAUUUAUUUUAUAUUUUAUUUUAUCUUUUUUCGAAUGAUAAAUAAACAAAGAAAAAAACAGAAAAAGCAACCCCUCCUGCGGGCCUUCGUCGGCCCAACCCGCAGCCCAGCCCGCACCUUCAUCUCCUUCUUCGCCCGAUUGGGUGGGCAGCACGCGCCGGAGGCGCGACGCCAGAGCAGAAGAGAGGAGCAGUAGCUCAUGUUGUGAUGUGAAUCGUUGCGGAAGGAUCGUUCUACGAAGGCCCAGAUGGUGCGAAUUGCAAACCUCGACCUCCAAUCAAACCUGUGAUUGGCAACCUCGGUAUGAACGUGACCUGUUGACGAACACGUGUCAACCAACCAACGUUAUAGACGCCACGAGCGAAAGAAUUCGCUAUCUCGCUCGAUAAGUCGAAGAGAAUCUUGAUUAGGUCAAGUCCUCAAAAGAACAGUAAAAAGAGAACCUCUCAAUUCUUUUCCUCCAAAAAAUAAAAUAUCUCCGUCCUCAAAGAAAUUUGGCAAAUCCUUUAUAUAGGCUGCCACACAAACCCUAAAAACCAACCCUAAAAAUCUAAUGCGAUAUAUUCUAAAAUAUUCCUAUUUUAGAAUAUUCUUAAACAAGAAUAUAUAUAUAAAUUGACUUGGUCAAUUAUUUGGUGACAAGAUAAUUAAAUUGCACCAAGAUUUCCAAGAUUCUUCAAGAUUUGAUCCAAGGUCAUCUUCACGCCAAAGAUCACGAACCAUGACGCCAACAGCUUGCUUGAAUUGUUUGGCCCGCGCUCGAGUAAUCGAACCAGUAGGAAUAGACAAUGGGUCCCUAGCACCUCCUCCUCGAUAUGACUCGAUGUCCACAUCAUGUUGAGCAGGAGGAUAGCUGGCAUCGGAUGGGACGCUGGUUCGGCCAGCGAAGGCCACGGCGACCGACGGUCGAGCUCUGUCAACCGGCCACCCCUCGGCCUAUAAAUAGGCCGUCGAUCCCAACAGCCAAAGACACACAGAGAAGAUGAACAGAGAGAGAGAGGCCAGCCAAAGCUCAGGGUCCCCUAAGAGACUUCGGGGAGCUCGAGUGCAGGCUGGGCGUGGUGUGGUGAGCUCGGAGGGGUUCCCAAGAGAUUUCGGGGAGCUCGAAGGGCGAACCUGAGAGAGAAAGAGAGAGAGAGAGAGAAGCUGGAGGAGGUCUGCGUGGGUACCACCGCUGUCGUCGCCCUCGUUGCCCCGUCGCCAGGUAGUGGGUUGUCAUCGUUGUUGUUGCCGUCGCCCUUUCCCUCUUUGUAGCCCAGCCAUCACUGCCGUCGCCGUCGUCGUCGCCGCUGCACCUCUGUCCUCUCCCCCCCUCGCCACCGCGAUUCGGAAACCCUAGGGUUCCCGAUUUUCCGGGUCGCAACCCUGGGUUGUCGGGUCGGACCUGGAUCGGGAACCGGGUAAGGAUUCCGCAAAUUCCGAGGGUGGCGGAGGUCGAGUCCCGAAUCGUAGCCGGGUCGGGUAGGGUUCGCGAGGAGUCGGGUCUCGGAGCCGGGUUGUCGGGCCGGGUCGGUUGUCCCUAAACACCCGGCCAUGGCGUCCUUUCAGUAAAGUAAAAAAAAAAAAAAAAAUCCGAGUCGAGCUCGUCCACGUGUGGGUCACUGGCCCGGGUCAGACCCAACCCGCGGAUCCGACCCGGGUAAGCCAAAAAAAUCAAAAAUAUUCCAUAUUUUCCAAAAAAAAAAAAGCCAAAAAAUUCAGAAAAAGCCAAAAAGACUUGUAUUUUUCCAAAAAUACCAAAAAAUCCAAAAAAUCCCUUUUAUGUCCAAAAAAUUAGAAAAAGACUCAAAAAAUGUUUUUCCUCCCAAAAAUGCAUGGAAAAUCCCUCAAACAUCCAAAAAACCUCAAGGUUUAAACAAGAUUAGGUACCGAAAGGGCAUUAGUGAUUAACUAGUGUAAUCAAGUCCCCGAUCCUAAUUUCUCUGGUUGCACAAGAGUGAGUAUUUCUCCCAAUACUUCACUUGGGUUUCUAAUCAGCCCACCCCAAGUCGAUUAGUGGCGACUCCAUUUUAAAAAUUGAUUUACAGGUUAAAAACUUGAACCAUUAAGUUGUGAAUUGGUGGACUUGGGAGAGUCCGGGCUUAACCAAUUUUAGCCAAGCCAUUAGCCUUCUUAGGCGCACAUACCCGACUGCGGGAACCGAAAAAAAGAGGUCGUGACAAAUAUUAAAAUAUUUUUUGGAGUUAUUACAAUUAUAGCAUUAUUGCUAUUGAUAAGAAAUUAAAAUAUGUAUUUUUUUUAAAAGUGUCGGUCCGGUUCCCCCUCAGAAUUAGGAAUCGGCCAAAAAAUUGUUGGAUCUAUUUUUAUGGAACCGGGAAUCGGACUGAUGCCUCCAAGAAUCAAACCAAACCAAUCGAUCCAAUCCAAUCUGAGUGAUCUGAUAUGCUUACCGCUAUCCUCUACACUGUCGCUCUUCACACACUCUUUAAAUCCACCCCAAACACUUCCCCGUCUUUCCCAUGCAUUUGCUAAGACUAUCUCUCUUUGCCAUUUCCCUUCAUGUGGUCUUGGAACUCCAAGUUCCGGUCCUUCAUUAUUUUUUCAGUAAACCACACUGAAGAAGACACAAGAAACCUCCGAAGCUGCAAAAAUCUUGUCUUUUCUGCAGAAAUAGCCGAGAGACAAGAACAGAUAAGUAUACAAAACCCAGCCCAAACAGUCCCCCUCUCAGUCGAACCGCGAAGCCAGGACUUGGACAGACCAUCGAACCACAACCUCCCAAACUUCCCCAUGUCAGUGAGGCUCAAGUACGUGAAGCUCGGCUUCCACUACCUCAUCUCCUACACCAUGUAUUUACUCCUCGUGCCAGUCCUUUAAAUCUCCUUGGCCCACCUCUCGAUCCUUAUGGCCCCAGACCUGGCCCAACUGUGGGAACAACUCACGUUCAAUCUCGUCACCAUCGUAAUCUUUUCGACCCUCGUCAUAUUUCUGGUCACUUUCAACUUCAUGAACUAGCCCAGAAAAAGUCUACCUUGUCGACUUCGCCUGCUAGACCUAGCCCAGAUAUGUACCAGCGAGACCUUCAAGGAGUGGUCGGAGCUCACGACCGCCUUCACCAAGGAGAACCUUGCUUUCCAGUGGCAGAUCCUCAAGAAGUUUGGGCUCAGGCAGAGGACACACGUGCCUGAGGCCGUGCUCCAGGUCCCACCGAACCAGUGCGCAAGGGACAUACGAAUUAAAGAAAUACAUGGAUUCAAGAGAUACAUGAACUAAAGAGACGUAUCUCAUUUUGCUAAUUUUCAUUGAUCCAUUAACGCACUAUAAUUACAACACAGAGAAGAAUCCAUCUACAGGAACCUAUAAUAAAUCUAGGCUUGUUGUCCAAACCAACGAGAGCUUGUUCGAGGACAAAUUAGAGUUUAGGCAUUGAGGAUGAGUGAGGGAAGGGCGAUGAGCUAAUGGCUUACACCUCCGAGCUUUGUCUUCCACCGUUGCCAUGCUUGACCACGAGCACGAGAUCUAGGUCUCAAAUCAAGCAUGAGCGUCAAAUCUUAGAUUGCUUGCGCUUGAUCAAGGACUCAAAUCGAUCUCCAUCUGAUGACGAAGGUGUUGGAGUUGCGGUCAAGGACAGUGGUGAACGAGCUUGAGGGCGUCAGUGGGCAGUUUGGCGGGGAGAGAAUAAAGGACUUUAGAGGAGGAGAGAGUAAGAUGGAGGCGUGAGGAAUUACGAUGGAAAAAAAAAAAAAAAAAGAGGGAAAGAAAGAAAGAAAACAAAAGGAGAAGGAGAAAAAAUAAGAAAUUUUUUAAAAUACCAGUGUGAAAAUACCCCUAACUAUAUAUAAGAUAAAGUGCACCAUAUGAUCUCUUUUAAGAAAAUGACUCACUUUAAAUCCUUAUAUGCAAUCCUCUCCUAAUCUUAGCAAUAACCGUAUAAUAACUCCUCUACGCUCUCCACGCACUCUAUAAAUCCACCCAAAACACUCCCCAAUGUUCCUCAUGCAUUGCUAAGACCCUCUCUCUCUCUCUCUCUCUCUCUCUCUCUCUCUCUCUCUCUCUGGGCCAUUUCCCCCGUUUGCUUUUUGGAACUCCAAGUUCUCGUCCUUUGUUAUUCUUAGGAAACGCCUCUGAAGAAGAGGCACAAGAAACCUCCGAAGCUGCAAAAAUCUUGGUUUUUUUAUUGCAGAAAUGGCUGCAGAAAUGGCCGAGCAACAAGAACAGAUAAGUCUGCAAAACCUAAGCCAAGCUUUCCCUAUCUCAGUCGAACCUCAAAGCCAAGACUCGGACAGACCAUCGAACCCCAACCUCCCAAGCUUCCUGUCGUCAGUGAGGCUCAAGCACGUGAAGCUCGGCUUCCACUACCUCAUCUCCAACGCCAUUUAUUUACUGCUCGUGCCACUCCUCGGCAUCUCCUCAGCCCACAUCUUGACCCUCACGGCCUCAGACCUGGCCCAACUCUCGGACCAACUGAGGUUCAACCUCGUCACCGUCGUCCUCUUCCCUGCCGUCAUGGUAUUUCUGGUAACUCCCUACUUCAUGACCCGACCAAGCAAAGUCUACCUUGUUGACUUCGCCUGUUACAAGCCCAAUCCGGCCCAGAUAUGCACCGGCGAGAAAUUCAUGGAGAUCUCGGAGCUCACGACCGCCUUCACCGAGGAGAACCUUGCUUUCCAGCGGAAGAUAUUUGAGAAGUCCGGGCUCGGGCAGCGGACUUACUUGCCCGAGGCCGUGCUCCAGGUCCCACCAAACCUAUGCAUGGCAGAAGCACGGGCAGAGGCUAAGGCCGUGAUGUUCGGAGCCAUCGACCAGCUGCUGCCCAAGACUGGGGUCAAGGCUAAGGACAUAGGGAUCCUCAUUGUGAACUGUAGCUUGUUCAACCCGACACCGUCCCUGUCGUCAAUGAUCGUGAAUCACUACAAGCUCAGAGGGAACGUGUUGAGCUACAAUCUUGGUGGGAUGGGUUGCAGCGCUGGGUUGAUUUCUAUCGACCUUGCUAAGCAAUUGCUACAGGUUUGGCUUCUUCUCUCCCCUCUCUUCUUCUAUUCUUCAAAGUAUAAGUUUGAUAAUAGGAACUUUUUAUGAAUAACACCCUCAACGAUAUCGAAGCAAACAAAGAAUGAAAACUUCCAUUGACCAAUGAAAUGCUAAAUAUAAGUUGGGAAGUAAGAAUUUUUUUCUUAGGUUCACUAGCAAAUAGCAUCCAUUUUGGCUGCGUUUGGUAAUUAAGAUACAAUUUAGGAUAUGAUAAAAUUUAUUAUAUCCUAAAUGUGAUGCAUAAGAUAAAGUCGGAUAUAAGGGAAAAAUAAAUUGGAUAAAACUAUCCUAUGGGAGAGGCGGGAUAAAUGUAGAUAGGAUUUGUAAUAUCCAUACUAUGAAAGUUAUUUUUCUUGAAUAACAAAUUUCUUAAAUUAACAAAAUUAAAAUUAUAUUUCAAUAUAAAUAAUAUUUGAAUUCUAAUAUAAUAAAUUUAGAAUAAAAAAUAGCAAUUUAGUUAUUUUCAUUUAAUCUUAUUUAUAUUUAUAUAUUCAAAUCAAUUCUAUUUCACAACAUAAAUUAAAGAUAUAAAUAUAAAAUCAAUUUAUAUUAUUACAUAUUUUAGGUAUUUUAUUAUUUUAGGUAUGUUUGUACAAUUUACUCUUUAACAAAAUUUCAUUAGAGAAUGAUGGAAGGGGAAGAAAGAAAUAAAAAGAAAUUAAUUAUAAAAGAGAGGAAAAUAAAAUAAGAAAAACAAAUAAAAAUAAAGUAGGCAAGAGUGUUGUGAGAGAUUUUCACCAUCUCUGCUUGUAAUAUUUUUUGUUCAUUUAAACUAAUAUGUUGUUUAUACCAAACAACAUACAUGAUAUAAUAUAAAUAUAUUCGACUUUAUUACUGUGAUCAUCAAACAAUGGAUAUGAUAUAACAAAAUUUUUGGAUUUCAUAUCUUAUACUAUCUAGUCUCAUCCUCUUCAAAACUCUGAAUGAUCAAACAUAGUCUUUAUGUUGACAAUGUGUCAUGUGAUUUAAAAAAAAAUGCUUAGCUAGCCAUAUUGUUAAGCUUGGAAAACGGACUGCCAAUCCUAAGCCACACAUUUUAAAUGAAAGAGAGGGAGAACUAUGUCUUGCUUGGAAAUUUCCAUGUAUUUUGUUUGAGAAAGGAAAUUUUUGUGGACAUCUUUUGACUGUUACAUUGUGAGAUGGUGAUGCUAGCACCAUUCAAUUUAAAAGUAUUUCAUAAAAUUAGAAUCAUUACAAAAAAAAAAGAGAAAAAAAUGAUUAAGUGACAGUUUUUAAUCUAAUGUGAAAAUAACAGCAUGUUCUAAACCACAAAAAUCCAUUCAACAAAUAGUUAUAAAUUAUUUUGGGAUCAAAUCCUUUAAAAAUUUAUGGCUCAAAACAAAUUAUUAUUUACAUAGUAGCCCCAAGACUGUUAUGUUAAUAAAGUCAUAAAAAAAAAACCAUUUUAUUUAGGUUGUGUCAAUAGUAAAAUUUUAGGUAAUUACUUUCCUUAGUUUACACUUUGGUUGGUAGAGAAGUAGAAGCUAGUGAGUGGUUUGAACUCGGAACAUUCGAAACCUAGAUGUCGUUGAACAAAAUGAUCCACUGAUAAGUCAACCCAAGAUUUAUUAUGGCCCAAAAUAUAGCUAGAUUUGAAAUAGGACUUUUCGCAUUUAUGAAUUUGAUAUAUGACAACAAAAUUGAACAAUUUAAGCUUUGUACUUUCUCAAUUUACUAUAUGCUUUAUCUACUAGGUACUCAAAAUUCUAAGUUUUAUUACUAGGGAGAUUCAAUUUAGGUCUCACCAAAAUUAAAGUUCAGCCAAUGUUAUUACUUCUCUUAUGGGUUAAUCACUAGGUACAUCGUAACUCUUAUGCCCUAGUGGUGAGCAUCGAGAGCGUCACCCUCAACUGGUAUCUCGGCAAUGACCGGUUGAUGCUCAUCUCAAACUGCCUCUUCCGAAUGGGUGGGGCAGCCAUCCUCCUCUCCAACCGGUCCUCCGACCGCCGCCGCUCCAAGUACCAGCUCAUCCACACCGUGCGCACCCACACAGGCUCGGAUGACAAAAGCUAUGGUUGCUUGUUCCAACGAGAGGACAAGGAGAAGAAGAUCGGCUUGUCGGUAUCCAUGGAGUUGGUGGCGGUCAUCAAGGAAGCCAUAAAGACCAACAUCAAGACCCUUGGCCCGGCAGUGCUCCCAAUGUCAGAACAGCUCUGGUUCUUCAUGACCUUGGUCGCAAGGAAGGUGUUCAAGAUGAAGAUUAGGCCAUACAUUCCCGACUUCAAGUUGGCCUUUAAGCAUUUUUGCAUCCACGUUGGAGGCCGACCUAUUCUUGAUGAGAUGGAGAAGAGCCUCAAGCUCACCAAGUGGCACAUGGAGCCAUCACGAAUGACUUUGUACCAAUUCGGGAACACCUCGAGUAGCUCAGUGUGGUAUGAAUUAGCCUAUUUGGAGGCCAAAGGAAG
rnacentral:lncRNA from 1 species